rnacentral:lncRNA from 1 species
UCCAUAGCUGCAUGGUCAGUGGCAAGCAUCGCAUGUCGAGUAUCUUCAGAAUCACUAGCGGAAGAGUACUCACCAUCGUCACGAAGAAGCAAAGUGCGCUUGUUCGGACAGUCCCGAAUCACAUGGCCAAAUCCUUUGCAACGAUGACACUGAAUAUCCCGUGUACGGCCUGUGGGAGGGGCGGCGCCUGUGGAAGGGGCAGCGCUGGCAGGUUUGGCCGUUCGCUCGCGCGGUGUAGUGGUGGGCGUGGGUGGCGCAGGGAGAGCGGGUGCGGAGUUGGAUGUCGAGCUUCUUCCUGCAAAAGAGUUAGAAUAUGUCUUCGAGCGGCGUCCCUGCACUUCACGUUCAGCUUUGCAAGCAUAUUCAAAUAAUGUUGUCAUAUCUGUGUAGUCCUUAUAAUCAAGUAUAUCCUGAAUUUCGCGGUUCAAACCACCACGAAAACGUGCCAUAGCAGCGUCGUUUUCCUCCAAUAACCCACAACGAAUCAUGCCUAUUUGUAAUUCCUGGAAAUAUUCCUCAACAGAUUUGGAACCUUGCUGAAAACGUUGCAUUUUAUUAAGCAAAUCGCGAGCAUAAUAAGAAGGCACAAAUCUGUGGCGCAUAGCAGUUUUUAAUUGCUCCCAAGUGGUUGGAAUGGUAUUGGGAUGUUUGUGUUUAUAUUCACGCCACCAAAUUAAAGCAAAAUCAGUAAAUUCACUAAUAGCAGCUUUAACUUGAGAAUUAGCAAGAAUAUCAUGGCAUGAAAAUUUUUGUUCAACUUCUAAUUCCCAAUCAAGAUAUGCAGCAGGAUCAUAUUUGCCAUUAAAAGGUGGAAUUUUAAAUUUAAUCUUGGAAAAGGAAUCAUUACCACCGGGACGGCGUGGCACGCGGCGGGCACGGCCUCGGCGGUCGCCAUCGUCCUGGUCCGAGUCACCACCAUAACCCUGCUGCAACUCUGCGACUGUAGUGUGCAAUGCAUCGAGUCUUGCCACAACUGAGUCGAGUGUGGCCUUAGCGGCCGUCUGUGCAAGGUCGAGCUGAUCACACCGCUCGGUCGUCGAGGAGAUCGUCGAGUCCAGCCGUUCAUGAAUCGUCUGAAUGUCGGUGACAAGCCCUUCAACUUGCGCCCGUAUGCCCUGCAGCUGGUUAGCCCCCGCGUCGACAUCAUCUGCCAUGGUUAGCGCAAAGACAAGAACACAAGCGACGAUAAAAUAGGGGUGUAACAGCUCACAAGGCGCUCAGACUAGUGCUAUUAUCAAAUUCUUAUCCGUUCUUACCACGCACACAGGGGCGAACUGCAACCAACCGGUGGAACUCGCGAAAGAUUGGAGGAGCGAUUGCCUGGAGAAACAAAAUAUGCUUGUCGUAGAACUAUGUGGAGUUCUGGGAAGGCUGCACUCAAAUGAAGGAUUAGCACAAUCAAACAAUAAUGCAAAGUUGAAACAUAGUGCCAAACACGUAACAAGAGUUGCUGGUAACAAGGGAAAUCGAAAGAACAGAGGCAAAGGUGGAGAGGGCGCACCUCUUUUGUUUUUUUUUUCACAGAGGGUGCCCCAAAACUGAUAAUAUGAACACAGAGGAUCUCAAACAGCAAAUUGUGGCACACACUUUUUCCGAAAGUACAGGGGUAUUCCGGUAAAAAAAAGACCAAGAAAGAGAGAUACGGAUAUGAAAGGCUGGCACGGAAUGCGUGGGGGGGGGGGGAAUUUGCCCCAGAGAGUCGUGACCCAGGGGGAGUCACGGCGCGCGCAAAGGGAGUUUCCACCGAAACAAAUCCGAAUCACCUUCCUUCUCCCUGUUGGAUUCUUCUUUGUUGUUUUGCUUCUUUCCUUUUUUUUUGCACUUUCCUUUUUUUUUGUAUUGCUUUCUAUCUUUUUUUUUUGGACAGGGGAGGGGCGAUCGGAGUGGUGGGAUAGCACGGCGCGGUUGUCGCGAGAGGGGGGGUGCGGUGGGCGCGGUUGGUAGGGUUGGCGAGCAGCGGAACGGCGGCGAGAACUAGGGUUAGAGGAAAAAAGAGAAAUAAGAGAUUAAACACAAGUAACCAGCAACAAUUGAACGAGUAGGCACACAAAUUCAACAAAGACACUUAUUGAAAGAAUGUGCGAGGCUAAACGGUUGCUGGGACAAAGGAUCUAACCUGAAAAAAAUUUGUUUUGGUUUUUUUUGUGGACUGUAGGAAGGGAAAAACACUCGGUAAAACUCACCGAUCAACCUGGAAAGCUGAUACCACUUGAUAGAGUCGGAGCGCCGGGUGUAGCUCAUAGAAGCCGUCGGCGAGGUGCAGCUCUACACGAAUGCAAGGCAAGAGUUAGCAUAGACGGUGAUAGAGUCGGAGUGCCCGAUCUUUCGGUGAGUGGAGAUAAAUUUGACUUGGUGGGAGUAGACCCUCACGAUCCGACUACGACGAGCGAACCCGAAGCGCCAAUGCAAUCGCUGAACCAACUUCCUGAGGUUACCAACCUUGCUGGCGCAAGAUCAGCCUGAUCACGAAGAUCAAUUCCUGUCCGCAAUCGAAGAACGAACAAGAAAGAGAGGCGAGCAAUCUAAAUAUCACUCGAAGGUGGAGUUCUGAAUCACACAAGGACAGCACGUAUUUGCGCGUGUUCAAGAGUAGCUAAAGCUAGAUGUAAAACAAAACUCAAGUCGUAAACAAAAAGGACUCGGACUAAAUAAAGGGGGCGCAGCCCCUGGAGUCCGAAGGGGUCACGGCGCCCAACCCUAGGCGCCCCACCUGGGCUGCCCUGUUGGGCCAUCUUCUUAUUCCGAUGGGCCUUCGUUCCUUAACAGCAUGAUGAAGUUUAAUUCUCUCGCACAGGCUCGAGUGAUUGGCCCAACUGGAUAAGCAACUGUAGGCGCCUGAGGUGGAGGAGCAACUGGAGGCGCCUGAGGUGCUGCUGGUGUAGAUGUACUCGUGGUGUCCUCAUCAGACGGUUAUUUCAACAGCAACACUGGCUCGCUUGAGCCCAGAAACUCGCGACAAGGAGCAGGAGGGUAGAGAGGUUCAAGAGAGCUGGUGAUGAUCAAGAGGCAAGGGUCGGAAAGGAACUUAUGAUCUGAUCCUUGAACUAGAGGAUGUGGUAUACUAGGAAAUCCUCGGACGCAAGCGCUGAAGGGUUCCUAAAUUUUUACACAUACACCCUCGGGUUGAAGAAAAGAUCACAGCCGAGCCCUGGGGCGAGGCGGAUAAGGGUCGGCGGAACCGAUAGGGUCGGGCGAGGUGGGACCGGGGUCGGGCGGACAAGAGGGGUCGGGCGAAGCGGACUGGGGUCGGCAGCUUACCUUCUUCCUGAAAGGAAAGCUUGGGGUCGGAAAGAGGCAGACUUGGGCGGAGGGACUAAAGCUUUGAACAACAGCUAAGACCGGCAAUGCUCCGGCGGCGGCGAUGCUUCUUGCAGAUCACAAGUAAGCUUUUACGCAGCACGGAGGAGCAAGCGGCUGGGUGACUUGGAGAAAACUGAGGGAGAAGCUGAGAGAAGAGUUCCUCAAGGAACUUGGCGUGUGGCGCUAGGAGCUUGAGCAGGGAGCGAGAGAAUGGCUGAAGGCAACAAUGGCGGAGGGUACUCCGGCGGCUGGUGCAUUCCUUUUAUAGCUGCUGGAACGGAGAAAGGAAGCGGCGCGGGAGAGAGAGAAGGGGAUCGGCGUGAAGGCCGGGGAGAAGCAAUGAAGUGCUCUGCCGGGGCGGCGAUUGAGCGAAGAGGGCGGUGGUGCAGGACUCCGGGGGUGACGCCAGCGGUCAUUGGGUUCUGCCGUCAGGGCGGCGCAGGAGCGGGUAUGCCGGUGGUUGAGAUUUGGCGGAGGCGGGCGUCGCCGUGCGAAGGAUUUGAUAGAAGCGACCGGUUAAACGGCGCUAGAAUCGAGGGUGCACAGGUGAGAAGACAGGCAGCCGCGGGCGCGCGGGCGAGCGCGGAGCAAUAGAUUGUCGGGCGGCUUCUGACAGGGUGGGGAAAGGAGCUGUCGCUGCCGUGGUCGGGGUUGGCGGUGGAGGAAUCGUCGUGUAGCGGAGACCAGGCGGCGCGACUGUGUUCGAAGUGACGGAAAAGACGGGCGACAUCGGGCUCUGGGGCUGGGAUCUAGCAGCGUGAUGAUGGGCGCGGGAGGCGAGGCUCUGCAGAAAGGUUGCAGAGGGGCUUCCGCUGCCAUUGGGGAAGGGGCGCGAGAAUCCACUCGGUCGCGGGCCAGAGACAAAACUGAGCGGCGGCGUCGGAGAAGACGAGCCACGCGGUUUGGGAAGUGCUUGUUCAGGUACUCAUCCGUUUCCCAUGUUGCUUCAUCUUCGGUGUGGUUUCUCCAGAGGAUCUUGUACAUCUUUACCACUUGGCGUCGGGUAUGCCUUUCCUUCUGGUCAAGAACUCGGUCUGGGUACUCGGCGUAGGUCAGGUCGCGCUCUACCUGAAGCUGUUCUUGCUCUAAGAUUUUUGCUGGAACUCGGACACAUUUCUUUAGUUGAGACACGUGGAAAACAUCGUGUAUGGCCGAUAGUUGCUCUGGGAGUUGGAUCCUGUAAGCGACGGGUCCACAUAUCUCCACAAUCUCAUAAGGGCCAAUGUAACGGGGAGAUAACUUGCCUUUUACUCCAAACCGUUGUACUCCUUUGGUCGGGGAGACUCGAAGAUACACAUGAUCACCAAGGUUGAACUGCAGGGGUCUUCUCCGCCGGUCGGAGUAACUCUUUUGUCGAGAUUGGGCAGCCUUGAGAUUAGCUUGAAUUACCUUUACUUGCUCUUCGGCUUCUGCCACCAAGUCAGGGCCAUAGACCUGUCUUUCUCCUGUUUGGGACCAGUUCAAGGGUGUCCGGCAUCUCCGGCCAUACAGGGCUUCGAACGGUGCCAUCUUCAAGCUGGCCUGGUAGCUGUUAUUGUAGGAAAACUCUGCCAAGGGCAGACACUUGUCCCAAUUCUUGUCAUAGUGGAUGAAACAAGCUCUUAACAUGUCUUCGAGGAUCUGAUUGACUCUCUCGGUUUGGCCAUUGGUUUGAGGAUGAUAGGUUGAGCUUCGGAUGAGCUUGGUGCCCAUGGAUGCUUGUAGCUGUUCCCAAAAACGUGCCACAAACUGAACUCCUCGAUCAGAGACGAUGGUCUUGGGUACACCGUGUAGGGAAACUAUGCGGUCGAGGUACAACUCUGCAUACUGCUUGACUGUGUAGGUGGUGCGGACAGGAAGGAAGUGGGCGGUCUUGGUCAAACAGUCCACUAUUACCCAGAUUGAGUCACAUCGCUGUGAGGUAAGGGGCAAUCCAACUAUGAAAUCCAUGCUGAUGUCUUCCCAUUUCCAAGAGGGAAUAGGUAGCGGUUGCAGGGUACCUGCUACUUUUAAAUGACUGGCCUUGACGCGUUGACAGGUGUCACAUUCUGAAACAUACCGGGCAAUUUCCGGCUUCAUUCCACUCCACCAAAAGGUUUGACGGAGAUCAUGGUACAUCUUAUUGCUGCCAGGAUGGAUUGAGAACUUGGAGAGAUGAGCUUCGUCUAAGAUUUGCUUCCUCAGCUCGGGGUCGGCGGGUACUAUUAGUCGGUUUCCAUAAUGCACACCUCCAGUUUUGUCCUGCCGGAAUUGCUUAUAUCCCUCAUCCUUUACUGAGAUCUUCCUGAUGAUCCGUUGUAUUUCCUUAUCUCUUACUUGUGCUGACCGGAUUUGGUCUUCCAAAACUGAGUCAAGGGUGAUGUGACCAAGGGUUCCAUGGGGAAUAAUCUCCAAACUAAGUUUUCCCAUCUCGUGACACAGAGUCUUGGUGAAAGCUGUUGACAACAAGCAGUUGCAAUGGUGCUUGCGACUAAGGGCAUUGGCUACCACAUUGGCUUUGCCGGGAUGAUAGUGCACUUCCAAAUCAUAAUCUUUUAUCAGCUCCAACCAUCUUCUUUGGCGCAUGUUGAGGUCGGCUUGAGUGAAGAUGUACUUGAGGCUCUUGUGGUCGGUGUAGAUGUUGCAGUGGGUUCCCAUCAGGUAGUGUCUCUAUAUCUUCAAGGCAUGUAUCACUGCCGCUAGCUCAAGGUCAUGGGUUGGGUAGCUCAGCUCAUGAGGUCGUAACGCCCGUGAGGCAUAGGCAAUGACUCGAUUGUCUUGCAUAAGAACACACCCAAGUCCAGUGCCAGAGGCGUCACAGUAUACGUCAUACGGCCUAGAGGGGUCGGGCUGAGCCAAAACAGGGGCUGUGGUCAGCAAGUGCUUCAGGGUCUUGAAGGAUUCUUCACACUUGUCGUCCCACACAAAUUUGACCUCUUUCUUCAACAACUCGGUCAUCGGCUUAGCUAUCUUAGAGAAAUCCGGUAUGAAGCACCGAUAGUAGCCGGCCAGUCCAAGGAAACUUCUGAUCUGGUGCACUGAGGCAGGAGGCUUCCAUUCCAUGACUUCCUACACCUUACUGGGGUCAACGGCGAUACCAUCCUUGGAGAUAGUGUGUCCCAAAAACUUAACACUAUCUAACCAAAACUCACACUUGGAGAACUUGGCAUAGAGUUGGUGAUCUCUUAGCCGUUGGAGAACUACAUGAAGAUGGUCGGCAUGUUCCUCUUCGUUCUUCGAGUACACUAGGAUAUCAUCAAUGAACACUACUACAAACUUGUCCAGCUCGGGCAUGAAUACCGAGUUCAUGAGAUACAUGAAAUAGGCGGGUGCAUUGGUGAGUCCAAAGUGUGGGGAUACGAGGUAGGCUACGCUAGCGCAAAUCAAAAUUUCUACCGCGUAUAACCAGGAAGAACUGCCGUAUAGGGAUCACGGGAUUACCACUCGACGCACUACUGGUGCGGAAGAUGUAGAUAUGCGUCGGUGCAGUGAAGACGAUCACGUAGUCGUACGUAGUCGAUCAACGUAGUCGUACGUAGUCGAUCACAUCCAGCAGCUCCUCAGCAGCUCGUCCACGUGCACAGCAAGAUCGCCUCCGGUGCCGCGGCUCGUCGUCGGCUCGUCGUGGCUCGUCGGCGGCUCGUCGAUGGCUCGUCCAAGUGCUGCAGGCGCAACACCUCCAAGGUAUCCACACGUGCAGGGAGGAAGCGUCGCAAGCCGGAUUGCUAGAUCCGCGAGUUGCAACAGGCGAGGGCGUGGGAGGCGCGGCAAGUGUGUUCAGCCAAAAGGUGUGGAACCCUAGGGCGCCCCCACCCCUCUAUUUAUAGGGGUUCCUGAUGGGCCUCUGGAUCCGAGGCCCAUUAGUACUCCUAAACCUAAUCCAACUCGGAUCAAAUCCGAAUUGGGCUUCCAGCCCCUUAAGUGUGCGACCCUUUGGGUUCGGAUACGUAUAGACAUGGCCCGAGUACUCCUACUCGGCCCAAUAGUCGGUAGCGGCCUCUAGCAAGACGUGCCAACUCCUAUACGCACACGAAGAUCAUAUCAGACGAACCAUCACAACAUAAUAUACAUGCUAUUCCCUUUGCCUCACGAUAUUUGGUCUAGCUUCAAGCCGACCGCUCUUUCUCGAUCCUGUGAUUCGGAAUCCCUUUGUAGGUUAACUCUUAACCGUACGUAGCAUGGCCAUGCAUUUUCAGAUCCGAUCACUCGAGGGGCCCAGAGAUAUCACUCUCAAUCAGAGAGGGGCAAAUCCCUUCUUGAUUGACCAUGUCUCAUAGCAUGCUUCUUGACAAACCCGAAAGCUACCUUUAUAACUACCCUGUUACGGCGUAGCGUUUGAUAGCCCCUAAGUAGGUCAAUCCACAUCUAGAAUACAUACGACAAUCUCAGGUCUAAGGACAAAGCGUAUAUGUUGUUUAAAGAGAGAACUACUUCUCGUGUUGGGUCAGUCCUAACACAUGUCUCCACAUGUGUCCACAUUAUUAGUUCAACAUCUCCAUGUCCAUGACUUGUGAAACAUAGUCAUCAACUAAUACAUGUGCUAGUCUAAUAUUCAUGUGUGUCCUCACAUGAACUCCGACUAGGGACAACUUUAGAAUAACCAUACAAGUAAAGAGUUUCACAUACAAUUCACAUAAUUGCAAAUCAAUUCAAAUAGCCUUUAAUGGAUAUUCAAUGAACACAAUAUACAAAUCAUGGAUACAAAUGGAAUAUCAUCAUCUCUAUGAUUGCCUCUAGGGCAUACCUCCAACAGUCUCCCACUUGCACUAGAGUCAAUCUAGAAGGUACCUAAUACCCAUAGCUCUUAUAUGUGCAUCAUGCUUAGCCUGCGGGAGUGGUUUUGUCAACGGAUCAGAAAUGUUCAGAUCCGUGUGUAUUUUGCAUAUCUUGAUCUCACCCCGGUUAACGAAGUCUCGAAUGAGAUGAAAUCGCCGCAUUACGUGUUUGUUCUUCUGGUGGUUCCUUGGCUCCUUUGCUUGCGCAAUUGCCCCAUUGUUAUCACAGUAGAGAUUCAAUGGGCUGGACGCAUUCGGGAACACACCAAGCUCAAUGAGGAAAUUCCUUAUCCAAACACCUUCCUUCGCGGCUUCCGAAGCCGCGAUGUACUCGGCUUCUGUCGUAGAAUCGGCCACCGUCUCCUGCUUGGAACUCUUCCAACUAACAGCACCACCAUUUAGCGUGAACACAAAUCCUGAUUGUGACUUUGAAUCGUCUCUGUCGGUUUGGAAACUAGCAUCGGUGUAACCUGUUACAACGAGCUCCUCCUGACCUCCAUAGACGAGGAACAUAUCUUUAGUCCUUCUCAAGUACUUAAGAAUGUUUUUCACCGCUGUCCAGUGAAUCUCACCUGGAUCAGAUUGGUGUCUACUUGUCAUACUUAGCGCAUAUGAAACAUCUGGGCGAGUACUUAUCAUUGCAUACAUGAUAGAUCCAAUAGCCGAGGCAUAUGGCACUCUACUCAUGCGAUCCCGCUCAUCAGCAGUCGAAGGACACUGAGUCUUGCUGAGAUGUAUGCCAUGUGACAUAGGCAAGAACCCUUUCUUUGCCUCUUCCAUGCUGAACCGCUUCAACACUUUGUCAAUGUAAGUAUCUUGGCUUAAACCUAUAAGCCUUCUCGAUCUAUCUCUAUAGAUCUUAAUACCCAGAAUAUAUGCCGCUUCCCCUAAGUCCUUCAUCGAAAAACUAUUUUUCAGUGAAGUCUUUACGGACUCAAGCAUAGGAAUGUUAUUUCCAAUCAGUAAUAUGUCAUCCACAUAUAAGAUUAGAAAUACUACAGAGCUCCCACUAACCUUCUUGUAAACACAAGACUCUUCUUCGUUCUUGGUGAAGUCAAACCCUUUGACCACUUCAUCAAAACGAAUGUUCCAACUCCUAGAUGCUUGCUUCAAUCCAUAAAUGGAUCUCUGAAGCUUGCAUACCUUUCCAGCAUUUUUCGGAUCGACAAAACCCUCGGGCUGUAUCAUAUACACGUCCUCAGCUAGGUUUCCAUUCAGGAAAGCUGUCUUGACAUCCAUCUGCCAUAUCUCAUAAUCGAAAUAUGCAGCUAUAGCUAGAAUAAUCCGAAUGGACUUAAGCAUCACUACGGGCGAGAAGGUCUCGUCGUAGUCAACUCCUUGAACUUGUCGAAAACCUUUUGCGACAAGUCGUGCUUUAUAGAUGUGAACAUUUCCAUCCAUGUCCUUUUUCUUCUUAUAGAUCCACUUGCACUCUAUGGCUUUAACACCAUCAGGCGGGUCAACCAAGUUCCAAACUUGAUUGUCUCCCAUGGACUCUAUUUCGGAUUGCAUGGCACUCUGCCAUUUUUCGGAGUCUGGGUCCAUCAUUGCUUCUGCAUAUGUCGCAGGCUCAUCAUUGUCCAACAAUAAUAUUUCCCGCAUUUCGCGGAGCCUUGCCGACCUUCGUGGUUGUUGCGGUGCUUCUCUUGCCAUGGGCAUCUCAACUUGUUCUGCUACGUUAGCAUCACUCAUUGAUUCUUGCCCGAUUGGCUCAUCUUGAACUUCUUCAAGAUGCACUGUCUUUCCACUCUUUUCUCCUUUGAGAAACUCUUUCUCUAGGAAAACCCCGUUCCGAGCGACAAACACUUUGCCUUCUGAUCGGUUGUAGAAAUAAUAUCCCAAAGUUUCCUUUGGAUAUCCCACGAAAAUGCACUUAUCCGACUUGGGUGUGAUCUUGUCCGACUGAAGUCGCUUGACAAACACUUCACAUCCCCAAAUCUUUAGAAAAGACAAACUAGGAACCUUUCCAGUCCACAUCUCAUAUGGUGUCUUAACUACGGAUUUAGAUGGUACCCUAUUAAGUGUGAAAGCUGCUGUUUCUAGAGCGUAUCCCCAAAAUGACAACGGUAGGUCCGACUGGCUCAUCAUUGAUCGAACCAUGUCUAACAAAGUUCGAUUACGUCGCUCGGACACACCGUUUCUCUGAGGUGUUCCAGGCGGCGUAAGUUGUGAAACAAUUCCGCAACUCUUUAGAUGAUUGCUAAACUCGUGGCUCAAAUACUCGCCUCCACGAUCAGAUCGUAAGGCCUUAAUUUUCUUGCCACGCUGAUUUUCAACUUCAUUCUGAAAUUCCUUGAACUUUUCAAAGGUUUCAGACUUGUGCCUCAUCAAGUAGACAUAGCCAUAUCUACUAAAAUCAUCAGUGAAAGUUAUGAAGUAUUGGAAUCCUCCUCUAGCCGUCGUGCUCAUUGGUCCGCAUACAUCACUAUGUACGAGUUCCAACAAGUCUACUGCUCUCUCAGGAAAUCCUGUGAAAGGCGUCUUGGUCAUCUUGCCUAGCAAGCAAGCCUCGCAUGUCUCGUAUGAUUCAAAAUCAAACGAAGUUAGAAGUCCAUCAGAAUGGAGCUUCUUCAUGCGCUUAUCACUUAUAUGACCCAAACGACAAUGCCACAAGUAGGUAGGACUCAAAUCAUUAGGCCGAGGCCUUUUAGCACUUACAUUACAGACAGGUGAACCAUCAAGAUUUAAAACAAACAAUCCAUUCACAAUGGGUGCAAAAGCCAUAAACAUAUUAUUCUUAGAGAUCACACAACCAUUGUUUUCACUCGCAAAUGAAUAACCAUCCUUCAUCAAACAUGAAGGAGAUAAAAUGUUUCGACUUAAACUAGGAACAAAAUAACAAUUAUUCAACUCCAUAAUAAAUCCUGACGGGAGGUGGAGUUGCAUCGUCCCGACGGUCAAAGCAGCAACUCUUGCAUUAUUGCCCACGCGGAAAUCAACUUCUCCUCUUUCCACGCUUCUACUUCUUAUCAUUCCCUGCAUCGAAUUGCAAAUAUGAGCAACCGAUCCGGUAUCAAAUACCCAAGAAUUAAUAACUGUAUCAGCGAGAAAUAUGUUUUCUAUAACAUUAACAACAAGCGUACCUGAGGUAGAAGUACUCUUACUUCCGCCGUUCUUCAAGGAAGCUAGGUACUGCUUGCAGUUUCUCUUCCAGUGACCAAGUUCAUGACAGUAAAAGCACUCUUUAUCUGGAGCAGGUCCAGGUCCAGCUUUAGCCUUGGGCGGUGGGUUUGGCUUGGACGUUCCAGCCUUGCCCUUCUUCUUCCAAGAAUUGCCCUUCUUCUUAAAGCUGGGCUUGUUCUGUAUCGCCAUCACAUGGCUGGUACUAGCGCUUUUCUUAAUGUCAGCCUCUGCUGUCUUGAGCAUACCACACAGCUCAUUCAGACCCUUCUCCGUCCCAUGCAUAUGGUAGUUCGAGAUGAAGUUCCCAUAGCUAGCCGGAAGAGAGGAAAGAAUGAAAUCAGUGGCCAACUCUUGGCCCAGUGGGAAGCCUAGCUUCUCCAACCGUUGAGUGUAACCAACCAUCUUGAUUACGUGUGGUCCUACUGCUGCGCCUUCUGCUAGCUUGCUCUCAACAAAGGCCUUAGACACAUUGAACCUUUCAGUCCUGGCCUGUGUUUGGAACAUGUCUCUAAGCGCCACGAUCAUAUCGUGCGCCUCAUGGUUUGUUUCGAACUGCAUCUGCAGCUCGGGUUCCAUGCAAGCAAGCAUAAGGCAGCUUACUUCGAGGUUGGCAUCACAUGCUUUCUUGUAAGCAUUCUUAGCAGCGGCGGGUGCAUCCUCAGCAGGUUCUUCUGGUAGUGGGUUGUCUAGAACAUCUUCCUUUUUCUCAGCCCUGAGAACAAUUCUCAGGUUGCGGAUCCAAUCCGAGUAGUUUGUUCCAUUCAACUUGUCCUUCUCAAGGACCGAACGCAAAGCAAAAGAUGUGGUGGUGUUGCUAGGUGCCAUUUAAUCUACAACAAAAGUAAUGCAAAAUACACUAAGACAAACGUAUCCAUGAUAGAGCAAAUUACAUUAAACUAUUUUAACAGAAUCUACUCCCACUAAAAUCAAUAUCCCUCUAUUGAAACUUAGUGAUUCAGGAUCCACAACUAACAAGUCUACUAGUGAGCUUUAGCAUCACCGCUAGCAAACGAGGUAGGUCGGUAAGCAACUUUUGCUAAUCAUAUCACAUAUGACUCCUGUUGUUGGGUGACAUCUCUAUGUCUCGGCGCCCAACCUUUAUGCCCCAAGGUCCUUAACCGUUAAGAUGACCUCGUUAAGUUAACCAACCCUUAUGCGUGUAAGUGUCCGACACAAACCCGUCUAGUCAAGGAAAACUAGUGGCACUCUAAUUUCAUAGACCCACCACUAAUUGUACAAGACAUGGGACGGCGCAAGUUUUAGUUGGGAGGGCAUACUAACUUAAACUUUGUGAGGGAUCGUUCUACUUCUAACAUCACAGCAUGCAGAAAGUAAAACAUAAAACAGAAUAGCAUUCACACAGUUGUGACACAGUAUGGCCCGUUUUUCUUAUCUUAUGGUGAUCUCCAUCUCCAUAGAACCUGUUCACCAUGGUGAUCUCCAUCUCCAUGUUCCAUGUGCGCCAUCCUCCUGGUGAUGAGUCCUCCAAGAACUAGAGCAUGCUAUUACGCCUAAUAGCUAGUAAAGAAUCUAGUAAUAAAGAUUACAUAGUUGCUUGGAUCAUCACAGAUUGGUACGCAGACCAUUAAUUACAAUAAAGUGACAACACAUAUGGCUCCUGCCGUGUUGCCGUACGCGCGACACGCAGGUCACGAAUUAGUUACACACAUGCAUCACAUACACAAGGGGGCCAUACUGAUCACAAGAUAUAUACAUACAUCCUGCAAAAGAGAGUUAGGCGUCCUAACGUUCCAAACUUGGGAGGCCCGAAACUCCAUCUUCCAAGCCGAAUUUGGCAAAUCUAAUUUCGCCGAAAACGGCGAAGCGGUUGAAAUUCACGUGUAACUUUUUCUGUAGAUCAAUUUUCGUAUAGAAAUCGCCCCGAUCCGAGAUCGUACCGAAAAGUUACGGCUGAUUUACCGAAGCAUGCGCAUACGGCAAAAUCCCGACCCCGGCAGUAGAUCACAUCUACUAUAGCACAUCUAAUGCGCCUGGCGUAUGACCCUGGAUCUCGAUUCGACCAAUCAUAUUGAUCUUCCCUCACUGCAACUGGGUUUACGUGUAUCACUUAACUCCGAUGGCGGAAACCGACCGGUAGGAGUAUGUCGUUACACUACCAUUGCAGCAAGGGCACGAAAUCAGGACAUAGAUCAAACAGAGAACUCGCAUAUCUCCAUAUGCACACAUCCCGAAUCCAAAACUAAGCAGCUAAGGCUCUGAUACCACUGUGGGGAUACGAGGUAGGCUACGCUAGCGCAAAUCAAAAUUUCUACCGCGUAUAACCAGGAAGAACUGCCGUAUAGGGAUCACGGGAUUACCACUCGACGCACUACUGGUGCGGAAGAUGUAGAUAUGCGUCGGUGCAGUGAAGACGAUCACGUAGUCGUACGUAGUCGAUCAACGUAGUCGUACGUAGUCGAUCACGUCCAGCAGCUCCUCAGCAGCUCGUCCACGUGCACAGCAAGAUCGCCUCCGGUGCCGCGGCUCGUCGUCGGCUCGUCGUGGCUCGUCGGCGGCUCGUCGAUGGCUCGUCCAAGUGCUGCAGGCGCAACACCUCCAAGGUAUCCACACGUGCAGGGAGGAAGCGUCGCAAGCCGGAUUGCUAGAUCCGCGAGUUGCAACAGGCGAGGGCGUGGGAGGCGCGGCAAGUGUGUUCAGCCAAAAGGUGUGGAACCCUAGGGCGCCCCCACCCCUCUAUUUAUAGGGGUUCCUGAUGGGCCUCUGGAUCCGAGGCCCAUUAGUACUCCUAAACCUAAUCCAACUCGGAUCAAAUCCGAAUUGGGCUUCCAGCCCCUUAAGUGUGCGACCCUUUGGGUUCGGAUACGUAUAGACAUGGCCCGAGUACUCCUACUCGGCCCAAUAGUCGGUAGCGGCCUCUAGCAAGACGUGCCAACUCCUAUACGCACACGAAGAUCAUAUCAGACGAACCAUCACAACAUAAUAUACAUGCUAUUCCCUUUGCCUCACGAUAUUUGGUCUAGCUUCAAGCCGACCGCUCUUUCUCGAUCCUGUGAUUCGGAAUCCCUUUGUAGGUUAACUCUUAACCGUACGUAGCAUGGCCAUGCAUUUUCAGAUCCGAUCACUCGAGGGGCCCAGAGAUAUCACUCUCAAUCAGAGAGGGGCAAAUCCCUUCUUGAUUGACCAUGUCUCAUAGCAUGCUUCUUGACAAACCCGAAAGCUACCUUUAUAACUACCCUGUUACAGCGUAGCGUUUGAUAGCCCCUAAGUAGGUCAAUCCACAUCUAGAAUACAUACGACAAUCUCAGGUCUAAGGACAAAGCGUAUAUGUUGUUUAAAGAGAGAACUACUUCUCGUGUUGGGUCAGUCCUAACACAUGUCUCCACAUGUGUCCACAUUAUUAGUUCAACAUCUCCAUGUCCAUGACUUGUGAAACAUAGUCAUCAACUAAUACAUGUGCUAGUCUAAUAUUCAUGUGUGUCCUCACAUGAACUCCGACUAGGGACAACUUUAGAAUAACCAUACAAGUAAAGAGUUUCACAUACAAUUCACAUAAUUGCAAAUCAAUUCAAAUAGCCUUUAAUGGAUAUUCAAUGAACACAAUAUACAAAUCAUGGAUACAAAUGGAAUAUCAUCAUCUCUAUGAUUGCCUCUAGGGCAUACCUCCAACACAAAGGACAUGACUAGGUACUCGUACAGUCCAUAUCUGGUAGAGAAAGCUGUCUUGGGUAUGUCGCAGGGUCGGAUCUUGAUUUGGUGAUAACCAGAACGAAGAUCGAUCUUGGAGAACACUUUUGCUCCGGCUAACUGAUCAAACAAGACAUCAAUGCGUGGCAGUGGGUACUUGUUCUUGACGGUCACAGCAUUGAGGGGUCGGUAAUCCACACACAUACGUAGACUGUCAUCCUUCUUCUUCACAAACAGGGCAGGGCAACCCCAAGAUGAUGUGCUUGGUCGGAUGAAGCCUUUUUCCAACAGGUCAUGCAACUGGAUCUUCAACUCGGCUAACUCAUUGGGUGGCAUCUGAUAGGGUCUCUUAGAUAUUGGUGUUGUGCCAGGGAUCAACUCUAUGGAAAACUCCACUUCUCUAUCAGGGGGCAUACCCGGCAAGUCUUCCGGAAACACGUCAGGGUACUCACAGAUAACAGGGAGGCCUUUUAGACGGGCUCCCGAUAGAGGGUAGGCACAAGGAGGUGUAGACUUAGGAUGCUUCAAGGAUAAGACAGAACUGCCAUGGAAGGGUGAGCUGAUGUAGAGGGAUCAGGCUGCUGUAUCUAGAACCACAUGAUGUCAGGCCAUCCAAUCCAUACCAAGGAUGACAUCUAUGCCCUCUAGGUCAAGGAUGAUAAGGUUUUCCUUGAAAAGGGUGGGGCCUAGCUGGAGAGGUACAAGAGUAACAAUCUGAUCCGAUGUUAUCUUUCCUUCAGGAGUGGCGAUCACAUAAGUUUCCUUAGUGUGACCGACAUCCAGCUCACAUCUUUCCCUAGCCUUACUCCCGAUAAAGCUAUGAGAGGCUCCCGAAUCAAACAGCACAACAACAGCUUGAUUUAAAAUAAGGAAAGUACCCGUCAUUACUGGCGCACCUUCGGGGAGCUCGGUCAAGCUGGUGUAGUUGAGUCGGCCUUGUCGUACUUGCACCUUGGGCCUUCUUCCUCUGGCUGCCAUGGGGUUCUGACCUUGCUGUUGAUUCUUGUUCCUGGGGCAGUCCUUUGCAAAAUGCCCUUCAUUGCCGCAGGUAAAACAACGGCUACUGGCUGCCGGGCGGGGUGGUGCUGGCAGGGUCGGCCGGGGCACCUGCGGUUGGAGGCCUGGAAAACGAGGCGCUGUUACUGGCGGGGGUCGGGCAAUCCACCUUCCUGACUGUUGGGGUCAGCCAGGGGCUUGUGGAGGAACCAUCCGGAACCUUCGGGUCGGCUGACUCGGAAAUGCCACGGAGGCUUUCCUCUUCUGGUCGGCCUUGAGAGCUUGCAUGCAAUCCUCUUGAGAGAUGGCCAGAUUGACCAACUCAUUGUAGGUGUCCACCUUGAUGGGGUUCAACCUUUCCCUGAGCUCCAAGCUCAGUCCUCGGCGGAAUCUGUCCCGCUUCUUCUCGUCUGUGUCCGCAUGGUAGCCGGCAUAACGGCACAGAUAGUUGAAAGCUUGAGCGUAGUGCAGCACAUCUCGGGUUCCUUGGGUAAGGGCCAGAAACUCAUUGAGCUUGCGCUCCAAGAGACCUUCUGGAAUGUGAUGCGCCUUGAACGCCGUCUUGAACUCAUUCCAACUGACUACAUGGCCAGCCGGCAACAUGGCAUGGUAGUGAUCCCACCAAAGCCGUGCGGAGCCACGCAGCUGUUGAGCUGCAAACCGAGCCUUGUUGUUGUCGGGGCAUGGGGCGGUGAGAAGCUCAAACUUGGAUUCGAUCGUACGAACCCAGGCAUCAGCAUCGAGCGGUUCUUGUGUCUUUUGGAACAAAGGGGGCUGUGUCCCCAGAAAGUCCUCAUACCGAGCGAUAUGCGGCUGCUGCUGAGCCCUUCCACCAUGGGGCUGUUGCUGUUGCCCUUGUACCAGAUGCCUUAGCAGCUCAGUUUUAGUUGCUAGGAUUGCCUCCAGUGGCGAUGAGGGCAGGGGCAGGGGAAGAUCCUGUCGCUGUUCGCUACUGCCGGGCACAGAACCAGACCUGGUGCGGUGCGCCAUCUGCAAGAGUUAACGCUCCAUUAAAUUCAUAACCUUAGAUGUACUCCAACAAAUGGAUCGCAUAAUUUAAAUUCUCCAAUGCAACUCUUGCCAAUGGUGCAACACACAUCCUCAUAUGGAAAACAUUUUUCUCAUUCUCAGUGUAGAUAACAUUUAUCUUGACCUGGUACUCAACUUCAGGCAAAACAUGUCAUAUACAGACCCCUAUGAUCCAACUCAAGCCAAGGGGUCGGGCUAGGCGAUCCUUCCGAGAAAAAGGGGUCGGCAACGAUCCAUACUUAAAAAGGGUCGGACGAGGCGGAAACUGCCUCAAGGGUCGGCGCACUCGGUCUCACAAACUGGGGUCAGCCAACUGAACAGGCUCCCCGAAAACAGCAUAUGGUCAUGGCGCAACUCACUUAGCCUAGCAUCCAACACUGUGCAAGGAUUAAAGGCCAGACACCAGAAUUGACUUUAUAUACAACGGUGUUCCAAUCACAGGGAGUACUCGACUCAAGGCUAACCUAUUACAACCUUUUCAAAAUUUAGGCUGCUAAGGAGUACAACAAAAGAAUGAUUCCCUGAGAACCCUCAAUCUACCAAUGGACACUAUGAGUAGGAGAAGGGGCGCCAUCUUCCUCGAUAUCCAUGCUGGACGCUCCUUCGUCUUCCUCAGGGUUGUCUUGAGCUUCGAGCUGCAUGUGGAGGGCAUGCAUAUCAUCGAGCUCAGCUUGAUGCUCCUCCAAAUGGGCAUUGGCAACUGCCAACUCCAUUUCUAUCUCCAUCUUCUCCUCCGAUAGCUCUAUCAUGCCGUCCACUAGGUCGGCGACUUCUCCCUCAAGCUCGGAGAUCCGGUCUUGCAUGUCGUGGAUCUGGAUACCCCGUUGAAUAAGCUGGUAGGUUUGGCCUACCAUAUCUCUCCUAGCUGCCUGGAGGUACCCGUGAGCAUCCGCUGCUGCCCGGGCGAAGAGGGUCAUAGCUCUCCCUUGAAGCUCUAUCAGUCGGUAAAGAGCUGCCAUGCACCUGAUAUUGGUGGAGAUGGUGACCAUGGCGCAUGUGGUGGCUAGCACCUCAAUAUUCCCGACGCGGUCGAGCCAUGCCGGGUCCAGCCGGUUCCUGACGGGGAAAGGCCGAUCGGGUCGAGCGUGAUCUCCAAGGGAUGCAGCUGGCAGAACUGGGUGAGAAGCUGGAGGGCGGCAGACUCCCAUGUGUCCUCAGGAGCAAGGCCAUAGGCUAUUAUGCCGAAAGAGGGCCAGUCGGGCCGCACAGGGGGAGGAGGUACCACCGCCUGCACUUGGCACGUCUGGAUACCCUGCUCCAGAUAUAGCCGUCCGACGUACAAGGGUGGGGACUGGUACCCAAACCACUUCAACGUGUCCCACAGAAUCGCGGGAAAUCCCUCGAAAUGCAGACAUGUCGACUGGAAAGUACCAUCCGCUCCAAAAAGAACAUGCCCGGGAACAACCAUCUGGAACCAAGAAACCGAAACCACGUGAGAUGGACUCCAAGGGUCAGGGGUCGGAUAGAGAAGCAUUCGGUUGUAACCGAGAGCAACUGAAAGAAACUAGAAAUCCUUAGAUCCAAAAAGAACUCCUCCGAACAAGGUUGCUGUUGAGAAGGAAACCUUACAGCUUUCUAGUUAUGACGCAUGCACGGCCUACCUUACACUUAACCCAAAACAACUGCCCGAAACCUUGGGUCUUAUGCGGUCAGUGCCGGUGACAAGGCAACAAUUACGUCUCUCCCUAUAAUAACUAGACGGUUCUAACAACGUGUCCUAAACGAACGCGGUUAGCGUACCUGCAGAAAACACCCACACACGAACCUUUCGUGCCAGCACCCACGAAAGCGUUCCCAAACAUUACCGCUCACUAUAGGAACGGCACCCAUGCGUUUAAGGCUGCAUGGACAGCACUCAACCGUGGAAAUAGGUUCCCUUUGAAUGGAACCAUAUAACCCUUCGCAUACUCGUGAUGCGGAAUCAGCACACGUAUGACAAAUGUGGCGAACCAACCGUGCUGAUAGGUUCGUUGGAAUCGAACCGUACCAACCUUCGUAUGGAGUACAUACGGAACCUGCCACGUGUGAUAGACGUGGGCGAGAACAACCACGAUGAUAGGGUCCUUUGAAUAGAACUCCCUAUCAACCUUCGCAUGCUCGUGAUGCGGAACUCGGCACACGUAUGACAAACGUGGCGAAGUGCUGGAGGGGUUACUAAGAUAACCAAAUAAUUAUUAGUCACCUAAAACAACCCCAAAAUCCCCUAGGGCCUCUCGCACUAAAACCAUCCUUAACGAUCGUACGAGAUUUUUCAAAAAGUUUCUUGCAACUUUUAUCUCUUAAAGAAGUGUUUAGGGCUUGUCGUGUUCUCUGUACUGCUAAAUCGGCUCUGGUACCAGCUGUGGCGGAUCCACUUCGGAUUAGCUUGAUUAAACAGGGUUAAGCCGCCUAACAUGCGACACUCCUGCCUAAGCCAAGUUAACACGAAGUGCCGUCGGAUUCAUCCGAUAAACCACUUGAACAGGAUCGAGUUAGCAACCUCACACGAAGGUGAGUGGUUCCAGAGAAUACAACGAGUCCACUGAGUUAAAAAAAUUUAACCAUUUAGUUCGGCCAUAAAAACCAACAUCAGAGUUUUACAAGGUUCAAAAGAAAACAACAGAGGUAAACACUAGCGGAAGCAAUCGUCGGGGUCGGAUGUCCUGGUGAGGCGAGCCGGGACAUCAUUGAUUUCUCUCCUCGCCGUCCGAGGAGGGAUCCCACUCGACCGUCCAGCCCGGCGGAAGCUGGGGCGGCCAAGCGCCAACAAGAGAGGGGUCGGGAGCAACAGCUUCACCUGAAAAACAGGAGCCACAACAAGGCUGAGCUACUAAGCUUUACAAGACUUAACCGAUAGGAGUGAAACCACUCCACACUUCUAGACAUGCAGGGCUUUUUGGCUGAGGGGGUUUGUUUGCCAAAAGCACUAAGUAAAACCCUAUUUUCAAGUUUUAGCUCCGGUUCUAAGUUCAUUAGCCGGUCUAGGUUUUGCAACUUAUUCUAAGCAAUCAUAGAGCCAAACAAGAUGUGUAGAUAUCUCAACAAACAUGUCAUCAUCAGAUUCCUCAUUUACUCAGGGUGACAUAGCGAUCAAGCAAUCUCAAGCUGUGAGAGGCAGACGAAUCGAUUCGAGUUCUUUAACCAUGCAUGGUGAACCUAGCCUCACGACAUCCGCGCACCCGGAGGUCGCUUCCUGUGUCGGCCUUCCCCAUCAAUCCCCUAACCCGUGUCAGGCCUAUUUCCUUUGGUGCAAGGUUCCACAGACCCGGCCUCUGCCGUUCUGUGACCACGCUUGCCACAACGUGCGACAUCCAGCAGGGGAAACUCCGUUCCAAGAACAAUGGGGCGACCGCUCACGUCUAGGUUCAAUCCGGUACUAGGCUUCCUCAUCCCAUACUAAGUAUGAGGCUAGUACUUUCAAACACUUGAUCACGAACACCACCACUGUCGGGCCUUAGCAAGUUUUCAUAGACAGACGGGGCAACCAUCUGACCACCAAAGAGUUACCAAAACCCUGCCCCGUCCAUCGUCCUUAUAGUUAUAACAGAAAGGGUAGACAUGCAACUCCUACAACUCGCGAGUGACAGGAAAUCACUCGGCUUUUACCGUCUUCUAGUUAAGCAAGGCAACUACUCGGUCCAACAGCUAGUGCUCAGAUCAUGGGGAUAACUAAGUCAUGCAUCUAGGGUUUCAAACAACUCCUAUACGUAAAUGCACAAGCAUGUUACAGAAGGCAUGCGCAAGUUUGGAAACAACGCAGGGUUUUCAUGCAACCGGGGCUUGCCUUCGAGCAAAGAGGAGGAGAACUGCUCGACUUCUGGGGCGGCUUCGGCUUCAGCGGGCAGGAGCUCAGCUACAGCUUCGUCUUCUGGCGCCGGGUGUAGCUCGUAGAAGCCGUCAGCGAGGUGCAGCUCUACACGAAUGCAAGGCAAGAGUUAGCAUAGACGGUUAUUUCAACAGCAACACUGGCUCGCCUGAGCCCAGAAACUCGCGACAAGGAGCAGGAGGGUAGGGAGGUUCAAGAGAGCUGGUGAUGAUCAAGAGGCAAGGGUCGGAAAGGAACUUAUGAUCUGAUCCUUGAACUAGAGGAUGUGGUAUACUAGGAAAUCCUCGGACGCAAGCGCUGAAGGGUUCCUAAAUUUUUACACAUACACCCUCGGGUUGAAGAAAAGAUCACAGCCGAGCCCUCGGCGAGGCGGAUAAGGGUCGGCGGAACCGAUAGGGUCGGGCGAGGCAGGACCGGGGUCGGGCGGACAAGAGGGGUCGGGCGAAGCGGACUGGGGUCGGCAGCUUACCUUCUUCCUGAAAGGAAAGCUUGGGGUCGGAAAGAGGCAGACUUGGGCGGAGGGACUAAAGCUUUGAACAACGGCUAAGACCGGCAAUGCUCCAGCGGCGGCGAUGCUUCUUGCAGAUCACAAGUAAGCUUUUACGCAGCACGGAGGAGCAAGAGGCUGGGUGACUUGGAGAAACCUGAGGGAGAAGCUGAGAGAAGAGUUCCUCAAGAAACUUGGCGUGUGGCACUAGGAGCUUGAGCAGGGAGCGAGAGAAUGGCUGAAGGCAACAAUGGCGGAGGGUACUCCGGCGGCUGGUGUAUUCCUUUUAUAGCUGCUGGAACGGAGAAAGGAAGCGGCGCGGGAGAGAGAGAAGGGGAGCGGCGUGAAGGCCGGGGAGAAGCAUUGGAGUGCUCUGCCGGGGCGGCGAUUGAGCGAAGAGGGCGGUGGUGCAGGACUCCGGGGGUGACGCCAGCGGUCAUUGGGUUCUGCCGUCAGGGCGGCGCAGGAGCGGGUAUGCCGGUGGUUGAGAUUUGGUGGAGGCAGCGCGACUGUGUUCGAAGUGAUGGAAAAGACGGGCGACAUCGGGCUCUGGGGCCGGGAUCUGGCGGCGUGAUGAUGGGCGUGAGAGGCGAGGCUCUGCAGAAAGGUUGCAGAGGGGCUUCCGCUGCCAUUGGGGAAGGGGGCGCGAGAAUCCACUCGGUCGCAGGCCAGAGACAAAACUGAGCGGCGGCGUCGGAGAAGACGAGCCACGCGGCAGGAAGACUCUGAAGCGGGCAUGCAACUCGAGUGCGCCUGUCGCGGAGGAUCUGGGGAAAAAGAUCUCGCGGGUCCACCGGGCGGAUAGAACGGACGUUUGAGGAAGACUUAGAAGGAUCCGACGGUUAACUGGAUUUGCCGGGGUCGGGAUCGGAGCGAAGCGGGGAGGGGGUCGGGUCUCAGGGGUCGGGAUCGGCCUGAAGGCUGAGCACUCAGGCGCGGUAAAAACAAGGCAGAUGACUAUGAUCAAGGGCUUCGAUUAAGAUUAACUUGGGAGAUUAGGGGUCGGUCGUCACAUUACUGGGACAAAUUUGUCCAAUCACGACCUGCAAAAGCAAGUUUGCAGCUAGUCAAGGAGUUAUUUAACGCCUACUUAUUGGACAACUAUGUCAAUGCGGCUUGCAAAGAUGAGUCACCACUUCUUCAGGGAUUACCUAAUCACCUGACAAACUACUCAUUAGGUUAUUUAGCCUAAGUCAUGACUCGUAUAAACAAGACCGUAUUUCUUGGCUUUCCAGAGCGUAACAUCAAUACAACUCAGAGAGGUUGUAAAGAUAGGCUCUAGUUGUCGAAACCCUAAAGAGACCUCUAUUAAAGAAGUCUACACCCUAGACAACUUGAGCACUCGUGCACCGCAACAAUGGAGCACAUAAUAAGAGUACUCACAACUAGUGCCUAAUGAGUCUCAUGAGAGAAGCCUUGUGCGCAGACACUUACAUCAAAGAAACCUUGUAAGAUGCACUAAAACAAGUCAAAAGCAGCAGAGAUUGCAACAAUACUUAGAAAUAUUUACAUUACAAAGCAUUCAUAUUAUGUUUUCAAUAUAGAACUAAUGUUUGCUUUAAUACAGAACUACUCAAGGACCAGAUGAUUGGCUACUUCUUUUGCAAUAGGGUCUAUCUCCUACAAGUUCUCCUGAAAGAGUUCGUCAGAGCAACCCUCUGUUAUAGCCUCUGCAACAAGAGUCAAAUCAGCUUGAGGAUAGAAAGACUUGACGAAGCUCAGCAGUUGCUUGGAGACAGACUUCGCCAUCUUCUGAAUAUAGCCGGUGAAUUUCCCUAGCACGUCCCUGAGUACUUCAGAUAGAGGAUGGGGCACUACACCCUCAACUAGAGGAUCCACCAUAUCCACUAUUGGCUAGGCCGCUUUGGAUAUCUCCUUAAGAGCGAGUUUGGAAGUUUCCAGCGCAGUUUCGCGCUCUCGAAUGGUCUUCAUGGCAUUAACUAGAUCAACCCUGCCAUCCUCACGCAUCCGCGUCUCCUUCUCCAGAUCAUGCUCCAACUUCUCAACAUAACGCACCAGCUUGUCAUGUUGAUCUGUCACCCGAUAGAAAGCAUUGUUCCAAUCGGUGAUUGAUGCUUGAAGCUCUGGUUCCAAUUUCUUAUAUUCUGUGCAACAUUAGCAUGGGGUCAGCAAGAUCAUUAGACAAUCAGUAGUCGAAAGACAUCAAAGAAGAGGAGACUACCUUAAAUUUUCUGAUUGAGAGACUUAUUGUGAGCAACAAGACGAUGGUUUUUAUCCUCCAGAUCUUGAAUCCGACUUCGAAAGGCCGCUGUCAUGCUGUCGUGCUUCAUCAUCAAGAGGGAAGUAUACAAUUUGUCCUUGGCAAGCUCUUUCUCCAGUGCUUCAGCAAGAGUACGGUAUCACCAUACCCUUUGAGCAUCUCUGACUUGCGAUGGGAGUGAUUGAUCAAGUCCUGGAACUCAGAAAUUAGUACUUGAACCAUCAAAUGAGUACAAGCUAGAAAAUAUUGCGCCAACAAAUUAAGGCAUAUUCAACUCAACUCCUCAUAAGUGCCGAGAUGAUGGUGCAUCUCCAUGAUAGUAGCUAUCAUCUUUGGGUUCAGCAGUGGAUCAUCAAUCAGUUGGAUGUCCUCCAGAGUCAUCUUCCUAUUAGUGCUAGUCCCAGCUUCCACGCUUGCAUGAGGGACCAUCUCAAGACUUGUCGACGUCCCCACCUGGGAAGAUGCAUUGACAGCCAUGGCAUCAAGAGUUGUUGCCGCCUUGAUUUCUAUCUCUAGCCCAGGGGCUACAUCUGCAGCCAUAGCGCUAGAGGUAGUCGUCACUUCACUAGCAAUCCAUUACUCGAGGGCUGUAGAAGUAGUUGCCACAUCCACAAUAGCUCGUGCUUCCUUGGGUACUUGAUGCUCGAAGGUCGAGAUAUCAAUAUUGGUCGCUGCACGAGAAGAAGCCAUUACAUUUUUAGGUACUUGUUGCUCGGGGGCUAGCACUACAACAUCAGUCAAAGAUGAUAUGACAUCUCGCAUGAACACUACUACAAAUGAUACAGCACAUGGACUACUAGUUGUCGUUGGGUAUUCCUCUGGCAGCAGAUUUUCUUGGGCCGUGGCAGCAUACUUGACUGAAGGGCCAUCGCCACCAGUCACGGGUCUUGAGCCAAACUCUCCAAGUUCCAUAUCAGAGGAUUUUUUGUAUAAGAUAAAGCUUUAGAGACACAACAAGUUGAUUAUGAGCCACAAAUAGUGCUCAAAAAGAACAUGUAGAUUAUCUUGACGAUCUCCUCAGCUUUAGUGUGGGUUCUCCAAACAACCGCAGUGGCUUGAUAAUGGGAGAUGGUGCUUUUGGCACGGCCUACACAUCUAGAAUAGGAUCUCGGCUUACUUUGAGCUCCGCCUCUGUUGCUUGAGUUGUAUCUGCGCCAGUGGGGUUCAUCACCUGAGGAUCACCCUACAUAUUGAGGCUCUAGAUCAUCCUCAAUUUCAAUUAGCGAUUUGUUUUGAGCAACUACAGCAGACACCUUCUCCACUUCAGUCACCUCUUCGAGUACCUGCAACCCAUCAAUAUCAUCUCGAGUAGGCAUGGUGGUGGUGCUGUAUAUACCUUGCAGGAGUACAUGAUCCUCAGGAUCCUGUCCUUCUUCAAAAGUAAUUGUCGUGGGAGGCACAACUUCUAUGGUUACAGACUUCUUCACGAGCUUCUUCCCAACUACAAACCAUUUCUUCUUUGGUGGCAGAGGAAUUGCAGCUUCAAGCUUAGCAUCAGCUGAGCGCUUCCUCAAUCCAGAGGAUGACCCAGCCUUAGCAGAUGGCCGGGCCUUGACUUCAAUGUCCUCUGAGGAAUCGACACUGGUGUUGCUGGAGGCCUUGAGUACUUCCUCUUCCUCAUCAUCAUUCCUUGUGCUUUCCUCCAUAAACACGCGAAGAGUAGGUUCGCAAGUAAUGUCCGAUCCAGGAGCAGGAGGAGCAAAGAAAUAAAGCUGAAGGCUACUCUAACUCCAGUGAGCCCUUCUUACUGCAGCUUGGCUAUUCUAUCAAUGAGAUCGGGUAAUUGGAGGCAAUCCCCAUGUGUAGGCUCAUCAAGCCACCGGUUGUUCCAGGAGGGGCGAUGCCCUGUCAGCUUUGGUAGUUUUGGAUCAUGAUUGCCAAUAUAGCACCAUUUUUCCUUCCACCUAACAUUGGAGUCUAUCAACUCAUAAUCUAGAUACAAGCUACUGAGUUUCUCCCGCAUCUGGAUACCGGCACCUCUGACUAUUUGAGUGUGCUCCCUCAUCGGUUGCGGCUUUACAUAGAAAAUUUUUCGAAAUAACUAGAAGUGGGGCCUGAUUCCCAGAAAAGCUUCAUAGAAGUGAACAAAAAUGGUAGUAUGGAGAAUUCCAUUAGGGUUCAGAUGAACCAACUCUAACUUAUAGUAAUCUAGAAGAUCCCAGAAAAAGUCGGAUGUUGGCAAUAUAAGACCACGCUCGAUGAAGUGAGCGAAAAUUACCGUUUCAUUGAAGUGUUCCUCUAAUGGCCAUGGAUUGCUGUAGGUGGAUCUCCAACUAAUGAAGUCUUGAUUUUGGAGCAGUUUGGCGGCCACAAGCGCCUUGAUCUCCUCUUAUUUUAAGGAUGACCGCGUCCAAGCGCAAGCGGGAGUGGGUGGCGCCGUUUAAUCGGUCUUCCCAUACUUGGGUGCAGGUAACUUCGGCUCUUUCUUCUUGUCGGAUCUCUUAUUCUUCUCUGCAUCAGCAGUCUCGGAUCCAAUAGCUUUCCUUGCUUGAUGUCACGAGUGUUUUGUCUCGCAUACGCUCGGGGGCUGCGAGGUUGGAGGUGGCGGCGCUAGUGUUCAAAGAUCAAACAGUGGUGGCGACGCUAGGGAAAUAGCGCAAAAGAUGGAAAGGUGAAUGACAAAAGUGAAACAGAAGGGAUAACUUCCUUCGUUAUUUAUAACAGUGGUAGGUAACAACUGCUCAAUUAAAGGGAUUUCAAUUUAAAGGAUUCCUAGAAUCUCGGACACCUGAUUGGCAGUUACCUUUAUUUUAGGAGGAGAUAAGAUCUCUUCCUAGAGAUGGCCAUAUUGACCAAAGGUUGACCCUUAUACCCACCAAACUUGUCGGCUAAAGGCUCAGGGGCUAUGUGCCAUGUGUCCAUCGAUAAAAAAAAAAUUUCUCCAGGUUUUAAGUAGAAAGUGAUGCAUAUUACAGAUUGAUUCUCAACCUGAUUCUUUGAUUCAACCUAAGGCUUAGGGGCUCCUCCAUAUGGAGUGCAACAAGUCGCACUUCUAUAUAAAAUUCAAGGUUGAAGGAUACGAGACUAUGUUAAAUGAGGCUUGAGCACAUUCUAGACGCAUGACAAUUUUUUGGUACCUUUGAAGAUUCAACCAAAUGGAGUACUAGAAGAGUACCAAAACUAGUUGGUGAAGUCUACAAAAGUACUUAGAACUGCUGCAUUUGACUAAAAAGUACUCAGGACUUGUCGUACAUACAUCUAUGAGCCCACCAGAAGGUUUGGACAGUCCUAAAUAUAGGGCUGGAUACCGAGACGCAUCUGAUAUGGAGACCAUGACGCAGGACGGCAUAGUCUAUAUGGAAAGAUAGGAACUAGUCGGGGAUUAGGAAAGUACUCGUUGUAAUAAGAGUAGAACUCUUCUAGUCGUAUCCGACUAAUAUUCUUGUAACCAACCAACAUGUAACCCUGCCCCCGGCAAUAUAAGGUGAGCUAGGGACCCCCUCCAAGGCAAUUCAAUCCAACCAACACACAAGAUGUAGGGUAUUACACAAUCUAGCGGCCUGAACCUGUCUAAAUUGUGUGUCUGCGUUACCUUCGAGUUCCUAAUCUCGACGAGCCUCGCUAACCAAAACACUACCUCGGGGACCCAACUCGGUAGGUUACCGGGUCUAAACACCGACACCAAGAGGGCGUGAAACCACGAUUGCAAGGGUCAAACCUGUGCUAAACAGAAGUAUAUAUGUGGAGCUUGGGAGGCCAUAUAAGGAUUAGCAAUAAUUCAAUUCAGAAAUGGCAAAACUGAAAAAUCAGUCCCAAGCUAGCCUAUGUCACCGGACUAAACUUGUCUCGGACCUAGUCCAAGCAAGCAACAAUACAACUCAGCACAAGAACUCAAAACGAUGCAUGCACAUCUGAAUUUUGCUCGUUUUCUCUUCUUUUAGUUUUCUAUUUUCUUUCUUUCUUUUUUUUAUGGUGCGGCUUUUUUUUCUUUUUUAGCACCUCUUUGCCUUUUGCUCUUUUUUUAACUCAGAAAUUGCUGCAAUGCACCACGUAGAACACAAAGUGGCCUAGCAAGCUGUACAAGUGCAUCUCAACUUCUCUUUGCCAGCAAGGACAUGUACAGCAAAGCUUAUGUAUGAUAUAAGAAAUAGUAGGCAACACCUGAAUCAAAUAUGCAUGCUAAGCUUCCUGCACGAAGGAUCUCCUUGGUUUAGAAAAUUUCUAGCAAACAAGGAAACACGAUAUUAUAUUGGAUCUGCUGAGAUAUACAGUUCUAACAUGGAGAUCUACAAGAGAGAUUCUGCUCGGCUGAUUAGAUCAUCAAAUAUUAAACUUCUAAAAGUAACGCAAAACAAAAUCCGAACCCUAUUGUGGCGGCAGCUACUGAAUAUAUGAGGGUUAGGUCGUGCAUGAGCCCCUGGACACGCCCCCAUGGGCUCCAAUACGAUACACGGACCAACGGCCAAAAGAUGAUGGUGCAACAAGCCUGACUAAUUCUGGACGUCCACUUGUUUCGAUGAUUUCUAUUGACUCCCAUGUAAUUUGGACCUGAUACCGGUGCCAUUGAAAAGCUUAUCUCCUUAACUUUGCAUGGAUAUAUAAAACGCCCAAAACGGAAUCCUUAUGUGACCUAGGCGUCAUUUUUUGUGUGGGCUGCUCCUGGACUCCGAGAUGGACUCAAACUUUGAUUUGCUUUGAGCCUCCACUUUGGGGACUCGAACCAGAUGAGAUUUGGACCUCCUUCUCCAUUUGGACAGCCUUGUUGGUCUCCUCCGUCUCCAUUGCAUUCUCUAAGAAUGUCCGUAUGUAUACGUGGCAUGUCCUCAUCACUCGUUGUGUCUCAUUAACUCUUCCCUUGCAACGUGACAACCGGUUUUCUCGGAGAGUAAUAUCUAUCCCAUAGGUUAUUGGAACAACAAGAUCCACCAAGAAGUCUACUCCCUUAUUUUAAGUUCAACCCCUGGACAUAGAAAUUUUUCCUUUUCUUCUCCAUCAUGAAGGGUAACAAGCAUUGGUUGCGUCAUACGAUGUUUAGUUAACCAAUGUGUCUCAACCAAUUUGGCGUUGAUGAAGGAAUGCACAGCCUGUGGGUCUACCAAAACUGGGGUUGGCGAUGAAUUAAGAAAAGCCAUGUUGUCGUGUCCUGGCACGCUAGAUUGGAAUGAAGGAUGCCCCCGCCUCUCGCCGAAUUCCUUCCUUCACGCCUCCGUCUCGCGAAAUGUGAAUUAUUAGGAGUGCCAAGGGUGGGGGUGCGCGAUGUAGGGAUACGAGGUAGGCUACACUAGCGCAAAUAAAAAAUUUCUACCGCGUAAAACCAGGAAGAACUGCCGUAUAAGGAUCACGGGAUUACCACUCGACGCACUACUGGUGCGGAAGAUGUAGAUUUGCGUCGGUGCAGUGAAGACGAUCAACGUAGUCGUACGUAGUCGAUCAACGUAGUCGUACGUAGUCGAUCACGUCAAUGUCCAGCAGCUCCUCAGCAGCUCGUCCACGUGCAGCAAGAUCGACCUCGUGCCACGGCUCGUCAUCGGCUCGUCGUGGCUCGUCGGCGGCUCGUCCAAGUGCUGCAGGCGCAACACCUCCAAGGUAUCCACACGUGCAGGGAGGAAGCGUCGCAAGCCGGACUACUAGAUCCGCGAGUUGCAACAGGCGAGGGCGUGGGAGGCAUGGCAGAUGUAUUUCGCCAAAAGGUGUAAACCCUAGGGCGCCCCCACCCCUCUAUUUAUAGAGGUUCCUAACGGGCCUCUGGGUCCGAGGCCCAUUAGUACUUCUAAACCUAAUCCAACUCGGAUCAGAUCCGAAUUGGGCUUCCAGCCCCUUAAGUGUGUGACCCUAUGGGUUCGGAUACGUAUAGACAUGACCCGAGUACUCCUACUCGGCCCAAUAGUCGGUAACGGCCUCUAGCAAGACGUGCCAACUCCUAUACGCACACGAAGAUCAUAUCAGACGAACCAUCACAACAUAAUAUACAUGCUAUUCCCUUUGCCUCACGAUAUUUGGUCUAGCUUCAAGCCGACCGCUCUUUCUCGAUCCUGUGAUUCGGAAUCCCUUUGUAGGUUAACUCUUAACCGUACGUAGCAUGGCCAUGCAUUUUCGGAUCCGAUCACUCGAGGGGCCCAAAGAUAGCACUCUCAAUCAGAGAGGGGCAAAUCCCAUCUUGAUUGACCAUGUCUCAUAGCAUGCUUCUUGACAAACCUGAAAACUACCUUUAUAACUACCCUGUUACGGCGUAGCGUUUGAUAGCUCCUAAGUAGGUCAAUCCACAUCUUGAAUACAUGCGACAAUCUCAGGUCUAAGGACAAAGCGUAUAUGUUGUUUAAAGAGAGAACUACUUCUCGUGUGGGUCAGUCCUAGCACAUGUCUCCAUAUGUGUCCACAUUAUUAGUUCAACAUCUCCAUGUCCAUGACUUGUGAAACAUAGUCAUCAACUAAUACAUGUGCUAGUCUAAUAUUCAUGUGUGUCCUCACAUGAACUCCGACUAGGGACAACUUUAGAAUAACCAUACAAGUAAAGAGUUUCACAUACAAUUCACAUAAUUGCAAAUCAAUUCUAGUAGCCUUUAAUGGAUAUUCAAUGAACACAAUAUACAAAUCAUGGAUACAAAUGGAAUAUCAUCAUCUCUAUGAUUGCCUCUAGGGCAUACCUCCAAUAGUCUCCCACUUGCACUAGAGUCAAUCUAGAAGGUAUCUAAUACCCAUAGCUCUUGCAUGCGCAUCAUGCUUAGCCUGCAGGAGUGUUUUGUCAACGGAUCAAAAAUGUUCAGAUCCGUGUGUAUUUUGCAUAUCUUGAUCUCACCCUGGUUAACGAAGUCUCGAAUGAGAUGAAAUCGCCGCAUUACGUGUUUGUUUUUCUGGUGGUUCCUUAGCUCCUUUGCUUGCGCAAUUGCCCCAUUAUUAUCACAGUAGGGAUUCAAUGGGCUGGACGCAUUCGGGAACACACCAAGCUCAAUGAGGAAAUUCCUUAUCUAAACACCCUCCUUCGCGGCUUCUGAAGCCGCGAUGUACUCGGCUUCUAUCGUAGAAUCGGCCACCGUCUCCUGCUUGGAAUACUUCCAACUAACAGCACCACCAUUUAGCGUGAACACAAAUCUUGAUUGUGACUUUGAAUCAUCUCUGUCGGUUUGGAAACUAGCAUCGGUGUAACCUGUUACAACGAGCUCCUCCUCACCUCCAUAGACGAGGAACAUAUCUUUAGUCCUUCUCAAGUACUUAAGAAUGUUUUUCACCGCUGUCCAGUGACUCUCACCUGGAUCAGAUUGGUGUCUGCUUGUCAUACUUAGCGCAUAUGAAACAUCUGGGCGAGUACUUAUCAUUGCAUACAUGAUGGAUCCAAUAGCCGAGGCAUAUGGCACUCUACUCAUGCAAUCCCGCUCAUCAGCAGUCGAAGGACACUGAGUCUUGCUGAGAUGUAUGCCAUGUGACAUAGUCAAGAACCCUUUCUUUGCCUCUUCCAUGCUGAACUGCUUCAAUACUUUGUCAAUGUAAGUAUCUUGGCUUAAACCUAUAAGCCUUCUCGAUCUAUCUCUAGAUCUUAAUGCCCAGAAUAUAUGCCGCUUCCCCUAAGUCCUUCAUCGAAAAACUAUUUUUCAGUGAAGUCUUUAUGGACACAAGCAAAGGAAUGUUAUUUUCAAUCAGUAAUAUGUCAUCCACAUAUAAGAUUAGAAAUACUACAGAGCUCCCACUAACCUUCUUGUAAACACAAGACUCUUCUUCGUUCUUGGUGAAGUCAAACCCUUUGACCACUUCAUCAAAACGAAUGUUCCAACUCCUAGAUGCUUGCUUCAAUCCAUAAAUGGAUCUCUGAAGCUUGCAUACCUUUCUAGCAUUUUUCAGAUCGACAAAACCCUCGGGCUGUAUCAUAUACACGUCCUCAGCUAGGUUUCCAUUCAGGAAAGCUGUCUUGACAUCCAUCUGUCGUAUCUCAUAAUCGAAAUAUGCAGCUAUAGCUAGAAUAAUCCGAAUGGACUUAAGCAUCACUACGGGCGAGAAGGUCUCGUCGUAGUCAACUCCUUGAACUUGUCAAAAACCUUUUGCGACAAGUCGUGCUUUAUAGAUGUGAACAUUUCCAUCCAUGUCCUUUUUCUUUUUAUAGAUCCACUUGCACUCUAUGGCUUUAACACCAUCAGGUGGUUUAACCAAGUUCCAAACUUGAUUGUCUCCCAUGGACUCUAUUUCGGAUUGCAUGGCACUCUGCCAUUUUUCGGAGUCUGGGUCCAUCAUUGCUUCUGCAUAUGUCACAGGCUCAUCAUUGUCCAACAAUAAUAUUUCCCGCAUUUCGCGAAGCCUUGCCGACCUUCGUGGUUGUGGCGGUGCUUCUCUUGCCAUGGGUAUCUCAACUUGUUCUGCUAUGUUAGCAUCACUCAUUGAUUCUUGCCCGAUCGGCUCAUCUUGAACUUCUUCAAGAUGCACUGUCUUUCCACUCUUUUCUCCUUUGAGAAACUCUUUCUCUAGGAAAACCCCAUUCCGAGCGACAAACACUUUGCCUUCUGAUCGGUUGUAGAAAUAAUAUCCCAAAGUUUCCUUUGGAUAUCCCACGAAAAUGCACUUAUCCGACUUGGGUGUGAUCUUGUCCGACUGAAGUCGCUUGACAAACACUUCACAUCCCCAAAUCUUUAGAAAAGACAAACUAGGAACCUUUCCAGUCCAUAUCUCAUAUGGUGUCUUAACUACGGAUUUAGAUGGUACCCUAUUAAGUGUGAAAGCUUCUGUUUCUAGAGCGUAUCCCCAAAAUAACGACGGUAGGUCCGACUGGCUCAUCAUUGAUCGAACCAUGUCUAACAAAGUUUGAUUACGUCGCUCGGACACACCAUUUCUCUGAGGUGUUCCAGGCGGCGUAAGUUGUGGAACAAUUCCGCAACUCUUGAGAUAAUUGCUAAACUCGUGGCUCAAAUACUCGCCUCCAUGAUCAGAUCGCAAGGCCUUAAUUUUCUUGUCACGCUGAUUUUCAACUUCAUUCUUAAAUUCCUUGAACUUUUCAAAGGUUUCAGACUUGUGCCUCAUCAAGUAGACAUAGCCAUAUCUACUAAAAUCAUCAGUGAAAGUUAUGAAGUAUUGGAAUCCUCCUCUAGCCGUCGUGCUCAUUGGUCCGCAUACAUCACUAUGUACGAGUUCCAACAAGUCUACUGCUCUCUCAGGAAAUCCUGUGAAAGGCGUCUUGGUCAUCUUGCCUAGCAAGCAAGCCUCACAUGUCUCGUAUGAUUCAAAAUCAAACGAAGUUAGAAGUCCAUCAGAAUGGAGCUUCUUCAUGCGCUUUUCACUUAUAUGACCCAAACGACAAUGCCACAAGUAGGUAGGACUCAAAUCAUUAGGCCGAGGCCUUUUAGCACUUACGUUACAGACAGGUGAACCAUCAAGAUUUAAAACAAAUAAUCCAUUCACAAUGGGUGCAAAAGCCAUAAACAUAUCAUUCUUAGAGAUCACACAACCAUUGUUUUCACUCGCAAAUGAAUAACCAUCCUUCAUCAAGCAUGAAGGAGACAAAAUGUUUCGACUUAAACUAGGAACGAAAUAACAAUUAUUCAACUCCAUAAUAAAUCCUGACGGGAGGUGGAGUUGCAUCGUCACGACGGUCAACGCAGCAACUCUUGCAUUAUUGCCCAUGCGGAAAUCAACUUCUCAUCUUUCAACGCUUCUACUUCUUAUCAUUCCCUGCAUCGAAUUGCAAAUAUGAGCAACCGAUCCGGUAUCAAAUACCCAAGAAUUAAUAAUUGUAUCAGCGAGAAAAAUGUUGUCUAUAACAUUAACAACAAGCGUACCGGAGGUAGAAGUACUCUUACUUCCGCCAUUCUUCAACGAAGCUAGGUACUGCUUGCAGUUUCUCUUCCAGUGACCAAGUUCAUGACAGUAAAAGCACUCUUUGUCUGGAGCAGGUCCAGGUCCAGCUUUAACCUUGGGCGCUGGGUUUGGCUUGGACGUUCCAGCCUUGCCCUUCUUCUUCCAAGAAUUGCCCUUCUUCUUAAAGCUAGGCUUGUUCUAUAUAGCCAUCACAUGGCUGGUACUAGCGCUUUUCUUGAUGUCAGCCUCUGCUGUUUUAAGCAUGCCACACAGCUCAUUCAGACCCUUCUCCGUCCCAUGCAUAUGGUAGUUCGAGAUGAAGUUCCCAUAGCUAGGCGGAAGAGACGAAAGAAUGAAAUCAGUGGCCAACUCUUGGCCCAGUGGGAAGCCCAGCUUCACCAACCGUUGAGUGUAACCAACCAUCUUGAUUACGUGUGGUCCUACUGCUGCGCCUUCUGCUAGCUUGCUCUCCACAAAGGCCUUAGACACAUUGAACCUUUCAGUCCUGACCUGUGUUUGGAACAUGUCUCUAAGCGCCACGAUCAUAUUGUGCGCCUCAUGAUUUGUUUCGAACUGCAUCUGCAGCUCGGGUUCCAUGCAAGCAAGCAUAAGGCAGCUUACUUUGAGGUUAGCAUCACAUGCUUUCUUGUAAGCAUUCUUAGCAGCAGCGGGUGCAUCAUCAGCAGGUUCUUCUGGUAGUGGGUUGCCUAGAACAUCUUCCUUUUUCUCAGCCCUGAGAACAAUUCUCAAGUUACGGAUCCAAUCUGAGUAAUUUGUUCCAUUCAACUUGUCCUUCUCAAGGACCAAACGCAAAGCAAACGGUGUAGUGCUGCUAGGUGCCAUUUAAUCUACAACAAAAGUAAUGCAAAAUACACUAAGACAAACGUAUCCAUGAUAGAGCAAAUCACAUUAAACUAUUUUAACAGAAUCUACUCCCACUAAAAUCAAUAUCCCUCUAUUGAAACUUAGUGAUUCAGGAUCCACAACUAACAAGUCUACUAGUGAGCUUUAGCAUCACCGCUAGCAAACAAGGUAGAUCGGUAAGCAACUCUUGCUAAUCAUAUCACAUAUGACUCCUGUUGUUGGGUGACAUCUCGAUGUCUCGGCGCCCAACCUUUAUGCCCCAAGAUCCUUAACCGUUAAGAUAACCUUGUUAAGCAAACCAACCCUUAUGCGUGUAAGUGUCCGACACAAACCCGUCUAGUCAAGGAAAACUAGUGGUACCCUAAUUUCAUAGACCCACCACUAAUUUCAUGGGACGAUGCAAGUUUUAGUUGGGAGGGCAUACUAACUUAAACUUUGUGAGGGAUCGUUCUACUUCUAACAUCACAGCAUGCAGAAAGUAAAACAUAAACAGAACAGCAUUCACACAGUUGUGACACAGUAUGGCCCGUUUUCAUAUGGUGAUCUCCAUCUCCAUAGAACCUGUUCACCAUGGUGAUCUCCAUCUCCAUGUUCCAUGUGCGCCAUCCUCCUGGUGAUGAGUCCUCCAAGAACUAGAACAUGCUAUUACGCCUAAUAGCUAGUAAUGAAGAUUACAUAGUUGCUUGGAUCAUCACAGAUUGGUACGCAGACCAUUAAAUACAAUAAAGUGACAACAUAUAUGGCUCCUGCCGUGUUGCCGUACGCGCGACACGCAGGUCAUGAAUGAGUUACACACAUGCAUCACAUACACAAGGGGGCCAUACUGAUCACAAGAUAUAUACAUACAUCCUGCAAAAUAGAGUUAGGCAUCCUAACGUUCCAAACUUCGGAUGCCCGAAACUCCAUCUUCCGAGCCGAAUAUGGGAAAUCUAAUUUCGCCGAAAAUGGCAAAGCCAUUGAAUUUCAUGUGUAACUUUUUUUGUAGAUCAAUUUUCAUAUAAAAUUCGCCCCGAUCCGAGAUCGUACCGAAAAGUUACGGCUGAUUUACUGAAGCAUACGCAUACGGCAAAAAUCCCGACCUCGGUAGUAGAUCCCAUCUACUUUUCCACAUCUAAUGCGCAUGGCGUAUGACCCUGGAUUUCGAUUUGACCAAUCAUAUUGAUCUUCGCUCACUGCAACUGGAUUUACGUGUAUCACUUAACUCUGAUGGCGGAAACCGACCGCUAGGAGUAUGUCGUUACACUACCAUUGCAGCAAGAGCACGAAACCAGGACAUAGAUCAAACUGAAAACUUGCAUAUCUCCAUAUGCACACAUCCCGAAUCCAAAACUAAACAGCUACGACUCUAGUACCACUUUUGGGAUACGAGGUAGGCUACACUAGCGCAAAUCAAAAUUUCUACCGCGUAAAACCAGGAAGAACUGCCGUAUAAGGAUCACGGGAUUACCACUCGACGCACUACUGGUGCGGAAGAUGUAGAUUUGCGUCGGUGCAGUGAAGACGAUCAACGUAGUCGUACAUAGUCGAUCAAUGUAGUCAUACGUAGUCGAUCACGUCAACGUCCAGCAGCUCCUCAGCAGCUCGUCCACGUGCAGCAAGAUCGCCCUCGUGCUGCGGCUCGUCGUCGGCUCGUCGUGGCUCGUCAGCGGCUCGUCCAAGUGCUGCAGGCGCAACACCUCCAAGGUAUCCACACGUGCAGGGAGGAAGCGUCGCAAGCCAGACUACUAGAUCCGCGAGUUGCAACAGGUGAGGGUGUGGGAGGCGCGGCAGAUGUAUUUCGCCAAAAGGUGUAAACCCUAGGGCGCCCCCACCCCUCUAUUUAUAGAGGUUCCUAAUGGGCCUCUAGGUCCGAGGCCCAUUAGUACUUCUAAACCUAAUCCAACUCGGAUCAGAUCCGAAUUGGGCUUCCAGCCCCUUAAGUGUGUGACCCUAUGGGUUCGGAUACGUACAGACAUGACCCGAGUACUCCUACUCGGCCCAAUAGUCGGUAGCGGCCUCUAGCAAGACGUGCCAACUCCUAUACGCACACGAAGAUCAUACCAGACGAACCAUCACAACAUAAUAUACAUGCUAUUCCCUUUGCCUCACGAUAUUUGGUCUAGCUUCAAGCCGACCGCUCUUUCUCGAUCCUGUGAUUCGGAAUCCCUUUGUAGGUUAACUCUUAACCGUACGUAGCAUGGCCAUGCAUUUUCAGAUCCGAUCACUCGAGGGGCCCAGAGAUAUCACUCUCAAUCAGAGAGGGGCAAAUCCCUUCUUGAUUGACCAUGUCUCAUAGCAUGCUUCUUGACAAACCCGAAAGCUACCUUUAUAACUACCCUGUUACGGCGUAGCGUUUGAUAGCCCCUAAGUAGGUCGAUCCACAUCUAGAAUACAUACGACAAUCUCAGGUCUAAGGACAAAGCGUAUAUGUUGUUUAAAGAGAGAACUACUUCUCGUGUUGGGUCAGUCCUAGCACAUGUCUCCAUAUGUGUCCACAUUAUUAGUUCAACAUCUCCAUGUCCAUGACUUGUGAAACAUAGUCAUCAACUAAUACAUGUGCUAGUCUAAAUUCAUGUGUGUCCUCACAUGAACUCCGACUAGGGACAACUUUAGAAUAACCAUACAAGUAAAGAGUUUCACAUACAAUUCACAUAAUUGCAAAUCAAUUCAAGUAGCCUUUAAUGGAUAUUCAAUGAACACAAUAUACAAAUCAUGAAUACAAAUGGAAUAUCAUCAUCUCUAUGAUUGCCUCUAGGGCAUACCUCCAACACGCGAGACAGGAUAAGCCUUGGAAUAGACUGCUAAGGAAUCUGCCUUCAGUACCAGUCCAAACCCCCCUUUAGUACCGGUUGUGUAACCGGUAUUGCUAAGUACCAGGGGUCCUUUAGUACUGGAUAACCGGUAUUAAAGGGGGCAUAUUAGUAUCGGUUGGGGAGACCAACCAGUACUAAAUUAGCUACCACGUCCAGCGUGGUAGAGGCCAAUACAGACCAACCGGUACUACAGCCUUUUCUAUUUUUCCUUUUAAUUUCUCAUUUUAUUUUCUAUUUCUUUAUUCUGUAUUCGUAUUUGUUUCCAUUAAUGCAAUAUAUAUAAAUGUAUUUGAUCUAUAAUAUUACAUUUGAGAUAAUAUUAUACAUAGGCAUAUUGUGCAUACACAUAUAUGAAUAAUAUUAUAUUGCAUCAACUUUCCAAGUUCAAUAUUUUGGAUCAACUAUUCUGAACCCGAGUCCUGUUGGUGAUGCAGAUUUGAUACAUCAUUAUGGAACUCUCGCGCUAGAUUUACAACCUCGUCCAGAAGAAAAUUGCCCUAAUUUUUUCCGUCUCGAGGAGUUCUUCCUUCAUGUGCAUAAUCUAUAUCAUUAGCAAAGGUUAUUAUAUUAGCUCAAUGGAUCUCCACAAUUAGAACUAAUUUGUUGUUAAGAAAUUUGUAUACAUACUCUGAAUUCGUGGUCGGUUAUAUGCUUGGGACCUACAAUAAAAAGAAUGACUAAAAAAAGAAUUAAACAAUUAUACAAUUUGUAACAAUAAUAAAUGACUAAAAAAAGAAUGAAACACUUAUACAAUUUAUUAUAGUAAAAAGAAUGACUCUAACUUAUACAUAUAAUUACAAAAAAUGACUACAAAAAUGAAUGACUAAUAGUUAUACAUUUAUUACAAUUUGUUAAAAAAACGACUACAAAAAUGGAUGACUAAUAUUUAUACAUUUUGUAACAAUAAUUGACUACAAAAAUAUUGAAGUUUGUACAUUUUGAACUAUUUGAUGAAUUUUGUAACAGUACAUGACAACAUCAUAAAAUUUCUUAGUAAUUUAUAAAAGUAUCAAAGUAAUUUUCACUUAUUUCUAAACAUUUCUAACAAUUAACAGAAUUUUUCUAUAUUUUCUAACUAAUUAACAUUUUUCCCAUAUACUGCUGAAAUAAAAAGAAGAAAAAGAAAAAAAGAUGACGUCAGCCAGCCGUGAGCUUACACCAUCACAGAAGAUGCGAGCAUGCAGCCGGCCGCGCGUGCACUCGUGGAAGGACGGAGGAGGCGCCGAAGGCGGAGUGGGCCGGGGCGGGCGCUGGCUGCAGGGUCGGGGAGGACGCGCGGACGGCAGGUGGACGAGGAGGACGACUAUGGUGGAGAAGUGGGGGGGUGUCGGGGGGGGGAGGCGGCGGAGUGGCCGUGUGGGCGAUGGCAGUCGGGUCGGGGAGGAGGCUGGCGGCGCGUAGUCGGGGAGGAAGUGGUCGGUGGGGAGGACGCAGCGACAUAGUAGGGGGCGAUGGUGCCAGUGUUGUUGGGGCUGAGGUUGGCGGCGACGGGGGCGUCGGUGUUGGAGGUAUGCCUUAGAGGCAAUCAUAGAGAUGAUGAUAUUCCAUUUGUAUCCAUGAUUUGUAUAUUGUGUUCAUUGAAUAUCCAUUAAAGGCUGCUUGAAUUGACUUGCAAUUAUGUGAAUUGUAUGUGAAACUCUUUACUUGUAUGGUUAUUCUAAAGUUGUCCCUAGUCGGAGUUCAUGUGAGGACACACAUGAAUAUUAGACUAGCACAUGUAUUAGUUGAUGACUAUGUUUCACAAGUCAUGGACAUGGAGAUGUUGAACUAAUAAUGUGGACACAUGUGGAGACAUGUGCUAGGACUGACCCAACACGAGAAGUAGUUCUCUCUUUAAACAACAUAUACGCUUUGUCCAUAGACCUGAGAUUGUCGCAUGUAUUCAAGAUGUGGAUCGACCUACUUAGGGGCUAUCAAACGCUACGCCGUAACAUGGUAGUUAUAAAGGUAGCUUUCGGGUUUGUCAAGAAGCAUGCUAUGAGAUAUGGUCAAUCAAGAUGGGAUUUGCCCCUCUCUAAUUAAGAGUGAUAUCUCUGGGCCCCUCGAGUGAUCGGAUCCGAAAAUGCAUGGCCAUGCUACGUACGGUUAAGAGUUAACCUACAAAGGGAUUCCGAAUCACAGGAUCGAGAAAGAGCGGUCGGCUUGAAGCCAGACCAAAUAUCGUGAGGCAAAGGGAAUAGCAUGUAUAUUAUGUUGUGCCGGUUCGUCUGAUAUGAUCUUCGUGUGCGUAUAGGAGUUGGCACGUCUUGCUAGAGGCCGCUACCGACUAUUGGACCGAGUAGGAAUACUCGGGUCAUGUCUAUACGUAUCCGAACCCAUAGGGUCACACACUUAAGGGGCUGGAAGCCCAAUUCGGAUCUGAUCCGAGUUGGAUUAGGUUCAGAAGUACUAAUGGGCCUCGGACCCAGAGGCCUGUCAGGAACCUCUAUAAAUAGAGGGGUGGGGGCGCCCUAGGGUUUGCACCUUUUUAGCGAAACACAUCUGCCACGCCUCCACGCCCUCGCCUGUUGCAACUCGCGGAUCUAGCAAUCCGGCUUGCGACGCUUCCUCCCUGCACGUGUGGAUACCUUGGAGGUGUUGCGCCUGCAGCACUCGGACGAGCCACAAUGAGCCGCCGACGAGCCACGACGAGCCGACGACGAGCCGCGGCACGGGAGGCGAUCUUGCUGCACGUGGACGAGCUGCUGAGGAGCUGCUGGACGUUGACGUGAUCGACUACGUACAACUACGUUGAUCGACUACGUACGACUACGUGAUCGUCUUCACUGCAUCGACGCAUAUCUACAUCUUCCGCACCAGUAGUGCGUCGAGUGGUAAUCCUGUGAUCCUUAUAUGGCAGUUCUUCCUGGUUUUACGCGGUAGAAAUUUUGUUUUGCGCUAGUGUAGCCUACCUCGUAACCCUACAGUCGGCGCACAGCCGGGUUGGGGAGGAGGCCAGUGGCGUGUCGUCGAGGAGCAAGUGACCAGCGGGAAGGACGGGACCGGCGGGAAGGACGCGCGCAUCGGUGAAGUGGGAGGUGGUACCGCCGGGGUCAUCAGGGCGAAUGUUGGCGGCGAUAGGGUGACGACAGCGACGGAGGAUGUCGAUCGAGCGGUGGUGGUGAAGGAUCCAAAGGAGAUGGUUCUCUUGACCCUUUAUUACAAACCCAUCAGGCUGAUUCAUAUAAAUUUCCUCAUCCAACUCUCCAUUAAGGAAAGCUGUCUUAACAUCCAUCUGAUGGACGAGAAGACCAUGUGAGGCAGCAAGGGAAAGUAAUACUCGAAUACUGGUCAAUCUUGCAACAGGUGAGUAAGUGUCGAAGAAAUCUUCGCCUUCUUUCUGGGUAUAACCCUUAGCCACAAGUUGAGCCUUGUAUUUAUCAAUAGUAACAUCAGGCCUAAGCUUCUUUUUGAACACCCACUUGCAACCCACAGUUUACAACCAUACGGUCGAUCAACGACCUCCCAAGUUCCAUUAGAAAGAAUAGAGUCCAUCUCACUAUAGAUAGCUUCUUUCUAAUCAUCUGCAUCUAGAGAUGCAAGUGCCUCUGAAAUAGUCUUAGGAGUAUCGUCUACGAGAUAGACAGUGAAAUCAUCACCAAAGGACUUUGCAGUUCUUUGUCUCUUGCUCCUCUUAGGAGCUUCACUGUUAACCUCCUCAUGAACUGGCUCAAGUGUUUGUUCAGCAUGAUCAGGAAGCAUAAUAGGUUCAGGAUUUGUCUCAGCAAUCAUAUCAGAAGAUAGUCUAGACAUACUAUGCAAUUGUUUCAUAGGAAAUAUAUUCUCAAAGAACGUAACAUCAUGAGACUCCAUCAAGGUAUUAACAUGAACAUCAGGCACCUCUGAUUUAACCACUAAAAAUCUAUAGGCUAUGUUAUGAUGAGCAUAUCCCAAAAAGACACAAUCCACAGUUUUAGGUCCCAACUUACGUUUCUUGUUGAUUGGCACACUAACUUUGGCCAAGCAACCCCAAGUGCGUAAGUAUGAAAGUGAUGGUUUUCUUCCAAUGCAUUCUUCAUAGGGAGUUUUCUCCUUAUUCUUCAUGGGUACUUUAUUCAGGACAUGAUAUGAAGUCAAUACAGCCUCCCCCCACCAUGCCUUAGAUAAUCCACUGGUGUCUAACAUGGCGUUCACCAAGCCAGUCAAAGUGCGAUUCUUUCUUCGGCAACCCCGUUUGAUUGAGGCGAAUAGCGAGGCGUCCUCUCAUGUACAAUACCAUGUUCUUCACAGAACAAGUCGAAAUCAUUAGAGAAAUACUCGCCACCACGAUCAGACCUAAUUCUCUUGAUCUUUUUCUCAAGUUGAUUCUCAACUUCAGCCUUAUAGAUUUUAAAGUAGUUAAGAGCCUCAUCUUUCAUUUUCAAUAAAUACACAUAGCAAUAUCUAGACGCAUCAUCUAUCAAAGUCAUGAAAUAUCUUUUUCCACCUUUGGUCAACACACCAUUCAUCUCGCAUAUAUCAGAAUGAAUGAGUUCAAGUGGUGCCAAGUGUCUCUCCUCGGCUACCUUGUGAAGUUUUCAAAGUUGCUUAGAUUGCACACAACUAUGGCACUUAGAACCUUUGACAAUGGAAAAAUUCGGAAUUAAACACAGGCUAGAAAGUCAAGACAUAGAACCAAAAUUCAGAUGACAUAAACGUGAAUGCCAAACACUAGCAUCACUCUCAUUAAUACCAUCACAAAUAUAGUUCACAGAUUUAUUGCAAUAAUCUGAAAGGGAAAAGCGGAACAAGCCUCCGCACUCAUAGCCUUUACCAAUAAAUUGUCCACUCUUACACACGAAAAUUUUAUUAGACUCAAGCACUACCUUAAAACCAUCCCUACACAAAAGGGAGCCACUAACUAGAUUCUUCCUAAUAGAAGGGACAUGCUGCACGUUCUUCAGUUGCAUGAUCUUUCCCGAAGUAAACUUCAGAUCUACCGUACCAACACCAUGAACAGAAGCAUGUGACCCAUUCCCCAUUAGGACGGAGGAAUCCCGAGCGACCUUGUAAGAUGAAAACAAGGAGGCAUCAGCACACACAUGAACAUUAGCACCAGUAUCAAGCCACCAAGUAUUAGUAGACUGAAACACUGAAAAAACAGAAGGUAAAUUACCAUACCCACUAUUUCCGUCUCCAGCGCUCGUCACCAUGCUCACAGACUUCUGCUGUGGAGGUUUUCUUCCUUUGCGGUUUGGGCACUUCUUUGCCCAAUGGUCAGUAGAACCGCACACGAAGCAUCCCUCGUUCUCCUUGUUCUUCUUUUUCUUGAAGGUAGUGGACUGCUUAGGCUUAUUGUUCUUGCUCUUACCCUUGCCACCAUUGCCAUUGUGAUGUGAUUGGUGCACCAUAUUGGUACUGGUCUGACCCUCAACAGCUUUAGAUCGUCCAUCUUUAGCCCGAGCUUUCUCCUCAACAUCAAGAGACGCAAUCAAGUCUGAAACAGAAAUUUCUGUCCUCUUGUGUUUGAGAGAAGUGGCGAAAUCCCUCCAGGAUGGAGGUAACUUGGCAAUAAUGCCCCCAGCCACAAACUUGUCGGACACGACAAUCUUUAGCAGAUCGAGUUCCUUCACCAUGCACUGUAAUUCAUCAGCCUGAGCGACUAUAGAUUUUCUGUCAACCAUCUUGUAGUCAUGAUACUGCUCAAUGAUGUACAAUUCAGUGCCAGUAUCUGAGCCACCAUAGUUGGCAGUCAGAUCGUCCCACAACUCCUUUGCGACCGUGUGAUGAAGGUACACAUCCUGCAGAUGUUCUGCAAGUGCACCAAUCACAGCGCCCAAGAAGAUUGUGUUGGCUUCCGAAUAUUCUUUCUCCUUUUCAGGAGAGAGAACCCCUUCCGGUUUGCCAUUGGACAUCCAGAACACCUUCAUGGCAGUAAGCCACAGCGUGGCUUUCACCUGCCACCUCUUGAAGUGCACGCCAGCAAACGGUGCUGGCCUCAGUGCAUCAAGAAAUCCAGCCAUAAAACUAAAGUGCCUACAAUAAGGUUUUUGGAUUGUUGGAUAUAUAAGCACUUUUAGUUUUAAUUUAAUCCAAAAAUAAAUCAUGAAUACAAUGAACAGACAGCAGAUUAAACUAGACAUGUCUACGCAAGAUCUAGACAAGUCUAUCAUUGCAAAUAGAAUCAUACAUUCUACCAUACUAUCUAGUGCUAUCAGACUGCAACAGAUCAUAAUAGUUAGUAUGGAAGACAUAAUUUGAGAUAAGAGAUCGUACAUUUCUUUCUUGAUGAAGACCGGCUCCUGGACGACUACCGGGUAUAGCAGGCGACGACGAUCAACAGCCUGACGUUGUUCGCGACGACGAGUGAUGCCCGAGUGACGAAGUCGACGAAGAACUUGACGAAGCGGAGGAAGUGAUCGAGCAGUCGCGCUUCCCAAAAACCUUAUUCGCCCUCUCCCGGUGCAGGAUCGCUGAAGACGACGGCUCCGGAGACCUGCUCUCCCAAUCGCCGGUGCACGCCGACAAUCGGGAUGGAGUAGACUACGGUAGCGGCGCAACAGUGAGAGGAGGCAAAAACCCUAGCUCGAAUAGACCUGUUUUUGGUAGAGGCCGGUAGGUCGCAUAUAGGAGAGCCCACGAUUCUCACGUCGUGAUCGUGAUCUUCCAUAUAUCUCGCUGACUUAGGCCCGGCGAGGCGAGGCGAGGCGAGGCGUGGCGUGGCGAGCGAGCGCGCGCGUGUGGAGCUCUCCUUCCCUCCCCACACACAUAGCUUGGAGGAGUGGGGACAACUUCCAUAUUUAAGUUGGUCAUCCCUCCCCUCCACUAGCAAUGUGGGACUAAAGACUUGCACCACUCCACCUCUUGCCCACAUGGACCUUUGAGAUUUAUUUGAAAUUCUGAAAUUACUUAUGGGCUAGGCCCAUUAUUUCAACACUAUUCUACAGUGACGGUGUACCGUGUACGUACUCCGCUGUAGUGGCUAAACAAACCCUUGCAAGAAGAUAGAAGGUUUUCUCUGAUAAACAAUUAGUAGAUGGUUAUUCAUACGUGAUAUAUAUAGUACAUAGUUUAAAUAAAUACAAGCGUGAAGUUGCGUAUGUGAUCUCUUCGUUCUUAAAUAUAUGAUGCCGUUAAUUUUUUUUCAUUUAUUUGACUAUUCGUCUUUUCUACAAAUAUUUUUGCAAAUAGAUAAAUCUACAAGUUAAAUCUAAAGUACAUUUGACAACAGACAUAAUAAUACGUAUUUUACAUUAGUUUACGAACUCGUUCAAUAGAUAUUGAUGGUUAAAGUUAGAGUAAAAAAUCAACAGCGUCAUAUAUUUAUUUAAGAACGGAGGGAGUGGUUUGUUUUUGAAAAAAUAAAACUGGUUGUUUUAUAUGGGCAUAUGAGGUUCUCCAUUUGUGUUUUCCAUACCUGACUGCGUGAGGGCGACAUCCAGUAGCCUCGAUCGAUUCCCUGGUUGCGCGUUCAAAGAUUGACACGGUACGAUUCCUCCCCUCAAUGUACCAAUUGGUUAUAUCAAAAUGGACAAUCAAUUUUCACUGUUCUCCUAACGAACCUGUUUUAGCCCAAACCGGCCGGCCACGGCCCUAUAAAGGCAGCGAGCAGUUUGCAGAGACGCGGCUUCAAGCAGUUCCGGGGCACCUACCUAGCCAGCCGGCCACUGAACUUAACUAGUCACCGUACCCAGCAAGCGUAUAGUAGAGAGCAUGGCGGGCACAUCGUGGUCGUCGUCCUCGUCCUGCACGUCGUCGUUCGGGUCCCUUGACGACGAUGUCAUCGUCUGCGUCCUCAAGACCGACGAUGUGGGUGCCGCCGCCGCCGCCGCCGGGGAGGGAAGCGUCAAGUUCCUUUGCAGCUACGGCGGCAGGAUCCUGCCGCGCCACACCGACGGCGCGCUUCGCUAUGUCGGCGGCGACAACCGAGUCCUCUCCGUCGACCGUCCCCUCCAGUUCUACGGUGCACACCUGUGCCUGCGAGCCUAGACAGACCCACUGCGCUGCACAGUCCUUUGACUCCUUUCUCUGACUUCUUGAGUUGCGUGGUCGUGUCUGCUGUGUCGGCAGAGCUGCAACGGAAACUAAGGGAGUUGUGCGGGUGGGAAGUGUGCCUGCGGUGCCAGCUGCCGACGGAGGACCUGGACGCGCUCAUCUCCGUGACGAGCGACGACGACCUCGCCAACCUGCUGGAGGAGUACGACGUGGCCAGCAAGGACUGCCUCCAGCCGCUCAAGAUCCGGGCGUUCCUCUUCCCGAGGACGCCGCCGUCCCUGCAACCGCGGUGCAGCCCGCCGUCCACCCCAGCGUUCGUGUCCAGGCCGUCGCCAUCGAACGCGCACCUCCGCCGGCAGAACACUUCCCCGGCCGCCGCUGCCCGCGUGUCUUCGUCACCGACGUGCGCGCCGCGGUGGUGGGCGGCGCCCCUGCACACCUUCCGCCCGGCGCGCGCGCACCAGCCUCAGCGCUACGACUGGCACGGCCCUGGUGAGGCGAGGCUGCAACGGUACCUCGUCCACAACGGCAGCCACUGGCAAUAACGGGACAUGAGCCGCUCUUCGUUCCCGACCACGGGAAGGACGGAGUGUACGGGAGGGCGCCGCGUCACGCAACGAGUGACAUGAAUAAGCUAGUGCUGUGGCGUGCGCGCAUGUGUUAUCCUGUGCACAAUUUAGAUGUAGACCGAUCUUCUUUUUUUUUUGCAACACGAGAUGAGGUGUGCGGAUGGGUACGGGAAACCACCAGAAAAAGGCAGUAGCGUUCCUCGAGUGGAGCGUUGAGCUAGUGGUGAUCCGCUCGGCUCGCUAGUGCGGGUGACGCCGAGGCGUUGCGUGCUCGCCUUCAUCGAUCUACAGGGUAUAGUAUUCAACUUGCGCUCUGGAGCGUUCCGAUCCGUCUCGAGGGUUGUGUGUCGUUGGCGUGGCGCGGCGGUGGGCCAGGGCAGACUGGUCGAGGUGCGUCUCAGGCAAGAGACGUCCCGUUUCCUGGGGCCGCGGGUGGGAAGAUUGUUCGGAUCUGAGAAGAUUGUUCGGAUCCGAACAGUGCUAAUUAGAAAGCUAAAUAUAAGCUAAUUAUAAAAUUAAUUGUAAUUCGCGAGACAAAUUUAUUAAGUCUAAUUAAUUUAUCAUUAGCAAAUGGUUACUAUAGCACCACAUUGUCAAAUCAUGGACUAAUUAGGUUUAAAAGAUUCGUCUCGCGAAUUAGACUAUAUUUAAUACUCCUAAUUAGUAUCAAACAUCCGAUGUAACAGGUGCUAAACUUUAGCCAGUGAUGUCCAAACACCCCCUUCAUCUGCGGCACAAACAAAAUUCCCGUUUCAGACCUUUUUCUCCAGGCGCACACCCGCACUCGUUGCGCCAAGAACAGCGUAGACAAUUUUCCUUUCGUCUAUGAUGAACCAGUUUGAGUACACACAGAUUUUCUCGCAGCCACACAAUGCGUACAUUCCAUUUGCAGAAGAUUCAACUUAAGGCGUUGCUAGCGCUAAGACGUCCGAUGGGAAAACUUCCCAUCGGACGGUUUGUUGGUCCAUCGCAACAUCAAAAGUAGAAAAUAAACUUUUGCAACAAAGAAAAUCACCAUUUGCAAAAUUAAAAAAUAUGUUGAAAAAAAUUAUUAGCCAUCUAUUUAUGAUGAGGAAAAAACCCACCGUAACAUUUGUUUCGUGUUGCAUGGAACAUUCAAAUCCCUCAUUGAAAAUGCAACAUCCAGAUAAAACACUUGCAACAUGUGUGGGAAAUAUAUGCAACAUCGCAACAUCUAAGAUCUACUUUGCAACAUCCACGUGAAACACUUGCAAUAUUCUUCUGAAACAUCUGAAACAAUUGAAACAUACGCUUGCAACGUGCAACAAACCCUGGCAGGAGGAGCACUGCACAGCGGAAUCCGACGCUAAGAAACGGUGGAGGAGGAGGAGGAUGGCGGCGGCCGGCGCGGCUCGCCCCCUAGCCGCGGGGGAGCGGCGGCCCGCGCCCCCAGCACUCGAGCGGCGCCCGGCACCCUUCCCAGUGAUCUGGAGGGGUCUCGAAAUCGCUCGCCAGCGCCGUCUUCACUUGCUACACCAUCGCCACAGCCAUGGCAUCUCGCUGGGCACCACAGCGAUGCCGUGCCCCCUCUUUGAUUUCUUCUUCUAAGCAGGAUACAGUGUUGCUGCCGCUCAAACAAGCGUGGGCGAAGGAGGAGCAGUGUCCACUGAUGACACCGAGCGGAAAGGCAGCGUGGCGUCAGAUAGCGAGACGGUGGAGGUGUGAAGCACUGGCGGCGAGCUCAGAAUGAGGAUAGAUAAAGAAGAAGAAAAGGAUAAGAAGGAACCGGUUGUGUGGCUUACGAUAUUUCUGGUGGUUGUGGACCCCACGCUUAGAUAUUUGUGGUGACCAGCGUCUGAUGCGUCUAACGUACAGAUUGUAGUAUUACCGCUCAACAUAUUACCUUUCUCCAUCUUGUACCGUUUGUAAGAGGAUUGGAGGACAACCAUUUGUAACGUUUUUUGAAAGGUCGUACUCCAUAUGAAAACAUAAGGGUGCAGUUUUGACCUGGAUGGGACCUUAGAAAAAAACAGAUUUGACCAUUAAUUUAUCAUUUUUAAUUACAGAUUCAGAGUACGUACAAGCAUGAGUACUCAACUAUAUGAAUACACACAAACAGACCAUAUCCAUACGAGUACUUUCCGGAGACUAAGUCGACCUACCAUCGAAAACAUUGCAUCGUUAAUUCAUAAAGUCAACCUACCAAAAUGCAAGCAGUCCUAUGGAGUCAAAAACUCGAAGCGGUUCCGCUAAAAAAAUCUAAACGACGGAGUGCAUGCACUCAAUUCGCUAAUUUAUCUAAUGUGCUACUUACUAUCAUAAUAAUUGUGCCAAUUAGAUAAAUAUAGAAUAAUGCUUUCAAAUAUGAAAACAUAGUGCCAAUUUUGUAUCGCACAAUAAUCUACAGUUUUAUAAACUAAGGGGGUGUUUGGGAACACCAUGUUAAAGUUUAACACAUGUCACAUCGAAUGUUUGGAUGCUACUUAGGAGUAUUAAACAUAGGCUAAUUAUAAAACUAAUUGCACAGAUGGAGUAUAAUUCGCGAGAUGAAUCUAUUAAGUCUAAUUAGUCCAUGAUUUGACAAUAUGUGCUACAGUAACCAUUUGCUAAUGAUGGAUUAAUUAGGCUUAAUAGAUUCAUCUCGCGAAUUAGCACAGGGUUCUGCAAUUAGUUUUAUAAUUAGCUCAUGUUUAGACCUUCUAAUUAGCAUCCGAACAUCCGAUGUGACACUGUUAAAGUUUAGCACCUCGUAUCCAAACACCCCUUUGUUUAUCAAAGAUUAUGAAUUUUGGACCUUGAAAUGAUUGCUUGCCUUGACGAAAAAUAAUGAUUGGAGUAAAACGUGCAGUUGAUUGAAAAUCUGCCCAAAAUUUACACCUAUUGUAUAUAAUUGAAUUUAAUUUUUGUUGGUAUAUUUUUAGUAACUUUUCAAGAGCUCCCAUUGAACUCUUCAAUACCGGUGGAUGAAGAGGGCCGGUGACCAACAGCUGCAGCUACUGGCCGGAUGAUAUGGAUGGGCGGUGACGGUUUUGUUUGUAGUGUAGAGAUUUGUCAUUACUGAUGAUAUGAACAGAGUCUAUUUGUUUGAGCUGUAAGUUUUGGCGAUUAACAGAGUCUAUUUGUUUGAGCUGUAAGUUUUGGUGAUGAACACACGAGGUUUUUAAAAAACUACUGCUGAAUUUUUUCUGAAAAGUUAAUAAUAAUUUGUAGAUGUGUUCAGGUUUCUAAGCUCAAAAAGUUAUGAAAAAAAUUCAAAAAACUGAGCUCUUCAGCUUUGUAUGUAAACUCAACUUUUUCUAAUCUGUCUUUCCGGAACCUCUAGCAGGAAGUCCAAACCAACAGGCUUUAGGCCCGCCACUUGAGAUAGCCUUGGACACACAUAUUUAGCGAAACAAAUUAGAUCAAUUUUACCGUAAUUCGCUUAUGCGCUUCUUUCUAAUAAAAUUUAGGUUUACUUUACUUUUUCAAACUAAUUUAAUUGGUUCAAUGAACUCCAUAAUGAGAUCUAUAUUUUUCCAGUGUAUAGUUGAGUUUUAAUUUUAAACUAUAUCGACUAACCGAGAAAAUAAUAUACUACAUUAGUAAAAUACAAUACUAUUUUUUUCAUGACAUGGAGCAUUAUAUCUUUCAUCUUCUUACAAACUCUGGAUUUAACUAAAACUUGAUUUGUACGCGGAGAGGUAAAUUAGGCCAACAAGAUAGUUUAAGCCGCAGACACGAUUUGUAAAGUGCGCCUCAUAUUUUUUUCAAGGACGGACCGGAAGUUCCCCCGCUUCUACAAAACAAGCCCAAUCACUGUAGCCUUCAGCCCCCAUCCGAUAAUAGAAUUUCAAAGGACGGACAUGAGAUGAGCUUAUACGAGCUAUUUCCAGGAGUGCGAUAAUAGAAUUUCAAAGGCCGGACAUAAGAUGAGCUUAUACGAGCUAUUUCCAGGAGUGGACGAGGGGAUGGCCCACCCAAGAAAACGAAUUUUCAGGCAGAAUGGCCAACCUCCCCUGCAGCUUUUGGUGACUCUAAAAUUCACAGCGCGCGCCCUGCCUCAGGCAAAAAAAAUCAAGUAGCUGCCUGCUUUGCAUUCACGUUGUGGGUCCUACACAGUCCUUAUCUUCAUCUAACCUUAUCACCUCCACUCCCAUCCAUCCAUUCUCCAUCCUUCUCUCUCUCCCCUCCCUCCACGGCGAGUCGCCUGUGGCGCAUGGGCGGCCCCUGGAGUGGCGCCCCUUCCUGGUGGUACGGCUCCCUGGCGCGGCCCGAGCGGCGGGGGCAGUCGGCUCCGGCAUCGGCAAGGGGCCGAGGGCAGCCCCCUGGUGCGGAUGGCGGCUGGCGUGGUCGGCUCUGGCGGUGGUAUAGGCAGCGGUAGCACCGGCGGCUGGCCAGCGGCGGUGGCCGUGCAAGAGAGCGGCGGGGACCUGCGCCACCGAGCGGCGGUGGGGCCCGUGCCAGCGAGCGGCGACGGCCUGCGCCGUUGAGUGGCUGGGGUAUGGUGGGCGCAUCCGUGGGCGCAAUGCUCUUUUUUUAUUCGAUUUGUGGGGGUGGGGUCUCCGUCCGCCGCUGCAAAUUAUCAUUUGCAGCUCCGAAAAGUAGGGGUCGGUAUCUGCAAAUCCCAUUUUAACCGCCGCUACAAAGGUUUUGUGUAGUAGUGUAGUAAAAUAAAAAACUGAACAAGGUUAAACGGGCAAAGGGACUGUUUCAGUGGUAAAGUAGUGGGCCCUCGAAAAAGAAUUACACGGCCGGAGGAGUUUGACUGUCAAUUGAAAAUUUUCCCAAUAUCUAAUUUUUAAACAUAAUGGAUUUAAUAAUUUUGCAGACUUGCAGUCAAACUGUAUCCUAGCCAUGCUGCGAACGAUCUCAACAACUCUAUCCUAGCCGGCCGCAAAACUUCAAGGAGCCUUGAAAACAUCAAUAAACACAUUACAUCCACAUCUGUUCUUGCGUUAUCAUGAUCUCAUCAACCUGCAAACCUCGGCAAAAUGCUAGUACAGUAAGUAUUACCUAAGGGUAUUUGGAGGGGCUAAACUUUAGCAUGGUUACGUCGGAUAUUCAGAUGCUAAUUAGGAGAGCACAGAUGGAGUCUAAUUCGCGAGACGAAUCUAUUAAGGCUAAUUAAUCCAUCAUUAGCAAAUGGUUAUUGUAGCACCACAUUGUCAAAUCAUUGACUAAUUAGGCUUAAUAGAUUCGUCUCGCGAAUUAGAUUCCAUCCGUGCAAUUAGUUUUGUAAUUAGACUAUGUUUAAUACUUCUAAUUAAUAUCAAACAUCUGAUGUGAUAGGUGCUAAAGUUUAGCAGGUGAUCUAAACACCUCGCAGAUCACCUCAGGAACACUGAUCCUGUAGCCACUCCAUGUUUAAAUGUCUUGUGUGUUGCUAGCCUUACAGUUAUAUAGCUCGAGAAAAUUAGAUAAUAUAAACAUGUAUUUCUCUUAGUUACAGGCUUACAGCAAUGUACGCCAGUGGUACAAAUGAUUUCUUUUUCCACUUUGAAUACACAUGUAGGACCAAAAUCUCUCUGGAUGAAACUCGUUUCCGUUUCCCGUUUGCAUCACAACAUCCUUCCGCCCGAUUUCUGAACGUUUUCUCAAGCUUUUGCUUUGUUUGCCUCCGGAUCCUUGUCCAGUUCUGGUGAGUGGUGACCCGGCAACAACUGGUGCGAGUGGUUCUAUACGGGGCACCUCGCGGCUGGCGCUAGUGAUGGCGUAUGCUCUCGCCUCUCCGAAUCAAAUUUUACUGGUUCCAGCUCCUGUUCACCUGAUCUCCACCAGGCCACAGGCUCAUGUGGCUAUAAACCAACUGUCUUAUUUGGAAAAAUAUAAAAGGAAAAGAGAGGAAAAAGAAAAUUAUAUAUAUUUGGUCACGCCAAAUUGUCAAUAUUAAGAGGGCCGGACUGUAUUUAUCAGGAAGUCACGGCCUGUGCCGACUCCAAUCGAAAACUGAAGAUUAUCUCUUAAAAAUCUAACCGGGACUAAUCAUUCGGAACUAAAGGUCUCCUUCUUUAGUCCCGGACCGCCGUGCAGGCGCAUGCACGUGGCCUCUGAAGGCUUUUUUUUUCUUUUUGCCAUGCAUUUUUUUCCAUAUUAAUGCUAAUUGUUGUUUCACUUACAUAUACCUAUACGUAUAUAUCCUUAGCGUACACUACUUAUACAUAUACACUCGUAUUGUAUAAAUGUCGUGUAUAUAUAUAUUUCAUGAUAGUAUAUGCAUAAUAUUAAUUAUAACUACUAUAUAUAUAAUUGUUAGUAUAUUAUACACAUGAAACUAGUAUUUAUACAAUUACUAUAUAUACAAUAAUUUGUCCCCUUCAUUCUUAAGAUCCUCUCGACAGUGAGUCUUCUGGUACUGCAAAUGAAUGUCCAUCGUAAUAAAAUUCUCCUUGGGAUUUAUCAUCUCAUCCACAAGAAAUCCUAGGAGUGCUUCUUGGAUUGCCAAAAUUCUAUCCUGCAGCAGGAGUUCAUCCCUAAUCUUGAUCAUCUGUAAUUUGAAAAUAUGUGAAAGUUAAACCAACAAUUAAAAUAUAAGGAGCUAGACAACGAUAAAUUAUUAAUAGGUUUAUUUUACGUACAUUCAUAUCUUCUGAUAGCAUCUUGUCCUUCACAAAAUAGUACAUGUGCUCACAGACGUAGUAUCCACAUAAAUUAUUUCCUUAUUCCUAUCUCAAACACUUUAGUGGAAAAAAUAAGUUAUGAAACAUUCGUCAUAUAGAAUGUACAAAAUGUGCAAACUCCAUACAUACCGGAAGAUCUGUAUAGAAUUCAAGUGUUUCUUUGAAUUCACCGCGGUGAGUCUUAUGGAAUCGUUUUCAUGCGCUGCGAAUUAAAAUAAUGAAUGAUAUAGUGUUAGGUGAAAAUUCAAGAAAAAACUUUUGCAUAGAGAUAAAGGUCCAACAUUAUUACAAGUUAAGGAAGUCUUGAAUUUCUUGGUAGUCUUCCUUUGGUUUCCGCAACGGAUCGAAGAAAAUAACCUUGCUUCUAUUAAUGAUAAUUAUAAGAAGAAUCCGGUGAAAACUGUGUACAUAAAUGUUUAUAUUAGAACUAACUAACAGGUUAGGAAAGGAAAAUGAAAAUAGACGGUAUCCAUACUUAAAGUUGUAACGCAAUAAUAUGUAGUGCUUGUAAUUCUGUUGCUCCAAGAAUUUGUAUAUGUUAUCCAAUGUAGACUUUGGUUGAUCUAGUAUCAUUUGUUGGUUAACAAGCACUGGGUCCACGAAGCCAAUGUUGAAGUACAAUUCUCGGUGGCACCUUUGAAUCUGCAUCCUACAUAAAAUGGAAGACAAAGUGGGACAACACACACACAAUAAUGAUCUGAAUGCAAACAUCUAAUAAACACAUACUUACAGAACCUAGGCGCUGAUAAGAGAGAUACUAAGGGCAUCUUGAUGGUACACUCCAUAAAUGUCCUUAAAUUCCAACCACAACAGUUGCUCACCGUCACCGAAAUAAUCAAUCGGUUUAACAAGAAGAGCGAACAUGGUCCUUUCAUUGGUCGACUGCUCCAUGUACUAGUGAUGGAAUUCAUACAUCUUAGUUGAGAGGUUCGGUACUAAUUCAAGCCUGAAUCGAGGCUUGCCUAACUCAAAGGGCCAUUUAGGUAUAGCCUUUUCUGCAGGUGGCGGUUCGACUUGCUCUAGAACUUCACCAAGCGAGAGAGCUGUCUCCGACAUAAACUUAGCAACCUUGAUUUGUUGUUCUAAAGGCAAAGCUGCUAUAACUUGUUGAUCUUGCUGCCCAAGAUAGGGGAUAGUACAACCGGAUGAUGACGACUCUCCUCAAUUUUUCUUCUGGAUAGACCUAACUAACGAGCGAUCGUAGUUUGAUAUUACUUUUUUCUUGACCUUUUUGCUGAUGCCAACAAAAAAUGCCUUCGCAGAUGGAUCUAUUGGAGUCUUCUUCUCAGGCGAUCACGGUUUGAAGUGCUCCCUUACUUGUGCACGCGAUACCUCUAAGCAUUCCUCGUAAGUCAUAUCGCCUGCUAGCUUCUUAAUAGAUUCAUAAUUCUUUGAUUUCAUCUUCAUCAGUUUGUUCACCUUUGGUUGCCUUGGCUUGGAAUGUGGUCGCGACUUCUUGAGAGGUGGUGCAGGUGUUUCCUUGCUCGCACCAAACUUUAGUCCCGGUGCUGGACACGGUGAUUGAGGAGAGGUGUUUUGGUCGUCGUCGCUCGCACCUGUAAGAUUAUUCGAUGGUGCUGGAGAUGAUGAUUGAGCAAGAUGCGACGGUCAUGGUGGUGACGACGGUCCUAGAGGUGGAUGUGCUGGAGUUGACAGUCUUGAGUUCUAAGGAGAUGGUUGUUGCGGGGGAUCUAUGGGAAGAAAUGAUGCCUCCUGACCGGGGAUGAUGAUGUAACGUUUGAGCCAUAGAAUGAUACUAUCACAAGUUUGCUCCACCCCAACGGUGGAGUAGCCAAGUGGAAUCAUCAUGCCAUGGCAGGGUUGGUAAAGCACUUUUGUACGCCACUUGUACAUUUGGGAGAAAAGAAGUUAUUAAAUUCCCAAGGUGUAGACCAAUUGAGAUAAUUAUAUAUAUUAUAUAUAUGUAUACGUUAAUAGUGAGGUUGUCAAAUGGUCUGUACAGCUCACAUGAGGUGCGCUGAGUGAUGUCAUCCACGGGGUACCGUUGGUUGUCCUGCACAACCAUGGGUAAGCUUGGCAUGUCCUCGUUGGGGAGCCCUAUGGAAGCACAACUGCUUUGGCGUUGAGAAGGGCUGACGACGUUGGGAUUAGGCAGUGAUCCAAAUAAGGCCAUCUCAGUAAUUGCUUGUGCCAAUCACCGUUGAACUUCUUCCUGCAUUCUUUUGUCUUGUUCAUGUACUUUCGCUUCUAACAUGCACCAUCACUUCUCCUCUUGUUGUUCCUUUCUUCUCUUCUGACUUCUAUACGUGUCGAUGUCCCUACGAAAAGUAUACUUCCACGGAACCACCCUGUAGCCUCGACAACGUCCUAGGUGAUUGGGAUUCCCGAGCACCAAAGUCAGCUCAUCAUUCUCUCUAUCAGGCUUGAACUUUCGUACUUUAGAAUCUUCAAUGUGUUUAAUAAGCCUGAGGGCCUUCUCACGUAUUGUUCAUUCAAAACAAGUGUGCCAUCCUUAGGGCUAAGGGUGCCUUCGUGAGCAUAAUACCAAUUCUUCAAUCGGUCGGGCCAAUCAAUAGUCGUUGGUACGAUACCUCGAUCGAUUAGGUCUUGUUUCAUCUUUCUCUAUCUAGGAAUUGCACUCUUGUAACCACCUUACCCUAGACGAUGAUGGUACUUUGUUUGACGGGCAUUGCCUAUGUUGAUACGAACCCUAUUUGCACUUGCUUCAGACAUGUUGUAUUCCAAAAAUGAGUUCCAGUGAUCUUUUAACUUUGGCCAGUCAUCAAAAUUUGGAGUCUGACCCUUCUUGAUAAAGUUGGUAUCCAGGUUCUUCUUGAAGGUCUAAAAUUGGGUUGACAUCUUCGUUAGAGUCCAGUCUUUCAAAAAAAAUUUAUCAACGACUUCAGGAAGUAUGAAAUGUUUCAAAACAUCUGCCCAGAACAUAUCUUUAUGUGUCUGCGGGAGCAUGUAUGGCUCAUAUUUUUUAUUGGACUUCCAUUCUCUAAUGCUGAUGGGCACAUUGUGUCGGCUAGGCACCCCUGGGCUCACCACAAGACUUGUAUGGAUCCACUCAAGGGAAUGUACCCGAAACCUACUCGAACAUGAAGACUACUCUACAGGGUGCGUAGGCUUCUUUUAACUCCUCGAAGACUAGUCAGAUCAGAAGGAAACUACUCUACCGAGUUAGAGUAGGACUCUGUAAACGUACUCGACUAGAACUCAUACACAAUCUGCCUUGUAACCUUGCUCCCCUGACUAUAUAAGGGCGGGCAGGGACCCCCUCCAAUGCACAAUAAACAACUCGACACAAGUUCAAUACAAUCAAUACACAAGACAUAGGGUAUUACGCGAUCUAGUAGCCUAAACCUAUCUAAAUCAUGUUCCUUGCGUCACCAUCGACUCCUUGAUUCUUGAUGACACCCACCGCACAAAAGACCACAUUGGGUACUCCCUAGGCGGGUUGCCGGUCUAAAACACUGACAGCUGGUGCGCCAGGUAGGGGAAGUCACCGAGUUUCUCCAUGCGAGAUCAAUGGCACCAGUCAUCAUUAAGCCUGCUUUCGCCCUUGAAGCAGGUGCAGCCUUCAUCUUUGGUUCUUAGCUUUGCGUCGUUGACGGCGCUGGAUCCUUUUAAUGCUGCAUCAUCGGCAACCAGGUAAAGAAGCAUCUCGGCGAAAACUCUCUUCAUCAAGAAGAAAAUAAUCUCGUCGAAAAAAUCCAAAAUUUCAACGUCAACAACAAUGAGUUCGACUACAGCUUGGACUCAACCCCAACUCGGACUAGCCCGCACAGGCUGAUGUCCAAGUCAUCCCGCAAGUCGACUUCAACUCAAAAUCGAUUCCCACUCAGACUCCGCAAUGCAGCCACGGUCCACCAAGAACUCCUCACUCAAGUCCAAUCCAAACUCGAGUCAGUUGGGGACUGCGACUACAACUCGGACUUCGUCCAAGAGAUUUCUUUAUCAGGCCCAGCUCAAGGCUUGGUAAUUACUUCGACUCCGCAAGGCAGAUUCAUUUAUUGGCCUAGGAUGAAGCCAUCGUUCCUACCCCAAGAUUACGAGUCACGCCUUGUCGCUCACAUAGACAAUCUCCCGUAUCAAGAAGGCAUCCCGCUUACCUCAACCUGUGAAGAAGGAAGCACUAUAGAGAUUGCAACAUCAAGCUUUGGAAGCUACUACCCGGAUAGAGAAAUCUUUGUCAUCACAUCACGAAACAACGACGCAGGAGCCAACCAUCAAAAAACUCCUCAACGGGUUGCACAACUCGACGACGUUUCAUAAGAUGAAUCAUCAGCCAAUGCCCCGCAAGAUGAAACCUCUGAACAAAGAAAUCAAAGAAGGGCACGCAAUGCUGCCCGAGCAGAUCGUUGUCGACUACUAGCUACAAACAUUCCUAUCGUGAACCUCGAAAGAGCAUUCGACAGAGUGCAAACUCGAGAGCACAACACUCCACUCGCAACAAUUGUCUUGAUCAAUCUCAUAUCAACUCUUAUACCUCAUGACAGAGAUAACGAGUUAACAGCACAACUCAUGGAAAGGGGCAACAAGUUAAUAGCCCAACUUGCGGAACAAGAUUACAAACUACUCAACAAAGAAUCGCCAAUCCCAUCUAUCCCUCACAACUUGGCCCACCAGGAUGGCAGCAGAGACGUUGGAGUCUACGGUGGCAAUCGCGAGGUUCUAAGAAAUAGUAACGAAGUAGUCAACCAACCAAGGCAACAUAGCCAAAGGCAAAAUAGAGAUGAAUGCGAGGCCCUAAGGCGAAAAAGGGAUGCAGGGGAGGCUAGUUGCACCAAUUCUGCAAAGAGCCCUCACCACCACAGAGCUGAUUGCGAAGCCUCAAUCUUCAGCGACCUAAGAGAGGUAAUCAAUAACAACCACCACCACGAACGUGAACGCAAAGCCAAUGACUAUGACACUUCCUCGCCUUUACCACAUGGGUAAUGAAGACUAAACUACCUGAGAAGUUCAAGCUGACGGGGAUCACCAAGUAUGAUGGCAAGCAAGAUCCAGUCCAAUGGUUACGAUGCUACUCACUAGUAGUUCAAGCAGCUGGGGAUAAUGAUGACACAAAGAUCAUUCACUUCCCCAUAUGCAUGGAACCCGCACCGUAAACAUUUCUCGAGUCACUCAAGCCCAAGUCGAUCGAUUCCUGGGAAGACUUGAUGAAGACUUUCACUAAUAACUACGUAGGCUCCAUGUCCCUCCUAGGCAACAAAAUUGACCUAAGCCAAGUCAAACAGAAAGAAAGCGAAACACUUUGCGACUACCUACGCCGUUUUUUUGAAAAGAAGGCUACAAUAGUCGACAUUUCAGAAGCAGAAGUCAUCGAGUGCUUUCAAAACGGACUUUAUGAUCAUCGAACAUACCAAGACUUUGGCAGACAUCGUCCAACCACUAUCAAAAAUCUCAAAAUCAUGGUGCAACAAAGGGCAGAUGAAGAAGACAAAGAGCGUGAGAGAUUCAGCUCUCAUCGCAACCACGGCCACGACAACAAUAACAACAAUCAUGAACAAGAUAGAAACCGCAACAAUGAAGACAAGUUCCAGACUACCUCUAAGAUGGUCAACGUCAUUUUUGGUGGAAUCCCGAGUACCGCGUCCAAGCGGUCCAAUAAACUAGUACUUAGAGAGAUUAUGGCUAUCGAGCCAGCAGCUCCUACACCACUCAAAUGGUCUGAGUGUUGAUGUUGAAAAUCGACCGAUGACCCUCGGCGUCGGACACAUGACCUGGGAGAAUCUGCGAAGCUCCUAUUCGGGUUAUUGCCCUGGUGCGAUUCACGUGGCGUGCCAGUCAAUCUGACCUGUUGAUUGAUAAGGAAAGAAAAGUAUUAAAUUCCAGGGGUUUCGAUCGGCUAAGGUUCCGAUCUGUCUUGAAAAGUGUACCAGCGAAUUAGCCGAAUUAUUGUGUAGAUGACCGGCUAUAGAACAGCCGAUAAUCACGUAGCAAUUGUAAAGAAACUACUAGAGCAACCUAAACAAUGCUACAAAAGCAACACUUGGAACAUAUCUAACCGGUUAUAUGAUGAUAAAUAAAAAUAAUGAUAAAAAGCUGAUAGUUCGUGUCUCAAGGUGGAUAACUGGUGAUAAAACUAAAUCAACAGGUAAAACCUAUAAUUCUAGUAAAUAUCGAUAACUGGUGAAUAAAUCUAAAUGAAACAACAGUGAUGCGCCCAAAGUUAAAGCUUAGAUAUUACUCGAUAAGCGGAACUUACAAAUCGGCCGGAGGUCGUAUUGAUGCAGUCCUGCCAACUCGUACAAACUCGUGAAAAGAAAAGGUUUUGGCGAAGUCGCCGGCUUGAAAGUAAAGUGCAAGGAGAAAGUAGAUUUGUUGUAUUGAUUGAUUGAUAUGUUUUUUACAAGCCUUACAAGGCAGCUAUUUAUACCCUGUUACAAUUGAUUUCCUAACCGACUAGGAUCUAUCUCUAAUUUAAAGAUAACAAAUAUUUACAAACGACCGCAACCCGCAUCGGAGUUGGUUAUUAUUUUCUCAUGGGCCAAUCUUCUUCUCUGGCUAAUCAUCACCCUGGCCCACUUUCGGCCCACAUUGGCCAAGCCGUUCUGGCUCCCAAUUGGCCAGCCUUUAUUAACUCCUUCAGCCAGUUGGCCGAAACACUGUAGCUCUAAUCAACCAAUUCCCAACUGUAGCUUCUUGCUUGCCGCGACGGCUGCCUUCCUCUCCUUUGAUGUCGAUCCAACACUUCUCAAAAUCCGGCUUUUGCUCCGAAAAUUUUCAAUUAUGACUCUUUCUCCAAAGAAAGCGCAACAGUAAACGCGGCAAAACUCCUUUUUGCUCCGGAGUCUUCUUUGUGAUGAUUGCGAUUCUUUUGAAUGAUGCGCCUGUAGGCAACCGCUCUUCCCGAAAUUCGCGUAGAUGGAACGAUAAAAAUCCCGCCUUUACCCUUCUCUCGAACCGUCCUUUAAAUACUCGCAUCUUCCGCCGCUUCUUCUCCUCGAGCUUCAAAAGCUUUUCUUCUCAGGCAAACCAUCUCCCGUCGCACUCUGACACCUAUUCAUCUUCCAGCUUGCAUUUCUCCAAUGACUCCUCCUCAUUUCUUGAUCAAUUCGCACCAGUCCCCCAAAAUUCCAAUGGCGAUCCCGUCAGCAACCAUGGCUUUUAUCCCGGAGGUAAAUACCCUAAAACUUUCUCCUUUCACUUUUCACCGUUUUACGAAUCUUUAGAUCUGUUCUUAGUUUCUUCUUCUUUAUAUCUUCUCAGGAGCUUAGGCAAAGAAUCACCAUCCCUAUAUCUGACGCGCCAGGUCUUAUCAGUCUUGGCCCCAAGGGGAAUCCAGAUCCAACUAAGUUAAUUAACUUGGAAACUCACAAAAUCCCCUCAAGCAAUCGACCAUGGAUCUGAACAAUUGGUCAGGCACAUUCAGGUCCUGGCCGAACGAGACCCCGGGCUGGAGAGAAUGGUUCCUAAGGAUGUCAAACUCCAAGAGAGUUCUCUGGGACGAAUUGAAAAUCGGCCACUACAUAAAUCUGUCCUUGUCUCAAUUGGAAAGGAACGACUCCUUGGUCAUAGUGGCGUCUUAUUUCUGGUCUGACGCCCUCAACGCAUUCCUCUUCAGCCAUGGGCCCAUGACCCCCACUCUGGCCGAUGUCUUGAUGUUGAUCGGUCUUGACGUCACCUCCGCCGAUACACCAUUUAAUGUUCUAAUCAAGGCCUCUCACCGUCUGGAAACAAAGGGGAUCGGCGGAUGGAAAGGUUUCAUUGAAAAGAACAUGAAGACUGGGCCCAUUACUGACAGAGAGUAUACGACCUUCUUGAUGAUGUGGCUAGAGAAGCAUUUGUUCUAUGGCAGAUUAGUCGUCCCCUCCUCCAACACACAAGCUUUGGCCGAAGCAUUAGCAAGAGGCUCAACUAUUACUUUGGGAAAACAUUUGCUGGGAUUGGCCUAUUAUAUGAUGCAUCAGAUUGCUAUAAAGUUAUCAUCUAGAGAGCCUAUCGGGAACCCUGGUGGUCCCUGGUGGUUUAUCACCCUUUGGCUUAACUUGUACAUGAGCAAAAUUUCCAGAGAAAGGGUCGAAGACAAAUCCUUCCCCAACAUUGAGUCAGAGGACGAUCCAUCGGCACGACGCCGUUGCACCUCCUUCGGCGAAGCUGUAUCAUCCUUCCCCGGCAGCAGGUUUACUCCCUUAAGAACGGUCGAGUAUUUCAGAUGUUUUUAUAUCGGCUUUAGCGAAGAAACCAUGAGCUGGUACCCGUACUAGAGGGAAGAGCCUCUUUUUGAGAACCCUGACUGCUUUGACUGGGCACCAGUUCUUUCGAAGAUAGGAUCAUGGAUGUUUUGAUCAAGAUUGGAAUCCUGCCAGCCAACUUCUUCUCCGGAAAGGAUUCUCCAACGUAUGAAUUUUACAACCCGUCAGUGGCAGCCCGACAAUUUGGCCUAGGACAGAUGCCGAUUGGAGUAUAUACUUCGUCGAUCGUGUGAAGUUCUGAGAGUGGCUUUCAAAAGGAUUUGAAUGCAAUCGGUUGUGCAGUUUGAUACCAGACUCCAGCACUAUUGAUUUGAACAACUGGCUGGUAGCACCCUUUGCCACUCAACAAUUUAAAUUAUGGUGGGGUGAGUGGAAGCAACAUCUUUUCUAUGUGUCUCUUGCAAUAUAUUGCAACCAGCUGGACCCUGCUCAUAUUGACCCAAACGCGGAGGUAACAAUUUUCCCGGUCGAUUUCUUUUUUUUUUCUUCAUGCCACAAGGUUCUCAUUACUGACUCUCCAUUUUUUCGCAGUCCGAAAGCCAAGCACCUUCGACACGCAGCCGAAGCGGUAGGCUGAAGAGAACCUCCAUCCAUAUACAACAUUCCUGGUCAUCGGCUUUCAUGCCACAAGAUGUCUUCUUUGAAGAAGACAAGCCAUCGAGUAUGCGCCUGUAUCGAAUCAAUAGCAACUCCGAUAGCUGAUCAAUCGGCGACGCUAUCGGCCGAGCCCUCAGCUGUGCUAGCCCCAGUCCUACUAGUAAUCCAGGAGGCUGACCCCCAAGCGAUUUCAGAGGCUGGAUCGGUGGCUGCAUCCCUGCUGGUAGAAGCUGCACAGGUAACCCCGUAUGCUGUAAACCCUCUAAGUAUACUAUCAACAUUAAACUUCACUCCUUAUCAGGUUGCGCAAAUUCUCCCGGAGCAAACUAUUCAUCAAUCGGCUGACCCUCGGGCGGAAACCGAACCAUUAGCAAUCCUUCCAGUCGAGGUAAAGAAUGUUCCUUUCAUUUGAUUUCUUCAACCCUUAACUGACUGAUCCUUGGCACAGGCCGCCCCGGAGACAUUGAUUGUCCCCUUCAGGCAGCCAUCAGCCGCACGAUUUUUAGAGGUAAGAUAACUGACACCCAUUCCCAGAUCCAAUUAUCCUUUCAUACUCUUAGAGACUUUUCCUGUCCUUCUCCAGGAGGCUGGUCCAAGCACCAUGCCAAUCAUCGUCAAAUCCUCUUCUUCUGACGAACCACCUGCGCCAAUUCCUAAGACGAGAGCAGCUCUCCCACCAACCCAGGCAGAGGAAAUCCAUUUUAAGGAGGUAAGGAUCAUCUUACUCCAUGGCAGAUUUCUUAAAUUUGUCGACUGAAGUACUCUUUCCUCUUUAUAUUUUUUUUAUAGGAGCAAGACACCCCCAACAAUAGUCUAUUCUUGUUUGCGGUUGUAGCCUCUGAUGAUGAGGAAGUUGCUUCGCGUCAACUAGCCCUGGGCUCGAUACCCUAAGAGGUCCGCGUCAAGCUCCAAAAUAUACGAACUCUUCUGCAGGACAAUAUUGGUCAAUUGGUGGAAGACGCCUCACCAAUUCGGCAAAUAUUUAAUGAAAUCAAAGGCCGAGUCCCAGAAGAUACAGAGGAAGCUCUUGCAUCUGCAACAUAUAUUGAAUCAAUGCAAAUCUAAGUGUUCGGAGCUCUACGACAUAUGGCCGAUCGCGCCAAGCUGGCAAAGGCAUGUGAAGAAGAAGAGUCUUAUAAGCACCGAGCUCAAGAAGUACAUCACCGAAUCGGCACUCUCGAGAAUUCGCGCCCAUUGUCAGCACCAUCGAUCGACUCAAGCGGUGUAAGGCAGAACUCACCAAGUAGACAGAGCAGGUUGUGAAGGCCAUCGCUGUUGAAGACAAGAAACUCCAAGACCUCCCAGCCGUCAUCGCCGAUCUGAAAUAGGAAAGGCAAACUCUCGCCCACGAGGCCAUUCGACUUCACCAUAACAUGCCAGAAGUUCCUGGAUCGGCCGAUGACGACCAGCGAGUAUAAACUCGGCAGAUCAGAUCCAUCAGCGGGCGAUUGAGGCCAUUAAUACCCUCCUUGGAUAAAUGUACUUGAACAUUGAAUGCUUUUGAACAUUUUUUUGUAAAACAUUAAUGCCUUUUAUUAUCGUUGUAUGAAUACAAAUCUGAACAACUUUUCCCUGCAGCUUUUCAACCCAUCGGUCGUUUGCUUUGAAUGACUCCUUCUACUAACCGUUGCUUCUCGUCCUUUCCUCCUAUAAAUACGAGAUCUUCACAUCUCCUCCAAAGGUAUUUGCACAACAUCCAUACAUUUGCCCUUUGCUAAACGCUUUUAGAUCCCAAGCCAGGCAUCCGGAUGGCCUCUUCUUCCUCUGUUAAUCAGGUACAAAAUCAACCUUUGCGCUCUUUAACUGAUCUUUACCGUCGACUGCCUGCCUAUUGUUUCUCCAGCCAACCCGGCUCAGCCCCGGUCUUGAAUGGGCUAUCGAGAUCCAGCAUUCCGAUGAACCGCUGACACAGGUGGACAAAGAUCUGAUCCAAGCCCAUCGUGAAGAACUUAAGGACCACCUCCCCACCCACAUCAAGAAGAUCGUGGACAAUAUCGAAGCCAACGCCUCCAGGAAGCUACCCCAGCCGCCAAUUGAGAGGAGCCACCAACUACCCCGCCAAGUCGCUCUUGAAGAUGCAAUGGCAGACGUGGAAGAAAAAAGCACCCGCCUUUUGAUCAAACUAGGCCGGAUUGAGAGAGAGAGAGAUCAACACAAGCAAAGCUCAGUUAAAAUGUUGUUAACAUAUUGUAACUUAAUGAAUGUGUUGGUACUUUUAUCCUAAGGCGACUUGUACCCUGUCGGCCAUGCAUCCAAUUAUUGUACCGAAUGAUAAUCGGCUUAUUUGCACAAGUGUUUCUUGCUUUUUUGUCCUUAAGGCGAUGCCCUUCGCAUCGACUAUACAAACCCGAGUCAAUAGGAAUCGGCCGUAAAAAACCCGACACGCCAUAUCAUCGGCUAAGCAUCUACCCAUAUGCUGGGAUAGUACUGUUGACACCAGAUUUCGACACGAGUAAAAUCGGCAUCACGAGAAGAAGAAAUGGGAAGAUACAGCAGGAUACAGGGGUGACAGUUGGAAAUCGGCCGAGUGGCGCUACAGUUAAAGAUCGGUUGGUUGGUGCUACAGUCCAGGAUCGGCCGAUGCUACAGUCCAGAAUCGGCCGAUAGAUCUUUAGAAUUCCGCCUCACUUGACCCCUGGGGUUUGGAUCGGACGCGCCCGGUUCCCGAUCGGUUACCCCUUACCGAUGAGGAAAUCGGCCGAUUGGGAGGUUGGAAUAAUUGGGCCGGUAUGGGCUUGGAAAGGAUUAUAAAGAUGAAGAGGGAAUCAGCCCAUGAAGCGUAUAAUAACCGACCUAGUACGAGUCGUACUUGUAAAUAUUCAUUUUCCAUUUGAAUUAGGGAUAGAGUUCUAGUCAGAUAAGAAGUCAUCUGUACGGGGCUAUAAAUAGCCACUUUUGUAGAUCUGUAAUCAUCAACAACUCAAUACAACAAACUACUAUUUCCUCGUACUUACUUUCAAGCAGGCGACUUCGCCAAAUACUUUCUUCUUUUUCACGAGUUCGUACGGGUUGGCGGGGCUGCAUCAAUUUGACCUCCGGCCGAUCUUGUAAGUUCCGUUUACCGAGUAAAUUCUAAGCUUUAACUUCGGGCGCAUCGCUGUCGUUUCGUUUAGAUUUAUUCACUAGUUAUCGAUAUUUACUAGAAUUGUAGGUUUUACCUGUUUUUCUAGUUCUAUCACCAGUUAUCCAGCUAGGAAUCGGCAAUUUCAGCUUUUCUCAUAUUUUGCUGUUUAAUUUACUUAUUUUACGCAUAGCCGACUAGAUCUGUUCCUAGUGUUGCUACUGCAGCGUUGUACUGAUUACUCCAAUAGUUCUCAUUCACGCUGCCUGGUAAUCGGCUGCUUCAUAGCCGAUUUCUUUAUUACGGCAAAUCGGCCGAUUCGCUGAUAAGCUUUCUCGAGAUCGGAAAUUUAGCCGAUCGCGACUUCUGGAUCUGACACGUCUUCUUCCUUGCCAAUCAACCGGUCAGAGUGGCUGGCACGCCGCGCGAACCGCACCAGGGCAAUCACCCGAAUAGGAGUUAAGCAGAUUCUCCCGGGUCGUGUGUUAAGACGCUGGGGAUUCGGUUGGCCGAUUUCUAGCGCCAACAAGUACCUUUUUAAAUAUCUUCCAUUUAGAGCCCUUGUGAAUUCUUCUCCUUCGAUGGUCUCUAAUAUGUAUGCAUUUCCCAGUGCACACCGACUGAUCCUUUAUGGCCCUUCCCAAGUAGGCGACCAUUUUCCAUAUUUAGGAUCUUUAAAUCCUAUCAGCAGGACCAACUUCUAGACCAAGUCUCCUUGGGAAAACUGUUUGACCUUGACCUUCUUGUCAUACCAUCUAGCGACCCUUUUCUUAUUCUCCACAAUACUGAUCAAGGCCCUCAAUUGCUGACCUACCAAAUCCUCCAGCUCCCCUUUCAUGAGGAUAGAAUAGUCAUCGGCCGUCAACUGAUCUUGAAGUGACGUGCGCCUAGACCCAGUUUUCAACUCCCAAGGUAGCACUGCUUCGUGCCCAUAUACUAAUUGGUAAGGAGACACCUUGGUGGCGCCGUGGCAAGCCAUCCUGUAUGCCCACAAGGACUCAUUCAGUGUUGUAUGCCAUCACCUUGGUUGUUCCUCUAUCUUUCUUUUAAUCAACUUGAUGACUCUCUUGUUAGAUGAUUCAGCCUGCCCGUUGGCAUGAGCAUAAUACGGAGAAGAAUUUAGCAACUUGAUUCCCAUAUCGGCAGUGAACUCCUCAAAUUCUCCCAAAGUAAACAUUGACCCCUGGACAGUUGUAAUAGUCUGGGGAAUACCAAACUGAUAGAUAAUGUGUUCCUUCACGAAUUCAAUCAUGUUGGCCGACGUCAUGAUUUUUAGAGGAACUGCCUCCACCCAUUUGGUGAAAUAAUCAGUAGCCAUUAAUAUAAACUUAUGUCCUUUACAUGAUGGAGGAUAAAUCUGUCCGAUGAGGUCGAUUCCCCAACCUCUAAACGGCCACGGCUUUAUUAUUGGGUUCAUAGCCGAGGCCGGUGCUCGUUGCACGUUGCCGAAUUUCUAACAAUCCUGACACCCUUUAUAGUACUUAAAACAGUCUUCAAGUAUCGUCGGCCAAUAAUAACCAUUAUUUCUAAUCAUCCACUUCAUCUUGAAAGCCGAUUGAUGGGCCCCACAUACACUUCAUGAAUCUCUCCCAUCAGAGUCUUUGCUUCUUCUACUCUAAGGCAUUUAAGUAGUACCCCAUCAAUCGUUCGGUAAAACAAAUCAUCUUCAAGCAAUACGUAUUUCGUAGCCUGAAAGCAUAUUCGUCGGUCAACUUUCUUGGACGAAUCCUUUAGAUAAUCGGCGAUCUCCUUCCUCCAGUCGUCGGCCACAAGCUCUAGGGCCAUGGCACCUUGAAUCGGCCGAUACCCGGAGGCAUGCUGGGCAAGCCUGUUAGCUUCCUCGUUGUAAUCCCUAGGAAUAUGUUCAAUAAUUGUAGACCUGAAUUCCUUCAGCAACUGGAGGCACUCUUCAUAAUAGAUCCUCAGAAUAUCAUCCUUGCAUUCAAAUUUCCCAGUUAAUUGGUCCACAAUAAGCAUGGAAUCCCCACAUAUUUGCACCGUGUCGGCUUUAACCUCCCUCAACAGUUGGAUGCCUUUUAGAACAGCCUGAUACUCUGCUUGAUUAUUAGUGGCGGAUGCUUCAAUCGGCAGAGAGAAAUCAUAACUUGCCCCCUGAGGCAAUAUGAGUAUGAUGCCGAUCCUUGAUCCGGCCCCACAUGAAGUGUUGAAGGUAUGCCCUAGAGGAAAUCAUAGAGAUGAUGAUAUUCCAUUUGUAUCCAUGAUUUAUAUUGUGUUCCUAGAAUAUCCAUUAAAGGCUACUUGAAUUGAUUUGCAAUUAUGUGAAUUGUAUGUGAAUCUCUUUACUUGUAUGGUUAUUCUAAAGUUGUCCCUAGUCGGAGUUCAUGUGAGGACACACAUGAAUAUUAGACUAGCACAUGUAUUAGUUUAUGACUAUGUUUCACAAGUCAUGGACAUGGAGAUGUUGAACUAAUAAUGUGGGCACAUGUGGAGACAUGUGCUAGGACUGACCCAACACGAGAAGUAGUUCUCUCUUUACACAACAUAUACGCUUUGUCCUUAGACCUGAGAUUGUCGCAUGUAUUCAAGAUGUGGAUCGACUUACUUAGAGGCUAUCAAACGCUACGCCGUUACAGGGUAGUUAUAAAGGUAGCUUUCGGGUUUGUCAAGAAGCAUGCUAUGAGACAUGGUCAAUCAAGAUGGGAUUUGCCCCUCUCUGAUUGAGAGUGAUAUCUCUGGGCCCCUCGAGUGAUCGGAUCCGAAAAUGCAUGGCCAUGCUACGUACGGUUAAGAGUUAACCUACAAAGGGAUUCCGAAUCAUAGGAUCGAGAAAGAGCGGUCGGCUUGAAGCUAGACCAAAUAUCGUGAGGUAAAGGGAAUAGCAUGUAUAUAAUGUUGUGAUGGUUCGUCUGAUAUGAUCUUCGUGUGCGUAUAGGAGUUGGCACGUCUUGCUAGAGGCCGCUACCGACUAUUGGGCCGAGUAGGAGUACUCGGGCCAUGUCUAUACGUAUCCGAACCCAUAGGGUCACACACUUAAGGGGCUGGAAGGCCAAUUCGGAUGUGAUCCGAUUUGGAGUAGGUUUAGAAGUACUAAUGGGCCUUGGACCCAGAGGCCCGUUAGGAACCUUUAUAAAUAGAGGGGUGGGGGCGCCCUAGGGUUUACACCUUUUGGCGAAACACAUCUGCUGCGCCUCCCACGCCCUCGCCUGUUGCAACUCACGAACCUAGCAGUCCGGCUUGCGACGCUUCCUCCCUGCACGUGUGGAUACCUUGGAGGUGUUGCGCCUGCAGCACUUGGACGAGCCACCGACGAGCUACGACGAGCCGCCGACGAGCCACGACAAGCCGCUGACGAGCCACGACGAGCCAACGACGAGCCGCGGCACGAGGGCGAUCUUGCUGCACGUGGAUGAGCUACUGAGGAGCUGCUGGACGUUGACAUGAUCGACUACGUACGACUACGCUGAUCGACUUCGCUGCAUCGACGCGAAUCUACAUCUUCUGUAUCAAUGCGUUGAGUGGUAAUCCCGUGAUCCUUGUACGGCAGUUUUCCUGGUUUUACGCAGUAGAAAAUUUUUAUUUGCGCUAGUGUAGCCUACCUCGUAUCCCAACAAUGGUAUCAGAGCCGUAGUUGUUUAGUUUUGGAUUCGGGAUGUGUGCAUAUGGAGAUAUGCGAGUUUUCAGUUUGAUCCAUGUCCUGGUUUCGUGUUCUUGCUGCAAUGGUAGUGUAACGACAUACUCCUACCGAUCGGGUUUCCGCCAUCGGAGUUAAGUGAUACACGUAAUUCUAGUUGCAGUGAGCGAAGAUCAAUGUGAUUGGUCGAAUCGAAAUCCAGGUUCAUACGCCAGGCGCAUGAGAUGUGCAAUAGUAGAUUGGAUCUACUACUGGUCGGGAUUUUGCCGUGUGCGUGUGCUUCGGUAAAUAAGCCGUAACUUUUCGGUACGAUCUCGGAUCGGGGUGAAUUUUAUAAGGAAAUUGAUCUACACAAAAAUUUACACAUGAAAUUCAAUGGCUUGCCAUUUUCGGCGAAAUUAGAUUUCCCAAAUUCGGCUUGGAAGAUGGAGUUUCGGGCCUCCGAAGUUUGGAACAUUAGGACGCUUAACUCUGUUUUGCAGGAUGUAUGUAUCUUGUGAUCAGUAUGGUCCCUUUGUGUAUGUGAUGCAUGUGUGUAACUCAUUCGUGACCUGCGUGUCGCGCGUACGGCAACACGGCUGGAGCCAUAUGUGUUGUCACUCUAAUGUAUUUAAUGGUUUGCGUACCAAUCUGUGAUGAUCCAAGCAACUAUGUAAUCUUCAUUACUAGCUUCUUUACUAGGUAUUAGGCGUAAUAGCAUGUUCUAGUUCUUGGAGGACUCAUCACCAGGAGGAUGGCGCACAUGGAACAUGGAGAUGGAGAUCACCAUGGUGAACAGGUUCUGUGGAGAUGGAGAUCACCAUAAGAAAACGGGCCAUACUUUGUCACAACUGUGUGAAUGCUAUUUUGUUUAUGUUUUACUUUCUGCAUGCUGUGAUGUUAGAAGUAGAACGAUCCCUCACAAAGUUUAAGUAAGUAUGCCCUCCCAACUAAAACUUGCACCGUCCCAUGGCUUGUACAAUUAGUGGUGGGUCUAUGAAAUUAGGGUGCCACUAGUUUUCCUUGACUAGACGGGUUUGUGUUGGACACUUACAUGCAUAAGGGUUGGUUUGCUUAACAAGGUUAACUUAACGGUUAAGGACCUUGGGGCAUAAAGGUUGGGCGCCGAGACAUGGAGAUGUCACCCAACAACAGGAGUCAUAUGUGAUAUGAUUAGCAAGAAGUUACUUACCGAUCUACCUUGUUUGCUAGCGGUGAUGUUAAAGCUCACUAGUAGACUUGUUAGUUGUGGAUCCUGAAUCACUAAGUAUCAAUAGAGGGAUAUUGAUUUUAGUGGGAGUAGAUUCUGUUAAAAUAGUUUAAUGUGAUUUUCUCUAUCAUGGAUACGUUUGUCUUAGUGUAUUUUGCAUUACUUUUGUUGUAGAUUAAAUGGCACCUAGCAACAUUACACCGUUUGCUUUGCGUUCGGUCCUUGAGAAGGACAAGCUGAAUGGAACAAAUUACUCGGAUUGGAUCCAUAACUUGAGAAUUGUUCUCAGGGCUGAGAAAAAGGAAGAUGUUCUAGACAACCCACUACCAGAAGAACCUGCUGCUGCUAAGAAUGCUUACAAGAAAGCAUGUGAUGCUAACCUCGAAGUAAGCUGCCUUAUGCUUGCUUGCAUGGAACCCGAGCUGCAGAUGCAGUUUGAAACAAACCAUGAGGCGCAUGAUAUGAUCGUGGCGCUUAGAGACAUGUUCCAAACACAGACCAGGACUGAAAGGUUCAAUGUGUCUAAGGCCUUUGUGGAGAGCAAGCUAGUAGACGUAAUCAAGAUGGUUGGUUACACUCAACGGUUGGAGAAGCUGGGCUUCCCACUGGGCCAAGAGUUGGCCACUGAUUUCAUUCUUUCGUCUCUUCCGCCUAGCUAUGGGAACUUCAUCUCGAACUACCAUAUGCAUGGGACGGAGAAGGGUCUGAAUGAGCUGUGGGGCAUGCUUAAAACAGCAAAGGCUGACAUCAAGAAAAGUGCUAGUAGCAGCCAUAUGAUGGCUAUACAAAACAAGCCUGGCUUUAAGAAGAAGGGCAAUUCUUGGAAGAAGAAGGGCAAGACUGGAACGUCCAAGCCAAACCCAGCGCCCAAGGUUAAAGCUGGACCUGGACCUGCUCCAGACAAAGAGUGCUUUUACUGUCAUGAACUUGGUCAUUGGAAGAGAAAUUGCAAGUAGUACCUAGCUUCGUUGAAGAAUGGCGGAAGUAAGAGUACUCCCACCUCAGGUAUGCUUGUUAUUAAUGUUAUAGACAACAUAUUUCUCGCUGAUAUAAUUAUUAAUUCUUGGGUAUUUGAUACCGGAUCAGUUCCUCAUAUUUGCAAUUCGAUGCAGGGAAUGAUAAGAAGUAGAAGCGUGGAAAGAGGAGAAGUUGAUUUCCGCGUGGGCAAUAAUGCAAGAGUUGCUGCGUUGAUCGUCGGGAUGAUGCAACUCCACCUCCUGUCAGGAUUUAUUAUGGAGUUGAAUAAUUGUUAUUUCGUUCCUAGUUUAAGUUGAAACAUUUUGUCUCCUUCAUGCUUGAUGAAGGAUGGUUAUUCAUUUGCGAGUGAAAACAAUGGUUGUGUGAUCUCUAAGAAUGAUAUGUUUAUGGCUUUUGCACCCAUUGUGAAUGAAUUGUUUGUUUUAAAUCUUGAUGGUUCACCUAUCUGUAACAUAAGUGCUAAAAGGCCUCGGCCUAAUGAUUUGAGUUCUACCUACUUGUGGCAUUGUCGUUUGAGUCAUAGAAGUGAAAAACGCAUGAAGAAGCUCCAUUCGAUGGACUUCUAACUUCGUUUGAUUCUGAAUCAUACGAGACAUGUGAGGCAUGCAACUAGGCAAGAUGACCAAGAUGCCUUUCACAGGAUUUCCUGAGAGAGCAAUAGACUUGUUGGAACUCGUACAUAGCAAUGUAUGCGGACCAAUGAGCACGACGGCUAGGGGAGGAUUCCAAUACUUCAUAACUUUCACUAAUGAUUUUAGUAGAUAUGGCUAUGUCUACUUGAUGAGGCACAAGUUUGAAACCUUUGAAAAGUUUAAGGAAUUUCAGAAUGAAGUUGAAAAUUAGCGUGGCAAGAAAAUUAAGGCCUUAGGAUCUGAUCGUGGAGGCGAGUAUUUGAGCCACGAGUUUAGCAAUCAUCUAAAGAGUUGCGGAAUUGUUCCACAACUUACGCCGCCUGGAACACCUCAGAGAAAUGGUGUAUCCGAGCGACGUAAUCGAACUUUAUUAGACAUGGUUCGAUCAAUGAUGAGCCAGUCGGACCUACCGUUGUCAUUUUGGGGAUACGCUCUAGAAAUAGCAGUUUUCACACUUAAUAGGGUACCAUCUAAAUCCGUAGUUAAGACACCAUAUGAGAUGUGAACUGAAAAAGUUCCCAGUUUGUCUUUUCUAAAGAUUUGGGGAUGUGAAGUGUUUGUCAAACGACUUCAGUUGGACAAGAUCACACGCAAGUCGGAUAAGUGCAUUUUCGUGGGAUAUCCAAAGGAAACUUUGGGAUAUUAUUUCUAGAACCGGUCAGAGGGCAAAGUGUUUGUCGCUCAGAACGGGGUUUUCCUAGAGAAAGAGUUUCUCAAAGGAGAAAAGAGUGGAAAGACAGUGCAUCUUGAAGAAGUUCAAGAUGAACCGAUUGGGCAAGAAUCAAUGAGUGAUGCUAAUGUAGCAAAACAAGUUGAGAUACCCAUGGCACCGCCACAACCACGAAGGUCGGCAAGGCUCCGCGAAAUGUGGGAAAUAUUAUUGUUGGACAAUGAUGAGCCUGCGACAUAUGCAGAAGCAAUGAUGGACCCAGACUCCGAAAAAUGGUAGAGUGCCAUGCAAUCCGAAAUAGAGUCCAUGGGAGACAAUCAAGUUUGGAACUUGGUUGACCCGCCUGAUGGUGUUAAAGCCAUAGAGUGCAAGUGGAUCUAUAAGAAGAAAAAGGACAUGGAUGGAAAUGUUCACAUGUAUAAAGCACGACUUGUCGCAAAAGGUUUUCGACAAGUUCAAGGAGUUGACUACAAGGAGACCUUCUUGCCCGUAGUGAUGCUUAAGUCCAUUUGGAUUAUUCUAGCUAUAGCUGCAUAUUUCGAUUAUGAGAUAUGGCAGAUGGAUGUCAAGACAGCUUUCCUAAAUGGAAACCUAGCUGAGGACGUGUAUAUGAUACAGCCCAAGGGUUUUAUCGAUCCGAAAAAUGCUGGAAAGGUAUGCGAGCUUCAGAGAUCCAUCUAUGGAUUGAAGCAAACAUCUAGGAGUUGGAACAUUCGUUUUGAUGAAGUGGUCAAAGGGUUUGACUUCACCAAGAACGAAGAAGAGUCUUGUGUUUACAAGAAGGUUUGUGGGAGCUCUGUAGUAUUUCUAAUCUUAUAUGUGGAUGACAUAUUGCUAAUUGGAAAUAACAUUCCUAUGCUUGAGUCCGUAAAGACUUCACUGAAAAAUAGUUUUUCGAUGAAGGACUUAGGGGAAGCGGCAUAUAUUCUGCGCAUUAAGAUCUAUAGAGAUAGAUCGAGAAGGCUUAUAGGAUUAAGCCAAGAUACUUACAUUGACAAAGUGUUGAAGCGGUUCAGCAUGGAAGAGGCAAAGAAAGGGUUCUUAGUAUCCUUCGACUGUUGAUGAGCGGGAUCGCAUGAGUAGAGUGCCAUAUGCCUCGGCUAUUGGAUCUAUCAUGUAUGCAAUGAUAAGUACUCACCCAGAUGUUUCAUAUGCGCUAAGUAUGACAAGAAAACACCAGUCUGAUCCAGGUGAGAGUCACUGGACAGCGGUGAAAAACAUUCUUAAGUACUUGAGAAGGACUAAAGAUAUGUUCCUCGUCUAUGGAGGUGAGGAGGAGCUCGUUGUAACAGGUUACACCGAUGCUAGUUUCCAAACCGACAGAGAUGAUUCAAAGUUACAAUCAGGAUUUGCGCUAAAUGGUGGUGCUGUUAGUUGGAAGAGUUCCAAGCAGGAGACGGUGACUGAUUCUACGACAGAAGCCGAGUACAUCGCCGGCUUCGGAAGCCGCGAAGGAGGGUGUUUGGAUAAGGAAUUUCCUCAUUGAGCUUGGUGUGUUCCCGAAUGCGUCCAGCCCAUUGAAUCUCUACUGUGAUAACAAUGGGGCAAUUGCGCAAGCAAAGGAGCAAAGGAACCACCAGAAGAACAAACACGUAAGGUGGCGAUUUCAUCUCAUUCGAGACUUCCUUAACUGCGGUGAGAUCAAGAUAUGCAAAAUACACACGGAUCUGAACAUUUCUGAUCCUUUGACAAAACCACUCGCGCAGGCUAAACAUGAUGCGCAUGUAAGAGCUAUGGGUAUUAGGUACCUUCUAGAUUGACUCUAGUGCAAGUGGGAGACUGUUGGAGGUAUGCCCUAGAGGCAAUCAUAGAGAUGAUGAUAUUCCAUUUGUAUCCAUGAUUUAUAUUGUGUUCCUUGAAUAUCCAUUAAAGGCUACUUGAAUUGAUUUGCAAUUAUGUGAAUUGUAUGUGAAACUCUUUACUUGUAUGGUUAUUCUAAAGUUGUCCCUGGUCGGAGUUCAUGUUAGGACACACAUGAAUAUUAGACUAGCACAUGUAUUAGUUGAUGACUAUAUUUCACAAGUCAUGGACAUGGAGAUGUUGAACUAAUAAUGUGGGCACAUGUGGAGACAUGUGCUAGGACUGACCCAAUGAUGAGGACACCACAAGUAUAUCUACACCAGCAGCACCUCAGGCGCCUCCAGUUGCUCCUCCACCUCAGGCGCCUACAGUUGGGCCAAUCACUCGGGCCCGUGCGAGAGAAUUAAACUUCAUCAUGGUGUUAAGGAACGAAGGCCCAUGGGGAUAAGAAGAUGGCCCAACAAGGCAGCCCAGGUGGGGCGCCUAGGGUUGGGCGCGCGUGACCCCUUCGGACUCCAGGGGCUGCGCUCCCUUUAUUUAGUCCGAGUCCUUUUUGUUUACGACUUGAGUUUUGUUUUACAUCUAGCUUUAGCUACUCUUGAACACGCGCAAAUACGCGCUGUCCUUGUGUGAUUCAGAACUCCACCUUCGAGUGAUAUUUAGAUUGCUCGCCUCUUUUUCUUGUUCGUUCUUCGAUUGCGGGCAGGAAUCGAUCUUCGUGAUCAGGCUGAUCUCGCACCGGCGAGGUUGGUAACCAUCGGGAGUUGGUUCAGCGAUUGCAUUGGCGCUUCGGGUUCGCUCAUCGUAGUCGGAUCAUGAGGGUCUACUUCCACCAAGUCGAAUUUAUCUCCACUCACCGAAAGAUCGGGCACUCCGACUCUAUCAAGUGGUAUCAGCUUUCCAGGUUGAUCGGUGAGUUUUACCGAGUGUUUUUCCCUUCCUACAGUCCACAAAAAACCAAAAGAAAUUUUUUUUCAGAUUAGAUCCUUGUCCCAGCAACCGUUUAGCCUCGCACAUUCUUUCAAUAAGUGUCUUUGUUGAAUUUGUGUGCCUACUCGUUCAAUUGUUGCUGGUUACUUGUGUUUAAUCUCUUGUUUCUCGUUUUCCCUCUAACCCUAGUUUUCGCCGCCGCCGCCGUUCCGCUGCUCGCCAACCCUACCACGCCGCGCACACCGCCCCCCCCUCGCGACAACCGCGCCGCGCCAUCCCACCCCUCCGAUCGCCCCUCCCAUGUCCACGAAAAAAAAGGGUAGAAAGCAAUCACAAAAAAAAGGAAAGUGCAAAAAAAAAAGGAAAGAAGAAAAAAAACAGGGAGAAGGAAGGUGAUACGGAAUACCCCUGUACUUUCGGAAAAAGUGUGUGCCACAAUUUGCUGUUUGAGAUCCUCUGUGUUCAUAUUAUCAGUUUUGGGGCACCCUCUGUGAAAAGAGGUGCGCCCUCUCCACCUUUGCCUCUGUUCUUUCGAUUUCCCUUGUUACCAGCAACUCUUGUUACGUGUUUGGCACUAUAAUUCAACUUUGCAUUAUUGUUUGAUUGUGCUAAUCCUUCAUUUGAGUGCAGCCUUCCCAAAAAUCCACAUAGUUCUACGACGAGCAGCUUUUGUUUCUCCAGGCAAUCGCUCCUCCAAUCUUUCACAAGUUCCACCGGUUGGUUGCAGUUCGCCCCUGUGUGCGUGGUAAGAACGGAUAAGAAUUUGAUAACAGCACUAGUGUGAGCGCCUUGUGAGCCGUUACACCCCUGUUUUGUCGUCGUUUUUGUUCUUGUAUUUGCGCUAACCAUGGCAGAUGAUGUCGACGCGGGGGCUAACCAGCUGCAGGGCAUACGGGCGCAAGUUGAAGGGCUUGUCACCGACAUUCAGACGAUUCAUGAACGGCUGGACUCGAUGACCGAGCGGUGUGAUCAGCUCGACCUUGCACAGACGGCCGCUAAGGCCACACUCGACUCAGUUGUGGCAAGACUCGAUGCAUUGCACACAACAGUCGCAGAGUUGCAGCAGGGUUAUGGUGGUGACUCGGACUAGGACGAUGGCGACCUUUGCCAAAAUUAAAUUUAAAAUUCCACCUUUUAAUGGCAAAUAUGAUCCUGCUGCAUAUCUUGAUUGGAAAUUAGAAGUUGAACAGAAAUUUUCAUGCCAUGAUAUUCUUGCUAAUUCUCAAGUUAAAGCUGGUAUUAGUGAAUUUACUGAUUUUGCUUUAAUUUGGUGGCAUGAAUACAAACACAAACAUCCCAAUACCAUUCCAACCACUUGGGAGCAAUUAAAAACUGCUAUGCGCCACAGAUUUGUGCCUUCUUAUUAUGCUCGCGAUUUGCUUAAUAAAAUGCAACGUUUUCAGCAAGGUUCCAAAUCUGUUGAGGAAUAUUUCCAGGAAUUACAAAUAGGCAUGAUUCGUUGUGGGUUAUUGGAGGAAAAUGACGCUGCUAUGGCACGUUUUCGUGGUGGUUUGAACCGCGAAAUUCAGGAUAUACUUGAUUAUAAGGACUACACAGAUAUGACAACAUUAUUUGAAUAUGCUUGCAAAGCUGAACGUGAAGUGCAGGGACGCCGCUCGAAGACAUAUUCUAACUCUUUUGCAGGACGAAGCUUGACAUCCAACUCCGCACCCGCUCUCCCUGCGCCACCCACGCCCACCACUACACCGCGCGAGCGAACGGCCAAACCUGCCAGCGCUGCCCCUUCCACAGGCGCCGCCCCUCCCACCGGCCGUACACGGGAUAUUCAGUGUCAUCAUUGCAAAGGAUUUGGCCAUGUGAUUCGGGACUGUCCGAACAAGCACACUUUGCUUCUUCGUGACGAUGGUGAGUACUCUUCCGCUAGUGAUUCUGAAGAUACUCGACAUGCGAUGCUUGCCACUGACCAUGCAGCUAUGGAGGUACAUGUCAACCUGGGCGACGCCGAUAGGUAUGAAAGUCUUGUUGUGCAGCGUGUUCUUAGUACACAGGUCGCCCCGUCCGAGAAGAAUCAGCGACACACUCUUUUCCAUACCAAGGGCGUUGUGCAGGAGCGGUCGAUUCGCAUCAUCAUCGACAGCGGCAGCUGCAACAAUUUGGCGAGUACCACGCUGGUUGAAAAGUUGUCUUUACCCACUCGUAAGCAUCCACAUCCAUAUCACAUUCAAUGGAUUAAUGAUGGUGGGAAAAUUAGAAUUACUCGAUCAGUCCGUGUUCCUUUCUCCAUGGGUCCUUAUUCUGAUUUUGUCGAUUGUGAUGUUAUUCCCAUGGAAGCAUGCUCUCUGUUACUUGGGCGACCUUGGCAAUAUGAUACUGAUAGCUUGCAUCAUGGUCGUUCAAAUCACUAUUCUUUCAUGUUUAAGGGUCAGAAAAUAAUUAUACAUCCAAUGACACCUGAACAAAUUCUUAAAGAUGAUCUUGCUAGAGCUGCUAAAACUGCUAAACAACUUGAACCAUCGACAUCUAUUAAUUCUGAAAUCAAGUUGAAUGCUUCUGUUUUGCUUGCCACACGUGCUGAUUUUGAUGAGUUACGCGAUGCUCCUUUGCCAUGCUAUGCCCUUAUAUGCUCUAGUGUGGUCGUUUCACUUGAUGAUGCACCAUCUUUGGAUAUUCCCCCUGCGGUUGCUAACAUUUUGCAGGAGUACGCUGAUGUCUUUCCAAAAGAUUUGCCACCAGGACUCCCACCACUUCGUGGUAUUGAGCACCAGAUCGACCUCAUUCCCGGCGCACAGUGUGGCGGAACCGCCCAACUUAAGCUGGUUUAAGUGCGCCUAAUCGCUGUCGGAACAGCAAUUAUCCGAAAUGCACCUAAAACAGCAUAAGUCCGGUAGUCCGUCGAGUGUCCCUAGGACUCCUCGAAGGAUCCACGACGUGUCUCAUAGCCAUACAUCAGGAUAAUAUCCGCGAUGGGAUAGCAUCAACAAAUAUUACAUUUUUAAAGACAUAACAAAGGUACGAUAUAUUACAACCAUAGUUUGAAGAAAAACUAAACAGUGCAGGUUAGCGUGGUUCUAAGAAUUUAAAACAUGAACUAGUUCGGAAGAAAAGUAAACAUCUAAGUGUUAUUCUAGAGUAUCAUGAGACUCAUAAGAUACCCUAGAUCUUCGGAGCUUCCUCUUCGGUGGGUCCCUGCUGGUUUUCUGAAAAUAACAACAAGGGAUCCCCUGAGUACGAAGUACUCAGCAAGUCUUACCCGACUAACCACUAUAAUAGUUUUCUUUGGAAUGCAUGUCAGCCUUUGGGUGUGCUUGGUUGACACAAUUUUUGCCAAAAAAGCUUACUACAAGUAAUGCCUUAUUUUUAUCUUUUAUUUGGGUUAAGUCAUUAUCUAACCAUUCUAAAUGAUAGCAGAAGUAAAAACAAUCAUAGCUAUUAAAUCAUACAAUACUUGACAACAGAAGAUUUUAUAUUGCAUGAAUUAAUACUACGAUGCUCAACAGUGAUCAAGUGCACUCAUAACCGAGAAUUGCGGCGAUCCGGAUCUAAUUACAUCCUGCAGGAGAGUACCCCGAUCACCAGUAUUAUAUGACUGUCCAGGUCGUACUAACAACCUCUCGAUUAGCAAAGUCAAUGAUUAGGAAUACAACUAACCGGACCCAGGGAUGCACCCCCACAUGGGACCCCACGUCUGGCCUGAUCUCCAUGUGAGUUUCAGGCUACACCCCUGGCAAUCUCCAGCACGUCAAGCGCGGGUACGAAGCAUUCCUGAUCAUAGAAUUUACUAAUCUACUGGGCUUUACUGGUCCCAUACCCAGUAAUUGAUCAGAUGCUUAUCACUUGAUCAACAGUUAAGACACGGAUCGGGCCUUAACCAAAUUAAUCUAGCAGACAGAACUACAUCUCUAGCUUCUGUCCGCUUCUCAAUUCCAAGCUAACCUUCCAUAUAUCACAUGUAUGACUCAAAGUUUUCCCUAAGGUUGGUAAACCAAGCAUUUAAGCAACUAAGCAUUUCUAGACUUGGGUUGUCUUCUAAGAUUUGAACAAGUGGCAAAGAUGUCCUUAAAACAAGGUAUGAUCAUACACAAGAAUAGGUUUCAAGCAACUCCUAGACUUAGUGCAUGCAUAAAGCAAAUAACCGAUAAUAAGUCACAUGAAAUAACGACUCCAAAAUAAAUAGGUAUAAAUGCACCGGGGCUUGCCUGGGAUCAACAAAGGUUAGUUCUUCGGAAAACUUCUUUAUUAAAAGAGGCACUCCACACUUUGCGAACGCUGUCCAUCUCCAGCUGAAUUCCAUGAAUUCCACUUCAGGAGUUGUGACGUCUAUGAUUUAGCAUAUGCAGAAGUUAGAGAUGCAAAACUUUUUGAAUACAAGACUAUACAACUUUCCUUCAUGAUAAAGUUGCAAGCCAACAAGGACUAUACAAUUUAUCAUGAUAAAGUUGCAAGCCAACACACGAAAACCCCAAAGAUUAGCCCACCAUUUUUAUUUCCUUUACUAAACCUGCCUUAGACCUUUUCUUUUAUUUUUAAAAGCAUUAUAAAAAUUUUCUAAUCUCAAAAACUUAAUUCCUAUGAAUUAAUAAUAAUUUGUGGAUAAUAAAGCAUUUUUCAAGUUUUAUACAUUUAAUAAAGUUUAAGCAUUUAUUUAAAUACCUUACAUAAAAAGGCAUUAAAUAAAUACCUAAAUUUUUAUUAUUUUUCCUAGGGUUUAAGAAUUUUAAUGCAUAAAGGAAAAUAAAACAAUCCUAAUAAAAUUGGUUUCACUAAUUUUGGGCACUUCUAGAAUUUCCUGUGAAUUAAAUGGUGGAAACCGUAUUUAAUCUAUUUAUCUAAUAAAAGAAAACCUAAGGUUUAAUAAAAACCCCCGGCCCAAACUUAUCUCACUCGCACUGGGCCCAAAAGCCGGUCCACCAAACUUCUCUUCCCUUUUCCCCCGGCGUAUGGGCUGGCUUGAACCGGCCCAACGAGCGCCCAAAAUAAAUGGGCCUCCUUGCGACCGGCCUGCCUUUCUUACAGGCCGACGGCCUAACUCCUUCCUUUUCAACCACCCGCUGGCCCUCUCUUUUCUUCUUUAUUUCCACCUGGGCCGCACGGUUCACUUCUUUCCUAAGCGACAAAACAGCCCACCGGCUCUUUCUCCUUUUCUUUUACAGCUCGCGGGCCAGCUGGGCCGACGCCUUCCUUUGGCCCACGACGGGCGGUCGGCCCUCAUCUUUUUCUCUCCCCCUCCACCUGGGCCUCUCCUUCCGCAACUCGGCAUUCCCGGCCCAAACACAACGACCGGCCUGUUUCCUUCCCUUCUUCUUCUAUGCCGCGCGGGCUUAGCUGGGCCGGCGCCUUUUCCCGGCCCACGACGGACGGCUGGCCUGCUUCUUUUCCUUCUUCUCCUCACAACCCCCUGGCGCAUGUCUCCUUCCUCCUUGCGCCAAAACAGGGGCGCACGCCGGCGGGCAAAACGGGACGGGGUCCCGGCCAACGGCGGCUCGCCGGCGGCCGAGCCGACCGGGGCGGCGGCGCCCCAGGCCAGGCGCACCUGCGCCCACUGCCCGCUUGCCGGGAGGCGGCCCGAGCCGGCCCCUCCACGGGAGGCUGCGGCUUGGCCAUCGGCCGGCCCUGGCGACGCACGGAGGCGGCACUAGGACGACCGGCGGCGCACUCUACGGCAUCUACACGACCUAGAUACCUUAUGAGGACCGACGAUUGAAAGGGAAAGGACCGGCACGAAGAAACUCACCGGCGGAUGGUGGUGGCGGCGGGCGGACCAGUAUGGCGACGAUUACCGGCUUGCCGACGGGGAGAUGAACUUCGGUUGGGUUGAGGGCGUCGUGGUGGGGCUAGUGGAGCUGCUGGCGGGCGGAUACGCGAAUGGAAACGACGGCGUGGGUGUUGGCCGGCGGCGGCGCUUGCUCGCUCGAGCUCUGCUCCUGUCGACGUAAAACGGCCGGGUGAAAAGGAUAAGCGUGGGGAUAACAACGUCGUGGUCUUUCACCGUGCAUGCGUGCCACCUCAACAACUUGAACGCCUGCGUGAGCGCAAACGUGGCCGUCGUACUGGCCGGUGCUUCGAGAUGCCGGCAGCAGCACGACUCUGUCGUUCUGUUCCUUCUAUUCUUUUUCUUUCCUUCCAAAUCGAUAUUUUCAGACCCCAAAAUCGGCAAAUCCGAACCCAAUCUCUCGAACAUCCUUUAAUCAAUUUUGUAGAGUAAUCUGAACACUUCAAUUGAUAGAUGGGCCUUUACCUGAGAUGAGCACCCUAAGGUCAAGAUUUUGGAGCUCCAAGUUACUGUCACAUUUUGUGUUAAUUGAAUAUUCAGAAUUCAGUUUCGACAGUCUUCCAAUGUGGUCGUUUACCCUUCUUUGGCACCAAUUUAAGUAGCCCAAUUGUAUUCCAUAUAGGCCAACCACUACCCAUUCGUACUCUACAACCAGUAAGGAUUCCAUUUUGCAUAAGAAACUAUAUAACCUUUGCACUGGAUUUUCCAAAAAUUCGCUCCAAACAUCGCUAGUUAACAUUGUUUUCAGACUUAGAAUUUAUGCAGCUUCGAGAGUUGGCCGAAUUAGUUAGAGUGCUGACUUUGAGCUUUGAUUUAAAUUUGAUUCUUUCGCUAUCUCUUAGCAACAACACCUUAUUAAACAUGUCCAAGAAUCAUACUUCACCGCUGUCUAGUUGCCUUUGCUCACUUACUUGAAAAAUUGGGCAGAAUUCGGUUUCAAAAAAAAAUAGAUACUCAUCAUGUUUUCCAGACUUAGAGUUAUUUCAGCAAGGAGCUCGAAAUCUGCUCAUUUGCUGACUUUUGGCUCCAAUUUGAAUUCAAACCUUCCACUUUCUCUGGACAACAACUAUUCAUUUACCUUCUCCACAGUCCAUAUUUCACUAAUAUCCAAAAACAUCUGCUCACUUUUAAUGAAAUUUCUCCAGAAACUGGUUCUAAAGUCAGGUACUCAAUACCAUUUUCAGACUUAACCAAAUUCCAGCAAAGCUGUCUAUUGUGACAAAGUGCCAACUUUCGGCUUCCAAUUGAAAUAGUUCCCUCUGCUAUUCCUGAUCAACAACACCCAGAUUUAGGAGUCCAGGGUUCAUACUUCAACAUGGUAUAGUUGUCCUGAUUUACUUAUUUGAGAAAUUUAUCAGAAUUCACUUUCCAAAAUGGAUUCUGAACUAUUUUUCUGAUUUCUUGUUUUCGGACGGUGAAUAGUAAACAUAGCUUUUCCUUUCCUUCUCUGAUUUCUUUUGAGUCUUUAGGAUCAAAUAUUAUUCCAAAUUUUUGACCCUUAAGUUCUAAUCAUCUUUACACUUCCAUUUUAUAUUUUUGCCGAAUUUUUCUUAAUUUCAAAUUCAAAAUUCAAAUUUCGGCCAAAUUUGACCCGAAUUUGAUUUUCGGUCAAUCUCUUUUUCCUUUCUUCUCGAAUUGCUUUCAAUCCUUCACAGUCACUUUGAUGACUAAAAUGGCGGAUGUUACACACAGCUUCCGAACCGCGCACCGUACCGUACAAAUCCGGAUGAGACAAAGGAAAUCCAGCGCCAGGUACAGGCGUUGCUUGACAAGGGUUAUAUUCGUGAGUCUCUUAGCCCUUGCUCCGUUCCCGUGUUACUUGUUCCAAAGAAAGAUGGCUCAUGGCGUAUGUGUGUAGACUGUCGUGCUAUUAAUAACAUUACCAUUCGCUACCGAUACCCUAUACCACGCCUUGAUGAUAUGCUAGAUGAGCUUAGUGGUGCCAUUAUUUUCACUAAGAUUGAUUUGCGUAGUGGCUACCAUCAGAUUCGCAUGAAAUUAGGUGAUGAAUGGAAAACGGCUUUUAAAACGAAAUUUGGGUUAUAUGAAUGGUUGGUUAUGCCGUUUGGUUUGACAAAUGCGCCCAACACAUUUAUGCGUUUGAUGAAUGAAGUUCUGAGGCCCUUUCAUAGGAUUGUUUGUAGUUGUCUAUUUUGAUGAUAUCCUCAUUUACAGCAAGUCUAUGGAAGAGCAUUUCGAACAUUUGCGUGCUGUUUUUGAUGCAUUGCGUGCGGCCCAUUUAUUUGCUAACCUCGAAAAAUGCAUGUUUUGCACACAACGUGUCUCGUUUCUUGGCUAUGUUGUUACUCCACAGGGCAUUGAGGUGGAUAGCAGCAAGAUUGAUGCCAUUCGGGAGUGGCCUACACCGACGACGGUCACACAAAUUCGAAGCUUUCUUGGCCUUGCAGGUUUCUACCGCCGGUUUGUUCGUGAUUUUAGCUCCAUUGCAGCGCCUCUACAUGAGCUUACAAAGAAGGAUGUUCCCUUUGCUUGGAGUGAUUCGCAAGAGGUUGCGUUCAGCACCUUGAAAGAUAAGUUAACCAAUGCUCCUCUCUUGCAGUUGCCUGAUUUUACUAAAGUGUUUGAGCUUGAAUGCGAUGCUAGCGGUAUUGGGCUAGGUGCUGUUUUGUUACAAGAAGGAAAACCUGUUGCUUACUUUAGCGAGAAAUUAAGUGGUGCUAGCUUGAAUUAUUCUACUUAUGAUAAGGAGCUUUAUGCUUUAGUGCGCACUUUUGCAUACUUGGCAGCACUACCUUUGGCAUCGCGAGUUUAUAAUUCAUUCUGAUCAUGAGGCUUUAAAACAUAUUCGUACCCAAACAAACCUGAACCGUCGUCAUGCUAAAUGGGUAGAAUUCAUUUAGUCUUUCCCUUACAUUAUUAAACACAAGAGCGGGAAGGAAAAUAUCAUUGCUGAUGCUUUGUCUCGUCGCUAUACCAUGCUGUCACAGUUAGAUUUUAAAAUCUUUGGCUUGCAAACUGUGAAGGAUCAAUAUGUGGAUGAUGCUGAUUUUAAAGAUGCUUUCGCCCACUGUAUUCAUGGCAAACCAUGGGGCAAAUUUCACAUACAGGAUGGGUUCCUGUUUCGCGCUAACAAGCUGUGUGUUCCAGCUAGCUCGGUUCGUCGUUUGUUGUUACAGGAAGCGCAUGGAGGCGGUCUCAUGGGGCACUUUGGCGUCUACAAGACGCAUGAAGUGCUGGCUGCCCACUUCUUUUGGCCUCGGAUGCGCGCUGAUGUUGAGCGCCUUGUUGCACGCUGCACUACUUGCCAGAAAGCUAAGUCACGAUUGAACAACCAUGGUUUGUACAUGCCUUUGCCUGUUCCUACUUCCCCUUGGCUUGAUAUUUCUAUGGACUUUGUUUUGGGAUUGCCUAGAACUAAGAAGGGGAGGGACAGUAUUUUUGUGGUUGUUGAUCGUUUCUCCAAAAUGGCUCAUUUUAUACCUUGUCAUAAGACUGAUGAUGCUAGCAAUGUUGCUGAAUUGUUCUUUCGCGAGAUUAUUCGUUUGCAUGGUAUUCCAAAUACAAUAGUCUCUGAUCGUGAUGCUAAGUUUCUCAGUCAUUUUUGGAGAUCACUGUGGAAUAAAAUGGGAACUAAAUUGCUGUUUAGCACCACUUGUCACCCUCAGACUGAUGGACAAACUGAGGUGGUUAAUCGAACCUUGUCCACUAUGCUUAGGGCUGUUUUAGAUAAACACUUGAAACGUUGGGGAUUGCUUGCCUCAUGUUGAGUUUGCUUAUAAUAAUGCAACGCAUUCUUCUACAAAGAUGUGUCCUUUUCAAGUUGUUUAUGGUUAUAUUCCUUAGGCGCCUAUUGAUUUGUUUGCACUUGAUGCCGAGGACGCCCCACACAUAGAUGCCGCUGCACAUGUUGAUCAAAUGAUUAGCUUGCAUGAGCAAACUCAACAAAACAUUGCUGCUGCUAAUGCUAAAUAUCAGGUUGCGGGUAGUAAAGGGAGAAAACAUGUUACUUUUGCACCGGGUGAUCUGGUUUGGUUGCAUUUGAGAAAGGAUCGUUUUCCUACUUUACGUCGUUCUAAAUUGAUGCCACGUGCUGCCGGUCCUUUUAAAGUGCUAACCAAGAUUAAUGAUAAUGCUUAUAUCCUUGACCUGCCUGCGGAGUUUGGUGUUUCCACGAGUUUUAAUGUUGCAGAUUUGAAACCGUAUGUGGGCGAAGAUGAGGAGUUGCCGUCGAGGACGACUUCACUUCAAGAAGGGGAGGAUGAUGAGGACACCACAAGUACAUCUACACCAGCAGCACCUCAGGCGCCUCCAGUUGCUCCUCCACCUCAGGCGCCUACAGUUGGGCCAAUCACUCGGGCCCGUGCGAGAGAAUUAAACUUCAUCAUGGUGUUAAGGAACGAAGGCCCAUCGGGAUAAGAAGAUGGCCCAACAAGGCAGCCCAGGUGGGACGCCUAGGGUUGGGCGCGCGUGACCCCUUCGGACUCCAGGGGCUGCGCCCCCUUUAUUUAGUCCGAGUCCUUUUUGUUUAUGACUUGAGUUUUGUUUUACAUCUAGCUUUAGCUACUCUUGAACACGCGCAAAUACGCGUUGUCCUUGUGUGAUUCAAAACUCCACCUUCGAGUGAUAUUUAGAUUGCUCGCCUCUUUUUCUUGUUCGUUCUUCGAUUGCGGGCAGGAAUCGAUCUUCGUGAUCAGGCUGAUCUCGCACCGGCGAGGUUGGUAACUAUCGGGAGUUGCUUCAGCGAUUGCAUUGGCGCUUCGGGUUCGCUCGUCGUAGUCGGAUCGUGAGGGUCUACUUCCACCAAGUCGAAUUUAUCUCCACUCACCGAAAGAUCGGGCACUCCGACUCUAUCACCCAACACGAGAAGUAGUUCUCUCUUUACACAACAUAUACGCUUUGUCUUUAGACCUGAUAUUGUCGCAUGUAUUCAAGAUGUGGAUCGACUUACUUAGGGGCUAUCAAACGCUACACCGUAACAGGGUAGUUAUAAAGGUAGCUUUUGGGUUUGUUAAGAAGCAUGCUAUAAGACAUGGUCAAUCAAGAUGAAAUUUGCCCCUCUCUGAUUGAGAGUGAUAUCUCUGGGGCCCUCGAGUGAUCGGAUCCAAAAAUGCAUAGCCAUGCUACGUACGGUUAAGAGUUAACCUACAAAUGGAUUCCGAAUCAUAGGAUCGAGAAAGAGCGGUCGGCUUGAAGUUAGACCAAAUAUCGUGAGGCAAAGGGAAUAGCAUGUAUAUAAUGUUGUGAUGGUUCGUUUGAUAUGAUCUUCGUGUGCGUAUAGGAGUUGGCACGUCUUGCUAGAGGCCGCUACCGACUAUUGGGCCGAGUAGGAGUACUCGGGCCAUGUCUAUACGUAUCCGAACCCAUAGGGUCACACACUUAAGGGGCUGGAAGCCCAAUUCGGAUGUGAUCCGAGUUGGAUUAGGUUUAGAAGUACUAAUGGGCCUCGGACCCAGAGCCCGUUAGGAACCUCUAUAAAUAGAGGGGUGGGGGCGCCCUAGGGUUUACACCUUUUGGCGAAACACAUCUGCUGCACCUCCCACACCCUCGCCUAUUGCAACUCACGGACCUAGCAGUCCGGCUUGCGACACUUCCUCCUUGCACGUGUGGAUACCUUGGAGGUGUUGCGCCUGCAGCACUUGGACGAGCCACCGACGAGCUACGACGAGCCGCCGACAAGCCACGACGAGCCGACGAUGAGCCGCGGCACGAGGGCGAUCUUGCUGCACGUGGACGAGAUGCUGAGGAGCUGCUGGACAUCGACGUGAUCGACUAUGUACGACUACGCUGAUUGACUUCGCUGCAUCGACGCGAAUCUACAUCUUCCGCAUCAGUGCGUCGAGUGGUAAUCCCGUGAUCCUUAUACGGCAGCUUUCCUAGUUUUACGCGGUAGAAAAUUUUGAUUUGCGCUAGUGUAGCCUACCUCGUAUCCCAACAUGAAGACCUAUCGAAGUAUAGUGUCGACGGAGCUGGUUCGAUAACGGUAAUUUCCGGUCCAUAGUGCUAUGCUACGAAAUCGGCCAUUACUUGAACUUUGACUGCCUUGGCCGAUUCAUACCUUAGGUCAAACUCUGAGAGGGCCAGAAUCCACUUUCCAAUUCUCUCUUUCAAAAUCGGCAGUGAAAACAUAUACUUGACAACAUCAUCUUUGCACACAACUACGCAUUCUGCCAACAACAGGUAGUGUCUGAGCUUGGUACAAGAAAUAUAUAGACAAAGGCACAGCCGUUCCACCGGAGGGUAUCUGGUUUUAGCAUCCAAAAGUCUUCUCCUGACGUAAUAAAUUACUCUUUCUUUCCCCUCGAACUCCUGGACCAGCGCCGAGCCGAUAGCCCGCUCAUCAGCUGAUAGAUACAGUCUGAAUGGCUUAUCAGUCUGCGGAGGGACCAACACCGGGAGUGAGACGAAGUACUGUUUGAUAUCAUCUAAUGCUUUCUGCUGUUCUUCACCCCAGAAAAACUCUUGGUCGGGCUUUAGUUUCAACAAAGGGGUGAAAGCUUGAAUACACCUAGACAAGUUUGAUAUGAAUCGCUGGAUGAAGUUGACCUUGCCGAUUAAGGACUGUAGCUCGGUCGCAGCUAUGAUCUUUUGGUUGAUCUCGAUGCCUCGCUCAUGAACCAUGAAGCCUAGAAAUUGACCAGCCGAAACACCAAAGGCACAUUUGUUUAGAUUCAUUUUCAACCCAUGCUUCCUUGUGCAUUCCAGGAUACCAAUAAGCUUAUGGAAUAUAUAAUUCAUGGCCCGCUGAUAUGUAGCUCCAGCAUUUUUCAAUCUGAAAGUCAUAACUACCCACUUGAAUAAACCGAGAUGACUGAGGCAUCUGAAGGCCGUUUUCGAGAUAUCUUCUUCGACCAUUAGUAUUUGAUUAUACCCAACAUUACCAUCCAUAAAACCGAUGACUUUGUGUCCUGCAGCCGCGUCUAUCAAAACAUCAGCCAUCGACAUCGGGUAUCCGUCCAUCGGCGUAGCUUGGUUAAGGUUCCAGAAGUCAAUGCACACACGUAGUUUUCCAUUCUUCUUGUAUACAGGAACAAUAUUAGAAAUCCACUCGGCAUAUCGAUACUGCCGAAUAAAUCCUGCUUCAAUCAACCUCAUGAUCUUGGCCUUUAUAUCAGGUAGAAUUUUAGGAUUACAACAUCGUGCAAGCUGCUGGUAUGGCUGAUACCCUAGUUUUAUGGCAACCGGUGUUCGACAAUGGAUCGAUCUACACCAGGCAUUUCAUGAUACUCCCAAGAAAAGAAAUUUUUAAACUCUCUUAACAAACUCAUUAACUCAUGCUUGUACUCGGGGUCUAACCUAGCACUGAUAUACGUCGGCCUUAGCUUGCUACCGUCUCCAAGGUCCACCAUCUCCAAUGAAUCGGCCGAUGUAAACCCGUGCCCAAGCUUUCCAUCUUCUUAGAUGAACUGAUCCAUUUAAUUUGAUUCUUCUCAGACCGAAGUCGGACACCUUCAGGAAGUCGGUGUCCUAGUGCCUGCCAGAUAUGCAUCUGACAUGCUCGUCCAUUGUUGCGCGUCGGCUACGGCAACACUGUAGGUGGAGUCGGCGGUGACUACUUCAAUGGUGUCGCCGACCUACUGGACGAGGCAUGGGUGCAUUGUAGACGAGAUGCAGCAGUUUGCGUGGAUCCAAUCUUGCUCGAGCAACAUAUUAUAGGACCCUUUACCGUUAAUAACAAAGAAAGUGGUGGGAAGGGUCUUACUGCUGAUGGUGAGGUCGAUGCAGAGUGCCUCCCAGGCCGGGGAUAUGUUACCUUUGAAAUCUUUGAGCAUCAUAUCCAUCUUGAUUAGAUCUUCUUCUCCCUUGCCCAGUUUGCGGAACAUAGCAUACGGUAUGAUGUUCACGGCAGCGCCUCCGUCUAUCAACAGCUUAGCGACCGAUCGUCCAUUGACUUGUCCUUUGAGGAAUAGAGCCUUGAGAUGCUAACAUUUUUCGUCCUCGAGUUUUUCAAAAGUGGCAGUCAUUGGCUCCAAAGCCAAUUGUGCCAUCUGCUCCUCUAGUUCUGUUGCGUUGCUGCAGUCAACGGGGCCCAUGAACUCCAUCGGCAAGAUGAACACCAUGUUGACGUCAGCAGCCGAAUCCUGAUCAUCAAUUUCUUUGUCGGCUUUUUUCCUGGGACGCCAAACUUGAGAUUUGAAUCUCCUUUGUUCCUCUUCCUGCUGUUCCCAUUGGUGCAAACGUUGGACUCUCCUUUUUUGGGACUUAGUCAGACCGUUUGGGCACCAUCUAGGGUUGACUGGUUUGCUUGUGGCUUAGCACGCUCCCAAUCCGGCUCCCACCCUAGAGGGCCUUCGUCUGAGACUCUUGCAUCAACCAUCUCUCCCAGCUGAUCAUGUGCACUAGCUCUGCCCCCCAGCCGAUUACGCUCGUAUACUUUGCCCCCAGCCGAUCACGCACUGAAACGCGUCAAUCUUCUUGCUCGAGUCUGUUUCUGUUGAUCGGCUCUCGUCCUCGAUCUUCAGAGGGUGACCUUUUGAACAGGCGGCUGCUGUGAUACUGACCGUUGCACUCAGGGCAGUUGUCGGCCGACGGUAGUCUGAGUUUGUUUUCCCAACAGUAAAUGAAGAACGGGCACCUCCAAUGAUCUUCGUGUCGGCGCAUCAUCUCUUCGUGGUGCCUCGUGUCCUCUCGUUGCCUUUGAUACUUGUUGAGUAGAUCCCGGGAUGUGACGGGCCGUCUUGGCCUCUCCGAGCUUACUCCUUCGGUCUCCAUCCGCCCUUUUCCCUUAACAUCUUCGGCUGAGGUAUGGUUUCUGGGUCUACGGUGCGGCUUCUUCUCACCGAUUCUGACAUUAGUACUUUGGUCUGGAGCGCGUUCCUUCCCACGUCGACCAUGUUAGCAGGGAAGGGGUGUUGGUCGAUCUUCAUCGACUUCGCUGGCUUUGUUAUGAUCUCGAAUUUAAGCCUCCCUUGUUCGAUGGCCGACUAUAUCUGCUGACGGAAGAUCUUGCACUCAUUGGUGUCGUGAGAUGUGGUAUUGUGCCACUUGCAAUACUUCAUCUUUUUUAGUUGCUCGGCCGAUGGAAUUAUGUGGUAGGGUGAGAGUUUGAUUUGUCCCUCUUGAAGUAGCAAGUUGAAGAUUUUGUCAGCCUUAGAUGUGUCAAAACCAAACGUCUCCAGUUCUUUUUGCCGAACGGACAUGAUAUUGGCUUUUUUCCUUUUACCCACUCUGCCAGGCCGAUUUCUGCUUCUUCCUCCAAUUCGGCUCCUUCUACGUAUGCCACCUUUUUCUAAAAAUUUCUUCGCUGGUCGAAGGGGCACACCUCCUAGCCGGACAGCCGGUGAUUGAUUUGGCUCAAGCUCUCGAACUCCUAGGAAGCGUAUUUCUCUUUGAUGUGUGGCAGGAGCACUUGUUCCUGACCUCCCUGAAACUCUGUAUGUAGCUGGUCACUGACUCAUCGCUUCUCUGCUUGAGGUUGGUUAGAUCUGAGAGUUUCAUCUCAUGGACCCCCGCAUAGAAGUAUUUAUGGAAUUGUUUUUCCAAAUCGGCCCAAGUAACAAUGGAGUUAGGCGGCAACAUUGUGAACCAUUGAAAGGCCGACCUGGAGAGGGAUGAUGAGAACAACCGGACCCUCAGAGCAUCUUGCGCAGUAGCUUCUUCGCACUGGAUGAUGAACCUAUUGACAUGCUCCACCGUAGAUGUAUCAUCUAGGCCUGAGAACUUAGUGGAAUCGGGCACCUUGUACCGAUGUGGAAAUGGCAACAGGUCGUAAGCAGGCGGGUACGGCGUCUUGUACGUGUAAGUCUGUACCUUUGGUUUUAGCCUGAACUGAUCUUGUAUUAUAUCAGCUAUCCUUGCGGUCGAGUCCACUUGGUGCUGAUGCUGUUGUUGCUGAUGUACGACUGGCUAAGGAAUCGGCAUGUGGUGUUGUACUUGCGGCGCUACAAUUGGGUGAUAAGCUGGUACGUGAUGCGGAUCUUGCAGUUGGGCUGUCAGCUGAGGAGCCGAUGGUUGCUGUCGCAUGGGGUCAACUUGGCAUAGUGUAUCCGCCGCUUCAUCAUACAAUACUAACGGUGCCGCAGUUCUGAGUGAAUCUGGAGCACCUGCCCCCUGUCGAUUUUCGAGGUAGUCUGCUGGUACUGCGGGGCUGGCGGUCGAGAGGCCGAUGGAAACGAUGCCUGUACUAGAGAUUUCCCAUAACUAGUGGAUGGGUCCAGAUCGGCACGUGUCGCUGUCGUCCCCCACGGUGCUGAGGUUGAAAAUGGCGGUUGUACGGGGGGAACUGGUGCAGGAUAAAACAACGCUUAUGAUUGAUAGAGCAUUGCACCGUUAUAUCCCAGGGGUAUCGUAGUGCUAUACCCCCCACUCUGCAUUUGCAUCGGCUAAGGAGCCGACUGAGGCAUGCUUGGCACCGUUGAGAGGCCUCUGAUCGGUGCCACGAUGGGAGGAGCAUAAGCUGGUCCCUGAUACCCCUGAGCUGCGCCGUUGACCAUGGAGUUGACGACGGCGUUGUAUACUGUGUUGGUCAUCACCUUGGACUAGUCGAUCAUAGCCUGAUAAAUAGACUGCUGGAUCAUCUUAGACAUCUUUCCCAAGUCUUCGGUGAUGGUGAUAUGGCGAGGAGUUGGAAGAGCAGCCUUCCUAACGGUCUCCCCGCUCCUGGUACGACUAAAGGAUUGCAGGCUUGCCUUCUUGUACUCUUCCAAAGCUUUUGCCACCUCUUCCAUCUAGUCGUCCUUGAGAUUUGCUUCAGUGAUUUCGAUGAUGUUAUCUUCGGAGAUCUCGGCAGCCUUCGACAUGUCGGAUCUUUCUUCGAGUCCCACCGAGCAUGCCAAAAGUGUGUUGACGCUGAAAAUCGGUCGAUGAGCCUCGGCGUCGGACACACGACCCGAGAGAAUCUGCUUACCUCUUGUUCGCGUUAUUGCCCUGGUGCAGUUCAGGUGGCGUGCCAGUCAAUCUGACCUAUUGAUUGAAAAUGAAAGAAAAGUAUUAAAUUUCAAGGGUUUCGAUCGGCUAAGGUUCCGAUCUGUCUUGAAAAGUGUAUCAGCGAAUUAGCCGAAUUACUAUGUAGAUGACCGGCUAUAGAAUAGCCGAUAAUCACGUAGCAAUUGUAAAGAAACUACUAGAGCAACCUAAACAAUUCUACAAAAGCAACACUUGGAACAGAUCUAAUCGGCUAUAUGAUGAUAAAUUAAAAUAAUGAUAAAAAGCCGGCAGUUUGUGUCUCAAGCUGGAUAACUGGUGAUAAAACUAAAACAACAGGUAAAACCUAUAAUUCUAGUUAAUAUCGAUAACUGGUGAAUAAAUCUAAACGAAACAAUAGCGAUGCACUCAAAGUUAAAGCUUAGAUAUUACUCGAUAAGCAGAACUUACAAAUCGGCCGGAGGUCGUACCUGCCAACUCGUACGAACUCAUGAAAAGAAAAGGUUUUGGCGAAGUUGCUGACUUGAAAGUAAAGUGCAAGGAGAAAGUAGAUUUGUUGUAUUGAUUGAUUGAUGUGUUUUUUACAAGCCUUACAAGGCAGCUAUUUAUACCCUGUUACAACUGAUUUCCUAACUGACUAGGAUCUAUCUCUAAUUUAAAGAUAACAAAUAUUUACAAAUGACUGCAACCCGCAUCGGAGUUGGUUAUUAGUUUCUCACGGGCCAAUCUUCUUCUCUAGCUAAUCAUCACCCUAGCCCACUUUCGGCCCACAUCGGCCAAGCCGUUCUGGCUCCCAAUCGGCUAGCCUUUAUCGACUCCUUGAGCCAAUCGGCCGAAACACUGUAGCUCUAAUCGACCGAUUCCCAACUAUAGCUUCUUGCUUGCUGCAUCAGCCGCCUUCUUCUCCUUUGACGCCGAUCCAAACACGUGUCAAAAUCUGGUGUCAACACUGACGUACCCAUAACUUUCAGCAGAAAGGACCAAUGGACAAGUUGCUCUGAGCCAGGCCGAUUCCCUCUAGUACUCGACCCUGUCCUUGCAGGCUCAAGACUUACCAAAGUACUCAUUGACGAUGAAAGCGGACUCAACGUCAUUUUCGCCAAGACACUAAGGAAAAUGUGCCUCAACGUCACAGACAUGCUCACUCCAAUAGACCCACCAUUUUACAGAAUUGUCUCAGGAAAUGCUGCCAUACUCCUAGAACAAGUUGUCCUACCAGUCACUUCGGCACCAAGGAAGAUUACCGAAUCGAGUACAUCAGGUUUGAGGUUGCCGACUUCGAAACUUCUUACCACGCCAUACUCGGAAGACUAGCACUAGCCAAGUUUAUGGCCAUACCACACUACGUGUACCUAGUACUCAAGAUGCCAGGACCUAAGGGUGAGUUAACACUACGUGGAGACUUAAGGCUAUCGUACGAGUGCGACACGGAAGCUGUCAAGAUCGCAGCGACUUCUCAAGCACUCAAUCCCAUGCAACAAGUCUUUAUAGCUUCAAAGAAACUUAACCCCACAGAACUCGAGAUCCUAGAAAACAAGCCGAGAUCGACUAAGGUGAAACCAGCAAGCGAGAAGGACUUCAAAACCGUCGAUCUCUAGACUAGUGAAUCAUCCAAGACAACCCUGAUUGGAACAGGGCUAGACCCUAAAUAGGAAAACAUGCUCAUCAGUUUUCUUCAGGAUAACCACGACAUCUUUGCUUGGAGGCUAGCUGACAUGCCCGGUGUGCCCAAGGAGCUGAUUGAGCAUUCAUUAAACGUCGACCCCAAAGCCACCCCAAAAAGAUAACGACUACGAAGGUUCACCCAGGACAUAAGAGAUGCAAUCAAAAAAGGGCUUGCCAAGCUACUCGCAGUAGGGUUUAUCAAAGAGGUUUCUCACCCUGAUUGGCUAGCCAAUCCUGUACUUGUUCGCAAGAAGAAUGGUGAGUGGAGGAUGUGCGUUGACUACACAGACCUCAACAAGCAUUGCCCAAAGGACCCCUUUGGACUAUCUAGGAUCGACCAAGUAGUCAACUCCACAGCUGGGUGUGCUUUGCUCUGCUUUCUCGACUGUUACUCAGGCUAUCAUCAAAUAGCCCUCAAAGAAUAAUAUCAAGCCAAAACAACUUUCAUCACCCCAUUUGGAGAAUUUUGUUACAAAACAAUGUCUUUUGGGCUAAAAAAUGCAGGGGCGACCUAUCAACGCGCCAUCCAGAUGUGUUUCGAGAAGCAACUACAUUGCAACGUAGAAGCUUACGUAGACAACGUAGUCGUCAAAACAAGAAAUCUAGAUGAUUUAGUCGUAGACUUAGAAGAAACCUUUGCAAGUCUACGAGUAUUCCAGUGGAAACUCAACCCUACAAAAUGCGUUCUCGGUGUACCUUCGGGUAAAUUACUCGGAUUCAUCAUUAGCCACCGUGGCAUUGAGGCCAACCCGGAGAAAAUCUUUGCCAUCACAAAUAUGCAAGCUCCAGCUAGCAUCAAAGAUGUGCAGAAGCUUACAUGCUGCAUGGCAGCCCUCAAUCGAUUCAUCUCAAGACUUGGAGAACGCGGAUAACCCUUCUUCAAGCUACUCAAAUGACAAGACAAGUUUCAAUGGACAGAGGAGGCAGACAAAGCCUUGACACAGCUCAAGGACUUCUUGUCAAAACCACCAAUCCUCACAGCUCCAUCUCCAAACGAGGACUUGCUCCUAUACAUAGCUACUACUACUCAUGUUGUUAGCACAGCAGUAGUAGUCGAAAGGUCUGAACCAGGCCACGUCUACAAAGUCUAGAGACCCAUCUACUUCGUCAGUGAAGUACUCUCCGACUCCAAAACUCGGUACCCACCGGUGCAGAAGCUACUCUACGCAAUCUUGCUUACCUCACGGAAGCUGUGACACUACUUUCAAGAACACAACAUAUCUAUCAUCACCGACUUCCCACUCGAUGAAAUCCUUCAUAACAGGGAUGCAAUGGGUAGAAUCUCCAAGUGGGCGGUAGAACUCGGAGCUCUAUCUCUAGACUUCAAACCCAGAAUAGCUAUCAAAUCCCAAGCUUUGGUCGACUUCAUGGCGGAGUCGAGGGAAAACCAAGUACCAACACCAAUUGAAAGGCCAGAGCAUUGGGUUAUGUACUUUGAUGGUUCCCUCAAGCUUGAAGGCGCCGACGCAGGAGUACUCUUGAUUUCUCCAAAAGGUGAAAAACUCAAAUACGUUCUUCAGAUCUUUUAGGAAGUCUCAAAUAAUGAAGCCGAGUACGAAGCACUUCUGCAUGGCCUUCGUCUCACAAUAUCACUCGAUAUCAAAUGACUAGUAGUAUAUGGUUACUCGCUAGUCGUCAUUAACCAAGUCAAUGAUGAUUGGGAUCACAACAAGGAAAACAAGGAUGCCUACUGCAAGGAAGUCCGCAAGCUAGAGAACAAGUUCUCAGGCUUGGAGUUUCACCAUGUCGUUCGUGACAACAAUGUAGCUGCUAAUGUGUUAUAUAAAAUGGGCUUAACUCGUGCAGAAGUUCCAGUAGGCAUUUUUGUACACGAGCUUCGCAAGCCAACCAUACCAGAACAAGCUACUCCAGCAACUACCAACACCAAACCUCCAAAACCCAACCGAGAGAUCAUGAUGAUCGAAGUUGACUAGAGAUCACCGUUCAUCGACUACAUCAAAGAACAAAAGCUACCAUCUGACAAGAACCAAGCUGAACAAGUCUCACGACGAGGAAAGAGCUAUGUUCUAGUCGGAGAUAAGCUCUACAGGAGGAGCACAGCUUCAGGAAUACUCAUGAAAUGUGUCAGUCGAGAAGAAGGUCAAGAAAUCUUGGAUGAAAUACACAAAGGAAUAUGUGGGAAUCAUGCCUCCUCACGAAUGAUCGUAGGCAAAGCUUUCAGAGCAGGCUUCUACUGGCCCAUGGCAUUGGCCAACGCAAAACAGCUAGUCCACACAUGCCAAGGCUACUAAUUCUUCACCAGGCAACAGCAUGUCCCCGCCUACAAGCUCAUCACAAUACCUCCAACAUGGCCCUUUGCAUGCUGGGGGCUUGACAUGAUUGGUCCACUCCCAAUGACGCCAGGAGGUUUCAAUUGAGUACUCAUAGCCAUUGACAAGUUCACCAAGUGGAUUGAAGUCAAACCCGUAACCUGCCCCAAGGCCGACCGAGUCCUCGACUUCCUAGACGAGAUCGUACAUCGCUACCAAAUUCGUACUAUCAGAGCUCUGCAAAAAAGAUGGAUUUUAAAUAUGAAAACCUACAAAUUGAGCAGCACACUUACGCAUAACAGCUUGGUGAUCUCGGAGCCAGUAUUCCGUAGCCUGGCAAGAGCUGCCUUGUCCUGCGCCAUGUCCGCAGCAAGCUUAGCCUUGAAGAAGGGGAAGGCAUGAGAAUCAUCUGCUCCACCCAAGGGGGGCAAUUUUGGCAACAGAUCAUUCAUCGACACCCUACCCUACUGAGGAUUGGCCCUAGUGUCCUCUUCCUCCUCAGCCACGUCCUCGACUUCGAUGUCCUCCUGGGCCUCCCCCUCGACCUCGACGUCCUCCUCCGUCUCCUCCAUAGCUCCGGGGUCGGCCAUGCAGCACUGGUUCAGUCAGCUAGAUAUCUUGAUGGACUACGACGCUAUCACGACCGUAAUGUCAAAGGAACGUUCCUUCAACGUGGGUGACAUGGUCCUCAAAUGCAUUCAAGACACAUCAGGGCUGCACAAACUCAACUCACCAUGGGAAGGUCCCUACGUCAUAUCCAAGGUCACAGGGCCUGGAUCAUACCGACUACAGGAACUCUCAGGCGAAGAAGUACCAAACUCUUGGAAUAUAGAGCAUCUAUGUCGCUAUUACCCGUAGCAGACUACAGGACAUGUACUCGGUGAUAGCCUGAGUAGCAGUCGAGGAAACAGAGUAGGAUGCUUCCCGCCGUAGAGUCUACAACUUGGUCCAUACGCGAAAGAGGGAAGGGGUUCUUAGGGCAGUGUUUGUUUAGGUUGGUAUAAUCAAUGCACAUUCUCCAUUCACCGAGAGGUCAGCCCAAAUGAGGGGCAUCUUGGUCGGGUCUUCAAGGUCGAGGCAAAUCUUCUUGACCUGAGGGUUAGGCUGCAGUGCCGUGGAGAUUGGCUCCUUCUCAGGAUUGUUAGCUGGUCCUUGCUUAACUUGUAGGCCUUGGCGACCAUGGCAGUGGCCUUAGCCGAUAACUCCAGGGCCUCUGCAAGCUGAAUUGCCUCCACUACAAGGUUUUGUCCCUAGCACAACAGCACGAAAUCAUUGCAAUAGGGGUCAUUUCAUUGCAAUAGGGGUCUAUUGCAACGAUUUCGUGUCAUGGUGCUAAAAAUCAUGUCAUCGUGUAAAAGUGCGUUGCAAUAUGCUAUUACAACGACACAGGCAGCCAUCGCAAUAAGGUUGCGUUAUUGCGACGACGUGUGUCAUCGCAAUAAGUGGAUAUUACAACGCCCAUUGUCCUUGCAAUAGUGGCUAUUGGAACGGUAGGGUCAUUGCUAUAGAGGCUAUUGCAACGACAUUGCGGUGGUGCAAACAAGCGAUAAUGCAACACAAGGAUGUUGUUGCAAUACGAGACCUAUGCUGUUGCAAUAUGCUAACAGGCUAUCUCAACAAAAUACUAGUCGUGGCUAUAUGCGUCAACCGUAUCCCAAUGAAAUAUGGGUCGUCGCUAUAUGCUAGAUGGAUAUCGCAACGGCGAGAAAGCGUCAUAAUAGGCGUACAAGGUAUCGCAAUGAUGUACGUGCCGUCGUUAUAUGCUUCAACCAUAUCGCCACAAAAUGUGUCGUGGUUAUACGCUCAAUGGAUAUAGCAAUGACGUGAAAUCGAUGCAAUAGGUGGUACAAGGUAUCGCAACGAUGUUUAACAGUGGUUAUAUGCUUUAACCAUAUCGCAACAACAUAUGUCGUGGUUAUACGCUCAAUGGAUAUAGCAACGACGUGAAAUCGUUGCAAUAGGGGUACAAGGUAUUGCAACGAUGUACGUGCCAUCGUGAUAUGCUUCAACCAUAUCGCAACGGAGUAUGUCGUGGUUAUACGCUCAAUGGAUAUCGCAACGGAAAAUAUUUCGUCGUCAUAUGCUUGUUGGUCGUCGGCUAAAACGGAAAAUCCAAAACAAUAAUUGAUGUCACAUAUAUAUCAUUAAUUAAAUCAAUCCAUCGUUCAUGCACACCAUUCAUGAUAAAACAAAAUAUUCGACACAUGAAAAUACUCUUGUCCAUUCAUCUCCCAUCCCAACAUUCAUGAUAAUCAACUUUGCUUUGAGGUCUGCUUGUAACCUGUAGGCAACCUUGAGUCUUAUUGCCCCUCCGUAGCUUCACUGGCCUGCUGAAGCGAAGAGAAACAAACAAGUGAAUUAAAACUUGUGAAGCUACUUUGUCUUGAAAUCAAUAUGCAGCAAUAUUGAAAGCACAAUACCAGUUCGAACCAAUUGCAUUUUCCUUUUUCCUGCUCAUGUUUUAGCACCAGAUAUAAGCUGCUGUUUACUAAUGUAUGUUCUGGAUCCUGCAAAAGCUCCUGGACCUUUACCGCGAUUAUCAUUGAACAGACUCUUUGCAACGUUGGAAGUUUUAGCAUUUCUAGUUAGAGUCGAAGUGUUAUUCUCAGUUGUGACAAUGGUGGUUGGAGCAUUUUGGAUCUUAAUAAAGGUCUUGGAACAAUGUUAGCUGAAACAUAAUGCAAAAAACAAUCAAGAUUGGAAUGGUUGUUCGAUGUUGUUACCUGAUUUGUUGCUUCUUGACUAUGCAGUACUUGUAUUGCAGCAAGGUUUUCCUUAGUCCUCCCAGCUUCAUCGGGAGUUGUAUUAUUGUUGGUUUGAGGGGUAUACUGCACAAUUUAAAAGUGGGCAGGCAAGAGAUUAGCGACAUAUGUAUAUAUAUUUUCAAUCACAUCCCAUUAUUGUCGUUACCUCAUUCCUAAUUUCUUGGCUAUGCAAUACUGGCCUCGCUUCAAUGUUAUCCUCACUGGUCUUAGCAUCAACUUCAGUUGUAUUAUUGUUGUUUGCCGGUAUACGCUACGGAUUUUAAAAGAGGGUAGGCUAGAUAAAGCAAGAUUAUGCAAAUUUAUAACACAACAGAAAUAAACAUGCACAAAUCAUGUUCUGGUUACCUCUCCUAGUAAAGCCUGACGAUAAGGCGCCAUCAUUGUUUCAACUUCCCCCAUCAAUUCUUGUCUAAGUGCGACUUUAAGUUGUUCUCUCUCUGCUUCCUUUUCAGCUUCAUGCUUCUACAUUUUUUCCUAUAACUGAUGUUCCUGUUCUUCGAGCCUCUCUAUUCUCUCCUAAAUAAUUCUCUCCUCAAGGGUUGCCUGCUUUCAUUUUGUAUUCGACAAAGAACCAUGGCCACGUGACCUGCUGUAUUUGGCUCAUGUUGUUUCCAUGUACGUUUCCUGAAAAACUUGGUCUUCCUUAGCAGGUCUAGAAGUGUGACUACUCUGGAAAACUUGUUCUUCUUCAUCUGAUUGUGCUAGAGAUAAUUUUCUGCUUGUACUAGUCUAAUGGAAAGAAACAAUUAAUUGUAACAUUAAUUUGAUCAUGGCUUCAUACAAAAAAAUAGCUGGUAAUGUACAGGCAAUGUUAUGAUCAAAUUAGCACUCCAUACUCACAUAAAUACUCUCAGCCAACUGAUUUGUCCAUCUUCCUUCCCUAGUGUGAGUAGUCUUCCAAAGUUCCAAAAGCGGUGGCUCAACACCAGUUACUGGAUCUCUCUAUGAUUGCAACAUUAAAUGCCAAUAAUAUAUCAUUGUGUAAUGUACUGAAACUUGAGAAUAAGUAAACAAAUCUUUACCUUUUCCCAACUCCACUGCGAGAAAGGUUUGGAACCCCCCGAGUGAGUUGUUCUCAGCAUGCCGCGAUUCGAAGAGUUCGUGCUGCUCUUAUUCUGCACAAUCAACCCGUAAAGUAACGGUUAGCGAUGAGAAGUUGAACUCAUGAUUGUGUUGUUUUACUUACAAAAGAGGGCGUACCUUGAAGUCAUUAGUUGCAUAGUACAUGUUCAAAUAGUGCCACUCCACAAAGUCUAUGUCUUUAGGCUUAUGUUUCAUUCUCUCAUCAUAACUGUUGUAUGCCUUGUAUGUAGAAUGCAAAAUGGAUCGCCAACUUUUGUAGCGUGCAUUGGCAAUGUUCAAUAUCUUUUUUUUUGAACUCCCAGUGGUCUCAAGGUCCCAAUGAUCCUAGUGGGAAACAAAACUUGUUAUGUAUGCUACAUUCAUAAUAUAUGUUUCCAAGAAAAUAGAGGGAACAAGACUAGUAUAUAUAAAAUAUUAUAAUGUAGCAUGAGGUGGCCAUUGACAUACCAUUACAGAUUCUGCGAUAUCCUCCUUAACAGAUGAACACACAUCUUUCCAAUUUCCAACUCCAAUUAGUGGAGCCUUCUGCUUUGUAUACAGAACAACCUCAUCCACAAAGGUAUGUCUAUUAUCUCCACAGGGACCACCCACUUUUUCAGAAAAUUCGAUUUUCAGUUUAUUCUCCAAGCCACUCUUCGAUCUCUUGGCCACCGCAGCUAGCCCUUUCAAGCAUCCUCGGCCAACUUUCUUGCCACCUACUUACAAUCCAAAAAUAGAAACAUAUAUACAUUAAGUCGUGCACAAUAAGAGCAUAAAAAACUGCACAAGGUGUGAAGCAUUUACUAACCUUUUGUCUGCUUUGGUUUGCUAGCAUGAGAUAGCCAUUCUUGUGGCAGCGUGUCGCUACUACCAUUGCUACUACCAUUACUACCAUUGCAUCCUCGGCCAACGUUCAGAGGAAAAAGAAUUUACAAAUAUCUCUCAUAAGGCCUUUGUGCCUUAACCAUUUAGAGUAUGCUUUUACUGUAUCAUCCAUGUAUUCAUCAUAUAGACCUGCAAGUUAGCAACACAUACAAUUAUGUGAGUACAUUGUACAGUUAGAGACACAUGUGCAUAGUGUAGUACAAAUAGCAUACAUACCACAUUCUGGGUCUUGGGCAUCAAGCCAAUCUUUGUAUUCAUCAACGUCACGAUCAUUACUAGAAUCAUCAUAAGCAUCACUAACAUCAUCAAACUCAUUCACCCUUGGUUGUUUCAGGGGUGUAAUGUUGGCAGCUCCAACCACUUCUUGUUUUGAUAUUAUCAACCUUAGUUUCCUUUCUUCAGAUGAUUUCAUGUUCUCAAGCAAGCACUCUACAUCUUUGGUGGAAUCAAUUGGCAGGACAGAUGCAUUAGCAUUUCCUAUUCUCUUCUUGUACUAGCAGUAGUCCCACAAACCAAAUCCAAGUUCUUCUUUUAAAGUCAACAACCAGACUAAGUCUACUUGUUUCCUAUCAAAUUUAGUCCUAACCCGGCACACUAAUUGUCCAUCUACCCCCAAGCAAUGUAUCGUUACCUCCUAGUCACCUGUCAACUCGCAUGAUCUGGAUGUGCACAUAGAUAUCAAAACCCCACAUCAAUGAAUGAAGAUGCAGUACUACUAGUGCUAUGCGAAAAAUUAAUUAGUAGUAAUCAGCUCUGUGAUCUAUAAAAGCAUGCGCCAAUGAGGCAACAUCAAAUCGAUUGUACGCAUUAAUUCUUCAGAUAUUUUCUGCCCUAACCCUACAAGGCAUUAAAGGUGGAUGAGAACUUGUAAUGUCGGUCUUCAAUCUUGGCCUCCUCCUCAAUUAUGACCAUACUUGGUCGUGUGCUCCGUUUUGCAUCGCUGGUCAUGGAAGGAGAAGGAGUCACCAUGGAUGGAGUCGCUUGGGCAAAGAGGAACCAUCGUUCCCCCUGACGAUAUUCUCCAUCGCCAACCAUGGAAGGAGAAGGAGUCGCCAUGAAUGGAGCUGCCAUUUUGGGGGCAAGUGGGGAGGAGGUUGAGAUAUUUGAGGAUUUUGGAAAAUGUAGGAGGGAAACAUUGCACUAGUACUAAAAAUUUGAGGCACAACCUUGGCGGGAUGUAGUGGGUCCCACCUAUCCUUUUGAUUUCAUAGUUUUUUGCACUAGGAGUCGCCAUGGAUGGAGCCGCCGUUUUGGGGGCAAGUGGGGAGGAGGUUGAGAUAUUUGAGGAUUUGGAAAAACGUAGGAGGGAAACAUUGUACUAGUACUAAAAAUAUGAGGCACAACCUUGGCGGGAUGUAGUGGGUCACACCUGUCCUUUUGAUUUCAUAGUUUUUUGCACUCAUGUUUGGUUUCAACAAACCUAUCUACAAUUUGCACUCAUGUUUGGUUUCAACAAACCUAUCUACAAUUUUAUCUAAAUUUGUACAGUUAUUAUUCAUGAAUGUAGGUUGGAGGAUGCAUGACUAUCUCACCAUGUACCUAUGAUCCCUCAAUUGAAAACAAAGGAGAAAUGAGCCAAAUUAAUCACAAACAUAGUUCCAGCACUACAAGUUGAGCCAACCAGUCAUGAACAUCAUCAGGCAAAAGCAAAAGAAACGAUAAAGCUACGCUACUUCACAGCUGCAUACAAAGAGAGAAUUACUGAUCGAUCCGUAUUCUUUUUUCGAACUCCACAAUUUCGUGGCGUAUCCUACAGUCCUCAUUGCAAAACAGCGCAGCUUGUUCCCACCCCUUAACCUUGCCGCAGUCGCCUCGAGCACAUGGGAAGUCGCCACGAACUGGUGCUGGUGGAAGCGGUUCACCAUGCAUGCGCCACGUAACACUGUUGACUAGGUAGCCGGACUCCUCGCGGAACACCCAGCAGCCAUCGUUGCGCAGCUUCUUGGGGCCUGCGCUGCCGAUCGCCACCGAAUCAUCCUCGCAUUCAAGGUGGCGGAUGUACAUCUUCGCGAUGUUGUCGUUCAUGGUGCCGACGUUCUUCCUGUAUAACAUCAGGGCGUACAGAUAGGCCCCCACAUUGUGCCCACCUGCCAUGGCUCGGGAGAGCUCGUUGAGGGAUGGGUCGGUGCUACCGAAUAAAUCUGCUAUCCCUUUGAGUGUGCAGGCCUGCGGGUUUGCCACACCAACCAGAAGAGUGAGGAGGUUGUAGUACCUGUCGGGAUCACGCCACCCCAAACCCUCCCUAUAGAUUCGUAGCAUUGCCAUGUGCUGUCCGAUGGAUGGGUCACCGCACGCACGUUCCAUGACCCUGCAGACCGCCCGUAUGUUGCUGAGGUCUUCCAUGGGCUUGAAGGAGGUCGCAGCAAUAUCGCCGGCGAUAAUGAGCACCUCCAUAGGGAGGUCUGUGAGCAUUAGGCAUUGCCUCCCCGACGCCAUGAACGUGGAGAGGUGGAGGGUCACCAAAUCUAAGGGGGAAUGGUCGAAGGGGGUGACGGCGGGCUACGAGACGAGUUCUUGAAAAGCUCUUUUUUGCGAUAUGGCGAGGAGACUGCGGAGAGGGGCACAGGAAGAGUUAUUUAUAUUCCCCGCUGCCGGUGCCUUGGGAACCAGCGAACAAGAAGCGGAGGAGACGAGGAGAUCAGGCGGCGCAGGAUUUUCUCGGGUAUGGUAGGCAAUCGCAUGCUGGAACAGGCCUCGCAAUAACCUUCGACCGUUCCGAUCACUCGGAACACAUCCCACACCCAGGGCAAUACCCUCUCAUUGUUGAUCCCGUCAUCGGUACGAAGUGCCUCACCAAGGUACUGAUGGAUAAAGGCAGCGGCCUCAACAUCCUCUACGCUGAAACCCUCGACGCCAUGGGGAUCGAUCGAUCCCGUCUCCGCCCCAGCAAAGCACCCUUCCACGGCAUCGUGCCGGGAGACGGGCAAUGCCCCUCGGGCAAAUCAACUAGCCUGUCACCUUUGGGAAGCCUUCCAACUUUAGGAAGAAGACCCUCACAUUCGAGGUGGUAGGUUUCCGCGGAACCUACCACGCCAUCCCGGGAUGACCAUGCUACGCCAAGUUCAUGGCCAUCCCAAACUACACCUACCUCAAGCUCUAGAUGCCAGGACCCAACGGGGUCAUCACUGUCGGCACGUCCUUCCAGAAGACCUACGAGUGUGACGUCGAGUGCUACGAAUAUGCCUCGGCUAUCACUGCCUCAGAGGACCGCGCGGUCCAGCUCACGGAGGACGCCAAGGACUCGCCUGACUCCAAACGAUCCUCCAGCUCUUUCGAAGCCACGGAGGGCGUGAAGGAGAUCCCUCUCGGCCUCGACAGCUCCGACAGCAGGGUGGUGCGCAUAGGAGCCAUCCUAUCCCCUAAAUGGGAAAGCGCGCUCAUCGCCUUCCUCUGCACAAACAACGAUGUUUUUGCGUGGAAACCCUCAGAUAUGCCAGGCAUCCCAAGGGAAACCGCCGAGCACUCCUUGAACAUCAAGGCCGGAUCCAAACUAGUGAAACAAGGACUACGCCGCUUUGACGAGGAGAGGCGCAGGGCCAUCGGCGAGGAGCUUCAGAAGCUUUUGGCAGCUGGGUUCAUCAAGGAAGUGUACCACCCCGAGUGGUUAGCCAACCCUGUUCUUGUACGAUAAAAGAAUGGGAAUUGGAGAAUGUGUAUUGAUUAUACAGGUCUCAACAAGGCGUGUUGUAGGAUCCCUUUCCUUUGCCGCGCAUAGAUUAGAUAGUCAACUCAACCUCGGGGUGUGAAACCCUCAGCUUCCUUGACGUGUACUCCGGCUACCAUCAAAUCGUGAUGAAAGAGUCCGACCAGCUCGCGACCUCUUUCAUCACCCCCUUCGGAUCAUUCUGCUACGUCAUGAUGCCUUUCGGCGUCAAUAACGUGGGGGCUACAUACCAGCGAUGUAUGCUCAAGUGUUUUGGGGACCUCAUCGGGCAAACCGUCGAGGCCUAUGUGGACGAUAUCGUGGUCAAAUCCAAGCUCGGCGACCAGCUCAUCCCCAACCUUGAGCUGGCCUUUGAGAGGCUAAGAAACAAGCACAUCAAACUCAACCCUGAGAAAUGUGUUUUCGGGGUCCCGAGGGGCAUGCUGCUUGGCUUCAUCAUCUCCGAGCGCGGCAUCAAAGCCAAUCCAGAGAAGAUAUCGGCCAUCACUAGCAUAGGACCGAUCCAGAACCUAAAGGGAGUAUAACACGUCACAUGAUGCCUUGCAGCCCUGAGCCGCUUCAUCUCACGCCUCGGCGAACAAGGACUCCCCCUCUACCGACUCCUGAAGAAGACCAACCACUUCGUGUGGACCACCGAGCCUCAGGAGGUGCUUGACCGGCUCAAGCAAAUCUUGAUGAAGGCCCUGAUCCUGGUCCCGCCGACCGACAAGGAACCACUCCUGCUCUACAUCGCAGCUACCACACAGGUGGUAAGCACCGCCUUGGUGGUGGAGCAAGAGGAGGAAGGGCAUACCCUCAAGGUGCAGCGCCCGGUGUACUUCAUUAGCGAGGUCUUGUCCGACUCCAAGACCCGUUACCCCCAAAUCCAAAAGCUCCUAUACGCGGUCCUCAUCAUGAAGAGGAAACUGUGCCACUACUUCAGCUCUCACCUUGUGACAGUCGUAUGAUCCUUCCCCCUCGGAGAGGUGAUCCAAAACCAGGACGCGUCGGGAAGAAUUGUGAAGUGGGCACUCGAGCUCAUGGACCAAGGCAUCCCCUACGUCUCCGGAACAGCCAUUAAGUCUCAGGUGCUCACCGACUUCAUCGAGGAAUGGAUAGAGGUCCAGACACCAUCGACGCUGGUGGAGCAGAAGUACUGGAUGAUGUACUUCGACGGGUCACUAAUGAAAACUGUUGCCGGAGCAGGCCUGGUCUGCAUCUCCCUCCUCGGCGUGAGCUUAAGGUAUAUGGUCCGCCUCCAUUUUCCCGUAUCUAACAAUAUCGCCGAAUACGAGGUUCUCGUCAAUGGGCUCCGCAUCGGCAUCGAGCUGGGCAUCUGACGGCUUGACAUCCGAGGUGAGUUGCAGCCAGUCGUCGACCAAGUCAUGAAGGAGUCAAGCUGUCAUGACCCCAAGAUGACGGUGUACUACCACACAGUCUGCUAGCUCGAGGACAAGUUUGACUGUCUCGAGCUCAACCACAUCGCAAGACGCUUUAAUGAGGCAGCCGACGAACUGGCAAAGGCAGCAUCUGGCCGGAGGCCAGUCUCUGUCGGCGUCUUUGUCAGUAACUUGCAUAAGCCCUCGGUCCGCUAUGAAGAGCCGGGAGAGGCCGGCAACAAGCCACCUGUCCCAGACCUGGAGGCUGACCCCUCCGACCCCGAGGUCAUGGAGAUCGACGCAAACCCGGCAGAAAGGGCCGACCCUCUACCUGACUGGAGAGCUCCGUACCUCGACUACCUCAUCCGUAAGUCACUCCCUACGGACAAGACGGAAGCGCAAAGGAUUGUCCGUCACGCCAAGUCCUUCGUCAUCAUCAACCAAGAGCUCUACAAGCAAAGCCAUACCAGGAUCCUACAACGCUGCAUCCCCUUCGAGCAAGGAAGGUCGCUGCUUCAGGACAUCCACGCCGGGGCCUGCGGUCACCAUGCCGCACCAAGAACCCUCGACAGGAACGCUUUCCGACAAGGUUUCUACUGGCCGACGACAGUCGCCGACGCCACUCGCGUGGUACGCACCUGCGAGGGAUGUCAAUUCUACGCCCGACAUACUCAUCUGCCUGCCCAAGCACUCCAGACCAUCCCCAUCAUGUGGCCCUUCAUGGUCUGGGGUCUGGACCUUGUUAGGCCCUUCAAGAAAGCACCCGGGAGCUUCACCCACCUACUCAUCGCCGUCGACAAAUUCACGAAGUGGAUCGAGGCUCGACCAAUCGCGCAGAUCAAAUCCGAGCAAGCGGUGCAAUUCUUCACCAACAUCACUCAUUGCUUCGGAAUCCCCUACUCCAUCAUCAUGGACAAUGGCACGUAGUUCACCGGGAAAAAAUUCCUCAGUUUCUGCGAUGAUCACCACAUCCGUGUGGACUGGUCGGCCGUGGCACAUCCCCGUACGAACGGACAAGUUGAGCAGGCCAACGGCAGGAUACUCCAGGGUCUCAAGCCACAGAUCUUCAACCGCCUAAACAAGUUUGGCGGCUGAUGGGUUGCGGAACUCCCCGCGGUCCUAUGGAGCCUGAGGAUGACCCCCAGCAGGGCAACCGGCUUCACCCCUUUCUUCAUGAUCUAUGGGUCCGAGGCGAUCCUCCCCACUGACUUGGAAUACGUGUCACCGAGGGUCAGGGCAUACGAUGAACAAGGGAACCAAACGUCGCUCGCGAAUGCGCAAGACCAACUAGACGAAGCACGAGACGUGGCCCUGCUACACUCGGCUAAGUACCAACAAGCCUUGCGACGGUACCACAGCCGUAAGUUACGGGGCCGGGCCCUCAACGUUGGUGACUUUGUGCUCCACCUCAUCCAGAGCAAGAAGGGUCGGCACAAGCUGACCCCGCCGUGGGAAGGUCCUUUUGUCGUUGCGCAAGUACUGCGACCAGGCACAUACAAACUAGCGACCCCCGAUGGGCAAAUCCUCACCAACACUUGGAACAUCGAACAGCUAAGUCACUUCUACCCCUAAUUGUCAUUUCUAAAGUUAUGUAUAAACUUCUACUAUUUGUCUAUGGAAAAAGUUGUUUCGGGUCGCUUUCGCUAAAGUUUUCUUCCAAGCUUAGGGAUAUCCGACCCUGGCUCUCGCCCAGGGUCGAAUAUCCCUUGGGGGUUGUCAAGGGCUCUGGCCCAAGACACUUGGCGUCUUCUCAAAACACCACUUUUUCCCAAACCGACCCUCUUCCUAAACAUUUGGGCACGGGAGGAGAAGAGUGGGCGAACGACACUUGGGCAAGACCGAUCAGACUGCGAGAAACCUACGCCUCCGAAAGCUACGGUGCCUUUGCUCAUCAGCGCUUCCCGACCCGUCCGACUCGCAUUCUGAUAUUUCCGAACCCAUAACAUAAAAAGAGGAUUGAAAACCUUUUUUGAAAAGUGUAUAAACAAAAAGGCCUCUCCGACCAUCGCAAAAACAAGAUUAAGUUUACUUAAUUCAUUACAUUUUUUGUGGGCACCUUUGCCCGAUAUAGCAUCUCCUCAAGGAUGCUCAAGCGGGACGGCCUCCUCCUCCAAGAGCCGCGCCAAGGCCUCCGCAGGAGCAGCCACCAACGCAUCGACCUCGUCCAGCUCGGCAUCAGUAUAGCCAGAGGUGUAGCCGUCGCUCAUCAGCUGGAAGUUGAGGCCGGCUUAGUGGGAGCUGAAGACGCCAAAGGCCCGCUUCACACCGAUGCGGAGCGCGUCUCGAGCAACCUCGCCCGCCCGCCGGUAUGUCCCGAUGACAUGAGCCUCCAGCAAGCUCGCCCCCUCCUCCUGAACGACUCCGAGGUCUUCACAGACCAUACCAACAGUGCUCCGCAGGUUGGUGAGCUUGACGUGCUCCUCAUCAGCGGUGGCUCUCAAUCGGGCAAGGUUGCCAUCAAGGCCUGCUCAAACCACAAGAAAAAAUCAAGAUCAGCGGUAUGCGCCGGGACAAGCAAGAGGAAAAAGGACGACGAAGUCCUUACCAUCGGCGCGGGCUCGCUGCUCGUAUUCUCGGACAAGCCCUUGGGACACCGCGGCCUGAAGCCCCUGCACUUGCCCAUGGAGCUGGCUGACCUCUUCCACAAGAUCAGCCACUACCCGCUCGGCCUCGACCUUCUGACCGACCUUGAUGUCGCGUUCCUGCUGAGCCGCGUCACGCUCUUGGCAGGCCGCGUCGCGCUCCUACCGAGCCGCAUGGCGCUCGCGCCGGAUGCGCUCGAUGGUCUUCUGAAGGGCUUCGUGCUCCUUUUUAACCUGGGCAAGCUCCUCAGCAUCUUGGCGGGCCUUCUUGAUGGUGACCCGGAGCUUGUCCUUCGCCCUCCUGGCGCCCGCCUGCACCUCCUUCUCCUGUGCGUGCUGGUGAGCCACCAUCUUACCAAGGGCGGUGGCAGCCUAGUGGGCAGCGGCGAGCUGUCCAGUCAGCUCCCCAUUCUGCCGCACCUCCUCGGAAGGUGUUCCCAGACCCCCCCUCCUUGGCUGCAGUUCCGGAGGGCCUACCGGAUGAUCUGCGCUUGAAACUCGUUUGGAGAAAAAGGAGCAGAGAAGAGAAAAAUGACCGCCGAAAAGAACACCAUACCUGACUGGCAGGGGCGAUGACGUCGCGCAGCCUUCCCACCGUAGAGGACAGGGUGGCAUGAACGUCUUCAAGCCCGCCUUGCACCUCCAGCCACCUCUCCUGCUCCCCGACAUCAUCAAGGAUGAAGAGGGGCUUCUCCGGGUCUCCACGGGAGGCCCAACACACGGUCGGUCCUCCCCACACAUUGGGAUCAUGUCCAGACCUGACGAUGGUGCGGGAGGACUCCCCAACCAGUGUCGAUGGCCUCUCGACUGAUGCCGAUGGUCCUUCUGGAGCGGGGACCACCGUCUCUGUCUCCGCCCCCGAGGCAGGAGCCGCCUUCUCCACCUCCACCACCGGAGUAGAUGCCGCCAUCACCUCCACCGCCGUCACCUCCGUCUCCACUCCCGGCAUCUCAGGUACGGACACCUCCCCCACCGGCUCUUCCUUCGUCGCGUCAUCAAUGAAUAUCACCUCGGUGGAUGGACGAAUCCGAGGCGCAACAUCCUCUCCUGCCGAGUCAGCUGCAAGGGCGGAAGAGGAAGAAGGGUUGGCCACCUGCUCUCCUCCCGACCCCGGCGUCCUCUCCUUAGUCGCUGCCUCGGAUGCCGUCCCCACAGGGGGUGCCACGGCCUCACCAACAGCGCCGCCGCCCGCUUGCGGCAGAGCCCAGGUUGGUCCCAUAGAGGCGGCCGACAACCUAAGCGCUUUCUUCGGCGCCGGCGGUGGCAUGGCACCACGCGUAAUGCUGCAAGACGAUGGUACGGGCACGGCGACUGUGCUUCAACUCCGGCGCGCCAAAGCCCGACACUGACCCCAGGAUGUUGGAUAGUGGUCGCUUGCCACUAUCCCUCUGCUCGUGCAACACAGGCAGAGGAAUGGGGGUCGGCCCCGCCGACACCUGAGAUGCGCCCCUCGCUGACUCCUGGGGCGCGGCUUCUAGGUCCCGCGGGGUCGGGCCCUGGAUGGCUGACCUGCCCGGUGCACCCUCCGCGGCCAAUUGAGGAGGCAGCUCCUGGAUGAUGAGCGGGCCUGGCGCGAAGGCCGGGACAUAGUCCUCAGCAGCGAGCUGGUCCCCGACCACGCUGCUCUCAGGCUCUUCCGCCAACAACCGGUCAAGCCAGUUGGACCCCUCCUCGUCGUCGUCGUCAUCCUCAUCCUCAUCCUCAUCAUCAUCAUUCUCAUCCGACAUUGCACCUGGGCCCCUCCGCUGCCUUCGGAAGUCCACCACGGCUUUUUUCUUCUUCCUCGCCGCGUCCUUGUCCUUCAUCCUCUUCUGCGCUUCGGCAGUGAGGCGGUUCCACAUCCUUCGCUCCGCGUCCUCUGGCAACGGUGGUUGGGAGCAUAUGGCAAGGUUUAAAUUGCCCUGCAGAUUUAAAAACCCCUCGUCAAGACGAUAAACUAGGAAAAUGCAGGAAAAAAGAACGAGAAUGCGAGUUUCUCACCAGCUCGACGAAGUCCUCAUUCGGACGCAUCGGAAGGUGCCUCGACACCGGGAACAUGACAUCCUUGUCACCCAACGCCUCCCGGACGCGCUGCUCCAUCUCGGCAUCAGCAAUCCCCUCUGUCGAGAGGACGGUGCCGUCGGUCGGUGCUCCAGGAACCAUCUCGUCGAGCAAGCGGGCCCGCAGCAUCAACGGCGCCACCCUCCAGGCGUGGUACGCCCCGACAACCCCGGCCCUAGUCAGGCCAUGGUUCUUCAGAUGGUUGAUGGCCUAGAGGAGCUCCCGGAUCUGCUUCUUCUCCUUCUCGACAGGACUGUAAAACCACAUCACCGGCACAUCCUCGAUAGUACGGCCGGUGUACUCUAUAAAGAACGACUGCUCCGUCUAGAAAGGAAGCGAGAAAGCUGAAGGCAAGCGCGGGGCGAAACCAGCGAGGAAACCUCUUUCGCUUUAUAAGGGGCGCGCGGCAAAUGAAAGACGACCCGAUCGCAUUUAUUGCGACGUCAAGUACAUCCCAUCACCCCCGCUAUUUCAGAAAACCGUGCGCACGAUCCCAUUCUAAUCGUAGGGUACACCACACCCCCUCACCCCACGCGCCCGAAAUUAUCUGCCGCUUCGCCUCCCGGAGGUCAUGCGCACAAACAUCUCCCACAGGCGGCCCAAGGCCCGCUUCAGGUAAAAAAGGGAUACAGAGCUGAAAAUGCUCUUACAGCCCAUUACGAUCCAGGGGUUUGAAGGCUGGCCCUCCUGAGGGUUCGAUUGCCACCCCAGGACACUUCCCGAGCAAGGGGUGAGACAGGAUGGGUCCGCUAGCGGCCUCUACCCUGGCGAAUGAAAGCCAAGGGCAUCCCGACCUCACGUUCGAGUCCCAACUGGCGAUUAAGUUCAUGGUGUUUCCCCAAAGAAAGGCAACGAGCCCCCAGAUCCAGUCGAAUGGAUCCAGGAACUAUAUGAACUAGCCGUCCGGAACCAGGAGUACGCCACCAGCUUGGCCCAAGCCGGACCCCCCCUAACGGGGAUCGGGACUCCACUCGAACUAACCCAUUAGCAGCUCACCAAGCAUUGUGGUUCGUCCGACGAGGAUAACCCGGCACGGCUCAACCCCUCCAUCCCAUCGAACAGAUGCUUGAGGGGCAACGAUUGAAAGACGAUCCAACCUCUUGAUCGGUCCCCUGUAGUGUGCUGGGGCUCGGGGGCUGGAAUCACAAGAAAAACGACCACGCGUGUGGUCACGAUCGGUCAUCAGGACAAAAUGAUAAGCGGGACGAUGAAAAUUUCCCCAAACCGUAUCAUCUUCGGAGCGCUCUGCCUGCCCGAGACCCCCGACAAACACUCUGCCGGGAGCCAGUCAUAGCCUCUGGAGGAGCACCUUGCUUCCCCAAAGGCUCGGGGGCUACUGUCAGGGAGGAAUAUUAAUGACCUCUUUACGCUCCCUAAUCAACAACCGUAAGGGCCAGGGCCCACCUCCGGCACCCGUAAUCUCCACCGACCAAACACACCCUGGAGGUACCUCGCUCCACCUCACCCGUCCCCAAGGGCACGGGGUUGGACGCGCCCGACCCCCCAAGGCCUCGCCUUAUCUUGUCCGAGGGAGUUCCACCUCGCCCAACCUUGAGCGCAAGGGGUCGGACGCGCCCGACCCCUCGAAGUAGAGUUUCGCCUCGCCCGACCCCGAGCGCAAUGGGUCGGAUGCGCCCGACCCCUCGAGGCCUCACCUCAUCUCGUCCAAGGGAGUUCCACCUCGCCCGACCCCGAGCGCAAGGGGUCAGACGCGCCCGACCCCUCGAAAUGGGGCUCCACCUCGCCUGAAGGAAUGUGCAAACUGCCACACGGAAGCACGAGCCUCGUGGGUCCCCUGGAGCUCACCAAAACAUAACUGAUGGGACGCGCAUGCUCCAGGAUACGGUUCUAACAUGUGGAGAGGCACCUGCUUUCCUCAACGUGACCUGUUGGAAUAUCAGAUUGCAUCAUGCUACGACGGCAAUACGGGGCUACGGCUGAACCGCCUUAUCCCUCUGCGACACCUAUCAUAGGGUACUCAUCGCCCAUACCGUCUAGCAAAGAAGGGCAAAUCGCCUAUUUUCCUACGCAGCCUGGCAAGAAGUGCACAUCAAACCGCUUCGCUCGGUCAGAAAGUGUUCAGCCGCCUCCCACCACUUACACGGCUACAGUGGCUGGUCGUCACAACCAACUUGUGCAGCUACAGUGGUCAGCCGCCAUAUGUGACUCGCGUGCUCGGCUACAGUGGCCGACCGCUGAAUCAUCGAUGGGACCCAACGGCAACCGCCCUUUCCCAGUAGCAGUACCGACAAGAUGCAGAGACAAGAAAGGAAGACGGCGUCUCCAGUAGCUCCUCCCGCUUUCUUGUUUUAAUUUUUUACCUUUCUCACUCCUAGCUCAUUUUGUAACCCCAGUGUGUUCCUUACACUAUAAACGGGGACCGGGGGCCCGGGGGGGGGGGGCUCUCGGAGGCUCGAACAACGGAACAACACCGAAUGCACACAACAGCUCUCGUAGAACCCUAAUGCUCAAGACACUUUGGGCAUCGACAAACACUCACAGAGACCUGGGAACCAGCUUCCCUCUCUUGCCUGUUUAUAGCCCCUACUACAAACUUGGUACGAGUAACACGAGCUACCUCCCACACUGGACAUAGGGCUAUUCCUGCCCGAACUAGUCUAAUCCUCAUGUCCUCCCGUACAACCAUCCGAGCCUAACGCGCAGAGAGAACAAAUUUACUAAUACGGUAGUCUCGACCCGUGAUUCUUGACACCGACAGAUUGACUCCUCAAAAAGUGAGAGUUGCAUUCUUUUUGGGACCGAGGGAGUAUUUAAGUUUCACUAUAUAUAUACACACACACAUUAUAUAUAUAUGGAAUAUAUAUGAUAUAGGUGUAUCAUGUUGAAUGUCACACCUUCUUUGCCUUGAGGUGAUUUCAUGUGGGCGCUAAGACAAUAAUGUUUCAGUGCAAAUUGGUAAUCGUGUCCUCCUCAAUGAAAUUGCGUUUGAAACUACCUCUACAAUGCAAAAUUUCAUGGUGUAGUUUCAUAUCCGCUACAUGCAAGACACAAACUGUGUUGGUAACUGUGCACUUAAUGAUUACAUCUACAUGAAACCCCUCUUAAGGGCAGUCCCAAUGGUGUGUUGAUGAUGGUUUCUAUCCUCAUUAAAUGACAAGCCACGUAGGCAAAAUGGUGACAUGGCAAACGUAAUUAAUGAAGAAAGAGAGCAAAAAUCCUAGAAACAGUAUGGAUACCAGGUGCUAAACUUUAGCAGUGUCACAUCGAAUGUUCAGAUGCUAAUUAGGAGGACUAAACAUGAGCUAAUUAUAAAACUAAUUGCAGAACCCUAUGCUAAUUUGGGAGAUGAAUCUAUUAAGCCUAAUUAAUCCGUCAUUAGCAAAUGGGUACUGUAGCACCACGUUAUCAAAUCAUGGACUACUUAGGCUUAAUAGAUUCAUCUCGCGAAUUAGACGUCAUCUGUGUAAUUAGUUUUGUAAUUAACCUAUAUUUAAUACUCCUAAUUAGCAUCCAAACAUCCGAUGUGACCGGUGCUAAAUUUUAGUGGGGUGUAACUGCUACUGCUCGGCAGCAGCUGCAGCCCGCACACAACACUGCAGCAGAUGCUGCAGCACACACGCAGCCGGCUCAGCAGUGCAACAGCUGGUAUAGAUGAUUUUUCUUGUGCUAUGGAAACUGCGUUAGUUUCUUCCAUCGGGACUACCCUUACCUCUCUCCUCAUUAACUCACGGCCACAUUUAUCUGCAAGAUGACGCUCCCUGGUGCACCAUUUUGUCCUUGAGGGGAUUUAGCACGCAAGCUGCAGCAUGCAUAAUGCAGGUCUGCUGCUUGACUAGGACUGACGCAGGCCUAUAGUACUCAAAAACUCUGUUGACUAGCAACACUUUGGUGUGGCUCCUUGGAGCUCUGGCUACUCCUGCUAUUUCACUAUUCACAUAAUAUACCAACACUGUGCAUCGAAGCCUAUUUUCUCUCUCCUCACCUUCUCCAACACAAACCAUGCAUACCGGUGGAGCCAAAAUUGUGCAGGAGCCAGAGCACCAAACUGGACCUAACAUUACACGGUGAUGCAAAACAUGACACGCCCCGAUAUGGUGAUGGUGGACAUGACACAUCAGUAUAAAUUAUGAGGAUAGCUUUCGCAUGCUUUCGUGCUAGCAUAUCAUAUACUCCUGACAACGACCAAGGGAUGAUGUAAGCAAAAUGAGGUCAUACAAUGCAACAUGGAAUAUGUAAGGACGCGUCAUCCUGCUGCCGGUGGUCCUCUAAACAACAUAGAUCAAACACACGAUGCUAGGACAUAGAUCAAACACGGCGCUAGAUCAAACACUAGUUCUACCAUUACAUUAACCAGUCCUCGAUGACAUCAUGCACAAGCAAAAGAAACGCGAAAGAUAACGAUAAUUCAUAGCUGCAUAUAGAUAUACAAAGACUAAAUUAGUCAACUAUUCUCUGUUCGAACGCCGCAAGCUCAUGGCGUAGCCUGUAGUCCUCGCUACAAAAUAACGUAUCUUCUCCGCAGCCAUUAGGGAAGCCGCAGCCGCCUCCAUCACAGGGGAAUUUACCGCGACCCGGUGCCGGCGGCAGCGCAAUGUUGUUCCAUAGGAUUCGCACCACAAGGUACACGGCGUCCUCACGGCACUCCCGACAGAUGAAGUUGUGGAGAAUCUUUGGGCUGAUGCUCCCGCUUGCCGCCGUUCCUUCUUCGCCCUCCAAGCGACGGAUGUACAUCUUGGCCAUGUCGGCGGUGGCGGAGCCGCCAGCGUUCCUGUAUAGCAUCAGAGCGUACAGAUACACCGCCACAUUGAGCCCGCCCGCGGCGACGCGGGAGAGCUGAUCGAGGGACGGCUGGUAUCCCCUAAAGAAGUCUAGAAUCCCUGUGAGCAAGGAGGCCUCCGGGUUCCCCACAUCAAGCAGUAGACGGAUUAGGGAGUAGUACCUACCCGGCUGGUUCCACUGCAUCUCCUCCCAGCACCGUAGCAGAGCCACGCGUCGUCCGAUGGCACGCUGGCCGCACACGCGGCGCAUGACCGUGCAAGUCACCCGUAGCUUGCCGAGGUCCUCCAUGAGCUGGUCCGAGGUCGCAGCGAGGUGGAUGGCGAUCACAGUGAGCAGGUUCGUAGGGAGCGUUUCAAGUGACGGUUGUUGCCUGUUCGCCGCCAUGAAAACGCUCGCUGGAGCGACGGAGGAGGCUAAGAUGGAAGGAAAUCGAAGGAGGCACGGUGGAAAGAGGCGACAAGACGCGCGAUGGUGCAAUGGCGGCCAAAGGUGGGGGCCGGGCAUAAGGGCAUAAGGGCGUGUGCGUGGGUGGAACUGACGCUGCAUUAAAUAGGCACCCCUCGGAAGAGGUGACAGCUACGUUGGGAACCGGCGCGAGCAGCCGCUGUACUCCUUGGUAAAAGGGCGGCUCUUCGUGGGAACCACGCGAUCGACCAGCAUGGCUGGGGAGUUGCAGGGCCUAGGCGCAAAGUAGGGACAGAUAAUCACUCAAAGGACAGCGUGCCACGCAUCGGGCAGUUCUAUGGUUGCAUGAUGACUUGUUCAAGUGCUACACCUACUACUGACAAGCCAAUUAAUCUGCUGCCGCAGCAUCAGAAGCUGCAGCACAUCAUCAAAAGUGCUAACAUGGCACCCUAAUUAAUGUGCAUGAAACCUCUAUGAAAAGUUAUGUACAAGGCCCUUUAAAAUAAAAAGGUCAUCCAAAAUAGAACCAUAGAAAUAAACCGGCCGAUUUGCAUGGCAACAGAAAGGAAUUAUAGAUCAAACAAGGAUUCCACGGUUUUCUCAUUACUAGAUCAUUACAUAGGAUCGGACAUAUAGAUAAAUAAGAACUAAUUAUUAUACUAAUAACAGCGGUCGCUGCUGCUACUCUCACCUCCUCCCUUCUGGUGAUCCUUCAGAUGAGCUGCCGCCGCCUUAUCUUCCCGUUUCCUCCAGGCAUCCCGACGCCGGCGGCGUACCAUCUCCAGCGCCCUCCUCCGUGCGGUGUCCUCCUCCUUGGCCUCAUCUUGGAGGGAGAACUCGCAGUCGCGUUUGAGCAGGAAGUCGUUCAUGUCCUCCACCGCUUUGGUGCAGUCAUGCUAGUCCUCCGCUUCCUGCUCAGCCGUCUCCAACGAGUUCAAGAUGGCCGAAUGCACUGGAUCAAAAUGAUGAACCUCCUAUUUCGAUUCCACCGUCGUCUCCCUGUCGGGAUCAUCCUCGAGGUUUAACUUGAGGUACUCCAAGUCGGACGACGACUACGGCGGAGGUGACGAUGGCGGUGGACGCGUCGGGUGGCGAGGCGACAACAGCGGCGGAGGUGUCGGGGAGCGAGGCGAGGACAGCGGUGGAGGCGUCAACGGGCGAGUUGCGGGGAGGAGGGGUUUAGCAUCGCCCACGUAGUUGGCAACCGGCGAGGCAUUGCGAUGAGGGUUGGUUGUUUUUUGAUGAAGCAGGAGUAGGGGGCCGAGGGAUACGCUGCCCUUAGGCAAUGGUGGGGGUGUUAUAUAUAUACUCCCUCCAUCGCAUUUUAAUUGUUGCUCGGGACCCAUCGUCUUUGGCUCCUGACCGAUGAGCCGUUGACACGGGCGGCCCACACGCAAUGACCAAUUAAUGUUCGUCAUGUAGUGUUGCCACCCGGGACAGAUAAUCACUCAAAGUAAUAAAUUCCUUCAAAAUUACCGAAAUAAGGUGAUAGCUCAAUGGUUUGUCCGCUGCUCUGGACCUUGUAGGCUUCGGUUUGUUUCAGGGUUGCAACACAUUUUUUCUGCAUUUUCUUUCAAUUUAUAUUCCUUCAUUUUUAAAUUUACAAGUUUUUUAGUACAAAACUUUUGCCAAUUUAGGUUUAUACAAUUCCAAUAUAUAUUUCCUUAUGUCCUAGCACAAUGUGCAUGAGUGGAUAUGCUAUCACAAAAACAAAGGUAAUAUAAGUGUAUAUCACUAGCUUGGUUUAUCACAAUGCAAAUACAAAUCCAAAGAUAAGUGUAUCUUGGUGUCAUGAACUCAAACCUAGGUAAUAAAGAUGUCAACCUGCAAAAAGAUGUUUUGUGUGAUAAAUAUGUCCUUGAGGAGAUCGAUUACCAAUUUGCACCGAAACAUUAUCUUAGCCCCCACAUGAAAUCACCUCAAGGAAAAGGAGGUGUGACAUUGAACAUGAUACAUCACCUAUAUGAUAUGCCAUAUAUAUGAUACACAUUUGACCAUAAUAGAUUCCAACUUGCCUAUUCAUAUGCCCCUGUUACCUUAGACACAUUCGAAAAAGGUUCGUUCAUUCUAUAGAAAGUAAUUAUUGAAGACAUGACAAAAUGUUAAUACAAGGGGUCGGGUAAUACAAUGUAAAUGAAACCACGUGAAAAGAAAAAGUUUUUCGAGAAAUUGGAAAAAAGAAUCACCUGAUUUGGACAACAAAUGCGAAAAUUUCAUGGUGUAGUAGUUUCAUAUGCACUACAUGCAAGACACAAACUGUGUUGGUAACUGUGCAUACAUGGUUUCAUCUAGAUGAAAUCCCUCUUACCUCUCACCUCAUUAACGCACUGCCACAUCAUCACAAAUUUUGACAUGGCACCCUAAUUAACGUGCAUGAAACCUCUAUGAAACUCACACUGGGAUUAGCCAAGUGACAGGGGGAGUACACUUUUAGGUUAAUCCCAAUGGAGAGUUUCAUUUUGAUGUUUCCAAGAUAACCACAUAAGCAACAUGAAAAUGAAAUUGUGUUUGAAACUACCUCUACAAUGCAAAAUUUCAUAGUGUAGUUUCAUAUGCACUACAUGCAAGACACAAACUAUAUUGGUAACUGUACGUACAUGGUUUCAUCAAAAAUGCUGACAUGGCACCAUAAUUAAUGUGCAUGAAACCUUUAUGAAACCUGCACUGGCAUUAGUCUUGGAAACAAAAUCUACUCAUUGUCCCCUGCCACUCCUGGAUGCGUCUCGUCUGCAGGUUGACUCGUGUCACUGCAGAGUGGGCCCAUUACCUACUAGGCCCACACGUCAGUGAUAUCUAGCCUACAUAACUGCCAAAUGCGUCUGCCUUGGGAACCGCCAUGGGAGGGGUGGAGUUUCCUGAAUGCGCACAGCGCACUCGGUUCAGAGCGAACAAGAAGGGAAGCUGCCCAUUUUUGGUUUCCGCUUUGACCCCUACGGUUGACAUGGGGGUCCCACCUGUUCAUCUCAAUCACAUCCCAUCGAGACCCUUCCAUUCCAGUUGCCUUCCGCUCUGAACUCCACACAACUCUCCACUCGCACUUUUAAUGGCCGUGUUCGGACUUUUAAUAAUUAGACCCUUUCGCACAAGCUGGUAAUACAUUGUAUUGGACAUCGAUCAUCAUUAACGACAUUUGUCUAGUUCCAAUGAUCACAACGACAUUUUCUCCCAGCACUGGAGAAAUGACAGGCGCACCCUGACGGCGCGAUCACCGCACGCACGGAGCAUGAGCCUACAGGUUGCCCGUAGUUUGUGGAGGCCCUCCAAGGGGUUGCCCGUAGUCUACAGAGGUCCUCGAAGGGGUAGUCGAUCUGCAGGGCAUAUAACGUACUGCAUCAAUAACGAUUUUUUAGUUACCACUUUCACCAGAGCGGCUAACAUGCGGGUCCCACCUGCGAUAAAAAAUACCAGGCACAAAAAAGCAAUAACUUCCCAACAUGAACAAGCAAAUGCGCCGCAUCAAUUCAAUGAAGACCAGUCGGACAUCGAAUGUUUAGAUACCAAUAAUUAGGAUUAUUAAACGUAGACUGGAGGGGUGUUUGGAUCCCCGAGAUAAACUUUAGCCCCUAUCACAUAGAAUGUUUAGAUACUAAUCACGAGUAUUAAACAUAGAGUAUUUACUAAUUAGUCCUCUCUCAUUAACCGAUUGUUAACAACGAUACAUGGAAUCUUAUUUUGUGGGGAAGGUGCGAAUGAGAUUAUGGAUAUGUGUGGCUCCUUGGCCAAGACAUUUGAGUGUAUAUAACUGAGGAAAAUAGAAGCUAGAAUUUCGCAUGGAGAUUGGAGAAAAAGAAGCAAUGGAGGCGUUGAGGAACAAGGAGAAGAAGAUGGAGCAGCUGGCGGCCAAGGCGGAGGCUAGGCCGAUCAGGCUGCGUUUGCCAGGCCGAUUGGCCCAGCCUCCUUUGGUGGCCACUGCCGCCCCCAUUUGGAUGGAGGUGAAGAGGUGCAAUCCUCUUCCCAAAUCUCGGGCAAUGGGCCAUCAUCGCAAUUCUUGCAAGUUCAUCAUCUACUCAAGUGAUGAGGCGGAGACGCCCGAGUACCAGCUGUCGGUAGACUAUGGAGUUCAUAGCGACUGGGAGGACUACGGCGAAGAAGAAGAUUCCAACAGGUACUGGGAUUGGGCCUCUUUUCGGAAGAAAAGAAAGGAGGAAAAUGAACGCCGUCAAGGCAAGGGCAAAGAGAAAGUUCUAGUAGAAGACGACGGGCUAGAACCGGAGGAGCAUGAUCAUACGUGUUGUACCGCUUGCAGGAACAACAUCCACUACCUCUUCGAUGCCAUUGAUGACAUCAAGCGUCAAUUGCAAGCUCUGGAUUGGAAGGUUGAAGUCGAUUAUCGCUGUCAAGUGGAUGACUUCAAGUUCUUGCAGAGGAAGGUGGGGAAGCUCUUCGGGAUGUGCGGCAAUAUGAGGAAGAACAUAACUAAUGUCGAAGGAAUUAGCGAGGGUUCCUUGGGCGAGGACUGCGAGAGGCGUCACUAGGAGCGUUCAGUUGUUUUUUUUCCAAAGUUUCAGUUUGGCAUAUCUUCCUUUCAGUCUUGAAUUAAUAGAAUGUUAUUAUUUAUUGACACUUGUAUGUAAUCUUUUUUUAUCAUGUGUGUGCGCACGUGCACUUCCACUAGUUGGAAAAAAAAUCAACGGAUUUGGACAACAAAUGCGAAAUCUAAACACGUUUAACGUUUUCACAAUUCGAAAUCCUCCACCCCGUUUUCCAUUUUGUUUUUAUUUUUGCCAAAAAUUAGGUUGGCGCUCGCAUGCAGCCAUUUACCGCCUAUUCUUUCCUUUCCCUCCUCCAACUUUGUUCCUGAAUGCUCGCGCGAAGAGCUGGACCCACUAUGAAAAGUACUCUACGCUUUUAGAAACAAAAUCUACUCAUUGUCCCCUGCCAAUCCUGUCACUACCGAGUGGGCCCAUUCUCCACCAGGCCCACACAUCAAUGAUAUCUGGCCUACAUAACUGCCAGCGGCGUGGACUCCCACUUCCAGAGUUCGCUUAUGGCCCCUUCUUCUCCGCCCCCUUUCAAUGUGAAAUCUAUCUCCCGCAACACGUCCCAUCGCAAUCCCGCACGAGCGCCUUGCUCCCUCUGCUCCGCUUCCCUUCCCACCAUGGCUCACUGCAAGAAGAUGCACAACUCUAGUAGGCAGCUGCGUGACAAAGCCACCGGGCGAUUCAAGAAGAAGGGACUUGGCACCUCCACCAAGGCUCGACCGAGGCGCUCGAUCCCUAAGGAGGUGAUGCAGGAAAAUUAGAUUUAGUAUACAAUAUAUUUCAUUUCAUGAUUCUGUGACAUGUUAAACUUUGCGAUCUCAUGGUAGGCGCGAGUAAGCAGACCGCGUGACCCAGUCCGAGCCCACCACAUCUUCAUCAUGUGUACUCCCUCCGAGGACGAGCGAGACAUCCAAUAUGACUAGCCAGACAUGCCAGCAAGUCUCAAACUAGUAUGUGUUCUUUAUUUCGAAUAAGUUCUAACACUAUGUGUUGCCAUGUUAUGAUCCUAUUAAAACUGAGCAGCACUUCAUUUAGUUUUGUGACCCUAUUUUCCUUGUAAUGAAGGUCGCCGGAGAUACCUGUGAGGUCGUUUUCCCAAAGAUGUCAUGUACAAUGAUAUUCACUCAUGGGAGCGAUGAUGAGCUGAACGAUGGACCUGAGCUAUCUGGUAGGCAGGUGAUGUUCCUACCCUUUAAAAGUUAAUCAUCAAUUGGUUUCUAUUACGUGCUGUUUUGGUUUAUCUAGUAGUCAGUUUAUCUUUUUCACAUGCUAAGUAACCCCCUUCUUAAAUGUCAGGUGCGAGAGAUGGCAGAAGAGCUUCGCGUUGCUAUCAAGCGCAAGCUGCAGAAGGGCCAUUUCUACAUUCUGGAAGGCAAAGACGACUAAUGUGGAGGAGGGAGUAGCUUACUCCUUGUUGAUGUAGAAGUAUCAUUACUCUUAGUUAUAAGAGUUAUGUUAGUUGAUCAUGUCAUGGAUGCCUCUUAUUUAUUUUUGUAUCAUGAUAGAGGCAUUACCCAAGUUUAUUUUGGUAACAUGAGAGGCAUGCACCUACUAUAUCAAACUCGACCCAAUUCAUAUGAAUUAAGUAAUUUUUAUGUAUGGGAGCUCUAUCUCGUCUGGUUUAGCAUUUGAUAAAGUUCAUCACCAAUGUAGGCGUCAUCAGAAUCAUCUUCGUCUUAAUGUUUUGCAGAAAUCAAAUGGACAUUAGUUCACAAAGUAAACUUUGCAACUCCAAAUUACACAAAGAAAAUAUCUUCGUCUUCUCUAGGUAUAUUGAAGUACAAAUGCAUCACCUGAUAACCCUUGCACGUCUUGCCUAAUCCAGUUUGUCAAAACCUCCUGAUGGUCCUCAACAUUCAUUUGUUCCACUCCUGUAAUAACCAAGUCCAUAUUUCUAUCACCAAGACUGUCCUCUACUUCCAGCAUGGCCAACAGGGUCCUCGGUUUCAUUUUGAGGACACUGCACCAUUUAGUACCUUUCUUGUCGCCUUUCACAUAACACACUUGCUCCGCUUGUGUUGCUAGGAUGUAUGGAUCAUCUGAGUAGCGAAACCGAGUGGUAUCAAUAUCGAUAAUCCCAAAUUUAUCUUUACUGUACCCUCUGGAUUUGCUCUUAUUUGGUGCAGGAACAUCAUACCAGUCACACUCGAACAAUGUGACUUCAUGCUGUUUAGCAAAAUAAAGGGUGAUGAUUUUUUUUAAUCACUCCGUACCAUUUCAUGCCAUCAUUGCCCUUGACGACAACACCCCUGUUCUGUGUUGAUAGAUUUUUGUCUACAUCUGAUGUCCGGAAGAAAUACCCAUUGAUGGAACACCUGCUCCUCACAGUAACUAUUUGUUCUGGACCAUGAGAUAGAGAGUAAAUCAUUUCAUUUGGUUUUCCCUCUACAUGUAGGUUCCUGAUCUACACUCAGAAAAUUUUGGAAGAUAUGUUACGAACAUAUAUAUAUAUAUAUAUAUAUAUAUAUAUAUAUAUUCAAGUGUGAUGAAUAAAAUUGAACAGAAAUAUAUAUGACUCACUUUACGCUCGAACCAAUGUACAAAUUGAGCCUUGUGCCUGCUAUCAUCAUUAUGCAUGUUGGUUUUCCUCAAUUCGUCCAUGUGCAAACUGAUGAAACAAUAAACUUAUGUCAGUUAGAUAUUGAACACAAUAUAAAAAAAUAGGAUUACAUGAAGCUUACUUUAUCCAUGGAGUGGCCUCGUCAUAGUUGGAUAUUAUGUAGUACCUCAUCUUGCACAAGUCAGCAGGAGAAGGUAUCUCCAUAUUGUGCCUAUGAUGACUACCUUUCUCUUCUAGUGAAGUCCAUGCUCGCAAAUACACUUAGAUCAGCAGGUGGUUCACUAACAGUGCUCCUUUUUUGUCGCUCUAGCCGAUUCAGCUUUGUACUAACACCUUCAAAGAAUCGAGAACGGAAUGUAAGGCACUCAUCCGAGAUGUACCCCUCUGCUAUUGAACCCUCUGGGUACGCUUUGUUCCUCACAUAGCCUUUGAGGGUACGUAGGUACCGCUCAACUGGGUACAUCUAUCUAUAGGAAACAGGGCCCCCGAGUUCUGCCUCCCAAGCAAUAUGAACAGGUAAGUGCAUCAUAAUAUCAAAAAAUGCUGGAGGAAAUAUCAUCUCAAUCCUACAAAGGGUCUGUGCAAUUGAUUUGGUAAGUUCUUUCAUCUAGGUUUCCUCAAGCUCCUCUGAACAUACUCAACUAAAAAACCUGCUGAGCUCGAUCAAUGGGAUCACUACUUGCUCAGGCAAUAUUUGGCGCACCACCAAGGGUAAAAUUUUUUUUGUAUAACAUGGUAGUCAUGACUUUUAAGUCCAGCAACCUUAAAACCAUUGACAUCAACACAUCUCUUGAUAUUUGAGGCACAAGCAUCGGGCUUCUUAACACCUUCAAGAAAAUUGCACAAAAUUUCCUUCUGGUCAUCACCUAACUUGUACAACGCUGGUGGCAAAGUGUAUUUUCCUUUAUCGUCGAACGAUAGAUGUUGAUCCAGCCUUAUACCCAAUUCUUGCAUAUCGAGUCUAGCCUUCUCACCGUCCUUACUUUUACCAGCCAAAUCAAGUAGAUUCCCUAUCAAGCUCUCACAUAUAUUCUUCUCAAUAUGCAUCACAUUGAGAUUAUGGCGUAUAAGCAAAAAAUCCCAGUAAGGAAAGUUAAAGAAAAUACUCUUCUUCCUCCAGUUGUGCCAUCUAUUAUCUUCAUCGCACUGCUUUCUCUUCCUCGAAGUAGUCGCUCCAAAAGUGACUUGCUCGAAAGUCUUAUACUGGUCCACUACUUCUGCACCACUCAGGGGCACUGGAGCUGCCCUCAUUUCUACCUUGUUAUUGAAGCUCAACUUGUUCCUCCGCCACCUAUGGUCCGUAGGCAAGAAACGACGAUGGCCCAUGUAGCAAUGCUUUGAAACAUAUUUUAGCCACAAGUAAUCGGUAUCCUUGUUAUAAUAAGGACAAGCAAACCUGCCUUUUGUGCUCCAACCAGACAACAUUGCAUAUGCAGGAAAAUCAUUAAUUGUCCAAAGUAGCAUUGCAUGCAGAGUAAAAUUUUCCUUUUUUUCCGCAUCCCAAGUAUCAACUCAAUUGUCCCAUAACGCUUUAAGCUCAUCGAUCAGAGGCUACAAAUAUACAUCAAUGUUAAUUCCUGGAGAUUUAGGUCCAGGAAUUAGCAUCGACAUCAUCCAAUAGAAUUAUUUGAAGCACAACCAAGGAGGCAGGUUAUAAGGAAUCAGGAUCACUGGCCAUGUAGUGUAAGUCACAUUCAACAUACCAAAUGGAUUGAAGCCAUCCGAUGCAAGUCCCAGCCUAACAUUACGUGGAUCACUUGCAAAUGCAGUAUACUUGGCACUUACGUGCCUCCAUGCCUUUGAGUUAGCUGGGUGCCGCACUUUACCAUCUUCAACCAAUUCUUCCUUGUGCCAACGCAUAUGCGCCGAUGUUGUCUCGUUCAUAUAUAAUCUCUACAGUCGAGGCGUAAGUGGAAAAUACCUCAGUAUCUUACGAGGUAAGAGCUUCUUAUUUACUCCACCAGUGCCAUCACCACCACACUCUAAAUAUGUAUCUUUCCACCUACUCUCCCCACAUUUUGGACAUGCGUUCAGCUUCUCGUACUCUUCUCCAUGGAAUAACACACAGUCAUUAACACAAGCAUGAAUCUUUUGGUAGUCCAGUCCAAGGUCUCGAACUACCUUUCGAACUGUUUCCAGGCUAUCUGGGACACAAUGGUCCUUGGGGAGCACAUGGUAGAAUAAUAACAGUACUUGCUCUAGAGCAUUGUUGCUAAUACCGAACAUGCACUUAAUCUGAUAUAGCCUCACAAUAAAAGAUAUUUGGGUAGCCUCCUCACAACAUGGGUACAGUUCUUUCCUAGCUUCUUCCAUUAACUUGAAAAUUCUUCUUGCUGACUCAUUUGGCUCGUGAUCACCUCUAAUUUCACCAUGUAUGGCACCACUAAUUAGCGAUGAAAGCAGUUUAGUGGAUGACACACCAUCAUCAUGAUCACCUUCUUCACCUUCACAAAUGUCCCGAUCAUCAUCGUUCAUAACAACACAUUUAGCAGAUCUGCCAGUAUGAUGCUGUUUUAUGUAAUGCGGAUCAAACCCUCUGGUAUUCAAGUGCAACUGAACAACUUCUUUAUUUUGAUAUGCCAUGCGACGACAUCGUCUACAUGGAUAGGGCGCCGUCUGUCCUGGUAAGGAGUCAGCAUCAAAGGUAUCUUCAAUGAAUUUAGCAACACCGUUUUGCCCCGCAGCAUCUGUACGUGACAAUUCAAUCCAACUACAAUCCUCGUGUUCAUGUGCCAUAUUGCAAAAAACCCAACUAAUAAUAUUUUAAGCACAGGCUUGUAGUAUACUACUAAACAAAUCCUGAAUAACCUCCUGAAUAACCUACAAAAAAUAUAGGUUCCUCCAUCGGUAUUAUUACUAUCAACUAGUAUUAUAAAAACUGAAUGAAUAUAUGUACUAAUAAUUAAUUAAUUGCAUGCACAUUAAUUAAUUAAUUAAUUGCGAUAGGUCUAGAUCGAUUUUAUACCUUGCAUUGAGAGGAUGGAAUCGGACAACGCCCGUGUCAUCCUGCGCAUCGAGAGAUCGUAGAGGACUAACAAGGGGACCCUUCAAUUCCUUGGCACUCGACAACUCGUGACCUAGGGAUCGGAAGAUGAUGUACGGCAGGCGGCGACCACGCGACGAAGGGGAGGAGUCGUGCAAAGAAGGAGGGGAGGUGACGAGAAUGUGGAGGACUAACAAGGGGACUCUUCCUUGGCAUUCGGCAACUCACGCGCUAAGGAAGACGAUGACAAGUGGCAGUCGCGUGACAGCAUCACGCGAGGAGAAGCAGAGGAGAGGAGUCGUGCGAAGAAGGAGGGGAGGCGACGCUAGGACGACAUAGACCAGGAUUAGACCUCUCAGCUCGUGAAAGAAAGGCCUGCCAUAUGUGUGGGCCAAAAUAAAGGCCCACAAACAUAACCAAGCUCGCGGCACCCACAAACUCAUCUAUUGCAACCAUGCAUUCCCCUAUAUUGCAACGAUUAUAUAUUAUUGCAAUAGCACCUCCUGUAUAGCAACGGUUUCAGUAUUUGUUGCUAUAACCAAGAUUUCUUUUGCAACAAUACCAUUUUCAUUGCUAUAUCUAAUACUAGUUGCAACGAUUCAUAUUAGCGUUGCAAUAUCUAAGACUCAUUUGCAACAUUGUAUUUUUUCAUUGCAAUAACCAAGAUUUCUUUUGCAACCACACUAUUUUCGUUGUAAUAACCAAGAUAUCUUUUGCAAUAACACCGAGUUUGUUGCCAUAUCUAAGACUCUUUAGCAACACAUGAUAGUACUUAUUGCAACAUGUUAUAAUCGUUGCAAUAUGGACAACCAAUUGCCACCACUAUAAAAUAGUGUGGCAAUACGUCGCCGCAAUUACAACCAACGAUAUAGCGUGCUUAUUGCAACGACUAAGUUGUUGUCGCAAAGCUACUAAACUGGUGGCAAUAUGACACCCCUAUAUCAACCUAAAUGGCCUAUUGUCGUUAAUAACCCCUAUGUAUUGCAAUGAAAGUCGCCUUUUCCAAAAAAAUUUGUCGCAUUAGUGACAAAACCUUGUAGUGCUUGAUGUCGCACCUGUAUGAUGUCUCCAAAUCACCAUAGAUGGAGAGCACUCCAUUUGGGGCUGGCAUCUUGAGGACAAGGUAGGUAUGGUGCGGGAUCACCAUAAAUCUUGCCAGCAUAGGUCUACCUCGAAUGUGAGGUGCUCCAUGCGGUAGUUGGCCUGCGUGCCGAAAGUGACAGACAAAACAACUCAGCCAAUUGGGUAGGACCCUUUUCCAGGGACAAUGCCAUAGAAAGGCUCUUCGCAGGGCUGGAGCCUCUUGAAAUCGAUGUCCAUGCACUUCAAGGUCUCUAUGAAGAUGACGUUGAGACCACUUCCACCAUCGAUCAACACCUUAGGGAGUAGGGCCUGGUCUAUGGUUGGGCAGACCACCAGCGGGUAAGGCCCGGGAUCUUGGAUGUGGACCGAAUGAUCUUGCUUGAAGAAGGUUAUGGACUGCUUGGACCAGUGUAAAUACUGAACCGGUUGCACAGAGAUGAAGUGCACCUCUCGUUGGCAUAGCUUCUGCUGGUGGUUACUGCAGAAAGCAUUGCGGCCACCCACGAUGAUGUUAACCUAGCGCUCAGGUCACUAGAAGUCCCCAUUUUGGUCAGCAUUGGACCGCUGGGCGUCAUGACGCGAAUGGUCGCGAUGCUCUUUUCUGUUCUAGUCGGCACGAUCAUCACGCCUGCCCUUGUUGAGAUCGUCACGGUCAUCGUGAUGGUGACCAUUGCAGUCGUUGCGGUCACCGUUGCUGCGGUUGUCAUGGUCAUCUUGGCGACGGUCAUCGUCACGGCUACGAUAAUCAUGCUUGUUGUUUUCCUAGUGGUAGUCGUUGCAGCGUGGUCGCUUGUAUUCCACCAGGGCGCCGAGCUCUUUCUUCAAGACUAUGCAACCCAUUAGGGUAUGACGUGCAUCCUUGUGGAAGGGGCACGGGCCACUGAGGGUCCAUCAAAUUCUUCCCGGUUAAAGGUGCUUUGUCUGGUCAGGUCACUUUCAGCUGCGUAGAGCUCUGGGGCCCUUUUUCAGAGUCGGGGCUCCGGGUGUGCUCGGGGUUCAUCAUGGAUUGGUUGAUCGUAGUCGUCAUUCUGACGGUGUUUCUGGAACUAGACUUUUGCUGCCUCUUUGAUGUCAGCUUGGGUGUUAACAACUUCCAUCAUCUGCCCGACCAUCUUUGGGUCAGCCUCGUAUAACUUCUCAAACAUCUUCUAGUUCAUCAAGCCAGAGCGAAAGUACCAAAUGAUAUCGCGGUUAUCGAUGCCAGCCAACCUGUUGCGGUUUUUGAAGAAACGAUUGGUAUAGUCUCGAAUAUUAUUGCAUAUCCUCUGGCGAACUUGUCCAAGUGUUUCCCUAUUAUUAGGUCAGCUAUAGGUGGCCUGGUAAUUUUGGGUGAAAGCUCUAGCAAGCUGGCCCCAACUAUCAAUGCUGUUUGGAGGAGGAUUUUUUAAGCACGGGAGUGGAGCAGGACCCAUCACCACUGGGAAGUAGGUGGCCAUCUGAUCAUAGGUGUCGUUAGCGGCUCGCACCGCAGUACUAUGCGUCUUGAGCCAAAUUGUAGGGUCGGAUCGACCGUUGUACUUUUCAUUGAUGGCUAGUUUAAAUGUAGGUGGCCAAGCCAUGGCCCUGAGGUGUGGAGUGAAAGCAGCGAAGCUAUCUAAUGCCAUGCCAUCAUCAUAAUCAUCAUCGAGGUAAUAUUGGUCGGGAGGAGACCUGCCGUGUCCGCCGUAGUUCCGUCUAGGCGGGUAUUAGGCAUCUUCACACGUGUAGUUGUAGUCGGCAUGGCGGUGCAUCUCAUCUUCUUGGCGAUGGAGAUCCUCACGUUCUGCGUCGUGGUUAGGCACAGGAGCGCCGUAGUCACAGAUGUACUCGGCACGGCAGCGGAGCUCAUUCUCAUCGCGCUUGUUGUGGUGAUAGUUGAGGUCGGCGCAUAUGUCACGGUUCUGAUGGAAUUCAUGCAGCUCAUCGUGAUGAUCACAUUGCCGUUCUGGUUGGCCACGGUCAUCAAACCUGCCUCUCCUUUCAUGGUGGUAGUUGUCAUUGUUGUCACAUUAGCGGCCGUUGUUGACGUUGUCAUUGACGGGAGGGUUGGCAUUUAUGUUGAUGGGAGGAUUAGCCGGUGGGUUGGCAUUGUUGUUGGUUGGCGGGUUGGCUUGUUGAACAGCAUUUUGCUUCACCUAUUCUUCGUGGAUUGGAUCUUGCUGACCACCCGCAUGCUACCCUUGGUGGCGAUCGGAUCUACUACGCCCAGACCGGCUUCGAGAGUGCCUAGACGAUGUAGACCGAGAGUGCACAAGUCGGCUGUUGAUCUGCUCCUCAAGCUAGGCAUUAGCAAUUUGUAGUCUUGUCUGAAGUCGUCGGACUUGCUUUGAAUCAGGAAAGUGUUCUAACUUGGCAAAGGCCACUCCUAGGUUAGCCUGGGGUGGCAAAGACAUUGUGACCAGCUUGCUCAAGGUUGGCUAGUAGAUUGCGAGCGCGCAUAGGGCGCCUGCAUCUUUCCCGAGCACCGCCUUGGUCAGCAUUAUCACGGUCGUUGCACGACUGUGGGCGCUAGUCACCUACUGCAUCUGUGUUGGUGACAGGUCGCUGCUGGGCGCCAGCUUGCUCCUGCUGGCACUGUGCUAUGCGGUUUCGGUUUCCGACGUUACAGCCUUCUUCUUGAGAUUCCAUUUCACCAUCGUAAGGUGGCUCGUCAACAGAGACAACAAAAGCUUCACGAUCUGGCAUGGAAGAGUUGCUUGAAUCAUUGCUUCCAUAAGAAUUAUGUGUUAGGAUGAUGCGAGGCACAUGGAAUUCACCACAGUCCGGAGAUUGGGCGAGUUCAGGCGGGUCUCCAGAUUGGAUCUGGAAGACUUGGUCAAGCUUGGCGGAGUACUCGGAGGCCAAGUUCCGUAGGCCAAAGGGGACACGGGACAAACCCUAUGCCAACCUGGUUUCACGCAACGCUACCUCGGAUAGCUCUAUGCACUCAGCAAUAGUGCUACUGAUACGAUCUAGCCCCGCGAUCAGAUCGAAGGGCAUGGGUAGGCGAGCGCCAACAAGUAGAUCUGGAACCUUCUCAGAGAGAGAAAGUGCACUGACUUGCUGGGCAAGCAGUGUGACGAUCAUUGGAUGGAGGACUUGUCCCGCUGGAACGGAUCCAACAAGGGCUGAGCUAGCGCUAGACGCCAAGUUAGUGGAACCUGCCGAGUUGACGGGAGUCGCCGAGUUGUCGGAAGUCAUCGAGUCAGCGGGAGUCGUCGAGUUGCCGGAGAAAGUGGUCGGAUCUGAAUCUGUAGGCAUGGUCCCAAACUAAAUAUGAACCGGGUUGGUGAGAAAGUCCUUCAUGCUCUCGUGAAAAAUAAUGCCAUGAUGGGAUGUCAUCGAGGUCCCAAAAGUGGAUCUCGCAACCUACCUACCGGACACACCAACUGUCGAAAUUAUGAGCCCAGCAGUCCACCAGGAGGUUACCUAAGUGGUUGAUUUGUAGCUGAGGUCAAUUACGCGACCAAGAACUCGAAGGUGAUCAUGAGAACACAAAGGGCGACACAAGGGAUUUAGGCAGGUUUGGGCCUCCGGAGAGUAAUACCCUACUCCUGUGAUUUGGUGGAUUGUAUUGCUCAAGAUUGAUCUGAUGAUUUCUUGCCCUUAGGCGGCACCCUUGGCCACCUUAUACAAUUUUACGACCAAGAGUUACAAGUCGGUUUGAAUCUAGUCUACUCAGUAUUACAUUGAAUGUUAUCUAUGUUGGAUUACAAUACGCAUCCCACGAUAUCCGGGUAGAUUUGGACAGUCUUGUUGCCUUGACGUGUACUCUAAGUCACUUUAUGUCCUCAGCCCACAUGCUCUAUUUGGGUAGGCCCACUUGUCAGGUCCGGCUAGUAUCCAGGUCGGUCGGGACCAAUGGGGUACCCAUAUCCCUGAUUGUCCAACUCCCAGGCUUGGGGGCUAUGCGCCAUAGACGACUCGGCGUGCCUCCCGUCGCCUAGCCUACGUCUUUGGCUCGGGGUGGGAGGUGACUCGGCGUACUUCCACGACUUGUCCGGCUCCCAGGCUCGAGGGCUGGGCGCCACAAAUGACUCGGCGUGCCUCCCGUCGUACAGUCGACCUCUUUGGCUCGAGGCUGGAGGUGACUCGGCGUACUUCCAUGACUCAUCGGGCUCCCAAGCUUAGGGGCUAGGUGUCGUAGAUGACUCGAUGUGUCUCCCGUUGCCCGGCUAACCUCUCUGGCUCAGGAUAGCAGGCGACUCGACGUGCUUCCGCCAGCCCUUGUACUCGGGGGCUGGGUGCCUAUUUCAAGUUGGCAUGCCUCCAUGGCUCCGCAAUGCGUCGCACUCAGGGGCUGGGCAUCUAUUUUAGGUUAGCGUGCCUCCCUGGCUCCUCUAAUCCUCGCACUCGGGGGCCGGGCGCUUCAUUCUUGUCAGCGUGCCUCCCUGGUUUCGCCUAUCCUUGUGCUUGGGCACUAGGACAUGCUUCUAGGAUCAAUUUUGUCUUCUUUUUUGACCAUUGGACUGAUUAUACUAAUCGCUUCAAUGCUCGGGGGCUACUCCAUAUGGAGUGCAUCUUGCAACGCCUUCCAUGUCCUUUGCUUCGAUUUAUUGGAUGCACGCCAUCCAUCAACUUAGCACUCGACUUUGCUCUUUCCAUGUGGCUCUGCAUUCGCCUAGAUUUUCUUCUUUCUUGAGCACUAUGCAGCCUCUCCGUCACUAUGACACCAUCAUAGCUUCAGCCAACUACAUUCCAAGCUUCGCUGCGAUGACCUCAGGUUCUUGUUCGCCUACACAUCGCUUAGGGGCUUAAGGAAUAUGGGUACCCCAUGGGUCCCCACCGACCAGGAUAUUGUUCAGUCUUGACAAGUGGGCCCGCCCGACCAGAACGUGCGAGCAAAGGAUGUGAAGAUACUUGAAGUACAAGUCAAGGGGGUUGGGCAAUUUAAAUCAGUCCGGAUAUUGCAGGAUACUUAUUGUAAUCUGACUCAGAUUGCUUUUCAUGUAACAAUCGACUAGGAUUAGAUUCAAACUGACUUGUAACCCUAGGUCGUCAGCCUAUAUAAGGUGGCCAAGGGUGACUCCCGAGAGCAUCGAAUUCAAUUUCAAUACAAUCCAGCAAAACACAGGACAUAGGGCAUUACUCUCCGGAGGCCCGAACCUAUCAAAACCUUCGAGUUCUUGGUCUCGCAAUCCUCCCUGCCUACAAAUCAACCACUUGGGUAACCUCCUGGUGGAAUGCUGGGCUACUAAAUCUGACAGUCAAGUUUGGGAAAUAGAAUCUACUUGUGUUCCUCGAUAUACGGAGCCACCAAGGAUGAUUGUUGUAGAACCGUGAAGUAUGCUUUAUGGAACAAAUCACUAUGAGUGCUCAAACUUGAUUUCCUUCCAAGGGUGCCCUUUCCUUGUAGCCUCCCCAUGUGGCGUGAUACUGGAACCCCAGUUGAAUUAGUUGAGUCAAUAAAAUCAACACAAAACUUAAUGAGCUCCUCUGUUCCUUAUCCCUUGGUGAUGCUUUGUUCUAGACAAGCACGAUUAAGAACAUAAUUUUUUAGGACUGAUAUGAACCUCUCAAAAGGCCACAUAUUGUGUAGGAAUACUGGACCAAGAAUAGUAAUCUCUUUGACUAGGUGAACAAGGAGGUGCGUCAUAUUAUUGAAGAAGGAUGGUGGAAAUACCAACAGAAAGAUGACAAGACAUUGUACCACAUCAUUCGAUAGCUUUAGUAGCUUGGUUGGAUCAAUUGCCUUCUUUGAAAUCGCAUUAAGAAAUGUGCAUAGCUUUACAAGCGCCAAUCGUACAUUCUCUGGUAGAAUAGCCCUCAGUGCAAUAGGAAGCAACUGUGUUAUCAACAUGCGGAAGUCAUGGGCCUUAAGGUUUGUGAAAUUCUUUUCUUUCCUAUUUAUUGUUUCCUUUAUAUUCGAGGAGUAUCCAGACGGAACCUCGAUACUAUUCAUGCAAUCAAACAUGCUAUCCUUCUCUUCCUUUGCUGAGAGUGUAACUGGCGGGACAAAAGUAGUGUUGUCCUUUAUCUCUUUUUUCCAGAUAUAGGUCAUCUCAUUGCUUCAUACGUUUCACGUCCUGUUGUGCUUCUAAUGUAUCUUUUUAGUUCCCAUAACAACUCAGGAAGCCUAGCAAGUUCAUGCAAAGAUUCUUUGUCAGGUGCAUCACGUCAAUUGCGUUGUAGACCUCUAGGAAUUCCCAAUAAGGUAGCUCCCAAAAUAUAGAUUUCUUCCUCCAUAUGGGUGCACAUCUAUUAUUGUGGUUUGAAACAGGUUCGCUACUAAGACCCUUUCCAAAGACUACCGUUACAUCCUUUAUCAUAUUAAUACAUGCUUUCCAUUAUGGUGUGUAGGCUUUUUACGAUGGUUUGCCACCCCUUUGAAAUGCAUCCCUUUCUUUCUUAACGGGUGGUUAACUAGUAGGAAGAAAUUGAUGAUGUCCCAUAUACAUGACCUUUUUACAUUGUUAAAUACAUGCUGUCCAUUUCAUCUAAACAGUGAGUGGAGGCAUGAUAUCCCUUGCUUGUCUAUCCUGAAAGGUUACUCAGCGCAAGCCAAUCAUUGAUGGUUACGAACAACAAUGCUCGUAGGUCAAAGCUCUCUUGUUUAUCCUCAUCCCACACAUGUACACAUUUUUCAUUCUAGAGCAGUAAAAGUUCUUCAACCAACGAUCUUAGAUACACAUCAAUGUUGUUGCGGGUUGUUUUGGGCCUUGGAUAAGCACUGAAAUUAUAAUGAACUUCUGCUUAAUGCGUAGCCAAGGAGGAAGGUUGAACAUACAUAGGGUCACAGGCCAAGUACUAUGACCACUACUCAACUUACCAAAUGGAUUGAAUCCAUCCGUACUUAAACCAAGCAUUAUGUUCCUUGCAUCUCGUUAAAAGUAUGGGAAUUCUCUAUCAGUUGAUCUCCACUGGGCCGCAUCAAUGAGGUGUCUCAGCAUGUCAUCUUGCUUACAUUCUUCUUUAUAUCAUCGCAUCAACUUAGCAUUCGCCUUGUUUCUGAAUAGAUGCUUCAAACGUGGCAAUUCAUUAUUCUCGGGAAGCAUGUUUUUUACAAUUUUCAAUAUCCCCUAAAAUGCCUUAUCGGACACACCAUUUUUUGCCUUCCAUUACAACAUUUCUAGUGUGCUACCUAGCUUUUUAUGCCCCUGCUUGCAAUCUGGGUACAACAAUUUUUUGUGAUCAUCUAUCAUACGUUGCAACUUUUUUUAUUCCUUUUCAGUUUUGCAGUCUUUCUAUGCAUCCCAUAGCACCUGACGAAGAUCAUCAAUAGGUCUAUCUUCUACAAACUCUUUUUUGUCAACCUCGCCCAUUGUAGUAUCUGCAAAGGCUUGGCCUGCAGCCUAGUCUGGAAUGUUGUUGUCAUCCUCUUCACCUUCGUUGUCUUCCAUUAUAACUCAUCUUUCACUGUUCUUGGUCCAAACCAAAUAGUUAGGCAUGAAACCAAGUGGCUGUGAAGAGUCCACUAGGAUGAGUAGUCCUACUUCUUAUUGAAUUGGAAGCAUGGAUAACAUAUGGAUCCAAUUUUUGGCUUGUUGGCUUUGACCACUUUGAGAAAAUAAUGCAAGUCAUCAACGAAAUCCUUGAUCCGUCUAUCCACGUUGUACAUCCAUUGCCAGUCCAUCUGCAUCGUAUUACAUGAAAAAUGGAUAUAGGGUUUCAUAUUAGAUAAAGAACUUGAUCAAUAUUAGGUAGGAAGAAAAAUAGAGUAAAUAUGUUUAUAAUAUUUAGUCCUUACAAUAAAUAUGAGAUAAAUAAAAUAUUGGUCAAAUAAAUAGAAUUAUUGUUAAAUUACAGUGAUAUGAAAAUUUCACCAACCAACGUUCGCAUCAUUCACUAUUUCAACAAAAAGAAAAAUGCUAGAAUUCUAGAACAAGACAAGAAACAUACACUAAAAAUUACAGAUGCUCCAUAGUGGACUUCAAGAAUCCUAAAAUAAUAGUAGAACAGAGUAGAAUGUUUGCCCUCCAAGCCAUCUCUGUGGUGACGGUUGCUCCUAGCCAGGUUGUUGCAUGGACUGCACCCAAUAACCAGAUCAAAACCACCAAUAAUUCUAAUAUAUGACUCAAUCUUCUUUGAAGUCAGUGUUUGCACAUCACUAAUCUCAAUGAGUGUGCCAGUUUGUGUCUGUUCACCUCGGAUUUCUCGACUGAAAUCGCAUUGUUCAUGCGAAUUCCAAGCCUAUGUAGAGCCACCUCCACUCCACCAAUAGUAGAGAAGAGUGUAAGCACAUUCAUGCCAUCUACGGGCACUGUUCUCUGGUAUUGCAGGAGUGGAGGUGGUCCAUCCAUUGCCGGUCCAUUUGCAUCGUAUUAUGUGGAAAUGGACAUAGGGCUUCGUAUUAGAUAAAGAAUUUGAUCAAUAUUAGAUAGGGAAAAAUAGAGCAAAUGUGUUUAUAAUAUUUAUAUUUAGUCCUUGUAAUAAAUAUGAGAUAAAUAAAUUAUUGGUCAAAGAAAUAGAAUUAUUAUUAAAUUAGAGUGACAUGAAAAUUACAUCAAAGACAUCAUUCAAGAAUUCUAAAAUAAUGGUAGAACAGAAUAGAUUAAAGUUCAUGUUAUUUACCUCAUGUUUCUUUGACCUAUAAUUUAUUCACCUCAUGUUUAUUGCAAGGACUAAAAUAUUAUAAACAUAUUUACUCUAUUUUUUCCUACCUAAUAUUGAUCAAGUUCUUUAUCUAAUACGAAGCAUAUAUAACAAGCAAGCUAUCCAAAAAAUCGUAGCUCAAAUGCAUGUAUAAAUAAAAAAAAUACUUCCAUUCCCGCUCAUUCUCAAAAACUCAAUUUUCUCUAUCUCUAAAGCAUAAAACAAAAUAUAAUAACAAUAAACGAAGGAAGGAUGAAAUAGCUAACCUUUACAACACUUUGGAUGAGUGAAAUCCCCACGAAUCGAGAAAAAGAAAUCAGGCAAUACCUCCCUAAGCUUGCUUGGUCGCCAUGGAGAAGGAGCCUGAGCUCUCGGUCUGAGUGGCUUGAGCUCUAGGACGAAGAAGCUGAUUUUUAUAGGGACUAAAAGGGAUUUUUUAGCCCCGAUUAAUAUUACUAACCGGGACUAAAGAACUCCUGUCGGUGGUGGUCGUUUGACCCUGGACUAAAGCUCGUUUAGUCCGAAGUCAAAAACGAUCGAGAUAAAAAUGUUGUUUCUCUACCUGUGCGUACCAGUGCGAAAUCAGAACUCAGAAGGUCCAACUUCACAAUUGUCUAUGUGUAUUUAGAUGCCCAUCGGGUGCGCCAUUCGGAUGAUUGGCGAAUGUUCUUCUUGUUGUUCCUAUUACCCUGUCUGAAACCCGCAUUAGGUAGGCCUAAUCCCCUAGCACAUGCCAUAUGCCGCUGCCAAACUCAUCUCGGCACAAUUGCUUCUUGAGGAGUUGGUAGUAGGUUCAAUCACCUCAAUAAUGGAGCGUGACAAUGUUGGUGCAACCUACCUAACUGCCAAUCCCGACUUUCACGCAAGAACUAGUAAAUACCAAGGUGGACUCCUAAGAAAGUUUGAAAGCAGUAUUUGUGAAAGUGGGAGUUUGAAAGCAAUUCAUUAGCUCAGCGCGAACAGCUCGCCAGUAUUCACACUACAAGCUCCUUCAAUGCCGCUUCAGAUUGAGGUUAGCAGUUUUAAACACAUGCCAGCCAAACCAAGCCCCAUUUGGAGGACCUGUAGAUGGGACCAGUAAGGAUUUUUAGUGUUUCAAUUUGGAGCAAGAAUCAAAACAAUAUACUCCACAAGUCCAUCAAUAACUAUUAGGUACGGUUCAGCGGCGCACCAUCCGGUAAAUCCGGAAUAUUUUCUACACCACUUCUUUAUCAGCUCAUCAGAUAUUCGGAUCAAUGAUAAUGACGCCAUGGAUAUUGCAAAAGGAUGGUGGCUUUGCCAUGACAAGACGAUAUUGUUUGUUAGGUGGUUGUCUGAUCUGAUGAGUGGCGUGCUUAGUGGAGCUCAGCUAGAACCGCUGGAAACAUCUGUGGAACAAAUAUUGUACUGCAAUUGACUUUUGAACUCACUAAGCUUUUUUCGCUUAAAUUUCCCGAUAAAUGGUGAUGUUUAUGGACAAAAGGGUUGAAGAUUCGGUUGUCUAGGAAAAAGAAAACACACUCGUGUUCAGUCUAAAGCAAGUAUGGUCGCUACUCAUCAGUUCCAACCUUUGAGAUGCUCAAUUGCUAAUACAUUUGGACAAAGCGUGUGCAGAUCUGAAAACAACAUGGUUACAACUGCAGAGAAUCAAAUCCAAAUACAACCAAUAUUUACAUCAGAUGUUUUUCCCGUAUCCACCUAAAACUCAUAGAGCAAGGUAAAAGUUCUCCAGAAUAACGUAACUACCCUGUUUCUAAGCAUUCAGUGUAUGCCAAGAGCCUGGAAUCUCCUUACUAAGGCAAGAUUAGCACCGUUCCUCCUCUGCCAGUCCUCCGUGCUCUCCUUCCUGUGCUCAAACUUGUUCAACACUUCGUCGUUGCCGUCCAGAAUGCUCACUAUCUUCCUCAUGCUCGGCCGCGCUGCCGGGUCUGAGCGGGUGCACGCGAUGCCAAGCUUAGCCAACCGCAGGAGUUCCUUACGGUCAAACUUGCCAUCCAGCCGCCUGUCCGCCAUGGCCUCCACCGUUCGGUUCAGCUGUUCAAAGAGCUCAACUUUCCUGACAAGAAGAACUUCUGGCAACCUUCCGUCCACGGCCAUCGUACCAGUCACCACCUCCAGUACUACCACGCCGAAGCUGUAGACAUCAGCCAUGGUGGUCGCCUCACCGGUCUCCAUGUACUCCGGCGACAUGUAGCCAAAGAUGCCCCGGGCCGAGCUGGUAGAUACCACAACAUGGUGCCCGCCGUGGUGCUCGUUCCUUGAGAGGAACUCAGCGAGCGCGAAGCUCCCGAGACGUGGAUUCAUGUCGGGGUCCAAGAACACCGCCGAAGACGUGAUGUUGCGGUGGAUGACCUGUUCGUCCCACUCCUCGUGCAGGUAAAGGAUGGCCGACGCGAGGGCCUUGACGAUGUUGUACCGCUGGCGCCAUGGGAGGACCGCGUCGUCGCGGCGGAUUAGAUAGUGGCUCAGGAGGCUCCCCGGGGAGUAGUCGUAGACGACGAGCAUCUCGCCGUGAUCCGUGCACCACCCGCGCAGCUGCACGAGGUUCCUGUGCCGGAGCUUUGCUAGGUUGCAGAGCUCCCUGGUGAACCGGACCCGCAGCGCCGGGCACGUCUUCAUGCCGAGGCGCUUAACGAGCACAUGGACGCGGCCGUGGCCGCUGUCCAAGAAGCCCUCAUACCCUGUACCGAAGUCCAGCUCCGCAACCAUCUGCGACUCGGAGAAGUCGUUUGUGAUCGCGACGAUCUCCUUGUAGGAUAUCUCACGCGGCAUGUCCACGUUCGGGAUCGCCACCGGCCGCGACGACCGCCGGCUGUUGCCACCAGAGUCGUCAGCGGACCUCGAGCUGCAUCUUCCGUCUUCUGCAGUGUGGUAAAUGGUAUCCGCAGCAGCGGUGUCGUAGACGGGCUUGGAUAGCGUUGUGGCCGUGCUAUCCGUGGUGAUGGUUGUCGUGCCAGAGUCAGAGGAUGAAGUGAGAGAGAUGUACUUUGGAAGAGCCACAAACGACGGGAGUCGCGGGAGGUCGCCGGAGCAGCCGUCAGACAGGUUCUCGACGACCCACUUCAUGGUUGGACGAGCCCUCGGGUCAUGUAGCGAGCAGAGGAGGCCGAGAUGUAUGAGCCGGUUGAUGUCGAACAGAGAGUAGGCGCCUUCCGGCAGUUUACCGUCUGCAGCGUUGAGUAGCUUCCCCUCGUCGGACAGCCGACGCACCCAGUCCAGCAUGAAGAUUUCGUCGUCGGGGUACGCCAGGUCGACCGCACGCCGCCCCGUUGCAACCUCCAGGAGCACAAUUCCAAAGCUGAAGACGUCGGAUUUGGCGGUGCUGGUGGCCCGGCGCUGGAAGCUCUCCGGCGGCAGGUACCCGAUAGUUCCUCCGAUUCGGCUUGUGUCCAUCAGCCGAAACUGAAAGUUCGCCGAAGCAGAGGACGACAAGCCCAGGGACGGCGGUGACGGUGACACCUCUAGGUGUGGCUGUGCCGCGUCGUCGGCGCACACCGCGUGCUCGAGCCACCGGGCGAGGCCGAAGUCCCCAAGCCGGGCGUUGUACUCGGCGUCGAGCAUGACGUUGCUGGUCUUGACGUCCCGGUGGAUGAUCUGCGUGUCGAGCUGCUCGUGCAGGUAGAAGAGCGCGGCGGCCAGCCCGGCGACGAUGCGCCGCCGCCUGUCCCAGCUUAGCACGGGAACCUUUGCGGAGGCCGGCGCGAAGAUCAGGCGGUCCAGGCUGCGGUUGGGCAUGUAGUCGUACACCAGCAGCAGCUCCUCCCCGCCGUGCACGCACCAUCCGCGGAGCCGUACGAGAUUGCGGUGCCGCAGCCUCGCCACCGCCGCGAGCUCCGCCAGGAAGGAUUUCUCGAACCGGUCGCCGUGGCUGGCGAUGCACUUGACGGCUACCGUCGUGCCAUCGCUGGGCAGCACGGCGCGGUACACCCUACCGAACCCUCCGCUCCCAAGGAUCUCCUUGUCGCUGAACCCGUUUGUCCCAAUAUACAGCUCGGAGUAGCUGAAUAUCCUCGGACUGCCUUCGGAGCCAGCGAGCUUCCUGCCUCCGUUCUCAUCCACGCCGGCGAUAUCCUCGAACGCCAUCCCUGACGAGUUGUGGCAGCGGUCAGCGCCGCUGCAUGACCGGCAUCGGAGGCACCACAGCACUCGACCGACAGUGCCGCGGACGUAGGACCGGACUGUCUUGCGGGCCGUCACCCGGCAGCGCGGCUCCUCCGCUGCCAGGACAGCAUCGUCGAUGUCCAUCGGCAGCACGAAGCACAGACGGCGCAACGACAUGGGCCGCGCUGCGCGCAGUACCACCGCACCGGUAGGUCGAUGGAAGGCAAGCGAUUAGCGAGUGGAAAGCCCACGCAUGCUAAUCGGCGCACUUAGUGCGCGUGGGGGGAGAAAUUAAAGCUCGGGCGGUGGAAGCGUCCAUUAGUGUGGGAAAUGGGGAUGGAUACGAUCAUACGAAGGUGGUCGGGGCAGGUGGGGAAGAUGGGUCUGUGAGAGCGAGUCGAGGGGUUCGGUAUGGUUUAGGCAGUAGCGUGUGGACGUGUAGUGGAUGUGGCUGGUGUGGGUGACCCCGCUCGGUUGACUUGGAUGGCGGGCGACUGGGGCCUGGAUGGAGAGAAUUAAGAAUUAUUCCCCUCCGGAUGGUGUGAUCAUAUAGUACCCUUAUGUGCGGUUCUUGAGGAUCUCAGUCACUCUGUGCAGCCCAUCACAGACGGUGAAUAAUGAUGGGCAUGGAUCGAUCGAACCACUAGAUCAUCGAUCCCGCCACGCGAAAAUAGGUCUAAAGGGCCACUGGUUUAACAAGGAGUGAGCAGCGGUUCGAUCCGCGGAGAAUCUAAGGAGUAAGGAUCGAGUGGAUCGACCUAGACUAGCCCACAUAUGACAUCGUGCGCUUCCUUCAACGCCUGGUCGCCAUACUUCUCCGUGGGAAGCUGGCUGGCUUCUCCGUGUGUGCCUUUACUCCCUUGCGACGGGGCCGGGACGACACUGCCGGAUGAGCAUGGAGGCGUGUCUGCUUCAAUUUGGACGGAGACAUGAGCGCUCGCUGGGCAGCGACGCUCGCCCGAGAUGAAGAUCGGGAAUCGGGCGACAUGGCAAGGGAAGUGGCGGGAUGGAAAAAAACGAGAAGGCCGUGGGGAAAAUCGUGUGCAUCGCUCGUGAGGCACACUUGCGGCCGAAAUUGGAUGGAUCAAUCCAUUCGAACCAUCAGUGCAGACGGUUCAGCUGGUGCAGCAAAAAUGGAUAGAUCCACGCCUCCAUACUUAUUAUGUGGAUCGCGUGGUGCUACAACAGAGCGUUCGUGGUUAACUCACGCCCAUCUUUAACAGUGGAAGGGACAUAUUUGGAAAGAUUUUUUUUUCUCAAUCAUGCAACAGAAUUAUGUAUCUUUAUAUUGAAAUAGCAGAAAACUUCAAGAAUACAAUGCUCUAUGUUACACUACUGCAGAGACUUUCAUACGUGCCGGCGUUAAAUCCUAAUUUAUGCGGGUCAUCAGGCGAGAACCAUGAAUCCGAUGCAAAUGGGGAUGGUUAUUCAUGCCGGCACAAAUAAGCGAUUAUAAUUUUUGCUGGAAUUAGAGGCAUUUUACGAUUUAUUUUAAUCCAAAAUAGAGAAUAAAACAUGACAUAAAUGAUAACAUAAGCAGGAGCAUAAACACUUGUGUUUGUAGCGAUGAACAUGAAGCAUGCAGUGGAAAUAACAGAAAACAAACAAUGAACCACGAAGUUCAUUAGAAAAUACCCUGAGGCGGGGCCAGUUCUGGAGGAACUGAAUGCACCGUUAGCUGACAUUGUUAGUCGAGCCUGUUCAAUGUAGUUGAUCAGAGGUUGAUGCUGUGUAGAGUUGAUGCUGUGCAGAUGCGUCGCCGGGAAGUAGUCGUAGAUGACAGGAACGAGCAAUCGCGCAAGAGAGCGCUCCCCAAAAACUUGAUCGCUCUUCUACUCCUUGGGUGCAGAGUCUCUAGCAAGGGCGCAGUUUCGGAGGCCUGCUCUUCCGGCGAAAUCUGUACACACAAAUUGUUGUAACAGGGACAGCAAAACACAACGCAGCGGUGGAGAAGCUCUCAUGGUAUGUUACCCUCACAAAAGACAAGCUCUCGUGGUAUGUUAUCCUCACAAAAGACAGAGAAGAAGUGCCGCUCUUAUAGGCACCAAAAAACCUUUGGAUGCUGCCAUCAAUUGGUCAGUUACAAGUAACCUCCAGCCGUUACUAGUCAUUGUUGUCAGCCUUUUAAUCCACGUUAGUUACUAGUCACUAAACACAGCAUCAGUUACUAGUCAUCAACUCGUGAUUAAAAACUACAAAACCAGAGCAAGCCCACGCGCGUGUGGCAUCCUUCCAUCCGUUAACCAAUUUCUUACCAGGUGCAGCAAGACCCCACCCUAUAAGUUGGUUAGGGACGCUCUCAACUUCCAAGGUAGUUUUAUUACCUAUAUAACUGUUGGAGGUAUGCCCUAGAGGCAAUCAUAGAGAUGAUGAUAUCUGAUUGUAUCCAUGAUUUGUAUAUUGUGUUCAUUGAAUAUCCAUUAAAGGCUACUUGAAUUGAUCUGCAAUUAUAUGAAUUAUAUGUGGAACUCUUUACUUGUAUGGUUAUUCUAAAAGUUGUCCCUAGUCGGAGUUCAUGUGUGGACACAAAUGAAUAUUAGAAUAGUACAUGUAUUAGUUGAUGACUAUGUUUCACAAGUCAUGGACAUGGAGAUGUCAAACUAGUAAUGUAGUCGUAUGUAGAGACAUGUGCUAGGACUGACCCAAAGCGAGAAGUAGUUCUCUCUUUAAACAACAAGUACGCUUUGUCCUUAGACCUGCGAUUGUCGCAUGUACUCAAGAUGUGGAUCGACUUACUUAGGGGCUAUCAAACGCUACGCCGUAAUAGGGUAGUUAAAAAGGUAGCUUUCGGGUUUGUCAGGAAGCAUGUUGUGAGGCAUGAUCAAUCAAGAUGGGAUUUGCCCCUCUUUGAUUGAGAGUGAUAUCUCUGGGCCCCUCGAGUGAUCGGAUCCGGAAAUGCAUGACCAUGCUACGUAUGGUUAAGUGUUAACCUACAAAGGGAUUCCGAAUCACAGGAUCGAGAAAGAGCAAUCGGCUUGAAGCUAGACCAAAUAUCAUGAGCCAAAGGGAAUAGCAUGUACAUGAUGUUGUGAUGGUUCGUCUGAUAUGAUCUUGGUGUGCGUAUAGGAGUUGGCACGUCUUGCUAGAGGCCGCUACCGACUAUUGGGCCGAGUAGGAGUACUCGGGCCAUGUCUAUACGUAUCCGAACCCAUAGGGUCACACACUUAAGGGGCGGGAAGCUCAAUUCGGAUGUGACCCAAGUUGGAUCAGGUUUAGAAGUACUAAUGGGCCUCGGACCCAGAGGCCCGUCAGGAACCUCUAUAAAUAGUGGGGUGGGGCACCCUAGGGUUUCAUCCCUUUUGGCCAAAACACAUCUGCCGCGCCUACCACGCCCUUGCCCUAUUGUAACUCGCGGACCUAGUAGUUCGGCUUGCGAUGCUUCCUCCCUGCACGUAUGGAUACCUUGGAGGUGUUGCACCUGCAGCACUUGGACGAGCCACGAUGAGCCGCCGACAAGCCACGACGAGUCGACGACGAGCCGCGGCACGAGGACGACCUUGCUGCAUGUGGACGAGCUGCUGAGGAGCUGCUCGACGUCGACGUGAUCGACUACAUGUUCGACUACGCUGAUCGACUUCACUGCCCCGAUGCGAUUCUACAUCUUCCGCACCAGUGCGUCAACUGGUAAUCCCGUUAUCCAUAUACGACAGUUUUCCUGGUUUACACGGUAGAAAAUUUUGUUUUGCGCUAGCGUAGCCUACCUCGUAACCCUAAAGUGGUAUCAGAGUUGUAGCUGUUUUGUUAUGGAUUCGGGAUGUGUGCAUAUGGAGAUAUGCGAGUUUUCAGAUUGAUCUAUGGCCUGUUUUCGUGUUCUUGCUACAAUGGUCGUGUAACGACAUACUCCUACCGGUCGAAUCGAAUCUAGGUUCAUACUCCAGGCGCAUGCGAUGUGCAAUAGUAGAUUGGAUCUACUACUGGGUUGCAAUUUUGCCGUAUGCGUGUUCUUCGGUAAAACAGCUGUAACUUUUCGGUACGAUCGCGGAUCGAGGCGAAUUUUAUAUGAAAAUUGAUCUAAAGAAAAAGGCACACAUAAAAUUCAACCACUUUGCCGUUUUCGGCAAAAUUAGAUUUCCCAAUUUCCGCUUGGAAGAUCGAGUUACGAACCUCUGAAGUUUGGAAUGUUAGAACACCUAACACUAUUUUGCAGGAUGGAUGGAUCUUGUGAUCAGUAUGACCCCUUUAUGUAUGUGAUGCAUGUAUGUAACUCAUUCGUGACCUACGUGUCACGCGUACGGCAACACGGCUGGAGCCAUAUGUGUUGUUACUUUAAUGUAUUUAAUGGUCUGCGUACCAAUCUGUGAUGAUCCAAGCAACUAUGUAAUCUUAAUUACUAGCUAUUAGGUGCAAUAGCAUGUUCUAGUUCUUGGAGGACUCAUCACCAGGAGGAUGGUGCACAUGGAGCAUGGAGAUGGAGAUCACCAUGGUGAAUAGGUUUUGUGGAGAUGGAGAUCACCAUAAGAAAACGGGCCAUAUUAUGUCACAACUGUGUGCAUGUUAUUCUUUAUGUUUUACUUUCUGCAUGAUGUGAUGUUAGAAGUAGAACGAUUCCUCGCAAAGUUUAAGUUCGUAUGCCCUCCCAACUAAAACUUGCACCAUCCCAUGUCUUGUACAACUAGUGGUGGGUCUAUGAAAUUAGGGUGCCACUAGUUUUCCUUGACUAGACGGGUUUGUGUCGGACACUUACAUGCAUAAGGGUAGGCUUGCUUAACAAGGUUAUCUUAACGGUUAAGGACCUUGGGGCAUAAAGGUUGGACGCCGAGACAUGGAGAUGUCACCCAACAACAGGAGUUAUAUGUGAUACGAUUAGCAAGAAGUUGCUUACCGAUCUACCUUGUUUGCUAGCGGUGAUGCUAAAGCUCACUAGUAGACUUGUUAGUUGUGGAUCCUGAAUCACUAAGUAUCAAUAGAGGGAUAUUGAUUUUAGUGGGAGUAGAUUCUGUUAAAUAGUUUAAUGUGAUUUACUCUAUCAUGGAUAUGUUUCUCUUAGUGUAUUUUGCAUUACUUUUGUUGUAGAUUAAAUGGCACCUAGCAACACCACACCGUUUGCUUUGUGUUCGGUUCUUGAGAAGGACAAGUUGAAUGGAACAAACUACUCGGAUUGGAUCUGUAACCUGAGAAUUGUUCUCAGGGCUGAGAAAAAGGAAGAUGUUCUAGACACCCAUUACCAGAAGAACUUGCUGAUGAUGCACCUGCUGCUGUUAAGAAUGCUUACAAGAAAGCAUGUGAUGCUAACCUUGAAGUAACUGCCUUAUGCUUGCUUGCAUGGAACCCGAGCUGCAGAUGCAGUUCAAAACAAACCAUGAGGCGCACGAUAUGAUCAUGGCGCUUAGAGACAUGUUCCAAACAUAGGCCAGGACCGAAAGGUUCAAUGUGUCUAAGGCCUUUGUGGAGAGCAAGCUAGCAGAAGGCGCAGCAGUAGGACCACACAUAAUCAAGAUGGUUGGUUACACUCAACAGUUGGAGAAGCUAGGCUUCCCACUAGGCCAAGAGUUGGCCACUGAUUUCAUUCUUUUGUCUCUUCCAUCUAGCUAUGGGAACUUCAUCUCGAACUAUCAUAUGCAUGGGACGGAGAAGGGUCUGAAUGAACUAUGUGGCAUGCUUAAAACAGCAGAGGUUGACAUUAAUAAAAGCGCUAGUAGCAGCUAUGUGAUGGCUAUAUAGAACAAGCCUAGCUUUAAGAAGAAGGGCAAUUCUUGGAAGAAGAAGGGCAAAGCUGCCAAGCCAAACCCAGUGCCCAAGGUUAAAGCUAGACCUGGACCUGCUCCAAACAAAGAGUGCUUUUAUUGUCACGAACUUGGUCACUAGAAGAGAAAUUGCAAGCAGUAUCUAGUUUCGUUGAAGAAUGGCAGAAGUAAGAGUACUUCUACCUCAGGUACGCUUGUUGUUAAUGUUAUAGAUAACAUAUUUCUCACUGAUAUAAUUGUUAAUUCUUGGGUAUUUGAUACUGGAUCGGUUGCUCAUAUUUGCAAUUCGAUGCAGGGAAUGAUAAGAAGUAGAAGCGUUGAAAAGGAAGAAGUUGAUUUCUGCGUGGGCAAUAAUGUAAGAGUUGCUGCGUUGACCGUUGGGAUGAUGCAACUCCACCUCCCAUCAGGAUUUAUUAUGGAGUUGAAUAAUUAUUAUUUUGUUCCUAGUUUAAGUCGAAACAUUAUGUCUCCUUCAUGUUUGAUGAAGGAUGGUUAUUCAUUUGCGAGUGAAAAUAAUGGUUGUGUGAUCUCUAAGAAUUAUAUGUUUAUGGCUUUUGCACCCAUUGUGAAUGGAUUGUUUGUUUUAAAUCUUGAUGGUUCACCUGUCUGUAACAUAAAUGCUAAAAUGCCUCGGCCUAAUGAUUUGAGUACUACCUACAUGUGGCAUUGUCGUUUGGGUCAUAUAAGUGAGAAACGCAUGAAGAGCUCUAUACCGAUGGACUUUUAACUUCGUUUGAUUUUGAAUCAUACAAGACAUGUGAGGCUUGCUUACUAGGCAAGAUGACCAAGACACAUUUCACAGGUUUUCCUGAGAGAUCAUUAGACUUGUUGGAACUUGUACAUACCGAUGUAUGCAGACCAAUGAGCACGACAGCCAGAGGAGGGUACCAAUACUUCAUAACUUUUACUGAUGAUUUUAGUAGAUAUGGAUAUGUCUACUUGAUGAGGCACAAGUCUGAAACCUUUGAAAAGUUCAAGGAAUUUCAGAAUGAAGUUGAAAUCAGCGUGGCAAGAAAACUAAGGCCUUGCGAUCUGAUCGUGGAGGCAAGUAUUUGAGCCACGAAUUUAGCAAUCCCCUAAAGAGUUGCGGAAUUGUUCCACAACUUACGCCACCUGGAACACCUCAGAGAAACGGUGUAUCCGAGCGACGUAAUCAAACUUUGUUAGACAUGGUUCGAUCAAUGAUGAGCCAGUCGGACCUACCAUUAUCAUUUUGGGGAUACGCUCUAGAAAUGGCAGCUUUCACACUUAAUAGGCUACCAUCUAAAUCCGUAGUUAAGACACCAUAUGAGAUGUGGACUAGAAAGACUCCCAGUUUGUCUUUUCUAAAGAUUUGCGGAUGUGAAGUGUUUGUCAAGUGACUUCAGUUGGACAAGAUCACACCCAAGUCGGAUCCGGAAAUGCAUAGCCAUGCUACGUACAGUUAAGAUUUAACCUACAGAGGGAUUCCGAAUCACAGGAUCGAGAAAGAGCGAUCGGCUUGAAGCUAGACCAAAUAUCGUGAGGGAAAGGGAAUAGCAUGUACAUGAUGUUGUGACAGUUCGUCUGAUAUGAUCUUCGUGUGCGUAUAGGAGUUGGCACGUCUUGCUAGAGGCCGCUACCAACUAUUGGGCCGAGUAGGAGUACUCGGGCCAUGUCUAUACGUAUCCGAACCCAUAGGGUCACACACUUAAAGGGCUGGAAGCCCAAUUCGGAUGUGAACCAAGUUGGACUAGGUUUAGAAGUGCUAAUGGCCUCAGACCCAGAGGCCUGUCAGGAACCUCUAUAAAUAGAGGGGUGGGGUGCCCUAGGGUUUCAUCCCUUUUGGCCAAAACACAUCUGCCGCGCCUACCACGCCCUCGCCCUAUUGCAACUCACAGACCUAGCAGUCUGGCUUGCGACACUUCAUCCCUGCACGUGUGGAUACCUUGGAGGUGUGGCACCUGCAGCACUUGGAUGAGCCAUGACAAGCCGCCGACAAGCCACGAUGAGCCGACGAUGAGCCACGGCACGAGGAUGACCUUGCUGCACGUGGAGGAGCUGCUCGACGUUGACGUGAUCGACUAUGUGUUCGACUACGCUGAUUGAUAUCGCUGCCCCGACGCGAUUCUACAUCUUCCGCACCAGUGCGUCGAGUGGUAAUCCCGUGAUCCAUAUACGACAGUUUUCCUGGUUUACACGGUAGAAAAUUUUGUUUUGCACUAGCGUAGCCUACCUCGUAACCCUACAAUAACUACCAUCUAUUAUUGUGGGCUUUGGAAUUUAAUUGUCUAAUUGGCCUUAAUUCCAUUUCUCUAACAACUUUUCGUGGGAAUUGGCACCGCAUUAUCUGAAGCAGUGCUAAUCUGUGCUCGCAAGGAUAGUCCAAAUAGGAAUUUGUAAAUGAAAUAGGAAUAAAAAAUUAUUUAGGCCGAGAGAGCCAUCUCAAGCUACACCUCAAGGUAGCAAGCUACAAGUCACGCGUUUUCACGCGAAAUACACACGCAUGCAAUAUUUAGCCUUCAAACACAACCUUCAAACAUACGACCUCCCCCCUCGUGCUAUCCUUCCUUAUCAUCCCACCUAUACCUCGUUCAUGCAUGCAAUAGGGAGUCAUGUUUCUUUUGACCACUAGUAGAGAACUAACCUUCCAUCCACCCCUUUUGUCCUGGUUAACACUGGACCUUUGACUAAAGUGGCGUGACACUGAAGGCCACCGCGGGAGUCUUUUGUCCCAAUUCGAGUUACCUACCGAGACAAAAGGUUUAGUCCCGGUUGGUAAUUCCAACCAGGACAAAAGGGUGGGUCUUUUGUCCUGGUUGGAACUCCAAUUGGGACAAAACCACCAACCGGGAUAAAAGGGGUUGUACUUGUCUUGGUUAGAAUUUCCAACCAGGACAAAAUCUCCUGCCCUAUAAAAUUGCCAAAUAGAGAGCUCUUCUUCCUCAUCCAGCCCGAGCCACUCCAUUCCAUCGGCCGCCUCUCCAUGGCGAGCAAGCAAACUUAGGGGAGGUGCUACCCGAAUUUUUUUCCUCAUUUCCAUGGGCAUUUCACUCAUCCAAAGUGUUGUGAAGGUUAGCUACUUCAUCCUCCCUUCAUUUAUUGUUAUUAUGCUUUGUUUUAUACUUUAGAGAGGAAUAAAAAUGAGUUUUUUGGAAUGAGGAAGAAUCGAGAGGAUUUUUAUUUAUACAUGUUUUUGAGCUAGGAUUUGAUGGAUAGCUUGCUUGUUAUAUAUGAUUCUUAUUAGUUAAAAUAACUUGAUCAAUAUUAGGUAUGAGAAAAAAAUAGAGUCAAUAUGUUUUUAAUAUUUAGUCAUUGCAAUAACAUUAAGGUAAAUAAAUUGUAGGUGUAAGAGGUUAGAACAGUAAGGAUUAGGGUACAACACCGUACAAACCAAAUAGUUGAAACAGCACAGUAAUGAUGGAGCUCAUGCAGGAUUUUUCCUUGGCGAAGACCUCGAUGGGGUAGCGGUUGGCGUCACCUAGGUCUUCUUGGGGGUCCUCUUGUUCAUCUCUAGUCUGAUCCAAAAUGGUUCAACGGAAGUCUACACAUAACUAAAUCUUCUCCGAAGUCUAUGGAGAGUCACCUCCUCUCCUCCAAUACCAGGAAAUAACGGUAGAAUAGAAGAGAUUCGAAUCCACAAACUCAGGCUGAAUAUCAUAAAAGAAUCUUGAAAAUUCCAAACACCUUUUGGAGUCUAAUUCUCAUAAUAGAAGUAUGUUGACCCAAUAUCCUCUUCAAGCAAUGGUUCGUUCACUAACCUUGAUCUAUGGGCUUUUGGAUGGUUUUGGCUUGCCACCAUGGGCCAUGCUCAGUGGAUAGAUCUUUUGCCUGGAUGGGCUAUUGUGAGUGUGCCACGAUACUUCUAUUAUGAGAAUGUGGAACUUGCUCCAAAAGAUGUUUAUGAUAUUCAGCCCGAGUAUGUGGAUUCGAAGAUCUUCUAUUCUACCAUUAUUUUCUGGUACUGGAGGAGCGGAGGUGACUCUCCAUACACUUCGGAGAAGAUUUAGUUAUGUGUAGACUUCUAUUGAACUGUUUUGGAUCAGACUAGAGACGAACAAGAGGACCCCCAAGAAGACCUAGGUGACGCCGACUGCUACCACAUCGAGGUCUUCGCCAAGAAAAAGUCCUGCAUGAGCUCCAUCAUUACUGUGUUGUGGAUUCAAAGAUCUUCUGUUGUGCUAUUAUUUUUCGGUACUGGAUAUGUGGAGGUGACUCUUGAUAGCCUUCGGAGAAGAUUGAGUUAUGUGUAGACUUCUGUUGAACCAUUUUGGGUCAGAUCAAAGAUGAACAAGAGGACCCCCAAGAAGACCAAGAUCAGAGAUACCUUGGAAGGUGAACAUUCUACUAUGCUGUACCAUUAUUUUAGCAUAAUUGACUAUGUGAAGCCUACUAUGGAGCGUCUGUAAUCUUUAGUGCAUAUGUAUCUUUAUUGUAUUGUUAUGAGUGUAAUCUUUAUAUGUACCUUUAGUGAUUGUUAUAAAUGUUGCAUGGUGUAAUUUUUAUGUGAAUUGUUUUUAUCUUUAUGAAGGUUGAUUGAUGUAAAUUAUGAAUAUUGAUCAAGUUCUUUAUCUAAUACUAAAACCUAUGUCCAUUUCUCAUGUAAUAAUUUAUUUAUCUAAUAUUUUUUGCAAGGCCUAAAUAUUAUAAUCACAUUAACUCUAUUUUCCCCUACCUAAUAUUGAUCAAGUUAAUUAUCUAAUGUGAAGACCUAUGUCCAUUUCUCACGUAAUAUGAUGCAGAUGGGCCGGCAAUGGAUGUAUAACAUGGACAAUAGACUAAGGAGUUUGUUGAUGGCUUGCAUUAUUUUCUCGAAGUGGCCAAAGCGAACAAGCUAGAGAACGAGUUCAGAUGUUGUCCAUGCUUCCAAUGUAGUAACAAGAAGAACUACUCUUUCUCGGGGACUGUUCACAGCCACUUGUUUAGAUACGGUUUCAUGCCUAACUAUUUGGUUUGGACCAAGCACGAUGAAAGAGGGGUUGUAAUGGAAGACGACGAAGAAGAGGAGGAUGAUUACAACAUUCUGGACUGGGCUGCAGGCCAAGCUUUUGCAGAUACUACAAUGAGUGGGCUGAUGAAGAUGAGUUUGCAGAAGAUGGCCCUAUUGAUGAUCUUGGUGUCUGGUGCUACAGGAUGCAUACAGAGAUUGCGAAAUUGAGGAGGAACCAAAAAAGUUGUAGCACAUGAUAGAUGAUCACAAAAAAUUGUUGGACCCAGAUUGCAAGUAGGGGCAUAAAAAAUUGGGUACCACACUAGAAUUUCUGCAAUGGAAGGCCAAAAAUGGUGUGUUCGAUAAGACAUUUCAGGGGAUAUUGAAAAUUGUAAAGAACAUUCUUCCUGAAAGUAAUGAAUUGCCGUCCACAACAUAUGAAGCUAAACAGAGUGUUUGCCCUUUGGGAUUGGAGGUUCAUAAGAUACGCGCAUGCCCUAAUGAUUGUGUCCUCUAUCGUGGUGAUGAAUAUGAGAAAUUGGAUGCUUGUCCUGUGUGUGGAGCGUUGCGGUAUAAGAUCCAGUGAGAUGAUCCUAGUGAUGUUGAGGGGUAGCCUCCCAAGAAGAGAGUUCCCACAAAGGUGAUGUGGUAUUUCCCUAUAAUACCACGUUUGAAGCGUUUGUUCAGAAACAAGACGAAUGCUAAGUUGAUGUGAUGGCACAAAGAAUAACAUAAGCAAGAUGAGAUGCUGAGACACCCGUGGAUGGGACCCAGUGGAGAUCAAUUGAUAGAGCAGUCCCAAACUUUGAGAGUGAUGCAAGGAACAUAAGAUUUGGUUUAAGUACUGAUGGAUUCAAUCCAUUCGGUAAGUUGAGUAGUGGUCAUAGUACUUGGCCUGUGACCUUAUGUAUGUUCAACCUUCCUCCUUGGUUGUGCAUGAAGCGGAAGUUCACUAUGAUGCCGGUGAUUAUCCAAGGCCCAAAACAACCUAGCAACGACAUUGACAUGUACCUAAGACUGUUGGUUGAUUAACUUUUACUGCUCUGGAAGGAAGAAGGUGUACGUGUGUGGGAUGAGGAUAACCAAGAGAGCUUUGAUCUACAAGCAUUGUUGUUUGUAACCAUCUAUGAUUGGCUUGCAUUGAGUAAGCUUUCAGGAUAGACAAACAAGGGAUAUCGGGCCUGCACCCACUGUUUAUAUGACACAGACAACAUGCAUUUGAAACAUUGUAGGAAGGUUGCGUAUAUGGGCCAUCGUCGAUUUCUUCCUACUAACCACCCGUUAAGAAAGAAAGGGAUGCAUUUCAAAGGGGCACCAGACCAUCAUAAAAAUCCUACACACCAUAAUGGAAAGCAUGUAUUUGAGAUGAUAAAGGAUGUAAGGGUAGUCUUUGGAAAGGGUCUUGGUAGGAAACCUGUUCCGAAUGAUGAUAACGGACAUGCACCCAUGUGGAAGAAGAAGUCAAUAUUUUGGGAGCUACCUUAUUGGGAAAUCCUAGAGGUCCGCAACACAAUAGACGUGAUGCACCUGAUGAAGAAUCUUUGCGUGAAUAUGCUAGGUUUCAUGGGUGGUUAUAGGAACUCAAAAGAUACAUUAGAAACAUGAUAGGACCUGAAACCUAUGAAGCAAUGAGAUGACCUACAUUCGGAAAGAGAGAUAAUGGAGAGCACUACUUACGUCAUACCAGUCAUACUCUUAGCAAGGAAGAGAAGGAUAGCAUGUUUGAAUGCAUGAAUAGUAUCAAGGUUCCGUCUGGGUACUCCUCAAAUAUAAAAGGAAUAAUAAAUAUGAAAGGAAAGAAGUUCACAAAUCUCAAGGCCCAUGACUACCACAUGUUGAUAACCUAGUUGCUUUCGGUUGUAGUGAGCUGAAGCGUCCCCAUAUCAGCGGAGACUAAAUGUGAUACAAAUAUCAGUCCCAGGAGGCUGAUAACACAUUUAUUCAACAGAUGGUUCAAAAACCAUACAACUCCCGAAGUAGCGGGCGGGCAAGCCACACCCAAAGGAGAAACAAACCAACAACGAUACAGAUCCAAGUUGCAGUCCAGUCGGACUCUAGGCUGCAAUCGGAACUAAGCAACAAUGGAAGCAUUCUGCAAAGGCCAACACCACAUGCAGCGUUGGGUGCGGAAGCGACCUUCUACUCGAAAUCCUCGGCGACAAAGUCUGGGUCUUCCUCUAGAGCAACAAAACAAGGGUGAGGACAAAAGUACUCAACAAGUCCAACCCCAUCCACGAAGGGGGAUACAAUCAAGAAUAUGCACAGGAUAUAUCAAGGAUAAGGCUCGGGUUUAUUUGCCAUAUAGGUUUUUCAACACAUGCGAGGGUUCAUUUUCAAAAGGGUUUUCACAAAACAUUUUCUUUAGUAACCGAAUCAUUAGGUGGGGUUGAUCCUACACAAAGGAUCCAAGUUUUCAACAUACUGGUCUACCCAUCCGCGGAAGCUCAUGGCACAACUGCCGGACACUUCCAAAAUCCAACUCACACCAUGAAAACCAUUCAUCACCCAAACACUAGUUAUGUGUCCAAGCCGUAACUCGUCCAAUGCCGUGUACACGACUACCCGGAUAGGUUUUCACUCUACAGAGGUUGUAUACUUUACCCACAAGUAGGGUACCACAGCACGAUCACCUUAGUGUCAUUACAGAUCCUAUCAAAGUCAUUACCCACCUUAGCUAAGACUGACUAGCCAACACGAAAGCAACCAAGGGGAUAAUGACCUACCAAGGAGGUCUUAACUGGGAUCUAAGUUCACACAAUUUUUAGUCCUUCUCCAUGGUCUCCCGUUGCUCACCAGCUCUCCUGAUGGCUAACAGACCAGCUACUGGGAUUUAUGCUAAGCCGCCGCCCACACAACGGUCGAGUGGUUGCAUGAUAGUUGGGUUAGGCAAGAUGGCACAUCAACUCGGUCCUUAACUGUGAUAAGAUGGAUAUCUCCCAACCUUGCUCAGCCACCAAGGUACGAGCCCAACUCAUUGGCAUUUCACACAAGAAACACCCAUCCAUCUCAUCUAAGAAUUUCUUUUCUUUACUUUCGAAAACCUAUUUUUCUAAGUUGAAAACACUCACACAUUUAUUCUUUAACAAAGCACAUUGUAGUCAUGAUUGAAUUGAGUACCCAGGUUCUAAGCCUUCCAUCAGUAAUUAUCAUCCAAAUAGAGCAAAUCAUAUUUAUAGAUAAUUAUAGGACAAUCAAGGAAUGUUCAUAGCCAUCAAGGGGUGGCUAUCCAACUGUGUUUCAGCAGUAAAGCAAUAUGCAAUUUUGUAAAACAGGCCAAUAGGUUGUGUUUGAAAAACUGGGAUAAAUAUGCAUCAAAGGGUGAGAUUGGACUUGCCAUCCUCAAAGUCACCCGGGAGUUCUUGCUCGCGAUGCUGGUGCUCAGGCUCGGGCUCAUGAUAAAACUCCGCCUUAGGCUCCUCCUCGGGCACUCCACGAUCUACGACACACACAAUCGGGCACACAAUAAAUAAACGAAAAAUAAGAUUUGACCCGUUGAGCUGGAACAGAGAAAGCGAACGAAAAAUAGGUAGAAUAAGUAUUUUCAUAGAAAUUAUAGAUGACUCGGCGGGAACAUAGUAGAGGAUGAUGUGGUAAAAUUUGGGAUUAAUUGGAGGAAGUUUGGCGCAUGAAAUGAUGAGAUAACUGUGUGUUUAGGGGUUAAAACAGGGCUUAGGGGCUUAACUGCGAGGAACGAGGGACCUAUUUGUGAUUCUUUUGGAAAGAGGAGGGCUUCUAGCGCAAAAGUGAUUGAGAGAGGUGGAAGGACUAUUUUAUAAAAAGGGAGAAACAAGGGGUCAAUUCGAACAGGGAGGGUUUUCUUCUUCUCCUUCCUCGGUUCAGGAAUAGAGGGUGAAGGAGGAGAUGGUUGGCAGCGGUCGGCCGACUUUGGCUGGCCGGUGGCAAGGUUGAGCGGUGGGGGAGGUGGAGGAUGAUGAGAGGAUCCCAUUUGGCCCCUUACCUUGGGCGGGGAUGGCUUGUGGCGGAAGGGCACCGGUGAUGCUUAGGGGACGGUGGCGCGGCAUCUCUGAUGAGGGGACGGCGGUGGUUUGGCACGGGAGAGGCGAGCUGCAUGGUGGAGUGGCGAGGCAAGGUGAGGCGCCCCUUUUCUAGCUGGCGUGAGGAGGUGGCCAUGAGCAGCGCACAGGGCGGUGGUAGGGGCCGGUGGCCGGCGAGCUUCGAGCGGCGGCUAGUGGCGAGGCGGUAGGGGCCAGUGGCAGUGUAGCUGUUGCGGGGGCCGGGUGAGCGGUGGGGCACGGCGAUGGCGAGCUGGGCGGUGGGGGACGGGGUGCGUAGGGGCCAAGCGCCGGGCGCGGCGUCGAGGCCAGCGCCGGUGCGUGGCAAGGAGCAUGGGAGGGUCGAGCAGGGGCCGAGCGCCGGGAUGGCGAGGUGCGCAGGAGGGGGUGCCCGGCACUAGGCGCCAUAGGUGAGGGGCCUGGGUGUGCAGGCACCAGGUGAAGCAGGCGCCACAUGCUAGGGGAGGGGGCUGAUGGUGCACGCCAGGUAGUAGGCGCAGCCAGGAAGAAGAAAGAAGAAAGGAGGAAGGAAGAAGAAGAAAGGAAGAAAGAAAAGGAAGAAAAAGAAAAGAGAAAAAUGAAUAGGGGAAAAAGAGAAAAAAGAUAGGGAGAGCUAGCGGCGAUUGCGGAAAAUGGUCGGAGCACGCGCGACAGUUUGUCGACCGGCACGCGGUGGAAUUUGCGGAGAGGAUAAAAAUGAUUGUUGUCAACUUUGGGUGCCGGGACGGCGAAUUCGCCGGGAAGUGAUUUUUGCGAGCUCAACGAUAAAAAGAUUUUGAAAACAAAUUUUUAGUGGGUGAUUUAAGUUGGUGAUUUUUACAGAUGUUACAAGCCUACCCCACUUAAAUUGAAUGUCAUCCUCGAGAUUCGGCUGAGUUCUGAAGAGAUGGGAAAACUUUUUCUUAGAGCACCUUCUCAUUCCCAAGGAUUACAUCUAUUCCUUUAGACUUAAGUACUACUAGGUCCGUUAGAAACUCUACCCCACUUAAAUUGAUCCUUGCCCGGGAACAACCUAAUCCACUGAAUGUCAGCUCCAGGUGUUCGGGUUAACAGGGGUAACUUUAGUAUUACUGUGGGUAUAUGGUGCCUUCCCACAAAACUGGAUGGUAUGAAGGAUUGUGAUACUUCAGAAUUAAAAGGUGUUGUUACCAAGACUGAGCUGACUAGAACUCACCAAGUACGAUGCCUUGUGUUUUCUAAGCCUCCUGUGCAUUGAUGUGGUUGACGCGAGCUCAUCCAAAAGACUAUUUGGGUGGCCUCAUUUGCUGGCUGUUGUUGUUGUUGCUAGGGUUGUUGUUGCUGCGAACUGGAAUACGGUUGGCUCCUGACAAAGCAUUCAUAGAUUUUGAGAAUGCUGAGGCUGCUGGCUUGUUGACGUAUGGAUAGUUGGUGGUGAAAUGCCCUGUCUCACGGCAGUUGAAACAAGCCUUGUUGUUGCUAGUGACUUGGCCGACGCUACUCUGCGAGGCCUUGAUACUAUUCUAGAUCCUGAAAGGGACGUUGGACUGGUAAGAACCAGAGGCUUGAGUCUGAGUCCUAUAUUGCAUGGGACUUGGGGCUUAAGUCCUGGAAAGCUGAAACUUCUCGGCUUCUGGGGUCGGUCCUGCUGAUGAGCCUUGUCCUCCAUGAACUUGCGCUUGUUAUCCUUUCUUUCCUCUGCCUUGGCUCUCUCAGUCAGAAUGGUUUUGUUCAUCAAGGUGUUGAAGUCUAGGAAGGUGUUAGGUGUCACUAGGGUCCUUAAAUCUGCAUUCAGGCCCUUCAUGAACAUAUCCUGCUUCUUUUCAUCCUUAUCCACCUCUACAAGGGCAUAACGGGCCAAUUUCAUGAGCUGAAAGGUGUAUUCUUCCACAGAUUUGUUGCCUUGACGCAAUUCAUGGAACUCAUCCGCCUUGCGCUUCAUGGUGGCUGCUAGGAUGUGAUAGCGGUGGAAUGCUAUCACAAACUCCUCCCAGGUGAUAGUGGAGGCAUCCUGGGUGGCGGAGCAGUAGUUCUCCCACCAAGCUAAGGCAGUUCCGGUGAGUUGGUGGGUAGCCAAGAGAACUUUAUCUCUGUCUUCACACCCAAACGGCUCUAGCUUCCUCUGAAUGACUCGGAGCCAGUCAUCUACAUCCAGAGGGUUGACAGACCUGCCAAAGUGGGUGGCUUGGUCCUGAGGAAGUCUAUCAACUUCUCAUUCAUGCUCUGCCUGCGGGGCCUCUGGUGAGUGACCGCGUUGGUCAAAGCUUCCAAUAGAAGGGUCUGGUUGUGCAUCACUUGAACUAGAUCAAUGACCGGUGGGGGCGGUGGCUGUUGUGCUCCCACUUGACUUUCCCCUCCACCCUCGGGCUAACUCACUUCCUGCUCCUCAUGGAGCACUACAGGUGGUGGUCCUUGCCUUUCAGCACUGGGGGUGCCAUGGAACUUACUUAGGGAGGUCUUGGUGGCACGCUUGGGAGGCAUUUGUAGAUUGAGCGGGAUUUUAUGAGACUAGGAUUUGGGUUUAAUUGUUCUUUAAGUUAAUUAGUUUGUAUUUUCGAAAAGAUAGAAUCCACCUCCUGUCAACAGGCACACAGACUAACAAACAACAAGCACAAAUGAUUUUAUUUUUGCCACUGGGGAGGUACAACACUUUGGGGUAAGGUCAAAACACACACUACAUGACCGGGUACUACAACACAACUGGGGGGGUACAACUCUAAGCUUCGGAUCGAGACAACUUCAUUCCCUUGGGUGCAACUCUGGGUUGGGCACACUAUUCGUGGGGCGAGUCUUCCUCCUUGACGGAGUGGUCCUCUAGUGGAAUGAGCAGUGCCAGCGCAUCUUCUUCCUUCAAUGUCCCGUCCGUGGGAGGGGGCUCAGCCACUUCUCCCUCCGCGAUUUCAGAGCCUUUUCUAGAAGCCUCUGAAGGUGGUGGUACUGGUGGAACGUUGAGGCUCUUCCUCCUGCGGAACUCGUGGGUGAGAGGGAUUCCUUCAAACAUAGGAGGCUCCUCGACCUCCGAGGCAACCAUCCACCUCUUGGUAAGCCCUACAAGAUGGGCCUCGUUUAGCUCUUGGAGAUGUUGUUCCUGAGCUUGCUUAAGGGCUUCUACAGCAGCAGCCUCUCUGCUUCGGGUGGCCGCAGCUUGUGCUUCGGCCUCCCUUAGCAUUACUUGGAGCAUCCUUAUCUGGACUUAUGCCCUUUCGGUGUGGGGAAUCUGUUGCUUCAGCUUCGCGGCCUGCUGAUCAUAGAGCUUAUCCAGACUGACAAGAUAGGCAAUCAUGUGGUACACUGUGGGUCCUCUUCGCGCCGUCCAUGCUCAUCCAAUGCUCUCAUUUGGGCUAUCCAACCUGGAUGGUCCUUCUUGGCAGGUGGGAAGUAUCUCAUGGAAGUGGGCUCGAGGUGCAUCUCGUACACUUGACACACGUAACCAAGAGCUUUCCGAGCUGCUACGGGAUAGGUGUCCCAGUGCUGAAAACUAGUAGCUCAUACUUGAAUCGGCUCGAUGUUGGGAUGGCAAGCACUCCUUCCGAUGUGGAUGAUCACCUCACAUCGAGGGAUACUGUAGUGCUCGUACUCCUUGCUAUAGCACACCAGGGGCUCUCGGAUGCCAAGGCGUUUCAAGAAAAUGAACAACAGCUUGGGAAAACUGGGCUCUUCUAGGCAGUGGCUGUGGGUCCAUCCUCCUUCAGCCAUCCGGAAAGAAUCCGAGUGUAAAUUAUUUUUGCAAUAGAGCAGGGGAAGCAAGAAAUUUUGUAAAUUAUUUAUUUUUGGUCAAAAAGGCUUUUCUGGUCCCAGGGUCACGUCCUACAGCCAAUGAUGGCUCACAUACUACCAGAAGCGUCCCCACAUCAGUGGAGACUAAAUGUGAUACUGUUGGCGCUAGAAAUCAGCGGAUUGAAUUUCUAGUGUCGGACACACGACCCAGGAGAAUCUGCUUAACUCCUGUUCGGGUGAUCACCCUGGUGCAGUUCGCGCGACGUGCCAGCCAAUCUGACCUGUUGAUUGGCAAGGAAAGAAACGUGUCAGAUCCCAGAGGUUGCGAUCGGCUAAGGUUCCGAUCUCGAGGAAGCUUAUCAGCGAAUCGGCCGAUUUGCUGUAAUAAAGAAAUCGGCUAUAAUACAGUCGAUUACCAAGCAACGUUGCUGAAGAAAACCGCUAGAGUAAACUAAACAACGCUACAGUAGCAACACUACGAACAGAUCUAAUCGGUGCAAAAAAAUAGUAGAUUAAGCAAUAAAAUAUAAGUAAGCCGAAAGCUCCAGUUCCAAGUUGGAUAACUGGUGAUAAAACUAGAACGACAGGUAAAACCUAGAAUUCUAGUAAAUAUCGAUAACUGAUGAAUAAAUCUAAACGAAAUGACAGCGAUGCGCCCGAAGUAAAGUGCGAGGAAAUAGUAGAUUGUUAUAUUGAUUUGAUGAUGAUUACAGAUCUCUAAAGAUGACUAUUUAUAACCUGUUACAACCAAUCUCUUAUCCGACUAGGACUCUAUCUCUAAGUUUAAACGAAAACGAAUAUUUACAAGCAUAACUCGUAUCGGAGUUGGUCAUCGUGCCCCUAUGGGCCGAUCCCUUUCUAUCUUCGUAAUCCACUUUAAGCCUAUAUUGGCCCAACUGCUCCAGCCUCUCAAUCGGCCGACCUCCACCAACUCCAUCCGCUGAAAUACUGCAGCACCAAUUGGCCGAUCUCCAACUGUAGCACCAAUCGACCGAUUCCCAAUCGUGACCUCCUUGCCUCGCCGCAUCAGCUAAUUCUCUCCCUUCUUGACGCCGAUUCCAUAUGUGUCAAAAUCUGCCGUCAAGACAUGCCCCCCAGUUUCGGAAUAAAACAUAUUCUUUACUUCAAAAUUCAUUUCAACUUCCCUUCCGAAACAAAUGCAUUGAAAAUAUCCUUCCGUUUCGUGGUCUCCUGCCUGAUGAUUGCAAUCUUUUCGAAAUGGACGCCCAUGACAACCACUCCUCCCGAAAAAAUUGAACCGACGGCGCGGUAAAAAUCCCACUUUUACCCCUUCUCAGACCAUCCUUAAAUAUCAGCAUGUCCCGCACUUCUUUUUCACGAGCCCACGUCUUCCUUCUUUGGCGCACUGAUCUCCCUCUUCCUCCGGCAUCUCCUUAGCUUCCAAUCUCUCCCUUCGGCGACCUCUUCCAUCUACAUUCCAUCCCACCUCCCCGAUGGUGACACCUUCAGGCACUUGACCAACAUCCGAGGUCCCGGAGACGGCUCCACCAGCGGCGGGUCAAGCAGCAAUGGCAGCAGCUCCAUCGGCAGGAGCGGGAGCUCCAUUAGCGGGAGCGGGAGCUCCAUUGGAAGGAGCGGGAGCUUCAUCGACGACGGAGGCCCCACCGUCUGCUUCAGCACCCGUAGCUCCGCCGGCGAUCCCGCCAACGAUGAUGAGCUUCAUACCGGAGGUUUUCACCGAAACUUUUCUUCCUUUAAUACCAAUGCAUUUAUCUUAGAUCCAUUCUUACUUUUUCCCCUUUUUACCUUUUUUAGGCGGUUAGACACUGGAUUACCAUUCGCCUCACCAAAACCCCUGGUCUUAUCUGCCUUGGUCCCAUGGGAAACCCAGAUCCAACUGACUUAAUCAAUUUGGAAACCCAUAGAAUCCCCUUCAAGCAAUCAACCAUGGACCUAGAUCACUGGUCAGGCACCUUCAGAUCAUGGCCGAAUGAAACCCCCGGCUGGAGAGAAUGGUACCAACGGAUAGCCACCUCCAAAAGAGUUCAAUGGGACAAGCACAAAAUCGGCCAGUGUAUCGACUUGUCCUUGUCCCAAAUGGAAAGGAAUGAGCCUUUAGUAAUAGCAGCCUCCUACUUUUGGUCCGACGCUCUCAACGCGUUUCUCUUCAGACAUGGGCCUAUGACUCCCACCUUGGCCGAUGUGGUCAUGUUGACCGGCCUUGACAUCUCCACUCCUGAUACUCCUUUCCGUUACUUGGCCAAAAUGUCCCAUCAGCUGGAGACAAAGGGAAUCGGCGAGUGGAAGGGAUUUAUCAAGAGCAACAAGAGGACCAGGACGGUCGCAGAGACAGAGCACGCGGCCUUCCUGAUGAUGUGGCUGGAGAAGCACCUUUUUUGUGGGAGAGCAGCUGGUCCAUCCUCCAAUACACAGGCUCUGGCCAAGGCAUUAUCGAUAGGAGCUUCUGUUCCUCUCGGUAAGCAUCUACUGGGAUCGGCCUAUCAUAUGCUUCCCCAGGUCGGCGUUAAGUUAUCCAAGGGAGAGCCGAUUGGAAACCCAGGUGGACCCUGGUGGUUCAUUAACUUGUGGCUCAAUCUGUACAUGAGCAAGAUCUCUCAGCAGCGAGUGGAGUACAUGACGUUCCCCAACAUCGAAUCAGCAGAGAACCCCACUGUACGACGCUAGUGCACUUCCUUUGGUGACGCAGCAUCGGCCUUUUCUGGUUGCUCAUAUUCCGCCACCAAGGUAGCCGAGUAUUUCAGAUGCUUCUACAACGGCUUCAGUGAAGACGCAACCAGCUGGUUCCCUUAUCAAAGGGAGGAACCACUCUUUGAGCUCCCCUCUUGCUUCGACUCGACGACCAGCACAUUCGAUGAGGACCUCACGGAUGAAUUGAUCAAGCCAGGGAUCCUACUGGUGAACUUCUUUUCAGGAAAGGACGCCCCCACCUAUGAGUUUUACAACCCUUCUGUCGCAGCACGGCAAUUCGGCCAGGGUCAACUACCGAUUUAUGCAUACUUCGCCAGCCGAGCAAAAUUCAGAGACGAGCUCACCAAGGGUCUCGACUACAGUCGGCUGCACGACCGGAUUCCAGACUCCAGCACCAUAGACCUAGCUGAUUGGAUAGUGUCCCCUUUUGUUGUCCAGCAGUUCAAGCUAUGGUGGGUAGAAUGGAAGGAACAUCUAUUCUGUGCUUCUGCGGCAAUAUAUUGCAACAUCCUGGACCCCGACAACAUCGACCCGAACGCAGAGGUAUCGCUCCUCCUUUAGCCAAUUUUCAACUCCCUCCUUUUAUAUACUACUGACCCUUAUUGUUUCUUUCAGUCUGAGAGCCACGCUCCCCCAAAACGCAGUCGGAGUGGCCGGCCGAUAGAGGACCGUUAUCCGUACACGGAAUUCCCCCUCAUCGGCUAUCACGCCCCCUCCGUUGAUGACAUAGCUGGCCGGGUGAAGCAAGCGCAGAAAAAUGUCAUCAAGAAAACAAGUCGCCGGGUGCGCGCCCGCACAGAAUCGGCCGAUCCACCCACGGCUGCAUCGGUGGAAACUUUGGCUGCGCUGACCCUUCCGGUCGUUGAAGAAGUUGACCUCCAAGUUGCUACAGAAGCUGGAGUGGCUGUCGCGUCAUUAUUGGUGGAAGCCAUUCAGGUAAACUCACCAUUUGAUUUUCUCCUGGUCAUCACUUCAAUACUGACUUUUCCCUAUACCAGGCCGCACAAACCGCCCCGGUGGAUCCACAGCAAUCGGCGAUGUCUCAAGCAAAAACUGAAGUACCAGUGCUUCCUCCUGCUGAGGUAUAGGGUCUCUCUACUUAAUUCUUUUAAUAUUUAAACGAUGACCUUACCAAUUUUGACGCAGGUCAUCGGCACCCUAACUGUGCUUUCUGAACAACCGCCUGUCAAAGAAGUCCCUCAAGAAGCCGGCCCGAGCAGAACGCCGAUUAUCAUCGAAUCCUCCUCUUCCGACGAGCCGAUCCUACCAGUCCCCAAGCCAAGGGUAGUGAUUCCGCAGACGCAGAUGGAAGAGAUCCGCUUCAAAAAAGUAAGAAGUCUUAUAACCCGCAUUGGCCGAUUUGCUACCACCAUCGGCUGACUUAUUUUUUAUUUAUCAUUUUGCAGGAACAGGACACUCCGAAUAACAACCUCUUCUCGUUUGCGGUUGCGCUUUCUGAUGACGAAGAAGUUGCUUCUCGUCAAUUCACCUUGAGCUCAGUACCCGAUGAUGUCCGCGCCAAGCUCGAAAAUAUAUGGACGCUUCUCCAAGAAGACAUCGGCCGACUGGUGGAGGAUGCUUCGCCGAUUUGGCAGCUCUUUGGUGACAUCAGCAGUCGAGUCCUAGAGGAAGCUGAAGAAGUCCUCACACUCGCCGCAUAUAUUGAAUCGAUGCAGAUCCUAGUGUUUAGGGCUCUGCGUCACAUGGCCGAUCGUGCCAAGCUAGCCAAGACUCGUGAGGAGGAGGACUCGUACAAGCAUCGAGCCCAAGAGGUACAUCAUCGGAUUCACUUCCUCAAGAACUCCCGUCCCGGAAUCGUCGGCAUGAUAGAUCGCCUCAAGCGUCGAAGGGCAGAACUCGCCAAGGAAAUAGAGCAGAUAACCAAAGAGAUAGCCAUCGAAGAGCAGAAGCUUCAGGAACUCCCCUCCGUUAUCGCCGAUUUGAAGCAGGAGAGGCAGCAUCUGGCCCACGAGGCCCUCAAACUUCAUCAUCACAUGCCAGAAGUCUAGGGAUCGGCGGAGGAUGACCAGCGGGUCUUAGACUCGGCCGAUCAGAUCAGGCGACGAGCGAUCGCGGCCAUUAAUGCCCUUCUGGGAUGAUCUGUAAAAGUACUAGCCGUUUUGUAGGAACAUUAAUACCUUUUGACCGUCCUUCGCGGCGCCCUUUUAUUUAUUACCCUUUUAUUCUGACAGGACGCGUCUUACCAAACCUCCGCCCUUUCUCUUAUUAUAAAUACCGGCCCUGAUUUCGCUCUCAAGAGUACUUGCUCCACUCGAUUCUUUUCCCCAAUUACUUUUCCAUCAAAACAUUCGCAGGCAUGUCUUCUUCGUCUUCUUCUUUCUCCUCUUCUUCUGUCAAUCAGGUACGAAAUUCGUCUCCACUUCUUCUUUUCAGUUUGAUAGCUUUAAACUGUCCUAACUUUUAGGUGGUUAUAUGUUAACCUUUUCAGCCAAGGCGCCUUAGCCCCGAACUCGAACGGGUGAUCGAACUCAUGCACUCCGACGAGCCGUUGUCGCAGGAGGACAGGGACUUGAUCAAGGCAUACCGUGAAGAACUUAGAGAUCACGUUCCUACCGACGUCCAACAGAUCUGGGAUUUCAUUGACGGCAAUGGUUACAGGCGACCGCAAGUCGACAGGAGUCACCCACUCCCUUGUCCGGUUGCCCUUGAAAACGCUGCGGCGGGAACAUCUCGCCCGAUGCUAGAUCGGAGCCAUCCUCUUUCUCACUAGGUUGAGGUCGAGGCUGCAAUGAAGGACGUGGAAGAAUGGAGUGCUCGUCUUCUGAUGGAAUUAGAUCAGAUUGAGGAAGAGUUUAGGAAGAAGCGUAGUUAAGUAUUUUUUGUUCUAAGGGCGACUUGUACCACGUCGGCCGUAUAACUUAUCGUCCGUACCGAAUGAUAAAUCGGCCAACUUGAAUGAUUACUCUUUUCUCCUCUUAGGCGAUUUCUUCCUCUACAUCGGCUACGUGAUUAUCAAGGAAAUAACCACUCUGUCUUGUCAUAAUGAUCUUUAUGCAUCGACCCAUAUACUGGGGUAAUAUCUUUUCAAGUACCUCCCGUUCAAGGCCCUAGUGAAUUCUUUCCCCUCGAUUGUCUCCAGAAUGUAUGCGUUUCCCAGGGCACAUCGGCCGAUUCUAUAUGGCCCCUCCCAAGUGGGAGACCAUUUACCUAAUUUAGGAUCUUUAGAUCCAAUCGACAGCACCAACUUCCAUACCAAAUCCCCUUGGGAGAACUACUUGACCUUGACCUUCUUGUCGUACCAUCUGGCUACUUUCUUUUUGUUCUCCUCAAUACUGAUCAAGGCUCUCAAACGUUGACCCGCCAAAUUGUUGAGUUCCCUUUUCAUGAGCGAGGAGUAACCUUGAAGCGACAUUCGUCUUGAGCCCGUUCUCAACUCCCAUGGAAAUACCGCCUCAUGACCGUACACUAGUUGAUAAGGAGAUACUUUGGUAGCCCCAUGGCAAGCCAUUCUGUACGCCCAUAGAGCUUCGGUUAAACAUAAGUGCCACUUUUUGGGUUGCUCUUCAAUUUUCCUCUUGAUCAACUUAAUUAUCCCCUUAUUGGAAGAUUCGGCCUGGCCGUUAGCUUGAGGAUAAUACGGGGAAGAGUUUAGCAGCUUGAUCCCCAUAUCGGCCAUGAACUCCUCGAAUUCUCCCGACGUGAACAUCGUUCCUUGAUCGGUCGUGAUGGUCUGAGGGAUGCCGAAGCGAUAGACAAUGUGGUCCCUUACGAAAUCGACCAUAGCAGCUGAUGUUACGGCUUUUAAUGGAAUCGCUUCCACCCACUUGGUGAAAUAGUCUGUUGCCACUAGAAUGAAUUUGUGUCCCUUACUUGAUGGAGGAUAAAUUUGUCCGAUGAGGUCUAUUCCCCAACCUCUGAACGGCCACGGCUUGAUAAUUGGAUUCAUAGCCGAUGCGGGCGCGCGCUGCACGUUCCCAUAUUUUUGACAAUCUUGGCAUCCCUUCUAAUAUUUGAAAUAGUCUUCAAGGAUCGUUGGCCAAUAAUACCCAUUAUUUCUAAUCAUCCACUUCAUUUUAUGCUCCGAUUGGUGGGCUCCGCACACCCCUUCGUGGAUUUCUGCCAUCAGGGUUUUCACCUCCUCCAUCCCUAGGCAUUUGAGCAGAACACCAUCAAUCGUCCAGUAGAACAAGUCAUUUUCCAGUAACACAUACUUCGUGGCUUGAAAACGCACUCGUCGAUCCACUUUCUUAGACAUGUCUUUUAAAUAAUCGGUGAUUUCUUUUCGCCAGUCGUCGGCCUCGAGCUCCAGAAUCAUGGCACCUUGAAUCGGCCGAUACCCGGACGCGUGCUGGGCAAGCCUAUUGGCCUCUUUCAUUAUAAUUCAUGGGGAUAUGUUCAAUAACCGCGGAUUUGAAUUCUUUCAGAAGUUGGAGGCAAUCUUCAUAAUAAAUCCUUAACAUGUCAUCUUUGCACUCGGAUCUUCCUAUCAAUUGGUCCACGAUGAGCAUGGAAUCUCCAAAAAUUUUGACGGCGUCGGCCUUAAUUUCUCUCAACAAUUGUAACCCUUUUAGGAUGGCCCGGUACUCCGCUUGGUUAUUAGUAGCGGAUGCUUCUAUCGACAGAGAGAAAUCAUAACUUGCCCCCUGAGGCGAUAUGAGGAUGAUGCCAAUUCCUGAUCCGGCCCUACAUGACAAGCCAUCAAAAUAUAGAGUCCACGGAACUGGCUCUACAACAGCGACUUCUGGUCCGCAGUGCUGGGCGACGAAAUCGGCCAUAACUUGACCCUUGAUGGAUUUAGCCGACUCGUAUCGUAGAUCAAACUCCGAUAAAGCCAAAAUCCACUUUCCGAUCCACCCUUUCAAAAUCGGCAAUGAGAGCAUGUAUUUCACAACAUCGUCUUUGCAUACUACUACGCAUUCCGCCGAUAAUAGGUAGUGUCUGAGUUUGGUGCAUGAGAAGUAAAGACAUAGGCAUAGGCGCUCUACCGGGGGAUACCUUGUUUCGGCGUCAAGAAGUCUUCUGCUAACAUAAUAUAUCACCCGUUCCUUUCCUUCAAAUUCCUGGACCAGUGCUGACCCGAUAGCCCGUUCAUCGGCCGAUAAGUAUAGCUUGAAUGGCUUGUCAGUUUGUGGUGGAACCAAUACGGGUGGCGAGACCUAGUAUUGUUUGAUGUCUUCCAGUGCCUUACGUUGUUCUUCUCCCCAUACAAAUUCCUGGUCGGGUUUUAGUUUCAAUAACGGUGUGAAGGCCUGGAUACGCCCGGACAGGUUGGAUAUGAAUCUCCUGAUGAAAUUGACUUUGCCGAGCAAGGAUUGCAACUUAGUUUUAUUCUAUGGGGCCACGACUUUAUUGAUAGCCGCUAUGGUCUUCCGAUUGAUCUCUAUCCCACGCUCAUGAACCAUGAAUCCCAAGAAUUGUCCGGCGGAUACACCGAAAGCGCAUUUGUUCGGGUUCAUUUUCAACCCAUGCUUUCUUGUGCAUUCCAAUACCUGCCGCAAAUCGGCCAGAUGUUCCUGGUGCCUUUUUGAUUCGACCACGACAUCAUCGAUGUAAAUCUCUACCAGCAUGCCGAUGAGUUUGUGAAAUAUGUAAUUCAUGACCCGCUGAUAUGUAGCGCCGGCGUUCUUCAACCCAAAAGUCAUUACUACCCACUCGAACAAGCCAAGGUGGCCUGGGCACCUGAAAGCUGUUUUCGAUAUGUCUUCUUCGGCCAUUAGUAUUUGAUUGUAUCUAGCAUUUCCAUCCAUGAAACUAAUGACUUUGUGACCUGCGGCGGCGUCUAUUAACACAUCGGCUGUCGGCAUCGGGUAUCCGUCCAUCGGCGUAGCUUGAUUAAGGUUCCUGAAGUCAAUGCACACGCGUAGCUUUCCGUUCUUCUUGUAUACGGGCACGAUGUUGGAGAUCCACUCGGCAUAACGGCAUUGCUGAAUAAAUUUUGCUUCAAUCAACCUUGUGAUUUUGGCCUUUAUAUCAGGUAGGAUUUUAGGAUUACAUCGCCGAGCGGGUUGCUGAUAUGGCCGAUAUCCUGGCUUUAUGGGCAGCCGGUGUUCGACAAUGGACCGGUCUAAUCCGGGCAUCUCAUGAUAUUCCCAAGCAAAGCAAUCUUUAAAUUCUUUUAAUAAAUUUGUCAAUUUACAUUUGUACUCCGGAUCCAAAUUAGCACUAAUGUACGUCGGCCUUGGCUUGGUGCCAUCGCCUAGAUCUAUCAUUUGUAAUGAAUCGGCCGAUGUAAACCCGUGCCCUAACUUCCCGUCUUCUCGGACGAACUGAUCCAUUUAAUCUGAAUCUUCAGAGCCGACUGCUCAGAUCGGCUAUAGGACAAAAUCGGACACCUUCAGGAAAUCGGUGUCCCAAGUCCUCCCGGAUAUGCACUUGACAUGCUCGCAGCUCCAUUGUUGUGCAUCGGCUGCCGUGACGCUGUACGCGGAAUUGGCGGUGACCACUUCGAUGUUGUCGCUGACCCAUUGUACGAGGCAUUGAUGCAUCGUAGACGGGAUGCAGCAAUUUGUGUGUAUCCAGUCUCGGCCGAGUAGCAUGUUGUAGGACCCUUUGCCAUUGAUAAUAAAGAAAGUGGUGGGAAGAGUCUUACUGCCGAUGGUGAGGUCGACGCAGAGCGCGCCGCGGGCGGGAGUAACGUUGCCUUCGAAGUCCUUGAGCAUCAUGUCCGUCUUGGUCAAAUCAUCAUUGCUUUUUCCCAGCUUUCGGAACAUGACGUACGGCAUGAUGUUGACUGCAGCGCCUCCGUCUACUAGUAGCCUGGUGACAGGUCGGCCAUUGACAUGUCCUUUGCGGAACAAUGCCCUGAGGUGCUGCCGUUUUUGUCCUCAGGUUUCUCGAAUAUGGCUGUCAUUUGCUCCAAAGCCAAUUGCGCCAUUUGUUCUUCUAUCGUCGACAUGUUUUGUCGGUCAGCAGGACUCCUGAACUCCAUCGACAGAAUGAAAACCAUGCUGACAUCGGUUGCCGAUUCCUGAUUGUCGUCGCCUUCCCUAUCAUUUCUUCUGGGGCGCCAAACCCGAGGCCUGUCAUUUUUCUUGUUCAUCACCUGUUGUUGCUCUUCUUCCUGUUGUUCCCAUUGGCGGAGAUGCUGGAUUCUUCAUUUUUGUGAUUUGGUCAAUCCGUCAGGGCACCACCUGGGGUUUAUUGGUUUAGCCGAUGGUCUGGAUCAUUCCCAUUCUGGUUCUCGUCCCAAGGGAUUCUCAUCUGAUACCCGAGCGUCGGCCAUUUCUUCCAGCCGAUCGUGUGCGCUGGCCCUACCCUCUAGUUGGUCGCGUCGAUUGGUCCUGCCCCCCGGCCUGUCAUAUCGCUCGCACCUGUCUUCCGGCUGAUCAUAUUGGUCAGUUCUGCCCCCCAGCCAAUCACGUACUUAAAGGCACCGAUCCUCUUGCUCGCGCCAGUUUCUGCUGAUCGGCUCUGGCCUUCCAUCUCUGGAGUGAGAUCUUCUAAAUGGCCGAUUGUUGCGAUAUGGGCCGUUGCAUUCUGGUAAAUUAUCGACCGACGGCAACCUAAGGUUACUCUCCCAGCAGUGGAUGAAGAACGGGCAUCGCCAGUGAUCUUCAUGUCAUCGCAUCAUCUCUUCCCAGAAUCUUGAACUAUCUUGUUGUCGUUGAUACUUGUUGAGCAAAAAUUGGGAGGUGAUGGGCCUGUGUGGUUCUCCCGAUCCUUCGCCUUCAUCCUUCAUCUGUCGUUUCCCUUUGAUGUCUUCGGGCGCCGCUUGAUUCCUGGGGUCUACGGCGCCGCUCUUUUUAGCCGAUUCUGAUGUCAGCACCUUGGUCUGGAGUGAGUUCCUUCCUGUAUCAACCAUGUUGGUGGGGAAGAGAUGCUGAUCGAUCUUCAUCGGCUUUGCUGGCUUUGUCGGGACCUCGAACUUGAGCCUGCCUUGCUCAAUGGCCGAUUGUAUUUGCUGUCGGAAGAUUUUGCAUUCGUUCGUGUCAUGGGAGGUGGCAUUAUGCUACUUGCAAUACUUCAUCUUCUUUAGCUGCUCGACCGACGGGAUCGUGUGGUAUGGUGAGAGCUUGAUUUGUCCUUCUUGGAGGAGUAGAUCGAAAAUUUUAUCGGCCUUUGACGUGUCAAAACCGAAUGCCUCUGGUUCCUUUUUCCCGAACGGACACGAUAUCGGUUUCUUCCCUUUAACCCACUCUGCCAGGCCGAUUUCUGCAUCCUCUUCAGACUCAGAUCCUUCUAAGUAUGCCACCUUCUUCUAGAAAUUCUACCGUGGGUCAAAGGGGCAUACUUCCUGACCAGACAGUCGAUGUACGAUUUGACUCAGGCUCUUGAAUUCCUGUGAAGCAUAUUUUUCUUUGAUGUGAGGCAGGAGACCUCGGAAGGCUAUAUCAGCCAACUGUGCAUCGGUCAGGACUAGGGUGUAGCAUUUGUUCCUGACUUCCCUGAAUCUCUGCACAUAUGUAGACACCGGCUCAUCACUCCUUUGUCUGAGGCUGGUCAGAUCUGAGAGUUUCAUCUCAUGCACCCCCGCGUAGAAGUACUUGUGGAACUGCUUCUCCAAAUUGGCCCAAGUGACUAUGGAGUUGGGUGGUAGUGUAGUAAACCAUUGGAAGGCCGACUCGGACAGAGACGAUGAGAAGAGGCGCACCCGCAGAGCAUCUUGUGUAGAUGCCUCCCCACAUUGGAUGAUAAACCUGUUUACGUGGUCCACAAUUGAGGUAUCAUCAAGCCCCGAAAACUUGGUGAAAUCAGGAACUUUGUACCGAUGGGGAAACGGCAGUAAGUCAUAAGUAGGCAGGUAUGGCGUUCUGUAUGUGUAGGUUUGCACCUUCGGCUUUAAACCGAAUUGCUCUUGAAUCACUUCUGCUACCCGUGCCGUCGAGUCUUCUUGUUGUUGAUGAACUAUUGGCUAGGGAACCGGCACGUGUUGGUAGAUCGGCGGAGGGAUGACCGGGUAAUGAACAAAGGCGUGCGGUGCCUGUGGUGACGUGGCCGGUUGUGUAGUCGGCAUCGGUUGUCUCAGUGAACCGGCCGUUUCAUCAUAUAGUACAAGCAGCGCAGCGCCCCGAAGUGCUUCUACUGUUCCUGCCCCCCUGCCCAUCUCCGGCGCGGCUGGUUGAUACUGUGGGACCAUUGGCCGCAUGGCCGAUUGGAAAGGUGCCUGGAUCGGAGAGCUUCCAUAGCCGGCUGACUGAUCUUGGCCGACUGACACCGAUGGUGCCCCCUAAGGCACUGAGUUCAGUGAAGAUGAUUGCGUGGAAGAAAUCUGAGUGGGUUGAGGCGGCGCAUGCAGCUGAAGGUAUGGUGCGCCGUUGUAUCCCAGAUGCAUUGAUGAUGAAGGAGCGCUAGAUCCUCCAGGCUGACCUUGGAUCGGCUGAGGAGCCGAGUAGGGUAUACUUGGAGAACUCCUGACCGGGGUUGUGAUAGGUGGGGCGUACGCUGGCCCCUGGUAUCCUUGAGACACGCCAUUGGCCAGGGAGCUGAUGAUGGCAUUGUAUACCAUAUUAGUUAUCACCGGGGAUUGAUCGAUGAAAGCCUGGUAGACAGACUGCUGAACCAUCUCGGACAUCUUGCCCGAGUCCUCGGCGAUUGUAAUUUGGCGGGGCGAUGGGAAAGGAGCUUUUCUGACAGUUUCCCCGCUCCUGGUACGACUGAAGGAUUGUAAGCAUGUCUUUUGGUACUGUGCUAUUUGCUUCUCCAACUCUUUCUUUUGGUCGUCCUUGAGGUCUGCUUCCUGUCGACAAGCACACAGACUAACAAACAACAAGCACAAAUGAUUUUAUUAUUUUGCCGGGGUGGUUACAACACUUGGGGUAGGGCCAAAACACGUGCUACACGACCGGUACAACAACACAACUGGGGGGUACAAAUCUAGACUCGGGACAGCUUCUGGAGUACAACUCUGGGUGGGGCACUCUACUCGCGGGACGAAUCGGCACACUGCGCGGAGUGGUCUUCUGGCGGAAUAAGGAGGGCCAGCACCUCGUCUCUUAGGGUCCCACCUGCGGGAGGGGGUUCCGAGGCUUCUCCAUUGGCCACCUCAGAGUCCCUUUCCGAAGGCGGUGGUGCUGGUGGGGCAUCGGGGCUCUUCCGCUUCCCGGACCCCUGGGCAACAGGGACUCCAUCCAAAACUGGGGCCUCGUCGUCCUCCACGACCCGCAUUUUCCUCCUCGUGCGGUUCGAGUGGUGGACUUCCUUCAGUGCCCGCACGUGUCGGCUCGGGCUUCAGCUGCUGCCAAUCUCACCUGGAGCCUCCUCACCAUAACCUCGGCGUCGUCGGCUCUGCGGAUUUGCUGCUUCAGAUGGGCGGCCUGCUCAUCGCAGAGUUCAUCCAAAGUGAGGAGAUAGGCAGCCAUAUGGAGCACGGUGGGGUCAUCCUCGCGCUGUCCACAUCCUUCCAAAGUCCUCACCCGGGCCAGCCAAACCGGGCGGUUCUUCUUCACAGGCGGGUAGAACCUCAUCGGUGUGCGCCCGAUGUGCCUCUCAUAAAUUUGGCACAGGUAGCGCAGGGCUUUCCGAGCUGCCGCCUGGUAAGUGUCUUUCCGCCGGAAACCAGUGGCAGACACAUUCCAAGGCUGAAUGUCGGGGAAGUGGCUGCUCCUGCCCACAAAGAUGGUCAUCUCACACCGGAGAGUCCCACGGUCUUCAUACUCCCGGCUGGAGUACUCCGGGCGCUCGUAAAUCCCAAGGCGGUCCAUGCAGGCGAACAGCAACCUGGGAAAAUCGGGCUCCUCCAGGCAGUGGCUGUUGGUCCACCCUUCUUCGGCCAUCUGGAAAGAAUCGGGGUGUAAGUCAGUUUUGCAAAUGAGCAGAGGUAGCAAGAAAUUUUGUAAAUCAUUUAAUUUGGUCAAAAAGGCUUUCCGGUCCUAAUGGUUACGUCCUACGGCCAACGACGGCUCUGAUACCACCUGAAGUGUCCCCACAUAAGUAGAGACUAAAUGUGAUCCAAUUAUCAGUCCCAGGAGGCUGAUAACACAUUUAUUCAACAGAUAGUUCAGAAACCGUACAACUCCCGAAGGAGCGGGCGGGCAAGCCACACCCAAAGCAAGACUAAAGCGAUAACAAUACAAAUCCAAGUUGCAGUCCAGUCGGACUUCGGGCUGCAAUCGGAACUAAGCGUCAGCGGAAGCAUCCUGCAAAAGGGGCCAACACCGCAGGCAGCGUUGGGUGCAGACGCAACCUCCUACUCGAAGUCCUCGGCGACGAAGUCCGGAUCCUCCUCUGGAGUAACAACACAAGGGUGAGCACAAAGUACUUAGCAAGUCCAACCCUAUCCACGGAGGGGAAUACAACAAGAAUAUGCAUAUGAAUCAUCAAGGAUGUAGCUAUGGUUUAUUUGCAAUAAAGCUGAAUUUUAGACAUAUGCAGGGUUUCAUUUUACAGAAGUUUCAUGAAAACAUUUUAAUAAACGAUAUAUCAAGUGGGGUUGAUCCUACACAAAGGAUCCAAGUUUUAUCGCUACCGGACUCCCCGUCCGCCGUAGCGCACGGCACAACUGCCGGACACUUCCAAAAUUCCACACACCCACACAUUCAGUAAAUACCAGUCAUCCCCAAAAGCUAGUUGUGUGACCGAGCCGUAAUUCGUCCAAUGCCGUGGACACAGCUACUCGGAUAGGUUUUAACUCUGCAGAGGUUGUACACUUUUCCCACAAGUAGGGUACCGUAUCCCGAUCACCUUAGUGAUGGUACGGAUCCUAACAAAGCCAUUACCCACCUUAGCCAACACUGACUAGUCAACACAGAAGCACCCAAGGGGUUAGCAACCCAUCCACGGGGCCGAAACCGGGACCUAUGUCACCAAGAGCUUAGUCCUUUUCCAAGGAUUCCCGUUGCUCACCAGCACACCUGAAGCCUACCAGUUUAGCUAGUGGGAUUUAUGCUAAGCCGUUGCCCAUACAACGGUCGAGUGGUUGCAUGAUGAUGGAAUUAGGCAGGAUGACACAUCAACUCGGUCCUUAGCCAUGACAAGAUGGAUAACUCCCACUCUGCUCAACCACUAAGGUACGAGCCCAACAACCCGGUAUUCCACACAAGAAACACCCAUCCAUCUCAUCCACCACCUCUCUUUACACUCGAAAACCCAACUCCUCAGUUAAACAUACUCACACAUUUAUUUUCCGAAUAAACAGGUGUAGUCAUGAUUGAAUUUGGAUAAUGAGUUCCUAAGCAUUCUAGCAGUAUUUAUCAUCUAAACAGAGCAACUCAUAUUUAGAGAUAAAUAAGGGACAACAAGGAAUAAUCAUAACAAUCAAGGGGUGGCUAUCCAACCAUGUCUUGCGAUAAAACAAUAUGCAUUUUAUAAAACAGGCCAAUAGGUUGUGUCUGAAAAACUGGGUAUUAAAUAUGCAUCAAAGGGUGAGAUUGGACUUGCCGUUCUCAAAGCCUUCCGGGAGCUCCUGCUCGCGGUACUGGUCCUCGGGCUCGGGCUCAUGGUCGAACUCCUCCUCGCGCUCCUCCUCGGGUACUCCGCGAUCUACGGCACACACAAACGAGAACACAAUGAAUAAAAAAGGAAAAAGAUUUUACCCGUUGAGCUCCGAACAGGAAGUAGGAACGGAAAAUAGGUAGGAAGAGUAUUUUCAUGAAAUUUUGAUAUGCCUCGGCGGAAAUAUAUGAGAGGAGGCCGUGGUCGAAUUUGGGAUUGAUUGGAGGGAAUUUGGCGCAUGAAAUGACGGGUUAAAGGAGUAUUAGGGGCUUUAAAAUGAGGUUUAGGACUGAACCGCGAGAGCAGGGGCCUAUCUGUAAUUAUUUUUGGAAUGGUGGGAGGACUUGUUCGCGAAUAAGGAAAACUGGUGGGUUGGAUCGCGAGGAGAGGGAUUUACCCCUUUCUUCUUCCUGGAGACAACAGGAGGUGGACGAAGGGAUGGCCGGCGGCGUUCUGGUGGUGGUGGUGGAGGAAGGCAAGGUGCUCGUGGUGAAGGUGUGGAGGUGCAAGGCUCGGCUCCCCCCCUUUUAUAGGCGGCGCACGGGCGGGCGAGGGCCGAGGCAAUGAUGGCGGCCGGAUCUUUGGCCGGUGGCGUGCUGGGGUGGUGAAGCUCGUGGACGGCGUGGUGGCGUGGUCGACGAGGGUACAGGAGCGGCGACCGGCGACCGGCGACACGACGCAACGCACCCGGCCAAGCACUAGACGCCAAGGCACGAGCGGGUGCAGCACGGGCGGCGUGGCGCAGCGCAGUGGCAGCGCGGGCGCGGUGCGGCCCGACGCGGCGCGGCCCAGCACGCGUGCGCGUCCCGAGCGCCUCGGUGCGCGCGCCGGUAGUGGGGGGGCGCCAGGCGCCAGGCGCCAGUGGAAAGUGGGCAGGGAAAAGAAAGGAGAGAGAGUAGGAAGAGGAAGGAAGAGAAGGAAGAAAGAGAAGGAAAAAGGAGAAGGGAAAGAAAGAGGAGGGAAAAGAAAGAAGGAAAGAGAAGGGAGAAAAGGGAGGGGAAAAAAGAUGGCGGGAAUUGCGGAAUUCGACUGCACGCGUGAUGGACUUGAUGGUCACGCGGCGAAAAUCACGGGGACGGAAAAAGAGGGUUGACGAGUCGGGCCAGAACGACGGGUCCGACGGAAGGGAAAAGAUUUAAUUGGGUGUAUUUUUACGGGCAUUACAACUGAUGAAUAAAUCUAAACGAAAUGAUAGCGAUGCGUCCGAAGUUAAAGCUUAGAUAUUACUCGAUAAACGGAACUUACAGAAUCGGCCGGAGAUCAAGUUGAUGCAGCCCCGCCAACCCGUACGAACUCGUGAAAAGAAGAAAAGUACUGACGAAGUCGUCAACUUGAAAGUAAAGUGCGAGGAAAUAGUAGAUUGUUGUAUUGAUUUGAUGAUGAUUACAGAUCUCUAAAGAUGGCUACUUAUAGCCUGUUACGACCAAUCUCUUAAUCGACUAGGACUCUAUCUCUAAGUUUAAACGAAAAUGAAUAUUUACAAGCAUAACUCGUAUCGGAGUUGGUUGUCGCGCCCCUAUGGGCCGAUCCCUUUCUAUCUUCGUAAUCCACUUUAAGCCCAUAUUGGCCCAACUGCUCCAGCCUCUCAAUCGGCCGACCUCCACCAACUCUAUCCGCCGAAAUACUACAGCACCAAUCGGCCGAUCUCCAACUGUAGCACCAAUCAGCCGAUUCCCAAUCGUGACCUCCUUGCCUCGCCGCAUCACCUAAUUCUCUCCCUUCUUGACGCCGAUUCCAUACGUGUCAAAAUCUGCCGUCAACAGAUACAAUUAUCAGUCCCAGGAGGCUGAUAACACAUUUAUUUAACAGAUGGUUCAAAAAUCAUACAACUCGCAAAGGAGCGGGUGGGCAAGCCAUACCCAAAGGAGAAACAAACCAACAAUGAUACAGAUCCAAGUUGCAGUCCAGUCGGACUCUAGGCUGCAAUCGGAACUAAGCGACAGUGGAAGCAUUCUGCAAAGGCCAACACCACAGGUAGUGUUGGGUGCGGAAUUGACCUUCUACUCGAAAUCCUCGGCGAUAAAGUCCAGGUCUUCCUCUGGAGCAACAAACCAAGGGUGACUACAAAAGUACUCAACAAGUCCAACCCCAUCCAUGAAGGGGGAUACAAUCAAGAAUAUGCACAGGAUAUAUCAAGGAUAAGGCUCGGGUUUAUUUGCCAUAAAGCUAGGUUUUUCAACACAUGCAAGGGUUCAUUUUCAAAAGGGUUUUCACAAAACAUUUUCUUUAGUAACCGAAUCAUUAGCUGGGGUUGAUCCUACACAAAGGAUAUAAGUUUUCAUGCUACCGGACUCCCCAUCCGCGGUAUCUCAUGGCACAACUGCUGGACACUUCCAAAAUCCAACUCACACCAUGAAAACCAUCCAUCACCCAAACACUAGUUAUGUGUCCAAGCCGUAACACGUCCAAUGCUGUGGACACGGCUACCCAGAUAGGUUUUGACACUGCAGAGCUUGUACACUUUACCCACAAGUAGGGUACUGCAGCAUGAUCACCGUAGUAUUGGUGCAGAUCCUAUCAAAGCUAGUACCCACCUUAUCUAAGACUGACUAGCCAACAUGGAAGCAACCAAGGGAUUAACGACCUACCAAUGAGGUCUUAACCAGAAUCUAAGUUCAAACAGUUUUUAGUCCUUCUCCAUGGUCUCCCAUUGGUCACCAGCUCUCCUGAUGGCUAACAGACUGGCUAGUGGGAUUUAUGCUAAGCCGCCGCCCACACAACGAUCGAGUGGUUGCACGAUAGUUUGGUUAGGCAAGAUGGUACAUCAACUCGGUACUUAACUGCGACAAGAUGGAUAUCUCCCAACCUUGCUCAACCAGAAAGGUAUGAGCCCAACUUAUUAGCAUUUCACACAAGAAACACCCAUCCAUCUCAUCUAAGAAUUUUCUUUUCUUUACUUCUGAAAACCUAUUUUUCUCAUUUGAAAACACUCACACAUUUAUUCUUUAACAAAGCACAUUAUAGUCAUGAUUGAAUUGAGUAACAAGGUCCAAAACAUUCUAGUAGUAAUUAUCAUCCAAACAGAGCAAAUCAUAUUUAGAGAUAAUUAUAGGAUAAUCAAGGAAUGUUUAUAGCAAUCAAGGGGUGGCUAUCCAACCAUGUUUUCAGCACUAAAACAAUAUGCAAUUUUCUAAAGCAGGCCAAUAGGUUGUGUUUGAAAAACUGGGAUAAAUAUGCAUCAAAGGGUGAGAUUUGACUUGUUGUCCUCAAAGUCAGCUGGGAAUUCUUGCUCGUGGUGCUGGUCCUCAGGCUCGGGCUCACAGUCAAACUCCUCCUCAGGCUCUUCCUCGGGCACUCCGUGAUCUACAGCACAAACAAUCCGGCACACAAUAAAUAAAAGAAAAAUAAGAUUUACCCGUUGAGCUCGAACAGAGAAAGCGAAUGAAAAAUAGGUGGAAUGAGUAUUUUCAUGGCAAUUGUAGAUGACUCGGCGGGAGUAUAGUAGAGGAUGACAUGGUCGAAUUUGGGAUUAAUUGGAGGAAGUUUAGCUCAUGAAAUGACGAGAUAACUGUGUGCUUAGGGUUUAAAACAGGGACUUAGAGGCUUAACUGCAAGGAACCAGGGACCUAUUUGUGAUUACUUUUGGAGAGAGGAGGGAUUUUGGUGCAAAAGUGAUUGAGAGAGGUGGAAGGGCUGCUUGUAAAAAGGGAGAAACAGGGGGUCAGAUUGAAAAGGGGGGUUUCUUCUUCUCCUUCCUUAGUUCAGGAACAGAGGGUAGGGGAGGAGAUGGCCGGCAGCGGCUGGCCGGCUGUGGCUCACCGGUGGUGAGGCUGUGUGGUGGGGGAGGUGAGGAGGGUGAGGGGAUCCCAUUUGGCCCCUUACCUUGGGCGGGGACGGCUUGUGAUGGAGGGGCACCGGCAGCGCUUCGGGGGCGGCAGCGCGGCGUCUCUGGUGAGGGGGUGGUGGUGGUUUGGGGCAGGAGAGGCAAGCUGUGUGGUGGAGUGGCGAGGCAAAGCGAGGCCCCCUUUUAUAGCCCGUGUGAGGAGGUGGCAAUGAGCGGCGCAUAGGGCGGCGGUAGGGACCGGUGGCUGGCGAGCUUCGAGCGACGGCCAAUGGCGAGGCGGUAGGGGCCGCCGACGGUGUAGCUGCAGGGGGGCUGGGUGAGCAGUGAGGCACGACAGUGGCGAGCUGGGCGGUGGAGGACGGGGCAUGCAAGGGCCAAGAGCCAGGCGUGGCAACGGGGUCGGCACCAGUGUGCGGCAGGGAACUGGAGGGGGGGUCGAGCAGGGGCCAAGCACCAGGAUGGCGAGGCACGCAGGAAGGGGGGCCCGGCACAGGGCGCCGCAGGUGAGGGACCUGGGCGUGAGGGCACUAGGGGGAGAAGGUGCCAGGUGCCAGGGAAGGGUGCCGAUGGUGCACGCUAGGCAACACGCGUAACUAGAAAGAAGAAAGAAGAAAGGAGGAAGGUAGAUGAAGAAAGGAAUAAAGAGAAGGAAGAAAAAGAAAAGUGAAAAAGGAAUAAGGGAAAAAGAGAAAAAAGAAAGGGAGAGCCGACGGCGAUUGCGGAAAACGGUCGGAGCACAUGCGGUGGUUUGUCAACCGGCACACAGCUGAAUUUGUGGGGAGGAUAAAAAUGAUGGUUGUCGGCUUUGGGUGCUAGGAUGGAGAAUUCGCCGGGAAGUGAAUUUUUGAAGCUCAACGAGAUUUUGAAAACAAAUUUUUAGCGGGUGAUUUUUACGGAUGUUACAUGAGCGGUAUUCUAGUAGAGAAUGUCCAAUUGGUGCUCGUAAAGCUAUGCGUGUUUGUUAAUGUGAUUUCGCAGAAGGCAAUUGAUCCAACCAAGCUAGUAAAGCUACAGAACGAUGUGGUACAAUGUCAUGUCAGUCCUAAAAAACUAUGUUCUUAAUCGUGCCCGUCCAGAAGGAAGCAUCGCCAAGGGAUAUGGAAAAGAGGAGGUCAUUGAGUUUUGUGUUAAUUUUAUUGACUCAAUUAAUUCGAUUGGUGAUCCAACUUCAUGUCAUGAGGGGAGUCUAUGGGGAAUAGGCACCCUUGGAAGGAAAUCAAGUUUGAGCAAUGAUACUGAUUUGUUCCACAAAGCACACUUCACUGUUCUACAAGAAUCAUCCUUUGUGGCUCUGUAUAUCGAGGAACACAAGCAGAUUCUAUUAUCCCAAUACCCGACGAAAUCCGAUGCUUGGAUUACACGUCAUCACAUGUAUACUUUUCCCCUUGGUUGUAUCAACACCUUAUGGGUAACUCCACGAUUCACGAACAACUCGCUUGGUUAUCCAGGGAACCUUCUAGCACAAUCGUGAAAUUCCAAGGUUACAAGAUAAAUAUUUAUACAUUUUACACGAGAGUCCAAGACCAAAAAAGCACCAACAAAAAUAGUGGUGUCCAUAUAGAUUCCAUAGACAGCAAUGGGCUCAAGGACUCGUAUUAUGGUUUCAUAGAGGAGAUCCGGGAACUCGAAUACGGACCACUAAACAUCCCUUUAUUUCGUUGCCAAUGGGUGAAGCUGACUGCAGGUGGUGUAACGAAAGAUUAGUAUGGAAUGAUAAUAGUGGAGCUGACCAAGACUGGAUACAAAGAUGAACCAUUAGUCCAUGCCAAUGAUGACCAAGGUUGGAUACAAAGAUGAACCAUUAGUCCUUGCCAAUGAUGUGCAUCAGGUUUUCUAUGUGAAGGACAUGUUUAGAAAACCGAAGAAAAAUUUAGAAGAUAAAGGAAAAUCAUGGGAGCCAAAUCGCCACAUAGUUCUCCGAGGUAAAAGGAAAAUUGUGGGAGUCGAGGACAAAAUAGACCAGACAAAUCAUUAAGAUCAGUUUGAUGGCAUGCCUCCAUUCGUUGUUGAAGGUGACCUAAGCAUCAUGCCAGCCAAAGAAGAGGCUUCGUACUUACGUACUUACGCCGCGAUCAUGACCAAGGAACUUUCGUCAAGAACAAGUUUUUUAACAUUACAUUGUAAUGCACUAAAUAUGGUUCACCUUUAUGUAAUCUAUGGCCAUCAGAACCUUUGAAUUAUAUUGUAAUGCUCUAUGCUUCAUGUUUAUACAUUAAUUGUACUACUUGAUGCAAUUUUUAAUUUAACGUAUCUAUGAUUUCAUGUAUGUUUAAAUUUGUUGUGCUGAAGAUUUAUACAAUCAAUUGAAUUUUUUGUGCGUUGAAAUUAUUUAAUUGAAUAGUUUGUUGAUGAUAGUGCAUUAAAAUAAUUAUAUUAGAAAGAUAAACAAGUAGUAUAGAAUUAAUGACUGAUUCAAACUUAUUUUAAAUAUGCUUUCUAAUUUAAUAUAUUUUUUCAUAUUCGAAAUAUGUAAAGUUCUUAUUUUUUCCUUCCUAAAAACCAGUGGAAAACAUAUAUAAAAUCUAUUUGCAAAACAGGCAAGAAAUGAAAAAUCCCAAAAAGGGUCUUUAGUCUUGGCUGAAAAUUUCAACUGGGACUAAAGCUUCCAAUUAUCGGUUGCAAUUAACAAAUCUUGAACUGUUAGCCCUCUGGAUCAACGAACCGAAAUAAGCCCUGAGGUCGUACAAAGAUAAUGGAGGGAAGGCUUCACAUCACGGAAGUGAUAGAAGAGGGCAAGCUAAUUGCUCCCGAACAUGUGGCAAGAAAGUACAAGAGUCAGAUCGGGACAAUCGUAAGGGACAACAUGCCCAUCAGCAUCAGGGAGGGUAAAGCAACUGAUCCAUACGCGCUGAUGUAGCACUGGUCCGAUCUUCCAAAAGGUAAUGAUAAAUUCGAUUGGUGCAGACUCAAUGUUGACGAUCUGGGCUUCUAAUCAUACAUGAUUUGAAUCCUUGCAACCGCUACACCACUGCUCCAUUGGUUAUCAACCAAGCACAACUUGAUUGACCUCGCCGAGAAGGCUUUCCCUGCAAGCGAAUCGAAGGACACAAGCAAGAAAGUAUAAACACGCAAUCUGAUAUUGCAUAUAUGAAUGAAGUAAGAAGGGUUCAAGAUCUCAAUUCAAAAGGACUAAUCGACACAGUCGAGGAGAACAAGAAUAGGAGCCUUGGAUCACUGUAAAAGGACUUGUCAUCACAGUUACAACGAAUCAAUCUCAGUUUCUCAAAGAAAAACUAGAACUAAACAAAACCUGAGUUUCUAACAUGGUGGCUACUGAGUUUAUAUCAAAAGGGGUGAACUAGGGUUGGGGACAACUAGGAAGGGGGCAUCCACAACUUGGGCUUAAGGCCCGACACGAUACCAGACCAAGUUGACCCAAAACUGGUGAUGAAGCAUCUUGUCGUGGUCACACAAAAUGAUCCAUAAACCUUCUAAAUCUAGGACUAGAACCAAAAGAACGGCGUCUUCAUCCUUGUUCCAACGCAUCAAAGAACGCAUUGUUUCAAUGUCAUAUGAGGGAGAUAUGGCCAAAACCGUGCAGGGGUGUAGGCUGAAUCUGAAAUGAACGCGACGAUCGAGUUUGUGACUAACUGUAACUUGGGGAAGACCAUGACUCAUGCAUGUCCAGCAUGGCGAUGUCCUCAUCACGCGCUCCCUCUGACAUAAAAGGAUAUGUUGUGGGCAGAUUUCAAGAAACACUUCACACUUCCUGAAGGUGUCGUAGAAAAAGAUGGGCACAAGUAGACGCUGAAGAAGAUGGCAACCCAAUUCCAAACAUUGAAGAAGAUGUUGGAUGCCAACUUUCUCAAGAAGGGCUAAACUCCAGAUUUCAAUGAGUGGCCAAAGUUAAGGGACCACUGGGACUCAUUUGUCGAAUACAAGAUGAGUGAAGGCAGUGCGAUUAAGGUUCACGUCAAUGUUGCUAAUGCUAGCAAGGAGUACCAACAUCGUCUAGGGCGAGGUGGUUACAACACUGAAAUUCCCAAAUGACACAAGAUGGAACAAGGCCUAAUCGAUCGGUGUAUCGUACCAACAACUAUUGACUGGCCCAAUCGAUUGAAAAAUUGGUAUUACGCUCAUGGAGGCAACCUGAGCCAAGAGGAUGUGUCGUUGUCAAGAUUUGCGGAUCGAGACUUAGACUAGUAAAUUUAUUUUAUGUGCGUAAGGCUUCGGAGGGUGGCGUGGGAGACACGGGGUUAGACUGGUUCGGGCAAAGGAAAGCCCUACGUCCACUAUCGGGAGCUGCUCGUGUUACCCACGUGGGGUUCUGUAGUAGGGGUUACAGUAGUGCGAGAGAGGGAACUGAUCCCAGGUCUCUUGAGAGUGCGCUCGUGCUCUAAGCGGGUGUGAGUGUGUUCUAUUUUCUUGAGAGCGAGUCCCCCAUCUAAGGACCCCCGGUCCUCCUUUUAUAGCGCGAAGGGGGAGCUCGGGGUUACAGAUGAGCCAAGCUUGAGAAGUAAAAGAGAUAAACUAAGUAAAAUAUAACGUAAUGAGAGGGUCCCAGGGCCGCCGCUCUCGCUCUGGCCCCCGGUCCCUAUCAGCGCGUCCGUCGAGGGAGGGCGGUUUCUUCCAGAUCCUGUCGAUGAUCUUCCCGGUCCCCGUUGCUGCUGAGCACAAUGAUGAUCUUCAGCCUUGGCAUCUGUGCCCGCCGGGGAGGAUGGCCAAUUCUGUUACCCUGCUGAUCACCCGUGAGACGCGGAUGUCGCAUCCCUGUCAUCGAGAGCGCGGGGUGCGAGAACGAGCGGGGCGCCCUCCUGUGCCGUUCGGCGUGGGCCAUGAGUACCCUGCGGCAAAUCAGAGGGAGCUGCGGCCACUGCACCUCGUGCCGCACAGCCGUGCAUGGGUCUUCGUGACAGGUUACGUUGGGGGCGCCACUCCCUUUCUGUAUGACAGAGCCGCGGCGCAUUUAUGGUGAGGUUGAUAGGGGGACCCACAAGAUCAGCACCCUAAUCCUCCAGUCUGCGCCCGAGGCGGAUAUUUGUCUUGUGGGCCCGAGCGAGUACGACCCCUGCGCCCAGGGUCGGGUGAGGCGGAGUUUUGCGCGGGAGUCGGGCGCUCCCGACCUCGGUCCCCUGGGUCGGGCGAGGCGGAGCUUAGUCUUCAAGGGGUCGGGAACGUCCGACCCCGGGACUCCGGGUCGGACGAGGCGGAACGUGGCCUCUCCCUCCCAUAUUAGGCCGACGGCAAUCUUGCCACCUUAGGUGGGCUUGGGCCUUUACGUUUUGUUGAUUCCAUGGGCUAGGCGAGGUCGUUAAUAUUUCCCCCCAACAGGAUGGGACAAUUAUCUUCAAUGAAACAAUACAUUAGAAGGCCAAAAGGCUUAUCAAGAACAUUGAAGAUGCUAAAGGUGGGAGGUAGAAGGUGGAUAGAGAGAAUGAUGAGCUCACAUUGGCGCUCGGGAAUCCUGAGCACCCAAGAUAUUGCCGAGGCUACGGGGUCGUUCCGUGGAAGUACGCUUUCGAAAGGGAUAUUAACUCGUAUAGAAGCCGCAAGUGAAGAAAGGAACAACAAGAGGAGAGCUAGUGGUGCAUGUUAGAAGCCAAAGUGCAUUCACAAGAAGUAGGAAUGCAGGAGGAAAUAAAUCGUCAAGUGACCCUAGUAGUUACCGAGAUGGCCCAAUCUGGAGCACUGCCAGAUCCAAACGUUGUCAGCCCUUCUCAAUGCUGAAGCAACUGUGCUUCUGCUGGGGUCCCCGUUGAGCAGAUGCCAAGACUACCCGUGGACGACCAACGGUACCCUGUGGAUGACAUCACGGAACACACCUCAUGUGAGCUGCAUAGACUGUUCGGCAACAUCACUAUUAAGGUAUACAUAUAUAUAAUUUAUGCAAUCUUCUCAAUCAAUCCACGCCUCUGGAGUUUAAUAACUUCUUUAUUUCUGCUAUAUGUACAGGUGGCAUACGGGAGUGCCUUGCCAAUCCUGCCAGGGCAGACAAGCCAUGGCAUGGAGAUUCCAUGGGGCAAUGCUAGCGUCAGCCUAGAGCAGAUUGGUGAUAGUCAAUAUGAAGGCCUAGAGCUUGCCCUGCGGUGACGGGCAAGGACACUAGGAGAUGCACUUCAUAGAAUCAUUCUAUGGCGCAAACGCUACAUCAUCAUCCCCAACACGGAGGCAUGACUGCUCCUCGUAGAUCCCCCGCAGCGACCAUCUCCUCAAAGCUCAAGACCAUCAUCUCCAGCACAUCCUACUCCAAGACCAUCGUCACCACUAGGACCAUCGCAUCCUGCUCGAUCAGCAUCUCCAUCUCCAUCGAAUACUGGUGGUGCGAGUGAUGAUGACUACAACACCCCUCCCCGAUCACUGUCACUAGGACUAAGACCCCUAUUGAGCAAGGAACCUACAACACCUCUGAAGAAGUUGUGUCCACCACCUUCCAAGCCAAGGCAGCAAAAGAAGAAAACAAAGAAGCCUGAAGCUAUCGGCCGACGUGACUCUAGAGGAAUUGCAGGAGGCAUCCAAAGCAACUUGCAGGGAAUUCUUCAGAAAAUGCGCUGAAGAAAGAAAAGCAAAGGAGAUGGAGCCAAAGCCAAUAGAUCCAGCAAGAUUAAAAUUUUUUAUUGGCAUGUCAAAAGAAAACAAGACAACUCUACUACCAAACUACGAGCGGGCUGAUCAGAAGAAAAAAUGGAAAGGAAAGUUAUCUUCAAGUCGUGAUGUCCCCCAGCUCAGGGAUCUACCCGAUAAAGAUGCUCAAACUAUAGCACCAAUGCCCUUAGAACAACAAAUACAUGUCGUUGGAUUUAUGCAAGAAAUAGGUAUGUCUGUUGCUGAAGUUCUAGGGCAAGUUGAUCUGCCAGCUCCAGAGCUAGUUGUACCUAAAUGGACCUUUGAGCUAGGCAAGCCUCUAGUAAGGUCUGAGUUGGUACGGAAGCUAUCCACGAAGAUGUAUGAAUUUCAUGAAUGGUACAAUAAGCAAUCUGCUGACGAGAGGCUCAUGUUCGGUCUUCGGUUAAACUGAUAGAUUUUUUUGGCGAAGGUGAGAAAGUCUUGUGGAUAGAAUUCAAGGAUAUAUAGAUGCCCUUGACAUCUCUCUCAUCAGCGCCUCGGUUCUGUUCGUAUCUGUUUAUCAAUAUGAAAUUUUGGCUCAUAUCAUUAUUUUUCUUGUGUGUGCAUCGCCCUACAAACUUUGUCUUGCAUUUUAUGUAGAAUGCUAAUUCAGAGGUGCUGCAGAGAAUCGUACUUUCAUGUUGCCUUCAUGGAUCCAUCGCUCACUAACCAAAAGCAGAUACGGGAUCAGCCAAAGAAAAUAAUGGAGGUGGUAUACACUUUCUUAGACAAAAAAAAUUACAUGGAAUACAUACUACUGCCAUACAACUUUGAGUAAGUCUGGGUACUGUCUAUUUUUGUUUUCUUUUUCCUUACCUAAUUAAUAUUAGUUAGCUCUAAUAUGAACAUUAAUGUACGCAAUUUUCACUAGAUCCUCCUAAUAAUUAUGAUUGAUAGAAUCCAGAUUGUUAUGUUCGAUUAGUUGAGAAAACCACCAAAGGUGUACUAAGAAAUUCAAGACAUGCUAAACUCGUAAUAAUUUUGGACCAUUAUCUCUAUGAAAAAGUUGCUUUCCUAAAUUAUCACCUAACACUUCAUCAUUCAUUAUUUUAAUCCACAGCGCAUGGAAAUGAUUCCUUAAGCAUCACAAGGGUAAGUUCAAAGAAAAACUUACGUUCAGAACAGACUUCCCGGUAUGUAUGAAGUUUGCACAUUUUCUAUAUUCUAUAACACGAAUAUUCCAUAACUUGUUUUUUUCCUACUAAUGUGCUUGAGACAGGAACAAGGCAAUAAUCUAUGUAGAUACUACGUCUGUGAGCACAUGCACAGUUUUGUGCGACCCAAGGUACCGUCAUCGCAUGUUCUAGAUGCACGUAAAAUAAAACUAUCAAUAAUUAAUUCUUUUCUACCUCCUUAUAUUUAAUUAUUCGUGUAACGUUCACAUAUUUCCAAAUUACAGAUUUGGAAUGUUCAAGAAAGAGUCUUGGAGAAGGAGAGGAUUUUGGCAAUAUGUGAAGGUCUCAUGGGAUUCCUGGUGGACGAGGUGAUAGAUCCAGCGGGAGAAUUUCAUUACGACGGACGUUCAAUACCCGCACCGAGCAACACCAUGACGGGACAAUCCUAGGAAUGAAGUGGACAAAUUAUUGUAUAUAUAGUAAUUGAAUAAAUACUAGUUUGAUUUGUGUAAUAUACAAAAAUUAUAUAUAUAUAUACUACUGCCAUGAAAUAUAUAUAUAUAUAUGACUUGCAUACAAUACUAAUAUGACUUGCCAUGAAAUAUAUAAUAUGACUUGCAUACAGGGUGUGCAUGCAGGCGCAUGCACGUAUGCACUUUAGUUCCGGUUCGUAAAACCAACCGGGACUAAAGGGGUCCGUGCUGUGCCUGAUGUGACUGCCCCUUUAGUCCCGGUUGAAUGACCUGGGACUAAACAAUCCCCGCUUUCGUAUCAAAAAUUGUAUCCUGGAUGGGUUUUCGAAAGAUUUGAGGCCUAUCAACUGAGACUAAUGUCGCAUUUUCUACCAGUGGACCCUUGGUGUCUAAAAGUUUAAUAUUUCAUUUGGGCAUACAAAUAGCUUCGAAUAGAAAAUUCUUCAACUACAAACUUGUAGAUACCAUCAAAACUUAGAACUUUCGUAUAAAGUUUGUCUCCAUCCGAAUCCGUAUGCAAAAGUUAUGAAUUUCAUAUCAAGUUGAAAUUCAAAUUAAAUAGGUGGGAAACUUAUUCAUGCUGGCACAAAUUUGAGCCAGCUGAAUAAUGGAUUAUCCUUUACAGCUCAAUUUAGCCGGCGUUAAUAUUAGAUUAUCCUUACCAGCUCAAGUUCGAGCUGGCACAAGAAUCCUGAAAGUAUUCGUACCGGCUAAAUUUUGAGGGGCACAAAUAAUGAAUUAUUCGUGUCGUACAAUUUGGAGCCAGCGCGGAUAAAGAUUAUCCAUUCCGGCUUAAAAUUUCACCGGUAGGAAUAAAAGAGCUGACAUGGAUAAUCAGUUAUUUGUGCCAGCUCAGUUUUUAUCCAGCACGAGUGACUUAUUUGUUCCGGCUCGUUUAUGAUCGGCACGGAUGAACCAAUAUGAUUGAUGGUUUCUCUAGUAGUGCUACAGCUACGCACCACUUGCACAACUGACACGAAUGUUGAUUUACAAAAGAGAAUUUGUAUAUACAUUAUAUGUAAAAGAUCUGAUAAAACUAUAAACUUUACUAUUCCAUGUGAUUGGCUCUGGGAUUCUUGCACAGCUUAGGUUUAGGCAAAAACUGAAGGAUGCCUAUUUUAGUAUGAAUUAUUUUGUAUAUUGGUAGAUAGAACCGGGAAAGCUAUAAACUUUACUAUUCCAUGUGAUUGGCUCGGGGAAUUUCAUCUUUGUUUAGGUUUAGGCAGAAAUUGAAGGAAGCCUCUUUUAAAAGAGUUUGGGCUGUCAUUAGACCUGCGUAUCAAUAGACGGUUUCAGGUAAAUACCCCUUCAGUCUCAAAUUGUAGGUCAUUUUAGUUUCUGUAGAUUUAUAUUUUUUAUACAUUUAGAUAUACCCUAUGCCUUGAUUCGUAGCAAAAUUUAUAAAUCUAGAAUAGUCAAAACGGCCCACAAUUUGAAAGGAAGGAAGUAGUAAUGGAGGCGAGUGAUAGUUUCCUCAGCCCACCAUGUUAUACAUCUAGACAUGAUCAUAUGCCACCUGACCUGACUCAACCCGUCAUGAAAAUACCUAAUCCUACUCAACCCGAUUAAUAUGUUGGGUGGGCUAUGGCUGAGAUUUGUGACCUAGCCUAAAAACUAGGUUGGACACAAACUAUUUUUUUUCUUAUCCGAAAUACAAAAAAACCUGACCCAACUAGAAAAAUGUACAUAGUAGAAGUUCUGUGAAAACAACCGAAGUAUGGUUGGGGACAUCAAAGUGUUGUUGGUGAUAUCGAAGUGUUGUAAAUUUGUACAGCUAAAAAAAGAGGGAGAGCGAAUAUUUUGCGUACGUCGGGGUCUUUCACCCGGUUUGUCCCAUGAUAAAUCGAUUUUGAGCCCUCCGUGCCCAUCAGAAGUGGCGAAGGAGGCCUAUUGGCCCUACGAUCAAAGGAACGCCCCUCUGUGCGCCCACUCCGCCUUCAAGCUAUUCGCAAAACUGUCCGCCAAGGAGUUGAGGAUCAUCGACACUUGGUUCGAUCCAUGGCUUCCUUGUGCCUUGGCCCUCGAAUCCAUUGAAGCACAUUGAGCGCACGCUGCGAUAUCAUUCCCUCCGCUGCCGUCUCUCACUUCCUUCUCCCCAUCAUCCAUCACUAAUCUGCAUUGACAUUCCGACGCUGCCGUCCAUCUCUACUCUGCGGCUCCCACAUCCACCUCUGCACCGUGGCUCUGACACCAUCAUCAGUCUAGCGGUCACAACCGGCGGGUGCAACCUCAUCAAUUAGGUUGGUAUAACUCCUCUAAUUUCUAACUAAUCUUUGAAUAGAACCUCAUAUGUCAAUCAGAUGUUAUGCCCAUAAUUGUGCUUAAUUAGGCUCCAAGCAUGUCACCAUUCAUGUAAUUAGCCACUCUUUGUUGUCAAUGAUCCAUUUGCUGGUCACAAUUAGGCACCAAAUCUACUACACAGUGAGCUGUGGUUCUGGUCAGUAGUAAAGAAGCAAGGGAUUGAAGCAAAUGAGUCAAAUCCGUAAGAAAUCCUGAAAUCCUAGAUCCAAAUGAUCCCUAAAAUUGGGAAAUCCAAACCCAAAAUCAAGAGCAAACUCAAAACUUGUUGGAGGCAAAAAUUAGCAAAAAGCUGAUCAGGCUGGGUCGACAAGUCAAACCGAUUCAUAUAGGCGGUCUAACUGGUCUUAAGCCCUAUAGUCGGUGUGGUAAUUCAAACCUAUCUGACCGGUUGGAACAAGCGGUAUGACCGAUCCAACCCUAGUCCGAGUAGAAUUAAGGAGUCCUUGUAGAUUAAGACUUGUAAAAGGAUUUUCUUGCGAGGCAAGCCCUCCCCAAACCUAUAAAUACAAAGGGACGCGGCCGAUUGAGGCCAACACCCAAUCGAUCAAUACAAUUACCUUUACUUUUUAUCUCCAACCCUAAACUUUUCCAACCCCCUUUGUUUCUCCUCCUUCGUCUCUACGACGGUUGAGGAAACUCUGAGUAGCCUGCCGAUCUCAAAGCAACCCUAAGCACACCAUCCAUGACGGGGUCCCUCCCGGGGUGGUGAUUUUAGGUUUUUGCAUCACCCCUAUGCCGACUAGUCUGACCGGCCCCUCAAACCAGUCUGAUUGGUUCAAGGUAGGAGCCUCAUGAGGUGAAGUUCCACCAUACAUGAUCUAGCGCAAUUCGGUGUAUUGACUAGAAAAAUGUCAACAUAUUUUUGGUGACUCCGCUGGGGAAGAAAGAUCUGGUUAUAUACAACCAUUCUAUCAAACCCUAGUCAGAUGGGAUCUACAACGGAGCUAGAUAAGAACAACAUCAUCACGUACUCCAUGGAAGAGCUUAGCGAGGAGGAGCAUUAGAGGUAUUUGGCAGCGGAAGAGUACUUCAAGGCCCUAUUCUUCAUGGGUAUCAAGAAGGACUGCUAGGGCAUAGAUAAGAGAGUACAAGACUUAGUGAUGCACAUGUUCAAGAUGAGCAACAACAAGUUGAGUUAGUAACCAAUGUAAGAAAAUAAGCCCCCAACCCAUCCGUGCUUAAUGCUAAAGUUAAUAACGCUAUUAAGGAUACGUAUGAGCUUGUUGCAUCUUUGAUUGGGCGUUUAGAGAAGUUAGAGAAAGGGAAAAUAUGUUGAAUCUACUAGUAGUUUUGCUAGAAAUGAUAUUCCUCAAAUUGUUCAACAUGGGGUCAUACAUCCUAGUUCAUCGGCUACACCAGGGUCUAUUCCUGUAUAUCCUCUUUAUGGUAUGCCAUAUAACUUUCAUCCAGGACAAACAGUACCAAGGCAACCCCACAAGCCAAGCAUGGCUAGUGUUUGAGGCUUAUUUAAGGUAGGUUCAUGGUAGUUAUGUGCAACAUGUUAAUCAAAACAUUAAUAUUGUUUCUACAAUACCACAACAGACAAAUAAUUCUAAUUGGAAUGAAUUUUCUAAGUUUAAAGAAGAUUUGGCUAAUGUGAUGAGAAACAAGAUUUGUGUUGAUAUUGGUAACACUAAAUUGUAUUAGAAGCCAUAUAAUGUUGAGUUUGAUUAUGUUCCUUUCCCUAUUGGUUGGUGGAUGCCUAUUUUUGUUAAAUUUAAUGGUGAAAGAAUAGGACAACUUGUUAACAUAGUAGUCAAUUUACUUGGGUGAAGUGAGUUCCAUUAAAUUCAAAAGUUUGGUUGUUUUCUCUAUAUUUAACUGGAACUGCCUUUGCUUGGUUUUCAUCCUUAGCUCUCGGUUCUAUUGACUCUUGGGAUCAAUUAGAAUAGAAAUUUCAUGAUCACUUUUAUAGUGGGAGCUUUCAAUUAAAAAUUAAAAUUGAUGGAUUUAACAUUAUUUGGGCAAAGUAGAGAUGAAUCAGUUUUUUAUUAUAUAAGACAAUUCAAAGAAACUAAGAACUGUUGCUUGAAUUUGUCAAUUUCUAAGAUGAAUCUUGCUGAUAUUGCUUUUAAGGGCUUGAGAUCAUGUAUUGGAGAUAGAAUAGAUGGUUAUGAUUUUCUUUUGGUUGCACAAGUACAAGUAAGAGCUUUUGUGCAAGAAAACUGGAUGAAAAGGGAAAAAGAAAGUUUUAAACCUCAUCGGUCUAAUAUGCGUGCUAUUGAAUACAAUUCCGUUAGUUUGAACGAUGAGGAUAAUGAUGCUUAUGUUGUUGAGUUUGUGUGGCCUUCUAAGGCUAAAACUUAUUCUUGUUCAUCCCUUAUACCGACUCAUAAGGGCUGGCAAGAAGUAAAAUUUACUAUUGAUGUUUCUAAAUGUGAUCGUAUAUUUCAUGAAUUGCUUUAAAAUAGAAACAUUAAAAUAUCUCAUGUCAUACCUCCACUUGAAGAGUUAAAGCGACGUGCAUAUUGCAAGUUUCAUAAUUAUUUUUCGCAUGCCACUAAUGAUUGCAAUAUUUUGCAUUGAAAGAUUCAAUUGGCCAUAAAUGAAGAAUGAUUGAUUCUACAUGAGAUGCAAGUGGACAAGGUGCCUUUCCAUGUGAACAACAUGGAUCUACAGCAGCCCAAGGUAUUAGUUCGGCCGCAUCAAGCUGAAGCAACCAAGGGCAAGAAUAUGAUGGUUGGUGAAGAGAAGCCUAAUUUGAGGGGUAAGGAAUUGACAAGGAAAGGGGCUUAUGAGAAGACUCCUGAUGGUAGAGUCUUUGAAGAUCACUCUGAGAGCUUUUGGACACGGGGGCAAGGGUUGUCUUCACAAACCCAGCUAGGACUAUUUGAGCCUACUAGCUAGGACAAACCGGUCAGACCGGUUCAUUAGGCCGGUCAGACCGGUCAAAGACAGGUCCACCCCCGAAUGUUGAAAUCGAGGUGUCCAUAGAUCGGGACAUGGAAGCUAAACUUGACCAAGGACAAAGGAACAUAUGCAAAUCAGAAUCCCACUUUUGAUCAACUUUUGGCCAAGUAUUCCAAACAAAAGGCUGGUACGGGUGAUCGGCCAUUAGAAAAAAGGACAAGGUCUCCUACGCGCCAAGAGAGGCAAGCUUCACCUCCAAGGGCAUCUAGAAGACAGUGGGGUGAAUAUCCUCCGUAGAAGCAGUACCCUGCUGCACCGUGGGCUCCUCUAAUGACGGAUCCGCCAUGCCCAAUGUGGGAUCAUAAUGGGGUGAUGUGGGUGCCCAAUUAAUCUAUACAACAACAGUCUUUCCAUCGUGGAUGGGGAGAGCCAAGGAGACCAGUUCUAGACAGUAUAUCAUACCCAUGCAUAACCAUUUGGCACCUUGCUGAUCAGGUUGGAGCCAGAAGGCUCAACUGGUCAGAUCGGUCUACCCUAAUUGGUCUGACCGGUUUAACCAAGGACCAAAGUCAUCUUCUCCCAAACAGAUCUAUCAUCCUUAGAAGAAGGAGGAGGAUGUGCAGAAGAUGGAUGUUGACCCAUAGAGGACUACAAGCAAAGAUCUAAGCCAAAUUGGGUGCAUGAAUGUUUGCAUUAAGGAUGAUGGCAAAGACCGAUUGUUAUAGACAAUAAGGUUGAGACAUUUGUCUAGAGAACACCUGCUGCCAAUGAUCGUGAAGCCAGUAGAAGCAAUUCAACUUAUAAGUAUUUCUUGCCAAGAUGGUGCCCUCCGGGUUUGACUCACACUCAAAGAAGGAAACUUCAAAGACUGCACAUCUAGGAGAAAAAGGAGUAAGAGCUAAAGAAAUAGAGGGAUGAAAUAUUCAACAAAUACAAACCAAUGGUCCCGAAAAAGAAAUAGUGGAAGGUCAAGGUGGAUGCCAGCUAGCACCUAAACUGGUUAGACCAGCUGAGGAACUAGUCAGACCGGUCGAGACGUCGAUGCUAGCAGCCGAACACGGUCAGACCGAUCGGCGAGCUGGUCCAACCGGUCCAGCUAGAGAUGUCGCCAGAUUUUGCUUCUUCUACUCCAGUUGCUUGUGAUGACAAGUUGACAUCGGUUUCUGAAACCAAAGGUGAUGAAAAACUUGUUGAUUACAGUUCUUCACCUAACCACAUGAGCCUUGAUAUUAAUGUGGUGUGCAUGUCUUUGGAUUACUUUGUUAUUCCGGAGGAAGAUUUGGCUCAUCUUGAUUUUGGACCUAAGGAGGCUACAUUCUAGAAGCCUAAAGCUGCUGAUAAUCACUUGAAGGCUGUGUAUAUGAGGGGUCAGAUCAAUGGGAAACCAAUUUCUUGUAUGCUAGUUGAUAGAGGGGCAAUGGUCAACUUGAUGCCCUACUCUUUGUUCAAGAAAUUUGGAGGUUCAGAAGUAGAGCUGAUCAAUACCAAUAUGACUGCCACCGGUGUGGGAGGAGGUGAGCCUAUGGGAGUUAAGGUUAUUGUCUCUAUGGAGCUUACCGUUAGGAGCAAGACAUUGGCUAUCACUUUCUUCGUUGCUGAGAGGCAAGGUAAUUUUAGCUUGAUUUUGGGUCGUGAUUGGAUAUAUACAAAUUAAUGUAUCCUUCUCCCUUGCACCAAUUUUUAAUUCAAUGGGUAGGCGAUGAAGUAGAAAUUGUUCAUAGUCAUAUGUUAGCUUGUGUUGCUAUAGCUGUUAGUUCCACCAUAAACAUACAUGACAGUUUUAAAUGUUUAUCUGGUUUAGACCUUUCGGAUUAUGAGCUCAUCAGUUGUACUAAAGAUGGCUUUGCUGCUGCUAUUCUAAAGCUGGUUGAGAAUCGACUAAACCACCUCAUUUGAUUUAAUGGAUGUAAAUAUUGAGUGGUUGCAGUAGAGGCUUGAACGCUAUCGGGCACAUAAGAACAAUACAUGUGAAGCCAUUGAAGAUUUUGAUGAUAUGAGUAAGCUGGGACAAGGGUACGGUUUACGUCAGCUGGUCCAAUAGAGGAGGUAGAUAUUGGUGAUGGCACUAUACCUAGGCCGACAUUUGAAAACAAAACCUUGAGGCUGCUUUUAAGGCUGAAUUAAUUGAAUUAUUUAAAGAGUAUGUCGAUUGUUUUGCAUGGAAAUAUUAUGAGAUGCCUGGUAUAAGCUGUGAGUUAGUUGAGCAUCGACUGCUAAUUAAACUGCAUGUUAGGCCUCAUAAAAAACCUACUAGGUGAUUUAAUCCUAUCAUAUAUGACCGAGUUAAACAAGAGAUUAAUCGGUUGCUAGAUGCUAAAUUUAUUAAGCCUUGUCAUUAUGCUGAUUGGAUUUCCAAUACUGUGCCUGUUGAGAAAAGGGUUUGGGUAAGCUUAGAAUUUGAUUUGAUUUUAGAGAUUAUAAUAGAGCUACUCCUAAAUAUGAAUUCCUAUGUCCAUGGCUAAUAUACUUAUUAAUGUUGCUUUCGGACAUAGAAUUAUUAGCUUUCUUGAUGGUAAUGCUGGAUAUAAUCAAAUUUUUAUAGCUGAAGAGGAUAUAUCUGUCGGUGUUCAGACCUGGCAACUUACCAAGUGGGUACCCAAGGUAGUGUUUUGUGCGUGGGGCUCACCAAAGACCAGGAACUCAAAGGUGAACUCGAACACAUGAUUUAGAUAGGUCUGGGCCGCUUAUGUCGCGUAAUACCCUAGAUCCUGUGUGUUGGUUGGAUUGUAUUGAUUGAUGAUAUGUUUGGAGAGGGUCCCUACCUCAUCUUAUAUUGCUGGGGGUAGGGUUAUAGGUCGGUUGUUGUACAAGACUACUAGUCAGAUACAACCAGAAAGUCCUACUCUAAUUGGUAUGAGUAGUUUCCUAAUCGUUGACUAGUUCUUGUCCGCCACGUAGACCAUGCCCUCUUUCACCGUAGUCUCCAUGUCUAACACAUCCUUGUGUACAACCCCGUAUUGUAGGACUGUCUAAGCCUCCUGAUGGGCCCAUAGAUGUAUGGCCAACAAGCCCUUGAGUACUUUUUAGUCAAAUGUAGCAGUCCCGAGUACUUCUAUAGACGUCGCCGACUAGUUUGUGGUGCCCCUUUGAGUACUCCAUCAGAUUGAGUCUUCGAAUGUGCUCAAGUACUGUCAUGCAGCUAGAAGGUGCUCAAGCCUAAUUUAACCUAGUCUUGAAUCUUGAUCUUUAUAUGGAAGUGCGAUUUGAAAAAAUCACGCUCCAUAUGGAGUAGCUCCCGAGCCUUAGGUUGAAUCGAAGAAUCAGGCUUAGGGUGAAUCUUGUAAUUUCACAACUUUUCCCAUUACACGACUAGUUUGGGUAUAAGGGUCAACCUUAUUGUGAUCGUUCGCCUUCAGAAAACUUAUCUCUUCCGAAAAACUUGGUAACCAUUCCAGCGAUAACUGAUGGCAUAAAAACUAGAAUAUUCCCCGUAAUCUUUGCCAAUCAGUUACCUGUGCCAUGGUUAUAAAUUAUGGAGGAACCUUAUUCCUUCUAUUUACCUGAGCUACUGCGCCUGAGCCAUUCAUCUUCUCCACUAUCGCCCUAGCGCCGCCGCUUGCUCCCUGAGCAUUGUUGCCCUAGUGCCGCCGCUUGCAAUCCUGAAGCGCCACCAGCCCCCAUUGUGUAGCCACCCAGCUGAUGUGCAAGAAGAUCAUCGGAGCAAUGGUGCCCAAGAAAGAAUCCUUGAGCAAGGCAGCAGUGUCAAAGAAGCGCAAGGUGGCCAAGAAGGAGAAGGAGAUCUCACUGUUGGCGCCCAAGUACGGGAAGAUCGACCAGACGGUGCUGCCGAAUCAAGUCAUGUCCUAGAAGCCAUCCAAUUUGAAGGAGGCAGAGAUCCAAGUACUGAUGCGUGCCAAUCUGCUCCAGGAGAAGGAAUUUGCGGAUUGGAGAGAGGCAGCCGGAAAUCCGUGGCCUUUUGAAAGCUACCCGAACAAGACGGUGAUCUUCGCACACUUCAUCGAGCGCAGCCUUGCUCUGCUGUUGUUUGAGUUCUUCAGGGGGUUGAUUCAGCGGUAUCCCGAUGAUCUUGCAAGAACUCUGCGUCAUGAAUCCGCCCAUCUUGUAAGUACCCGUGUCUUGCAGCCCCGAGUACUAGCGUUGGCAUCUGUCAUUGUUACUAACUAGUCUUCUGUUGCUUGUAGGAUGAGUUGAACUUGUAUGUCUCCAACCCUCGUCCACCAGGCGUUGAUGUCACCCAUGGUAUGCAGUCUCUUGAGGUUGUGCAGAGAGCCCUCGAGGUGGAGAAGGAGAAGGAAGGAGAAAGGGAGGAUUCACCAAACUGGUCCUCCCUCAGCAGCUCUGAUUCUGAGUCUGCUGAAGAGUUUGUUGUCAGGCCCCAUCUUUUUGACAAGGCGGGGUCAUCAUUUGGGACGUCCAAGCAUGUGGCUAAGACGUUUGAGAAGUCGAAGUGGCACCACCCCCGAAGAAGGCGCGUACUGCCGCUGCCAAAUGGGUGGCAAAGAAAUCAUCGGCUGAUGAAGUCCCUUCGCAGGUAACAAGAUCCUGAGGAUCAAGUACCCACUCGUUGUUUGCUUUAUCACUAGAAUCUGACUUUGAUCUUGCUGAUGUGUAGGUAGUCGAGGAAAUAGAGGUGGAAGAACCAACUACACUAGUCCUGCGGCAUUAGAGGCUGCCGACUAUAUCAGAAGUAUCGGCGCCAAGUACCCAAAGGGAGGAGAUGAUAGCUAAGGCUAGUGAGGAUCCACCUAUGAUCCAGUGAGAGGCACCAAAGAAGUCAUCACCUACCGUCAAGGCACUAUGCUUGGGAACCGAGCCCUCCAUCAGCAUAAGGAGGUCCACCUAGUAAGUAUCUGUGUACCGAUGUCGACUUGUUGUCGCCGAGUAGUGUUACUGAGUAAUAUGUUAUGAUGCAUGUCUUGUUGUAGGAGAUCCGCCAGCGUGGAAGCUGAAGGCCUGAGUACUUAGUCUGGUGCUGAUGGCAGUAGCCACUCAGCCCAGGAGGUCGUCCUGAAAUCUGGCGUUGAUGGCAGUAGCCACUUAGACCUCGAGCCGGCCUUGGAGCCUGCUGUCCCGCCGUUGGAGGAUCCACCCACGCUCGAGGUUGCCCCAGGUGUAGUAUCUCUUGUCGUAGCUUUUAUGCACAACUUUUUUCAUCACUUCACAUUUCUGUAGUGCCAGCCCCCGAGCUACCGAAGGUCGAACCCAUCGCGGACAGUACUUCCACGAUGGUGACGGAUUUGGUCGCCAUGAUGCUGAAUCUGGAUGCUGAGCCAGAGCCGAAGGCCGAGGUGGAGCCUAAGGCCAAGGUGGAGAUGGUAGCGGCUAGUGAAGUCAAGGCUGCACGUGUAGCCCUCGAGCCAAAUGCUGACGUAGAGGCUGCUGGGGUGCUGCAUGUGUUGGCCAUUGUCCCAGUGUCUGAGGUGGGGCCGUCAACUAGUCACACGGCGACUACCCCCAUGCCGUCAGAGGCUGGUUCAUCGACCAGCCAGGCAGUGGUCCCUUUUGGUGUGCCGGGUGCCGAGGAGCACGAUGACACUCUGCUCCCUCCUGUGGUGAACCGAGGGAAAGACUGGUUGGUAGCUGACACCCUGGCCAUCGUGGAGUAAGCGAGUACACCCAGGUAGGCUUUACUUCUGUUCUUGAUCUUUGUCUUAAAUUGGUACAUGUUACUGAACAUGAGUACUUGCUCUGUUGUUGUAGACACUGAUCUAGCUCUCCUGCGAGAAGUCGAAAGUUCUCGAAGAACUUGGAUACACCAUCCAGUGGGCCGAGGUGCUGGAGUAGAAACUAGUCGAGGAGAGGCAGUACUCUUCCCGGCUUCUUAUGAAGCAUGAUGGCCAGGCUGCCAAGUACCAAAACCUUUUGUAGAAAGCUGAUGAAGAAAAGGAUCGGCUCCGAAAACUCAAUAGAGGCCUGAGGACCCGAAACGGAGGUAGGCUGUUAUCCUCCGUUGUCUCCAAGUACUUGUUUGCACUUUGCGUUGCUAUCUUGUUCUUUGCCUUUGUUCUUGCAGAGCUCACCAAAGAGAAUAACGAUCUCCUGGGUCAUGCCAUAGAUUGGCAGAACGCGUACUAUCGGGUCACCGAUGAGUACGACAAGGUGACCAAGAAGUAUGAAACCUUGAAGCACAAGUUUGAUAAACAGAAGCAGAUGCGCAAGUUUGGGGAAGUCUAGCUUGUAGAUCCAAUGGACAAACUCUAAGUGCAGCAAGCUGAGCUGGAGGUGAAGGAUCUUGCUCUCAAGGAGCUAACAAAAGCCGCUCAGCCCAUUGUUGACAUGGUGGAGCCUUCGGAGGAAGGCGUGGAGCCCGGACCCUUCUAUGUGAAGAAGACUGUGGAGUCCGUCUCCAAGCAGCUACUGGCGAUGGUGAAGUCAUUCUACCCACAAGCCAACUUAGCUCAUGUGGUAGAAGGCAUUCCCGAGGACUGCUCUGAUGAGCAAUUCUAGCAGUACUUGGAGGAGAUGGCUCCCGUUGCCAAGAAGUAGCCGAUCAAAUAGACCUUGAGUGAUAUGCAAAAAUAAGUGUUUGUAAUAUAAACAAUUUAUCUUAAUGCAAUUUAUUUGAAGUCUUGUCGCAAUUCCUAUUUUCUUGUCGACUUGUUUGAAGCUUUUUUGGUUUAGUGCAUUUCACAGACUGCCUUGAAGUUUGCUCGUAUGGUAGUCGAGAGUGUCUGCACACAAGGCUGCUCCUGUGAGCCUCUUCAAAUACACUAUGUAGAGUACCUUUAAGAUGUGUCUCCUUGUUGCGGAGCUCCAGUGCUUGUGUAUCUGGGUAGUCAAACUCUUCGAGAGAGUAGACUUUUCAGGACUUCAUGACCUGGAGCCUACCUUUGCAACCUCUCUAGGUUGUUUAGGUGUUGUGCUCUGAAGAACUAGAACUUGCAGACUUGUUAUUACAAGCUGUGACUAGACAAACUUGUCGAGAUUAGGACUCGGGUAGUGUGGAUAACUCCCAAGCUGUUUGACAACUUGUUUUUGCGAAGGCUGAAGGUCAUCUAUGGACAGAUUUGUCCAGGGAGCUGAUUAGCUCAAGAUUGUAGGUGCAGGCUUACUUCUGUGCAAGUUGAAUAACUUGAAGGAUUUUGUUGUGCAGACUUGUGAAUACAAGUUGAGAGUGGGUAGAGAUUAAUACAAGUUUAUUAAUUUGUAACUAUAUAAUUGUGGUUGGUGGCCAGUUUACAUGAGUAUGUAGACCAUGGGUAGAAUUGACACAAGCGUUCAAUGUUCCACGAGUUGUUGACUUCUUCACCGGUGAGAGUUUGGAUCCUAUACGACCCAGGUCCAAUGACCUCGGAGACGAUAUAAGGCCCCUCCCAAGGCGAGUAUAGCUUGUGCAUCCCUUUGAUGUCUUGAAUAUGCUUGAGGACCAUGUCGCCUAUGUUGAACGAACGUUCCUUGAUGUUGCAAAUUUCUUCAAGGUACCUUGUUGACUGGACGAGUGCUGCACAACGAGCUUCUUUGAGGCUAUCUAUGUUUAGAUGCCUUGCUUCUUCAGCCGCACCUUCCUCGUAUUGCUCAACUACUGGAGAUUUCCACACGUGGUUGCGGGGAGAACGACUUCUGAUCCGUAGAUCAAGAAGUAGGGUGAGUACCCUGUAGGCUUGCACGUCUCUGUGCGAAGCCCCCAGAGGACAUUCGGUAGAUCCUUGAGCCACUUGCCUCCUUUUGUGUUACCAAUAUCGUGUAGUCUCUUCUUGAGAGCUUCCAGUACCAUCUCGUUGGCGCACUCAAACUGGUCGUCGCCCCGUGGAUGAGUGACAAAGAUGUACCAAACAUAGAUCGCGCUAUUCUCGCAAUACUCCCAAAACUCGUGAUUGUUGAAAUUCGAGCCCAAGUCUAUAAUGAUGUAGUUGGGGAAGAUGUAGCAAUGAACGAUCUUGUCAAGAAUGUCAAGUACCCUGUCUACCUUGGGGCAGGUCACUUGGGCAUGAGUAGACCCAAGCUUGGACAAGAUGUCUGCGGCUAUGUUGUUGUCAUGAGCCACAUGAUGGAACUCCAAACCUAAGAACUUAUUCUCUAGCUUGCGUACUUCAAGCCAGUACGCAUCCAUGUUGUCUUUGUGACAAUCUCACUCGUUGUUGACUUGUUUAAUGACUACCAGUAAGUCAUCAUAGACCAACAGCUGCUUGAUUCCUAGCGAAACUACCAGGCGAAGCCCGUGCAGAAGCGCUUCGUACUCAACUUCAUUGUUGUAUACCUCCCAGAAGUUUUGCAACACAUACUUGAGUUGUUCGCCUUUGGGAGAGAUUAAUAGUACUCCUGCGCCGGCGCCCUCGAGCUUCAGUGAUCCAUCGAAGUACAUGACCCAAUGCUUUGGUCAUUCUACCAGUGCGGCUACUUGAUUUUUCCGCCAGCCUACCAUGAAAUCGACAAGUGCUUGUGACUUGAUGGGUGUUCUUGGUUUGAAUUCUAGGAAUAAGGCUCCGAGUUCUACUGCCCACUUGAAGAUUCUUCUUGUUGCAUCUCUAUUGUGCAGUAUGUCUCCCAAGGGGAAGUCUGUGAUGAUGGAGAUGUUGUGUUUCUGGAAGUAGUGUCAUAGCGAUGUAGAGUAGCAAGUCUUUGAGUAGGUGCCGUGAGGACCGGUAGCUUUGAUAGGAAGUCCUUCAACUGUUGAAGGUCUUGCUCCACCUCUUCGGUCCACUAUAAUUUGUCAUACCGCUUGAGUAGUUUGAAGAAGGGUAGUCCCCGUUCUCCAAGUCUUGAGAUAAAUCUGUUGAGGGCCACCAUGCAUCUAGUCAGCUUAUGGACGUCCUUGAUGCACGAUGGAGUGUGCAAGAUGGUGAUGGCAGCGAUCUUCUCGGGAUUAGCCUCGAUUCCUCGAUCAUUGAUGAUGAACCCAAGUAGUUUUCUGGAGGGUAUGCCGAACAUGCACUUUGUUGGGUUUAGUUUCCACCGGUAUGCUCGCAGACUUGCAAAGGUUUCUUCCUGAUCCGCAAUGAAGUCAUCCGAAUUUCUUGUCUUUAUGACCACGUCAUCCACGUACGCCUCAACGUUGCGGUGUAGCUAGUUCUUGAAGCACUCUUGGAUGGCUUGUUGAUACGUGGUGCCUGCGUUCUUCAACCCGAAGGACAUCGUAUUGUAGCAGAAAGCUCCAUACUGGGUGAUAAAAGUGAUCUUGAUAUGGUCUUCUAUCUUGAGUGCUAUCUAGUGAUACCCCAAGUAGUAGUUGAGGAAACAGAGUACAACGCACCCAGCCGUCAAGUCGAUGACUUCGUCAAUCCUAGGGAGCCCGAAGGGAUCCUUUGGACAGUGCUUGUUGAGGUCUAUAUAGUCGACACACAUCCUCCACUCGUUGUUGUUCUUCCACACCAAGACGGGGUUAGCCAACCACUUUGGAUGAAGGACUUCUUUUAUGAAGCCAGCCGCAAGUAAUUUGGCCAACUCUUUUUUGAUGGCUUCUCUUCUAUCUUGGCGAACUGGCAUAGUCAUUGUCAUUUGGGAUUAGCUUUGGGAUCCACAUUGAGUAAGUGCUCGAUCAACUCCCUAGGCACCCCCGGCAUAUCAGAUGGCUUUCAUGUGAAGAUGUCUCGAUUGGCCCGAAGGAAGCUGACGAGCUGUCGGAUUUAGUAGCUUGGCAGUCCACCAGGGGGUUACCCAAGUGGUAUAUUUGUAGGCAGGGAGGAUUGCGAGAUUAAGAACUCAAAGGUAAUCAUGAGAACACGAAGGUUUAGAUAGGUUCGGGCCUCUGGAAAGUAAUAUCCUACAUCCUGUAUUUUGCUGGUUUGUAUUGCUUUGCGCGGGUGCGAAGAAUAGAUCGGAUGCCCUCCGGAGGCGCCCUUGGCCACCUUAUAUAGGCUGACGAACAUCCUGCAAUAUUCGGGCUAAUUUGAAUCGCCCAACCUCCUUGACUUGCGCUCUAUGUAUCUUCACGUUCUUGGCCCACACGUUCUGGUUGGACGGGCCCACUUAACAGGGCUCUUGGUUGGUGGGGACCCAUGGGGUACGCAUUUCCUUCAAGCAUGUCUUCCUAUUUGGGAUGUAGCCUUGAACCGAUCAGGGCUAUCUUGGAGCUGUCACCGGUCUUGAGGUCACUGGCUUUGAGGUCAACCUCUCCUGCAGGCUUGACCUUGGUUGCCCCCGACUUCUUUGGGAUUUUGAGUUCUAUUGGGGACAAUUUCUUGCAGGCGGUGAAGACUUGCAUCUUGGAGUUUAGCACCUGAUAGUUGCUGCCAGUAACACAGCUUCCUUGUCUCAGUCGUAUGAUCUCUUCAAGUCUCCUCUCAAGGAAAGUACUCCCUUGGAUCCUGGCAUCUUGAGUACUAGGUACACGUAAUGCGGGAUGGCCAUGAACUUGGCCAGUGCUGGUCUUCAGAGGAUGGCGUGAUACGAAGUCUCAAAGUUGGCCACCUUGAACCAGAUGUACUCCUUCCGGUAAUGAUCCUUGGUCUUGAAAGUAACAGGCAAAACUACCUAACCAAGGGGUAUAGCCGCAUUACCUAGGACAAUCCCGUAGAAUGGAGAGUUCGUCGGGGUGAGCAAAUCUAUCACAUCGAGGCCUAUCUUCCUCAAAGUCUUGGCGAAGAGCACGUUGAGGCCGCUGCUGCCGUCAAUGAGUACUUUUGUGAGGUGAGAGCCUAUGACAACUGGAUGCAGGAUGAGAGGAUAUCAUCCUGGGUUGGAGAAACUAGUCCACUAAUCUUUUCUUGAAAAGGUGAUUGGUACCUCGGACCACUUAAGUAAUGUAGGAAUUGUUGGCUCAAUGGACAUGAUUUCCCGGAGGGUUAAUUUCAGGGAUUGCUUGGUAGCAGUACUCGCAGUGCCACCGAAUAUGAUGUUGACGGUGUUUGACGGGUCCUAGAAUUUCCCAUUGUUGUCCUCAUCUCCAUCUUCUUUGACCUUGCCCUUAUCUUUAGCUUCAGAAGAUUCCAGCAGAUCUUUCAUGACUCUAUGAAGGCUUAUGCAGUCCAUCGCAGAGUGUUUGGAGUUUGGGUGCCAAGGGCACUCCUUCUUUAGGAGCUCCUUGAAAGGAGUUCUGUCUUGGUUUCCACCUCUCUUCUUGGAGGACAGGGAGAUUGCCGCGGCAGUAUUGUCUGGUUUUCUCUUGCACUUUUGACCACCCGAGUAGUUGCCUCGGUUGUCGUUGGGGAGAUCAUUGCGAUUCUUGCCGUUACUUUGGCCGUUGCUUUGGUUGUUGUUGUUCUGGCCUCUGUUACGACUAGAUUCAAACCGCUCGAUCUCCUUGUCUUCUUCAUCUGCCCAGGCUUGGAUUAUGGUCUUGAGAGACAUGAUCUCCUCCGGGCAUCUUUUGCCAAAGUCUUGGAACAUCUGACGGUCAUAGAGACCAUUCUGGAAGCACCAUAUGGCAUCCUUCUUCGUGAUGUCCAUGACAGUGGCCUUCUUGUUGAAGAAACAACGUAGGUAGCUACCUAGGGUUUCGCCUUGUUGCGUUUUGAUUUGCAACAAGUCGAUCCUAUUGCUAGGAUGUUGCAUCGCCCCCACAAAAAGUUGUUUGUGAACACUGCAUUCAGCUGACUCCACGUGUCAAUGGAGUUCCUUUCUAGAGACUCAAGCCAAGUGAGUGGCUCUGCCUCCAUCCAGAUAGGGAAGUAGAUGACCUUGGUGUCAUUGCUUCCUCUCGCGGCUUGGACUGCUAGCGAGUAGUACUACAACCAUUGGACUGGGUCCUGCUUGCCAUCAUAUUUGUUGAUACCCAGAAGUUUGAACUUUUCGAGUAAGAUCGUCUUGUGUACUCGGCUUGAAAAGGAUGGGAACCCGUCAGUGUCUUCUCCCGAGUAGUUGACUUCUUGAUUGCAUUCAUGGCGGUGCCCUUUAAUGAUGACGCGAGCGUCGCGAUUCUGGUUGAGCUACUCAUGAAGGUCAUGUGAUGGGGUCUUGGUCCCGAUCUUCACAACGUAGGAUUUCGGUCUUGAUAACUAGCCGAAGAACGGCCGAUAACUUGCUGCAAGCAGCAAUAACUAGUGCAACCUGACGACGUGCACAAGGAGCCAACCACCGUCUCUAUACGACAAGCUGAACCAAGGAUUCGCCCAACCACACUCUCAAAGAAACCAACCUACGCAACCUGGAAUCAAUGGACCAGGAGCACGGAUUGGGUGCCGAUGACGCGGCCGCUUCUGUAAUCUCCGCGAAGGAAAACACAAGAGCUAAGGGUAGAGAUCUCUCUCUGGAUUUGUUAGCACACAGCUGAACAAAAGAGUUUCUAUUUGGAUUUUCAAAAGUCUUCCAUUUCCUUAGUAUUACAGGGAUAUUUAUACUAGGAACAGCCCUCCUAGAUAGGUAUAAACACGAGAUAGAAAUGAAGAGUUAGUCAUCAAGAGCUCCUGAGUUGUUCCCGCGUGGCUGUUGGCCUUCUGCAGUCUUCAAUGUUUUGGUCAUAACUCCUUCUUGGGAAGUCCAAAUGACGUGCCGUUGGCUGCGUUUGAAACUUAACUUGAUACACUUUCACACCAUGUGCAGUAUGUUCCACGAAAUCUUGUACAUUGGUACAGUUUUACACAGCAACUUUAGCUUCAUGCAGACUGUUGAGCUUCUGACCAGUAUGCACUAAAACUGGUCGGGCACCAUAACGGUUUCUCCAAACUAUCCAGGGUUAUUUUAAUUGGAAACUAGACUUCAAGAGAUUUCCAACAAGUACCCAUUGGCCUUCAUAGCUUUUGGGAAUCAAAAGUUAUGAUUAUUUCUUUCAGACUGUUCUGCAGAACUAGACGAAUUUGAACGUGGUUCUUCUUUGUAUUCAUCGCCUUGUGUGUUCUUGUCAUCCUCCUUGGUAAACCUGAGUAAUAGCAAUGUACUCGACUUAGAAGUAUAUAAUUCUCAUUAAUAUUUAAAUGAACUUCAUAAAGUAGCGCGUCCACCUCUUGUUGUAGUUCCUUUGCCCGACUUCGUGUAAUUGGUCCUUUAAAGACUUGGGCUGGUGUAGUUGUGCUCGGCAUGGUCGGUGUGGAGGUCGGUGAUGUAGGUGAGGCCUGCAUGGUUGGGAUGUCCUCAUCAUCAUGAGGUUGCUAAAGUUCUUGGCGGGGUCCACGGUGGCCAUGGCCUCCCGAAGGUCCUAUCCAACUACCUUCUGCCCUGUGUUGACUUGCCUUGAGUUGCUCAAUUAUGGAAACCUCAUUUCUGGUGGCUUCGAGUUGACUUGGAUGCCUGCUACUGCUGUCAUGGCGGAAGAAGGUGCGGUGGACCGAGCUGAUCGGAUUCUCCCAAUCAAGUAGUUCGUACGCGUGCUCCGCCAGUAGAGCCAGUUGCCUGGUGUACUUGUCUUGCGCCAUCGCCCGAGUGAGCAGGUCAAUGGAGGCGACGGUGGCGAGAGGAGUGUUAUGUUGACAUGUUGAAACUACUUCGAACGCGUGAUCCAGGUUCAUGAUGGGUAGGUUGUUUGCAAGGCGGCGUUGAUGAUCUGCUCGCUUUGUGUUUCUUGCUCGCCGAUGUGCCCAUUUAUCUUCCGUCUCUUCUUCUACAUUGGCAGUGAGCUCAUCCAUCGACACGUCAUUCGGGUGAUGCUCACGUUGCAGGUUCUUUUCUGGUUGUUCUGCUCCAUCGUCGUUGGCUCUAUGGGGAGUGACAAUGGCGUGUAGUUCUUGCUUUGGGGACAAACUACUCGAGCUUGACAUAAUGAUCUCCGUAGGGCCGUCUUCUUCGUAGAUAGGAGACAAAGGUGUUCCCUCUUGGAAUGGGAGGUCGUCGAGGUACGCGAUAAGGUGUGACUCCUUGUCCCUAGCGAGGGCAAAUGGUUUCAUGUUGGGCCAGUAGACGAAUCUACCUUGUGGAGUAGAUGUGAUUAUCAGGCCCUGCUGUGGGCCCGAUAAAUGAAUCUCUUCAUUUGGAUCCGAGUAGUAGUGGGAGUCCUUGAUCGAAUCUGAGUUGGAUUGGGAUCUAGACAGGGAAGCUUGGUAGAUAGCACCCACGUUUUGGUGUUCGAACCGGAAUCGAGUUGUGUUGUAGACCGAUUCGCAUGAUGGCUUGAGCGCUAGCUCGUGGGAAAUACUCCGACUGGUGGGAGAGGUCGAGUUGUACUCGGACUCAUCCCUGGGACCUCAAAAGAGGUCAAAAAUUUCAUUGAAUUUUUCAAUGAAGUCUUCCAAAGCUUGGUGAUCGAGGUUGAUGUUGUAGUGCUUCUCCUCCCAGGUCGAUGCAAUGUGGCGGUGGAAAUUCCCAGUGCCGUCUGCGAUGUAGGUUCAGGAGCCGAAGAUGAACAUUGCACCUUUUUCAAAUGCAAUGGUGGGCUUGAUGAUGACUGGAGCCAUCAAGUUCACUAGUGGAUCUUUAGCGAGAUCCCCUACCUGGUGCUCCAGCUAUCGGUGUUCAGACCCGGCAACCUACCGAGGUGGUAACCGAGGUAGUUUUUUGUUCAUGGGGCUCGUCGAAGACCUGGAACUCGAAGGUGAACUCGAACACACACUUUAGACAGGUUCGGGCCGCUUAUGUUGCGUAAUAUGCUUCAUCCUGUGUGUUAGUUGGAUUGUAUUGAUUGAUGAUAUGUUUGGAGGGGGUCCCUGCCUCGCCUUAUAUUGCAGGGGGUAGGGUUACAUGUCAGUUGUUGUACAAGAGUACUACUCGGAUACAACUAGAGAGUCUUACUCUAGUUGCUACAAGUAGUUUCCUAAUCCUUGACUAGGCCUUGUCCACUAGUAGACCACACCGUCCUGCACCGUAGUCUCCAUGUUUGACAUGUCUUGGCGUAUAGCCCCGUAUUGUAGGACUGUCCAAGCCUCCCGGUGUACCCAUAGAUGUAUGGCCAACAAUAUCCAAAAUGACCUCUGUAUGUCCAGGAUUUGUUGGUGAAUUUGAGUGCGUAGUCAUGACUUUUGGUUUAAAGAAUGCUGGUGCUAAUUAUCAAAGAUCUAUGAAAUUAAUCUUUCAUGACUUAGUGUAAUCUUAGAAGUCUAUAUUGAUGAUAUUGUGGUCAAAUCGGCUGGCUUCAAACCCCAUUUAGCUUAUUUAAUACAUGCUUUUGAAAAAAAGUGUCGAUAUGGCUUAAAGAUGAACCCACUCAAAUGUGCUUUUGGUGUAUCGGCUAGGAAGUUUUUGGACUUCAUGGAGCAUGAAAAGGGUGUAGAGAUAGAUCCUAAAAGGAAUGAAUCUAUUAAAAAGGUGCAAGCUCAUGCUUGUAGGAAAGAAUUGCAGAAAUUCUUGGGCAAGGUGAAUUAUUUGACAUGGUUUAUUUGUAACUUGCUUGGGAAGGUGAAUGCUUUUACUCCUAUUCUUCGGUUGAAAGAUGAAGUUGAAUUUACUUGGGUGGCAGAACAACAAGAAAGUUUUGAGAAGAUCAAGCAUUAUUUAUCUUCACCACCUGUUCUUCAAGCACCAAAGAGUGGAAUUCCUUUCAAAUUAUAUGUGAUGGCUAGAGAUGGAGUUAUUGGUUCUGUUUUGACUCAAAAAACUGAAGGAAAGGAGCAUAUUGUUACAUAUGUCAGUAGAAGAUUGUUUGACAUUUAUUGAAAAGUUAUGCUUGUCAUUAUAUUAUGAUUGUACCAAGUUGAGGCAUUAUUUAUUAUCAAAUACUUGCAUAGUAGCAUGCCAAAUCGACAUAAUUAAAUAUAUGUUGCACAGGCCAAUUUUAAGUGGUAGAAUUGGUAAAUGGGCUUAUGCUCUUAUUGAAUAUGAUUUGGCUUGUGAACCUUUGAAAUCCAUGAAAUGCUAAAUUGUUGUGGAUUUUAUUGUUGAGCAUAGGGUUGAUGAUAAACUUGAUUUAAAUGUCAGUUAUGUUACUUUUGCCACAUAAAAUUGCACUUUGAUGGAUCAGUUUGUAAAAGUGGCUUCGGUAUUGGUGUUAUUCUUAUAUCAUCAAACAAUGCUAUUUUUGAAGCUCCUAACUAGUUGGAUUAUAAGUGUAUUAAUAAUCAAACUGAAUAUGAAGCUCUGUUGUUUGGGUUGGAAAUUUUGUGUAACAUGGGAGUCAAACAUGUCAAAGCUUAUGGUGAUUCUCUACUAGUGGUAGAACAGGUUUCCAAGGUAUGCCAAUGUUUAGAUGGUUUUCUGAAUGUUUAUCUUGAUAAAUGUCUAGAUAUCAUAUCUUGUUUGGAUAAAUUUACCAUCUAUCAUGUACCAAGAGAAGAGAAUCCAAGGGCUAAUGUUCUGGCACAACAAGCUUCUAGCUAUAAUGUUCAGAAAGGAAAUAUUCAUGAAAGGAAGCCAAUGUUUUAUGAGUUGAGAGUGUCAAGGAUAGAUCCCCAGGUAACCGCAAGGAAGGAAGAAGCUAGACUCCUACAAGAAUUCCCCUGUAAUCCUACUAGGACUCAUACCAUGCAAUCCUACUAGGACCCUAUUGUAACCAACUAGUAAACCCCCCCCCCACCCCGGGAUAUAUAAUAGAGGGUAGGGGUACCUAGAUCGGCAUCUCAACCCAAUGAGAGCAAUCUCAACACCCAAGCGCAGGGCGCAAUAUACUCCACCAAACAAGAUGUAGUGUAUUACACUACACUGAUGGCCUGAACCUGUAUAAACACUACAACAAAUGUGUUGAUCUAUGAUGAAAAUUUUAUGAAACAUUUGUUCUCAUCAUAGAUCUAUAAGGUUUCUGGCUGAAAACGUCAUAAAGUUUCAGAUCCGAGCAAAUUUAGUGACAAAGUUACAGAACGUCAUAAAAGUUGCCACUGUAGCCAAAAAGAAAUCGUGACUUGCUAUUACAAGGUGGUUUUGUGACGAUAUAAGCUUUUGUGAAAAUGUCAUAAACCAACUAGGGUCCCACAUGUAAGUUUAAGUUGAUAAAAAGGGUCGUAAAAUAAAAAGGAAAACAUGCUCCUCCCGUGGGUUGAACCUAUUAAUGAUCAAAUGGGGAGUCUUCACCGCAACUAGGUCCCACAUGUAAGUUUCAGGUGAGUUGGUGGCAGAAGUUUUGGUAAGUUAUGUUAGUCUGAAAUGAAAAAAGCGAAGGAAAAUAAAAGAGUAAAAUGCACGGCAGGCCCACGAACUUGCCAGGGUGUGUCAUUUAGGUCCCCGAACUCAAAAAAUGCACAUUGGGGUCCCCAAACUUGCUAAUCGGUUCACAUGAGGUUCAAAUCAACGUAAUACAUGUAAAACUACUUACAUGGCACGGUGACUGCACUGACGUGGACCUAACAUGUGGACCCCACAUGUCAGGUCCACUCCCUCCCCCUCUCUUCUCUAUCGUCGGGAUCUAUAUCUCUAGCAGGGAGGCACUCGAGCCCCUCGGUAGCUGCGAGCGGUGGCGCUCAAGCUUGGGCCCAAGCUGCUAGCCGUCCGCUAGCCACCCUGCUUUCUCCCGCAUGUGGCCGUCGACCUCCCUUUCGCAGGCCACUGCUACCUCACAGGCUUUUCCAUGGAGGAGGAUGGGAGCGUGAGUGGCGGCAAGAUAUGGCGAGCGAGGCCACUCCGGUCCCAACACAAGCUCGCCGCUCCACCCAUUCGUCCACGCAUCUAAGCUUGCAACUACUGCGCACGCACCCUGAUUGGUCGCCACUGCCAGCUCAUUGCUCCACCCCUUCGGUCGCUGAUUCAGGCCAACACCCACUAUUGUCCGUUGCUGCCGUCACCGUGGCACCCACGCCCACCGUGUCGACGGCUGCGAUGGGGGUGGGCUUUGCCGGAGCGGGACACGAUUGGAAGGAGCCAAUGGCACCCGGUGCCGAUGGAGAGAGAGAGAGAGGGGGGGAGGGAGAAUAUGGAAGAAAGGAGAGAUAGGUGGGCCUGACAUACAGGCCCCACAUGUCAGAUCAACGUCAACACAUAGUUACGAUGCCACGCAUCCAGUUUAACAUGUGUUAUGUUGAUUUGAACCUCACGUGAACCGAUUAGCAAGUUUGAGGAUCCCAAUGUGCACUUUCAAAGUUUGAGGACCUAUAUGACACACCCUGCCAAAUUUGUGAGCCGACCAUGCAUUUUACUCAAAUAAAAAAGGAAAGAGUGUCAAUAGCAAGGCUCAAACCUGUGACCUCUUGAAAGUGUUAAGGUAGAACUACCACUAAGACAUGAACUAUGUAUGUCUUUUAGAAAGGAUACAUUUUAUAUAUUUUUUUCUAAUAAGUGUGGUCCACAUGCUAGUUGCCGGCCCAAGCAUCAGCUACAUGUUUCAUAUUUCUUGACAGGACGUACAAUACUACAAGAGAAUCAUUGGCUCCACACUCGUAUUGGCUGUGGCAAAGAAAGCUAGCGUCAGUGUGCAGAUCUACAAUGGCCUACGGCAGGAAAUGGUGCAUCCUAGCGGCGACGGGAAGAGGAGGAGGUACAGUCAAGUUAGUCCCUAGGUUUGUGCCGCUACUUUCCCCUAUCAUCCUAGGCAAGGGGAUUUCUAGAUUUGGGGAUCUGAGUUGAACAUACUAGAUUCCAAUUUCAUCGUACCCUUAGAUUUGCAUUCCGAUUGGUGUCAGAAGUUGAUAGGCUAUAGUUUAUGAACUGCAAAGCUAAACAUUAAACAUUGAUUUCAAGUUACGAUGACUUUGGUGAUGCAGUUAGUUUAUAGUUUGAUAGGUUUUUUAUUUUAUUAGCUUUCAUAGGUGCUUGGAGUCAUUGAUAGCACCAGAUCGCCAUCGCCUGAUGUUAUCAUUGUGCAUCCUGAAAACAAGUGCGAGCAUGGGUUUUCUCUCCAAGUGAAGUAUGAUUGGACAUUUGACAACCCUGGGUGCCGGUUUGCAUCUUGUUGCAAGGUAAACGAUAAAUUGUUUCAAUUCUAAUAAACCUUAAUUGUACUCUUGAUGUUAGUGUUGUAAAUGGAAAAUUGUAUGAACGUAAUCGGUGUCUACAGCAUGAAAGGGAGAAUUGUUUGAUGUUUAAGUGGGUUAAUCCUGAAUGGGAUGCUAGGACUAAAGGUACUAUGGUAAAGCUGAUGAAGAGGAACCUAGAUCGUGGGAAGAAGUAUGGAGAAUUGCUAAGAAGGAGGUCAAUGGCACAAUCUACGAGAUGCACAUGAUAAAGUGAUACUUUGGGGAGACAACCAUUGACCUGAUGAAUGCGAGGAAGAAAAUUAGAAAUGAUGCAGUGAGGAAGGAGCUAGGACUGAGAAAUAGUAACAACAAUCUGAAAGCUGAAAAUGAUGCAAAGAUGUUGAAGGAAGAACGCACAAAGGCUAACAUGGAGCUUGAAGCGACUGUUGCUAAGCUAAAGAAGGUGAAGGGACACGCCAUGAAUGUGGUGAGAAGGGUCAAGGAAUCGCUGCUGUAGGCCAAAUAUAUAAGGUCAUUCAGGGAUGAUUAAAGGCAUAAUGUGAUGUUUGGUGAUAGCUAGGUAGACGGUUGAGAGGUGGGAUCAUGCUUAUAUUUUGUUAGCUGAUCAUACUAUCUGGCAAAUUAUGAUAACUAUUAUUCAUGAUUUUGAACUUUGUAAUGAUGAAUGGCUAUGACAUGCCAUCUUAUGAAACUUGUUGUUGCUAUGAUGUUUGUUGUUAUUGCUAAGGAAGAUGGUUGAGAGGUGGGAUUGUGCUUUGAUUCUGGUCGCUGAUGGUACUAUCUGGCAAAUUAGGAUAAGUAAGAAUGGUGGUUAUGAACUUUGUACUGAUGAGUGGCUACGACAUACCAUUUGAUUAUAGCAUAUUUACUAUUCAAUUCAGAUAUGCUACAUAAUUGAGGAAUACCAAUAAUAUACUUAUUGGUAGUAUAUAUACAAAUGUGUUGUCUGAUAAUACAACGGGCGGCACGGGUGUUACAAAAUGAAAAAUCACUAAUCUACUCAUAGCUAGGCAACAACCAGGUUCCUCGUGACCAAAUCCAGUUCCCAGGAACUUGUGUAAUGCAGAUCGCAAGAUCAUUAUUGACACCUGCCACACUUCUUAGCCCCUACUGGUAGAGCUAGUAUUGCCCUCUUCAUCAUAUCGAUCCGUUCCUAAGAAGUAAAUGUUAUCUCCUUUCAGGUUAGGCAGGCCACAAAUGGCAUGCUCUUGUACAACAAUGCACUUGCUAGGUCCAUGAUGAUCUUAUUCCGAAGCUCUGGUGCUGUCUCCCAGAGAAUAGGCUGUCAAAUGUCACCGAUGAAUAAAUGCAGAGUAAAUUCCACCAACUCAACAUCUCUCUUGCUGUGCAUCCUCUCAUCCCAAACAACAAAGAACAAUCGGCCAUGACCUUGGAGUAGAGAAGAGUUGCUCAUGUCAAGAAACCAUCAUAACCAGAGUCCAACAGCUUGAGGAGGUGCUGGAAGAUGAUGCCUCAAGUAGAUCCGCAUGUGUUCAGAAGAACUGCACCAGAAAUCUUAUGAAGGUAUGGUAGUCUAGUCGAUUGGCUUCCCAAAUGCCAAAUGUAGACGGGCAAUGACCCUAGCGACGGAGAAGAUUUUAGGGGUCAAAAGUUGGUUAUCAAAAGAAAUGACUCUGCACUAGUAUGCGCUUCCAAACCCAAGAUAUAAGCAUUGAGAGCAGCCAUAUGGCACCAUGUUGGAAGUUGAGGAAGGAUAAUGUGCUCCCGAUGAGACAAUCGAUUCAGCAGGAGCACGGUGCUUCCAUCUCUGUCAUCUAUGGAAACUAGGCAUCCAGAUCCGCCGCAACCAAUCGACCUAGUCUUUUUCCCAGCUAAUGCUGCAAAGGAGACCUCAAAAAGCUAGUAAUCCGUGAUGGAUGCGAAUGUCAUUGUGCCAGAUUUACCAAUAUCUUCGGAUUUCAGAAUCCAAGGGUCAAACAGGCAUGCCUGACCUGAACGAGCGCAGUUCCAACUAUUAUAGAUUAUUUUGAACCAGAUGAAAUGUCUUGCAUCACUGAUCUUAUUUGUGAUGCUCACAACAAGAUCUGGCAUAAGAUUUGCCUAGGAAGGACCCAUGAUUGAAGAGAGAUUGAUUGGACAGCCAAAGAAGAUGGUAGAGGGAGAAGAAUGGAGGACUCAUAAUAGAUAGAGAAGAGGGAACUUAUUGACGAGGUAGAGGUUGUAGUUCCGAGAAAGAGAAAUGAUAAGGGAGUGGAAGCGAUUGGCGAAGUUCCGGUGUAUUGAUGUUUUGUAGAAAGGACCUUUUUGAAUAACAACUACAUCAGUCUACUCAUGUACAUUGGAUCGUCUUAUUUAACUACUAUUUACUAGACCGAAAUGUCGGCCAUACACCUAUGGGUCCACCGAAAGACUUGGACAGUCUUACAAUAUAGGGUUGUACACUAAGAUGUAUCAGACUUGGAGAUUACGGUGCAGGACGGUGUGAUAUACGUUGUGGACAAGAACUAGUCAAGGAUUAGAAAACUACUCUUAACAAUUAGAGUAGGACUCUCUAGUUGAAUCCAACUAGUACUCUUGUACAACAACUGACGUGUAACCCUACCCCCGGCAAUGUAAGGCGAGGCAGGGAUCCCCUCCAAACAUCUCAUCAAUCAAUACAAACAACCAACACAUAGGACGUAGGGUAUUACGUGACAUAAGUGGCCCAAACCUGUCUAAAUUGUGUGUUUGAGUUCACCAUUGAGUUCCUGAUCUUGGUGAGCCCCACACACAAAACACUACCUCGGGUACCCCCCCCGAUAGGUUGCUGAGUCUAAACACCAACAGCUGGCGCACUAGGUAGGGGAUCUCGCUAAAUAUCCACUAGCGAACUCGAUGGCUCCAGUCAUCAUCAAGCCCACCGUCACGUUCGAAGAAAGUGCGACAUUCAUCUUCGGCUCCUAGGUCUGCAUCACAGAUGGCGUAGGGAACUUCCACCGCCACAUUGCACCAGCCCUAGAGGAGAAGCACUACGACAUCAACCUCCAUCACCAAGCUUUGGAGGACUUCGUUGAAAAAUUCAAAAAAAAAUUUGACCUCUUCUGAGGGUCCAUGGGCGAGUCCAAGUACAACUCAACUUCUCCCACAAGCUGGCACUCGAGCCAUCGUGCGAAUCGAUCUACAACACAAGUCAGUUCCUAUUUGGACUCCGCAACACGGGCACCAUCUACCAAGUUUCCUUGUCCAGAUCCCAAUCCAACUCGGAUUCAAUCAAGGACUUCGACUACUACUUGGAUCCAGACGAGUAGAUUCCCUUAUCAGUUCCGCAGCAGGGCUUGGUAAUCACAUCUACUCCACAAGGCAGAUUCAUCUACUGGCCCGGCAUGAAACCAUCUGCCCUCACCAGGGAUGAUGAGUCACCCCUCGUUGCGUACCUCAACAACCUUCCAUACCUGGAUGGAACACCCCUAUCUCCUAUCUACGAAGAAGACGGCCCUACGGAGAUCAUCACAUCAAGGUCGAGUAGUUUCUCCCUAGAGUGAGAACUACUCGCCAUUAUGACUCCUCAAAGAGCCAAUGAUGACAGUGCAGAGCAACCAGAAGGAACUCCAUGACGCGACGUCACACAGAUGACGUGUCGGCAGAUGAACACUCUGCCAAUGUUCAAGGAGACGAGACAGAAGAUCAAAGGACACACCAAUGGGCAAGAAACACAAAGGGAGCAGAACAUCGACGCCAUCUUGUAAAUGAUCUACCUAUCAUGAACCUGGAUCAAGCGUUCGAAGCAGUUUUAGAGCAUCAACAUAACACUCUCCUCGCCGUUGUCUCCUCCAUUAACCUGCUCACUCGGGCCAUGGUGCAAGACAAGUAUACUAGGCAACUAUCUUUCCUGGUGAACCACGCAUACGAACUACUUGAUCGAUAGAGCCCAAUCCACUCAGCCCGACGCACCUCCUCCCACCAUGGCAGCAAUGGCAGGCAUCCAAGCCACCAUGAAGCCCCCAGAAACGAGGUUCCUAAGAUUGAGCAACCUAGGGCAAGUCAACACAGGGCAGAAGGUAGCCGGGCAGGACCUUCGGGAGGCCUCAACCACCGUUAGCCCUACCCGGAACCUGAGCAACCCCGCGACCUUCGCCAGCAAAUCAACCAGAAUUGCAACACGCGUGACAUCAUUGAAGGGCACCGUCGUGAACGCGAUCAAGAAGUCAACUACUCGGGAGAAGACACUAUCAGGUUCCCCACCUUUUCAAGCUGAGUAUGCAAGACAACUCUACUCAACAAGUUUAAACUUCCGGAUAUCAGCAAGUAUGAUGGCAAGUAGGACCCAGUCCAAUGGCUGUGGUCCUACUCGCUAGUGGUCCAAGCGGUGGGAGGAAACGAUGACACCAAGGUCAUCUACUUCCCCAUAUGUAUGGAGGUAGGGCCACUCACUUGGCUUGAGUCUCUAAAGAGGAACUCCAUCAAUAUGUAGAGUCAACUAAAGGCAGCAUUCACGAACAACUUCGCAGGGGUGAUGCAGCGCCCUAGCAACAGGAUUGACUUGUCAACAAGGCAAAACCCUGCGUAGUUACCUAUGCUAUUUUUUGACAAGAAGGCUACUGUCAUGGACAUUUUGGAGAAGGAAGCCAUAGAGUGCUUCUAGAAUGGUCUAUAUGAAUGCCGGAUGUUCACAAACUUUGGCAGAAAUUGCCUGGAAGAUAUCAAGUCUGUCAAGACCAUGAUACAAGCCUGGGUAGAUGAAUAAGACAAGGAGAUCGAGCAGUUUGAAUCUAACCAUAAUAGAGGCCAGAAUAACAACAACCAGAGCAAUGGUGAAAGUAACAGCAAGAAUUGCAAUGAUCAUCCCAACAACAAUUGAGGCAACUACUUGAGAGGUCAAAACCGCAAGAGGAAGCUAGACAAUACUGUUGCAACAAUGUCCCAGUCCUCCAAGAAGACCGGCGGACAUCAAGAGAAGACUCCGUUCAAGGAGCUCUUGAAGAAGCAGUGCCCAUGUCACCCAAACUCCAAACACUCUGCGAUGGACUGCAUAAGCCUUUGUAGAGUUAUGAAGGAUAUGCUAGAAUCUUCUGGAGCUAAAGAUAAAGGAAAGGCCAAAGAAGAUAAAGACAAGGACAACAAUGGGAAAUUUUAGAACCCGUGUAACACCAUCAACGUCAUAUUCGGUGGCACUACGGGUACUGCUACCAAGCGGUCCCAGAAACUAACCCUACGUGAAAUCAUGUCCAUUGAGCCAGCAACGCCUACGUCCCUCAAGUGGUCUAAGGUGCCAAUUACCUUUUCAAGAAAGGAUUAGUGGACUAGUUUCUCCGACCCAGGACGCUAUCCUCUCAUCCUAGAUCUAGGCAUCAAAGGCUCUAGCCUCACAAAAGUACUCAUCGAUGGCGGUAGCGGCCUCAAUGUCCUCUUCGCCAAGACUUUGAGAAAGAUUGGCCUCGACGUGAUAGAUAUGCUCACCCCUACAAAUUCUCCAUUCUACGAGAUUGUCGAGGGUAACACGGCUUUCUGCCCUAGCCAGGUGGUUUUGCCAGGUGAUUUUGCCAGUUACCUUUAGGACCAAGGAUCAUUACCGGAUGGAGUACAUCCAGUUUGAGGUGGCUGACUUUGAGAUUUCAUAUCACACCAUCCUCAGAAGACCAGCACUGGCCAAGUUCAUGGCCAUCUCGUAUUAUGUGUACCUAAUACUCAAGAUGCCGGGACCCAAUGGAGUACUGUACAUACACGGAGACUUGAAGAGAUCAUAUGACUGCAAAACAGAAGCUGUGGAGCUGGUAGCAACUACUCAAGUACCAAACUUCGUGAUGCAAGUCUUUGCUACCUCCAAGAAAUUGUCCUUAACAGAACUCGAAAUCCUAGAGAAGAAGUUAGAGCCAACCAAUGUCAAGCCGGCAAGAGAGGUUGAUCUCAAAGCCAUUGACCUCGAGACUGGCAACAUUUCCAAGAUAGCCCUAAUUCACGAGGGCUAGAUCCCAAAUAGGAAGCCACGCUCGUCAGCUUCCUCUGGGCCAACUGGGACAUCUUUGCAUGGAAGCCAUCUGAUAUGCUCGGGGUGCCUAGGGAGUCCUUCAUCCAGAGUGUAUGGCUAACCCUGUCUUGGUGCGGAAGAAGAAAUGAAUCGAGUGGAGGAUGUGCAUUGACUACACAGACCUCAACAAGCACUGUCCAAACGAUCUCUUCGGGCUCCCUAGGAUUGAUCAAGUCAUCGACUCAAUGGCUGGGUGCGCUCUACUCUAUUUGUUCUCGACUGCUACUCGGGGUACCACUAGAUAGCAUUCAAGGAAAAAAGACCAGAUGAAGACCGCGUUCAUCACCCCGUACAGAGCUUUCUACUAUACUACGAUGUCCUUCAGGUUGAAGAACACAAGCGUCGCGUAUCAACAAGCCAUCCAAGAGUGCUUCGAAAACAAGCUACAUCGCAUAGUAGAGGCGUACGUGGAUGACAUGGUCAUAUAGACUAGAAAUCCUGACGACUUCAUUACAGGUCUAGAAGAAACCUUUGCAAGCCUGCGAGCAUACUAGUGGAAACUGUCUAAACAAAGAGUGUGCUCGGUGUACCCUCCGGAAAACUACUCGGGUUCAUCAUCAGUCAUCGAGGAAUCGAGGCUAAUCCUGAGAAGAUUUCUGCCAUCACCAACUUGCGCGCUCCAUAAUGCAUCAAGGACGUCUGGAAGCUGACUGGAUGCAUGGCGGCCCUCAACAGAUUUAUCUCAAGACUUGGGGAAUGGGGGCUACCCUUCUUCAAACUACUCAAGCGGCAAGACAAGUUCUAGUGGACCAAGGAGGCAGAACAAGCCCUUCAACAGUUGAAGGACUCCCUAUCAAAGCCACGGUCCUCAUGGCGCCUACUCCCAAUGAACACUUGCUGCUCUACAUCACCACGACUACUAAUGUCGUCAACACGGCGAUCGUGGUUAAAAGAUCAGAACCAGGCCAUGUAUACAAAGUACAGAGGCCCAUCUACUUCAUCAACAAGGUGUUAUCAGACUCCAAAACAAGGUACCCACCAGUACAAAAGUUGCUAUACGCAAUACUACUCACCUCGCGGAACCUACGACACUACUUCAAGGAACACAACAUCUCCAUCAUCACAGACUUCCCCUUGGGAGACAUACUCCACAAUAGAGAUGUAAUAGGAAGAAUCUCCAAGCGGGAAGUAGAACUCGGAGACCUAUCCCUAGAAUUCAAAUCAUGGACCGCCAUAAAGUUGCAAGCACUAGUCCAUUUAAUGGCAGAGUAGUGGGAAUAUCAAGUACCUGCACCUGCAGAACGACCAGGGCAUUGGGUCAUGUACUUCGAUGGAUCACUCAAGCUCGAGGGUGCCAGCGCAGGAGUACUCUUAAUCUCUCCCAAAGGUGACCAACUAAAGUAUGUGUUACAAAUCUUCCAGGACAUCUCCAACAAUGAAGCAGAAUACCAGGUGCUACUGCACAGGCUUCUCCUGGCAAUCUUGCUAGGAAUCAAGUGGUUAUUGGUCUACGCUGACUCACUGGUGGUCAUCAACCAAGUCAACAACAAGUGCGAUCGCCACAAGGACAACAUGGAUGUGUACUGCCUUGAAGUGCGCAAGCUGGAGAAUAAGUGCUCUGGUUUGGAGUUCCAUCACAUGGCUCAUGACAACAACGUACCUGUAGACAUGUUAUCCAAGCUCAGGUCAACUCGUGCCCAAGUUCCAGCAUGGGUCUUCGUCCAUGAACUACACAAGCCAUCUAUACAGGAGCCAGCACCAUCUAUAUCCACCGAUCGCAGCAAUGAUGCGCCAAACCGGGAGGUUAUAAUGAUCGACGUAGAUUGGAGAACCCCAUUCAUCGACUACAUCAAGGAGCAUAAGUUGCCUCCCAGCAAGACAGAAGCAGAGAAAGUCUCACGACGUGGCAAGAACUAUGUUCUUAUCGGGGACAAGCUCUAUAGACGAGGCGUAUCAUCAGGAGUACUCAUGAAGUACGUCUCACACGAAGAUGGCAAGGACAUACUGGAGGAGAUUCACAAUGGAAUCUACACCAACCACGCAUCAUCCAGAAUGAUCGUGGGCAAAGCUUUCCGAGUAGGCUUCUACUGGCCUAAAACUCUCAAGGACGCCAAGGGACUAGUCCGCUGGUGCCAAGGCUGUCAAUUCUUCAUGAAGCAGCAGCACGUCCCUGCCUACAGGUUGAUCACCAUACCAACCUCCUGGCCCUUCGCAUGCUGGGGGCUAGAAAAUUUUUGCCCUCCACCUACGGCGCCUGGGGGCUUCAAGCAAGUACUCGUGGCGAUCAACAAGUUCACCAAGUGGAUUGAGGUGAAGCCAGUGAGAUGCUCCAAGGUAACUCAUGCUCCAAGGUAACUCAUCACUCUCUCGUUCGGGUAGCUCUCGAAAGGCCAAGCAUUCCCUGCUGCUUCUCUUCAAUCUGCGAAUUCCUUCUCCUGGAGUAGAUUGGCACGCAUGAGUACCUGGAUCUCUACCUCCAUCAAAGUGGACGGUUUCCAGGCCAUGGCUUGGUUUGGCGACGCCAUCUGGUUAGUCUUCCGUUACUUGGGUGGCGGCAACUGGACCUCCUUCUCCUUCUUGGUGGCCUUGUGCUUCUUCGACUCUACCACCUUGCUCAAGGAUGCCUUCUUGGGCACUAUUGCUUCAAUGGUCUCCUGGUGCAUCAGUUGUGUGGCUACACUGCAACAGACCCAAAUUCCCAUUUCUGAGAAUUCAAGCCUACGCACCUCGGUGAUAGUCCCAAGAAGGCUAUCACGUGUGAACCCCUAUCUCAGAUAGGACAAAUCCAUACAAAUGUAGAAAUAGCGAGGGAAAUAGAGUAUUAUAUCAUUAUAGAUAACAUGAGUAUGAGUACAUCUCAGCAGCACAUGCCAGUACAAGUUCACUAGGGCUGAAUCAAGAAAGGUAAAACAUCUACGCAGCGGAAACAAAAGCUAAGGAAAAACUCCAUCUUCACAAGCGACUCGAGCAAAGCACGAUCCCUAGUCUUCCCAUCCGUCAUUGUCAAAGUCAAAGUCGAGCACCAAUUCCUAAAAAGCCACCAUCUACCUGAAAAGUGGGUAGGCCAUGCCAACUCCCAAAAGCAGCAAAGCCAAGGAAACGGGGGAAUUAUACUAUAUGCAUGGAUAAACCUAUAUAUGGUUGUAGAGGUUUAUGUAGUAGUAGGAAUCAAGGAAGCAACAAAGCGACAUCAUCUUUGAGGUCAACACCUCAAACAUCUUUGAGGUCAACACCUCAAACAAGGAAGUUAGCAUAAAUCACCGGAUCCUUCACCCAAGGGUCCAGCACCCAAACACACUAGGGGAUGUGAGAGCUCCCUCCCCUCACAUCUCAACAGCAAACACUGGCCUAUCUCAAAAAGAGGGAAGGUAGAAGAUUAAGAAAAGUCUAGUCAGAAGUAACGGUAGUCAACAGCACUGUCCAUACCUAUGGACACAGACUAUAGCUAUAGCUUUAUACACUUUGCAGACGUUGUACACCUGUACCCGCACAGAUGGAGCCUGAACGGGGAUCAGCUGUCCAAACCCCACCUAACAGUCGGAGCCCUAGUUGGUGGAUAGCUCUCUCCUGCUUCCUUGAGUACAGAACCAUCCUCGACUGCAGGGUAUGCCGUCACCAGUGAGGACCUCAAAGCUGUGAAACCUACCCAGACCAAGGUGCAGUCUGGUCAAAGCAGGACAACACCUCGAACUCCUUACACGAUCCUCCAAUCUACCUAUAGGCUGAGCACUUUCCAACACUAGUCUCGGAUCGAACUCCGCCCAUAACGUAAGUGAGCGGUAUGUAUGUAAAUAGAUGCUGUGACUAGUGGUAAACUGAUGUAACACAGGCCCGAUCUUUCAAAAGGUAAUGAUAAAUUUGAUUGGCGGAGACUCGACAUUGAAGAUCCGAGCUUCUAAUCAGACAAGAUUUGAAUCCCUGCAACCGCUACACUGCUGCUUCGUUGGUUAUCAACCAAGCACAACUUGAUUGACCUCGCCGAGAAGGCUUUCCCUACAAGUGAAUCGAAGGACACAAGCAAGAAAGUAUAAACACGCAAUCUAAUAUUGCAAAUAUGAAUGAAGUAAGAUGGGUUCAAGCUCUAAAUUUGAAAGGACUAAUUGACACAGUCGAGGAGAACAGAAACAGGGGCCCUGGAUCACUGUAAAAGGACUUGUCACCACAGUUACAACGAAUCAAUCUCAAUUUUUCAAAGGAAAACUAGAACGAAAAAAACCCGAACCCUAAUGUGGCGAUGGCUACUGAAUAUAUGAGGGUUAGGUCAUGGAGACCCCCCUAGACACGCCCCUAUGGGCUCCAACACGAUACACGGGCCAACAGCCCAAAAGACGGUCGCGCAGCACCCUGAUAGAUUUUGUACGCCCACUUGUUUCAAAUAUUCCCGUUGACUCUGAUCAAACUUUAAUGUGGGACUUGUUCCAUUGGAAGAUCCAUGAAAUUAUGUUUCCAUCCAUAUAAAGAAUGCCCAAAACGGACACCGUAUGCGACCUGGACGUCAUUUUUAGUACGUGCUGCUCCUGGACUCCGAGAUGGGCUCAAACUUGAGUUGCUUUGGGCCUCCACCUCGGGGACUCGAACCGAAUUAGCCUCGGACCUCCUUCUUGACUUGGAAACCAUUGUGGCCUUCUACCCCUCCAUACCAUGCGCCAAACAUGGUCUUAUGCAUGGGUGUCAUGUCCUCAUCAUCCUCCCCUUCUUGAUGAAAAGCCAUCCUCGGCGUCAAUUGUGCUUGAAACUGAUCCUGCACAACACAAAGGAGAACGGGGUUGUGAAGACAAAGGGAACUGAAAUAAUUGUGAUAAAGAACAUGACCAUGUUUCCAAGUUUCUAGCGUGUUAUCUUGCAUAAAAACUUCAGCAAGCAUGUAGACUCCAUGAUCUGAAUGCACACGAUGUAUGUCAACACUAUCCUGCAAAAGAUUAGAACUAACCAAAGACAAUGCAGGAAUAGAUGGUCUAGUAGACAUAGGUAGCAACGAACAAUGCUCCCCUUCAUGGAAGUUAACUUGUUUGUUUGAGGAACAUGAGAAAAUGUUUGUAUUAUUAUGGCUACCCUCUACAAGAUCAUAAUCUUGUACAACAAAAGGAGAAUUCAUACUACUACAAAUGUAUACUCGAUGUAUCAUAUAUUGUCCUUUGUUGUUAUAUUUGCUAGUAACAUGAUAUGUGUGUUUAGAAAACCAAGGCAAAUCAGCAUAUUUAAAAAGGCUCUCCUUGAAACAAUCUAGGUUACACAAAACAUCAAAUUCAAUGUAACCCAAAGUAUAUAAAGAAGACAACAGUUUGAGCUCAUCAGUUUUAGUAGCAAUAUGAAUAACAUGUUUAUUUUCAGCACAAGUGACUGGUUCCAAAAUAUGUAAAACUGAAGCAUCAUCAACCAAUUCAUCUUUAUCACAAGGAACAUCAAGCAUAUUAUCAUGGGACAAAGAUAAAUCAAGAGAGGGUUCCAUUAACAAUUGCUCUAUGAUAGCAUGGUUUGUGGAAAAAUUUAGUACAUUAAGACAAUUCUCACCUUCCGUGAGUGUAGCACCAUGGGCAUUACCUGUGUUCUUAGUAGGAGUAAUAGGUGCAUUGUGAAGUGAUGGUUCUGAAUUUGCAUAUGAGGUUGUGAGCUCCUCAUUUUCUUCCAUGUCAUCCUCUCGCUUAUGUACAUUAUACUGCAGAAGGUUAGUCAUAGCAAAAGGAAUAACAAUAGACUCUUCCUCUAAAUGGUGCACCUCAUCGUAUGAAGUCAAAACAGGAGGUGGAUUAACAAAGGUUUCUCGCAUAAGAAGUUUCAUAUCAUUCCAAGUUUGAGGUUUAUUAGAAGGAUCUAAAGACUCCCACCAAGAUAAAGCAGAAUGUCGCAGAACACUAGCUGCAUUUUUUACCUUCCUCCUUGGACAUAUAAAGCGAGUAGCAAAUAUGUUAUCUAUGGCAAUUUCCCACUCCAUAUACUCAUCAGCACCUAUACCAUCAUAUGUCGGUGGAUACGAACAACCUGUCGUUGUUAGAAGAUAGCAAAAGACAACACAAAAGUAUUAUCCCUAUCAACUAGCAACUACUAGGUGGUGGUGAAAGUGGAAAGCAAUAUCUCAAACAGCUUACCACCAUCUUGCAAGUGUUCUUACCAAAGCCAACAGGGUGGUACAAUCUAUUGUCAAGCUUGGGUGUAAUAGUUGCAAAGUGAUCCUAAACUGACAGAAGUAUAUGUGGAGCUUUGGGCAGGCACAAUAUGGUAGCAAGGAAUAGCAAUAGCCGAAGUUGAUUAGCAAAGUUCAAUAAGCAUCCAAAGUACAAGUCACAAUUGCUAGCUAAGACGUGUCCCUAGACAUAGCACAACAAGUUGGAAGAGCGACGGUAGAUAGAACUCAAUGAACAAUUAACCAGCAACUCAUGCAAUUGUUUUAAUUCUUUUCCCUGAUUUUCCCUACAGGACUAGUGGGAAGUCACUUUUUUAUUUUUCUCAACUAUUUUUUUAUAUUUUUCUCUGAAUAGGGAUCACACAAGAUGGAACCACAAAAUAUUGCACCUUAAACAGAGGUGUGAUGUGGUCUAAAAAAACAGGCACAUUUGCUGAAACAGUGCAACAAAUUAGAGGCUUGAAAACUCCCACUUCCUAAUUUCUUUUUGGGAAAGCUGAGAAUCACAAAAAUACCAACAGCAUUGAAUCAUAUGUGUAACUUUUCAUUCUAAAAGUUUGAAAAAAAAUUCACCUCAAUCGGAGUUCUGAGCGAAAAGUUAUGCCUGUUUUAAGGAAGGUCGCCCGAAUCAGGGUUUCGACAAGGCACAACACGGCUGGUAAAGUGGCGGCGGCUAGGGCGAAGCUUCUCAACAAGCAAUGAAGGGGCAUAAACUUCCCUGGUAUGCAGCAAUAGGUAUUCACCAGAUGAAUCAAGAAGGGCUGCGAGGGAAAGGCGACACAAUGCGGCUUGCAACCUAUCUAAGUUUGCGCGGUGAGAGUUCACACAAGGCGGCUAGCGGGCAAGUCAAGUAAUGUGGGGGCUUGACUUGUUGUUUGGGUAAAGGUGGAUGGGAUAGCGGUGGAAACAAUCAAACAGCAACGGGGUGGUUGAAACUACGACCACGAACACACUAAACCAGCAACAAGACUCGACGACGGACACAAAUUGAACAAAGCGAAUUUGAAAAGAAAAUUGCAAAGGCUAAAAGGGAGAAAGGAUAGAGGAAAGUGUAAAUAUUUUUGGGCUUUUUGUGGACUAUAGGUAUUGGACAUGAACUGAAUCUAAAGGGAAAACACGAUAGUAUACCUCACAGGUAACUUGGAAUCCUGAUACCACUUGAUGUAGCACUGGCCCGAUCUUCCGAAAGGUAAUGAUAAAUUCGAUAGGUGGAGACUCGACAUUGACGAUCUGGGCUUCUAAUCAGACAUGAUUCGAAUCCUUACAACUGCGACACCACUGCUCCGUUGGUUAUCAACCAAGCACAACUUGAUUGACCUCGCCGAGAAGGCUUUCCCUGCAAGCGAAUCGAAGGACACAAGCAAGAAAGUAUAAACACGUAAUCUAAUAUUGCAAAUAUGAAUGAAGUAAGAUGGGUUCAAGCUCUCAAUUCGAAAGGACUAAUUGACACAGUCGAGGAGAACAAGAACAGGGGCACUAGAUCACUGUAAAAGGACUUGUCGCCACAGUUACAACGAAUCAAUCUCAGUUUCUCAAAGGAAAACUAGAACUAAACAAAACCCGAACCCUAAUGUUGCAACGGCUACUGAAUAUAUGAGGGUUAGGCCAUGGAGACCCCCCUGGACACGCCCCUAUGGGCUCCAACACGAUACACAGGCCAACGGCCAAAACACGAUGGCGCAGCACCCUGACAGAUUUUGGACGUCCACUUGUUUCAACAAUUCCCGUUGACUCUGAUGGAAUUUUAAGGUUGGACUGGUGCCAUUCGAAGCUCCAUGAAAUUAUGUUUCCAUCCAUAUAAAGAACGCCCAAAACGGACAUCGUAUGCGAUCUGGGCCUUGUGUUUUAGUACGUGCUGCUCCUGGACUCCGAGACAGGCUCAAACUUGAGUUGCUUUGGGCCUCCACCUCGGGGACUCGAACCGAAUUAGCCUCGGGCCUCCUUCUUGACUUGGACACCCUUGCUGGUCUCCUACUCCUCCAUACCAUGCGCCACAUGGUCGUAUGCAUGGUUGUCAUGUCCUCAUCAUAAACUAACUUGGUCCUUAAGCAGCUGAGAGUUAGCUCUCUACCAACAAGUACGUGCCGAAGCACCAGCCAACUCCUCAGUAACAAGCAAGGUACCCGCUACAGGUACGGGUAUGGAGAGAUUCUAAAAAGCUCUCUCCCAGCAUGGCACUCCUCAGCACCAACCCUGGUUCGCUCAAGCCAAGUACCCAUCAAGGAAUCAUACUCACCAAAAACCCACGCGGGUGUGGGAGUAGGUGAGGAGUGGCGUGAGUUGGAAAGUGAGCAGCGAGAGGAGCGGCCUGUCAUGUGCGGAGCGCACGGGAAAGAAGAGAAAAGUGAGAGCGUGCAAGAGAAAAAGAGGAGCGGCACGGCUGCUGUCUUGGAGAGGAAGAAAAACAGCACCAUAGAGCUGGACAUGCAUCGGCGGUGGCAGGCCACGCUGCUGGGCUAUUCUGAUUAAAGAGCUGGGCCGAGGGAGUUUAGCUGGUGGGCUUCACGAGAGAGGAAAACAAGAUGGAGAAAGGAAACGAGCUGGGCUGCAGUGUUUCAUGAAAGAAAAUGAAGAAAGCAUGGAGAUUAACGUGGAUUGGAAACUCAUGAGCUGGUCAGUUCGCAAGCUGACAAGAGAAGGAAAAGACAUAUGAUCAGAGACACAUCAGCGGCCUUGCCGAGCGAGUUGGCUUGUGUACUGCUCGGGUGCAAGUUAGAGUUAGUCACAUUUUAUUUAAGUUAGCUUUAGUUUGUUUUUUGUAUUUUGUAUUACUUCAAAGUACAAACACACCUUUGAGAUCCAAAUAAACCAAAUAAAAUCCAGACACUCGUGCAAGCAUGAUUUAAAUUUAGGUGCACAAAUUUAAUUACUAGCUUUCAAAUUUAAAGUUAAGAAAUAGGGUUGACCUUAAGUUUGACCAAGUAUUUAUAUGAUUCACAUAAUCAAACAAAAAGUUUUAAAUUUUGGUAAAAACUGGCAAUUAAUAUCACUUAAUUUUGAGGGAUAUUACGUACACAAUGGGAAGUGGCGGCGCUCCGGGACAGCAAGCGGUGGCGCUAGGGCUAUAGUGCUCGGGAGUGCAAGCGGGGGCGAUAGUGGAGAAGAUGAAUGGCUCGGGAGCACAAUUAAUAUCACUUAAUUUUGAGGGAUAUUACAUACACAAGGGGAAGUGGCGGCGCUCCGGGACAGCAAGCGGUGGCGCUAGGGCUAUAGUGCUCGGGAGUGCAAGCGGGGGCGACAGUGGAGAAGAUGAAUGGCUUGGGAGCAGUAGCUCGGGUAAACGGAAGGGAUAAGAUUCCUCCAUCAUUUAUAACCACGACACAAGGUAACUGAGCAUCGAAGAUUAUAGGGAAUAUUCCAUAUUUUAAGCCAUCAAAGAAUGAUUACCAAGUUUUUUGAAAGCGAUAAGUUUUCUGAAGACAAACGGUCACAUUAGACUGGUGGUUGACUGUUAUACCUAAACUAGUCAUGUAACGUCUUGGGGGCUAUGUGCCACAUGCCCGUUGGACAAAAAUUUUUUCUCUCCUAGUUUUGAGGAGCAAAAAAGUGAAAUUACAAGAUUGAGCCUCAGCUUGAUUUCUUUGAUUCAACCUAAGGCUCAGGGGCUACUCCAUAUGGAGUGCGACUUUUUCAAAUCGCACUUCCAUAUAAAGAGUAAGAUUCAAGACUAAGUUAAAUGAGGCUUGAGCACCUUCUAGCUACAUGGUAGUACUCGAGCACAUUCGAAGACUCAGUCCGAUGGAGUAGUCAAAGGAGCGCCACAAACUAGUCGGUGACAUCUACAGAAGUACUUGGAACUACUGCAUUUGACUAAAAGUACUCGGGGGCUUGUCGGCCAUACACCUAUAGGUCCACCGGGAGACUUGGACUGUCUUACAAUUCUAGGCUGUACACCAAGACGUAUCAAACAUGGACACUACGGUGCAGGACGGUGUGGUCUACAUGGCGGAUAAGGACUAGUCAAGGAUUAGGAAACUACUCGUAACAAGAGUAGGACUCUCUGGUCGAAUCCGACUAGUACUCUUGUACAACAACCGACUUGUAACCCUUCCCCCAGCAAUAUAAGGCAAGGCAGGGACCCCCUCCAAACAUCUCAUCAAUCAAUACAAACAACCAACACACAGAACGUAGGGUAUUACGUGAUACAAGCGGCCCGACCUGUCUAGAUUGUGUGUUUGAGUUCACUAUCGAGUUCCUGAUCUCGACGAGCCCCACGCACAAAACACUACCUCAGGUACCCCCUCGGUAGUUUGCCGGGUCUAAACACUGACAUAGAAUUUCAUAUAUAACAAUGAUAUUUAGCUAUUCAUGGGCACAUUUUUCGCUUGUUUAAAUACGAUGGUUUGUAUGCCUUGGAAACAACAACCAAUAAAACUUUGCAUUGUGUGGAGCAGUUUCAACUAUAAAUUAAAUGUUAUCACAAAAUGAAAUUAAUGUAUUGAAAGUACAAAAUUCCCAUUGAUGUGUACUAGAAACCGUGAAAUGAAAUUAAGUUAUUGGAAAUUGCAUGAUGAUGUGGCACUCAUGGAGAGAUUGGAGGGCCGCUUUAUUAUUUUACAUUACUUUGCGGGGCAACGGAGGGACAGUCUCAUCCGUGUUUAUAUUAUUAUGGUAUUAUACCCCAUUCUCCCUUGUCGAGUAAGCUACUUUUUCAUUCUUGCAACCAUAAAAAACCCCAAUCUGGUAACGCAACUCUUCCUCUCCCCAUGGCGCCAUCGUCUCCUAGAGCGUUGGCGUAUGUCACAUGCUCUGAUGUAGAGGAAAAGCUCCAAGGCCGAGGGAUUCGGAGCCAAGCGAUUCAUUGUCUCCUAGAGCAACGACAGACAUAUCCUUUGAUGAUUUAGAGUUUGUGGAACGAAUGGAAAUCGCUGAUCAUGUGCCUCUCCAAUGUCACACCAUCCGAAAGUCAAGUAGAGGUGGCCGUGGUUAGGGGCUCGGAAGCACCACCGUCCUCAAGUGCGGUGCCCGAGGAGGCAGGAAGGGACUGCCAUGAUUCUCAUCGGUCGGCGACCAAGGUGUCGUACAUACAUCUAUCGGCCCAUCAGAAGGUUGGGACGGUCCUAGAUACAGGGCUGGACACCGAGACAUGUCAGACAUGAAGACUUCGGUGUAGGAUGGCGUGGUCUACGUGGCAAGAUAGGAACUAGUAGAGGAUUAGGAAACUACUUGUAGUAAUUAGAGUAGGACUCAUCUAGUUGAAUCCAACUAGUAUUCAAUAUAACCAAAACACAGGACAUAGGGUAUUAUGCAAUCUAGCGGUUAAAUCAGCUCAAUCACGUCAACAUCGUACUCAUCUUGCCACCAUCGCGUCCAUUAAUCUUAUUAGCCGGGCAAUGCCACAGGACAAGUACACGAGGCAACUAGCCGAAUUGGUGGAACACGCGUACGAACAACUCGAUCAGCAAAACCCGACACAUUCAGUUUCACACACCACAUCCCAGCAUGGCAGUCGCCAUAACGUACUCCAUCCAUACCAAGUCAAACCGGAGGUGCCAGACCAAGCCAAGCUGGAGCAGAGGGUAGUUGGGCAGGUCCGUCCGGAGGCCAAGGCCACCGUGCACCCAACCCUAAGCCUGAAUGCCCAGUACACAAUUUGUGUCACAAGAUCAACUCCGGCCGUGAUGCCCGUACAAUCAUUGACGGACGCCACUGUGAGCGUGAGCAGGAAGCUGAGUUCCUAGGAGAGGAUUCCGACGGGUUCCCCGCCUUCUCAAGACAAGUAAGGAGGAUAGUUCUACCCGAGAAAUUCAAACCUUGAGGUAUCACUAAGUAUGAUGGCAAGCAGGAUUCAGUCCAAUGGCUACAGUGCUACUAACUGUUAGUACAAGCAGUAGGAUGGAACGACGACACCAAGGUCAUCUACCUCCCUAUUUGCAUGGAGGCAGCGCCACUUACAUGGCUCGAGUCAUUAGAUAAGAACUCCAUCGACAUGUGUGUUGGAGGUAUGCCCUAGAGGCAAUCAUAGAGAUGAUGAUUUCCAUUUGUAUCCAUGAUUUGUAUAUUGUGUUCAUUGAAUAUCCAUUAAAGGUUACUUGAAUUGAUUUGCAAUUAUGUGAAUUGUAUGUGAAACUUUUUACUUGUAUGGUUAUUCUAAAGUUAUCCCUAGUCGGAGUUCAUGUGAGGACACACAUGAAUAUUAGACUAGCACAUGUAUUAGUUGAUGACUAUGUUUCACAAGUCAUGGACAUGGAGAUGUUGAACUAAUAAUGUGGACACAUGUGGAGACAUGUGCUAGGACUGACCCAAUACGAGAAGUAGUUCUUUUUUUUAAACAACAUAUACGCUUUGUCCUUAGACCUGAGAUUAUCGCAUGUAUUCAAGAUGUGGAUCGACUUACUUAGGGGCUAUCAAACGCUACGCCAUAACAGGGUAGUUAUAAAGGUAGCUUUCGGGUUUGUCAAGAAGCAUGCUAUGAGACAUGGUCAAUCAAGAUGGGAUUUGCCCCUCUCUAAUUGAGAGUGAUAUCUCUGGGCCCCUCGAGUGAUCGGAUCCGAAAAUGCAUGGCCAUGCUACGUACGGUUAAGAGUUAACCUACAAAGGGAUUCCGAAUUACAGGAUCGAGAAAGAGUGGUCAGCUUGAAGCUAGACCAAAUAUCGUGAGGCAAAGGGAAUAGCAUGUAUAUUAUGUUGUGAUGGUUCGUCUGAUAUGAUCUUCGUGUGCAUAUAGGAGUUGGCACGUCUUGCUAGAGGCCGCUACCGACUAUUGGGCCGAGUAGGAGUACUCGGGCCAUGUCUAUACGUAUCCGGACCCAUAGGGUCGCACACUUAAGGGGCUGGAAGCCCAAUUCGGAUGUGAUCCAAGUUGGAUUAGGUUUAGAAGUACUAAUGGGCCUCGGACCCAGAGGCCCGUUAGGAACCUCUCUAAAUAGAGGGGUGGGGGCGCCCUAGGGUUUACACCUUUUUGUGAAACUCAUCUGCCGCGCCUCCCAUGCCCUCGCCUGUUGCAACUCAUAGAUCUAAAAGUCCAGCUUACGACGCUUCCUCCCUGCACGUGUGGAUACCUUGGAGGUGUUGUGCCUGCAGCACUUGGACGAGCCGCCGACGAGCCACGACGAGCCGACGACGAGUUGUGGCACGAGGGAGAUAUUGCUGCACCUGGACAAGCUACUAAGGAGCUGCUGGACGUCGACGUGAUCGACUACGUACGACUACACUGAUCCACUUCGCUGCAUCGACCCGAAUCUACAUCUUCCGCACCGGUAGUGCGUCGAGUGGUAAUCCCGUGAUCCUUAGACGACAGUUUUCCUUGUUUACCCGGUAGAAAAUAUUGAUUUGCGCUAGUGUAGCCUACCUCGUAUCCCAACAUAGGUAUCAGAGCCGUAGCUGUUUAGUUUUGGAUUCGGGAUGUGUGCAUAUGGAGAUAUGCGAGUUUUCAGUUUGAUCUAUGUCCUAGUUUCGUGUACUUGCUACAAUGGUAGUGUAACGACAUACUCCUACCGGUCGGUUUCCGCCAUCGGAGUUAAGUGAUACACGUAAUUCCAGUUGCAGUGAGCGAAGAUCAAUAUGAUUGGUUGAAUCGAAAUCUAGGGUCAUACGCCAGGCGCAUGAGAUGUGCAACAGUAGAUGGGAUCUACUACCGGGGUCAGGAUUUUUGCCGUGUGCGUAUGCUUUGGUAAAUCAGCCGUAACUUUUCGAUACGAUCUCGGAUCGGGGCGAAUUUUAUAUGAAAAUUGAUCUACAGAAAAAGUUACACAUGAAAUUCAACCACUUUGCCAUUUUUGGCGAAAUUAGAUUUCCUAAAUUUGGCUUGGAAGAUGGAGUUUUGGGCAUCCGAAGUUUGGAACGUUAGGACGCUUAACUCUGUUAUGCAGGAUGUAUGUAUCUUGUGAUCAGUAUGGCCCCUUUGUGUAUGUGAUGCAUGUGUGUAACUCAUUCGUGACUUGCGUGUUGGGCGUACGGCAACACGGCAGGAGCCAUAUGUGUUGUCAGUUUAUUGUAUUUAAUGGUCUGCGUACCAAUCUGUGAUGAUCCAAGCAACUAUGUAAUCUUCAUUACUAGCUUCUUCACUAGCUAUUAUGCGUAAUAGCAUGUUAUAGUUCUUGGAGGACUCAUCACCAGGAGAAUGGCGCACAUGGAACAUGGAGAUGGAGAUCGCCAUGGUGAACAGGUUCUAUGGAGAUGGAGAUCACCAUAAGAAAAACGGGCCAUACUGUGUCACAACUGUGUGAAUGCUAUUCUAUUUAUGUUUUACUUUCUGCAUGCUGUGAUGUAAGAAGUAGAACAAUCCCUCACAAAAGUUUAAGUUAGUAUGCCCUCCCAACUAAAGCUUGCACCGUCCCAUGUCUUGUACAGUUAGUGGUGGGUCUAUGAAAUUAGGGUGCCACUAGUUUUCCUUGACUAGAUGGGUUUGUGUCGGACACUUACACGCAUAAGGGUUGGUUUGCUUAACAAGGUUAUCUUAACGGUUAAGGAUCUUGGGGCAUAAAGGUUGGGCGCCGAGACAUAGAGAUGUCACCCAACAACAGGAGUCAUAUGUGAUGUGAUUAGCAAAAGUUGCUUACCGAUCUACCUUGUUUGCUAGCGGUGAUGCUAAAGCUCACUAGUAGACUUAUUAGUUGUGGAUCCUGAAUCACUAAGUAUAAAUAGAGGGAUAUUGAUUUUAGUGGGAGUAGAUUCUGUUAAAAUAGUUUAAUGUGAUUUUCUCUAUCAUGGAUACGUUUGUCUUAGUGUAUUUUGCAUUACUUUUGUUGUAGAUCCUUAUACGGCAGUUUUCCUGGUUUACGCGGUAGAAAAUUUUGCGUCGAGUGGUAAUCCCGUGAUCCUUAUACGGCAGUUUUCCUGGUUUACGCGGUAGAAAAUUUUGAUUUGUGCUAGUGUAGCCUGCCUCGUAUCCCAACAAUGUGGAAGGACCUCAAGGUGGCGUUCACCAACAACUUCGCGGAGGCAAUGCAGUGCCCUGGCAAAAGGAUCGACUUGUCUUAAGUCAAGCAACAACAAGGCAAGACCUUGCGUAGUUACCUACGUCAUUUCUUCGAUAAGAAUGCAACAAUCAUGAAUAUCACGGAGCACGACGCCAUAGAUUGCUUCCAAAAUGGUCUCUAUGACCGCCGGAUGUUCCAGAAUUUUGGCAGGAGACACCCUGAAGAUAUCAAAUCUCUCAAGAUUAUGAUACAAGCCUGGGUAGAUGAAGAAGAAAAGGAGAUUGAGAGGUUUGAGUCUAACCGCAACAAGGGCCAUAACAACAAUAAUCAGAAUAAUGGCCAGCGCAACAACAAGAACCACAAUGAUCAUCCCAACAAUGACAAUCGAAAUAACUACUCGGGAGGUCAGAAUUGCAAGAGGAAGCCAGACAAUACUUUGUGGCAAUGUCACAGUCAUCAGAGAAAGGCAGCAGGAAUCAAAACAGGACUCCAUUCAGCAAGCUCCUGAAGAAGUAGUGCCCAUGGCACCCGCACCAUAAGCACUUUGCGAUGCACUGUUACAGUCUAUGCAGAGUCAUGAAAGACCUGCCGGAACCUUCUGGAAACAAGGACAAGGGCAAGGCCAAGGAAGAUGAAGAUGAUGGUGACAACGGCAAAUUUCAGAACCCUUCCAACAGCAUCAACGUCAUUUUUGGCGGCACACCGGGUACUGCUACUAAGCAGUCCUAGGAACUAGUCCUCCGAGAGAUCAUGUCCAUUGAACCAGCAACACCUACAUUCCUCAAGUGGUCUUAGGUUCCAAUCACCUUCUCCAGGGAGGACCAAUGGACUAGUUUCACAGACCCAGGACGAUAUCCUCUUGUCCUAGACCCAGUAGUUGCUGGCUCCAAACUCAGCAAAGUACUCAUUGAUGGUGGUAUUGGUCUCAAUGUACCCUUUACCAAGACAUUGAGGAAGAUGGGCCUCGAUAUUACUAACGUGCUUACCCCAACGAACUCUCCAUUCUAUGAGAUUGUCCCAAAAACGCAACUGUACCCCUCGGGUAGGUGGUUUUGCCAGUUACCUUCAAGACCAAAGAAUACUACAGGACAGAGUACAUCUAGUUCGAGGUGGCAGACUUCGAAACUUCAUAUCAUGCUAUCCUUGGAAGACCUGCAUUGGUCAAAUUCAUGGCCAUCCUACAUUACGUGUACCUAGUACUCAAGAUGUCGAGACCCAAGGGAGUAUUCCUCUACGCGGAGACUUGAAUAGAUCAUACGACUGUGACAUAGAAGUCGUGGAGCUAGUAGCGCUUACUCAAGUGCCAAAUUCGAUGAUGCAAGUCUUCACCACUUCCAAGGAAGUAUCCCCAUCAUAACUCGAGAUCUCAGAGAAGAAGUCGUGGGCAACCAAGGUCAAGCCGGCAAGUGAAGUAGACAUCAAAGCCAUUGACCUUGAAACUGGUGAUAGCUCCAAGACAGUGUUGGUUGGCUCAGGGCUGGAUCCUAAAUAGGAAACUGCACUCAUCAUCUUCCUUCAGGCCAACUGUGACAUCUUUGCGUGGAUGCCAUCAGAUAUGCUGGGGGUGCCUAAGGAGUUGAUCGAGCACUCACUAAAUGUGGAUCCAAAAGCUACACCAAAAAGACAACGACUAUGUUGAUUUGCCCAAGACAGAAGGGAACCAAUCAAAAAAGAGUUGGCCAAACUACUUGCGGUAGGCUUCAUAAAAGAAGUCUAUCAUCUAGAGUGGCUGGCCAAUCCCAUCCUAGUGCGAAAGAAAAACAACAAUGAGUGGAGGAUGUGUGUUGACUACAUGGACCUCAACAAACAUUGUCCAAAGGAUCCCUUCAGGCUCCCUAGGAUUGAUCAAGUCAUUGACUCGACAGCUGGAUGCGCCCUACUCUGCUUCCUUGAUUGCCACUCGGGGUAUCAGUAGAUAGCUCUCAAGGAAGAAGACCAAAUCAAAACUGCGUUCAUCACCCCAUAAGGAGCUUUCUGUUACACAACAAUGUCCUUCGAGUUGAAGAACACAGGCGGCACCUAUCAACAGGCAAUCCAGGAGUGCUUGAAGAAAUAGCUACACUACAAUGUAGAGGCAUACGUGGAUGAUGUAGUCAUAAAGACCAGAAAUCCCGAUGACUUGAUGGUGGAUUUGGAAGAAACCUUCACAAGCUUGCGAGAAUUCUGGUGAAAGCUAAACCCAACAAAGUGCAUCUUUGGCGUACCCUUCAGAAAACUACUCAGGUUUACCAUUAGUCACUGAGGGAUUGAAGCUAACCUCGAGAAGAUCUCUACUAUCAUUGAUAUGCAUGCCCCAUCGUGCGUCAAGGACGUCCAAAAGCUGACCAGAUGCAUGGCGGCCCUUAACAAAUUAAUCUCAAGACUUGGAGAAUGGGGACUAUCCUUCUUCAAACUACUCAAGCAGCAAGACAAAUUCCAGUGGAUUGAGGAGGCAGACCAAGCCCUGCAACAAUUUAAGGACUUCUUUGUCGGUGUUUUAUACCCGGCAACCUACCAAGGGGUAUCACGAGGUAGUAGAUUGGUUGGUGGGGGAUCGCCAGACCUGGAACUCGAAGGUAAAAGUAAGGACACAAGACACAGAUAUAUAUAGGUUCGGGCCACCAGAGUAGCAUAAUACCAGACAUCCUAUUUGGGGUAUCGUAUAUUGCGUCCUGCGCUUGGGUGUUGUCUAGCCUAAUUGUUGGAGAUUGAUGAUGGUUCUGAGCUGCUGAUCUAGGUACACCUACCCUUCUUUACAUGCUUAGGGGCAGGAUUACUAGUUCGUGACAAGGUACGAGUUCUAGUAGGAUUACAUGGUAUGAGUCCUAGUAGGAUUACAGAGGAAUCCUAGUAGGACUCCAUCUUUUUCCUUCUGUGGAUCUAACCCUGACAUUCUUAUCAAAGCCAUUGGUCCUCAUGGCGCCAAAUCCCAACAAAGAUUUGCUUCUUUAAAUCGCUAUGAAUGAUAGAGUCGGAGUGCCCGAUCUUUCGGUGAGUGGAGAUAAAUUCGACUUGGUGGAAGUAGACCCUCACAAUCCGACUACGACGAGCGAACCCGAAGCGCCAAUGCAAUCGUUGAACCAACUCCCUGUGGUUACCAACCUUGCCAGCGCAAGAUCAGCCUGAUCACAAAGAUCGAUUCCUGUCCGCAAUCGAAGAACAAACAAGAAAAAGAGGCGAGCAAUCUAAAUAUCACUCCAAGGUGGAGUUCUGAAUCACACAAGGACAGCGCGUAUUUGCGCGUGUUCGAGAGUAGCUAAAGCUAGAUGUAAAACAAAACUCAAGUUGUAAACAAAAGGGACUCUCACUAAAUAAAGGGGGCACAGCCCCUGGAGUCCGGAGAAGGCGCCACGGCAGGAGGGCGGGCGCGCACGACCAGGGGGAGGGCCGCAGCUCCCAACCCUAGGCGCCCCACCUGGGCUGCCCUGUUGGGCCAUCUUCUUAUUCUGCUGGGCCUUCGUUCCUUAACAGCAUGAUGAAGUUUAAUUCUCUCGCACGGGCCCGAGUGAUUGGCCCAACUGGAUGAUCAACUGUAGGCGCCUGAGGUGGAGGAGCAACUAGAGGUGCCUGAGGUGCUGCUGGUGUACAUGUACUCGUGGUGUCCUCAUCAUCCUCCCCUUCUUGAACUGAAGUCGUCCUCGACGGCAACUCCUCAUCUUCGCCCACAUACGGUUUCAAAUUUGCAACAUUAAAACUCGUGGAAACACCAAACUCCGCAGGCAGGUCAAGGAUAUAAGCAUUAUCAUUAAUCUUGGUUAGCACUUUAAAAGGACCAACAGCACGUGGUAUCAAUUUAGAACGAUGUAAAGUAGGAAAAUGAUCCUUUCUCAAAUGCAACCAAACCAGAUCACCCGGUUCAAAAGUAACAUGUUUUCUCCCUUUACUACCCGCAACCUGAUAUUUAGCAUUAGCAGCAGCAAUGUUUUGUUGAGUUUGCUGAUGCAAGCUAAUCAUUUGAUCAACAUAUGUAGCGGCAUCUAUGUGUGGGGCGUCCUCAGCAUCAAGCGCAAAGAAAUCAAUAGGCACCCGAGGAAUAUAACCAUAAACAACCUGAAAGGGACACAUCUUUGUAGAAGAAUGCGUUGCAUGAUUAUAAGCAAACUCAACAUGAGGUAAGCAAUCUUCCCAACGUUUCAAGUGUUUAUCUAAAACAGCCUGAAGCAUGGUUGACAAAGUUCGAUUAACCACUUCAGUUUGUCCAUCAGUCUGAGGGUGACAAGUGGUGCUAAACAGCAAUUUAGUUCCCAUUUUAUUCCACAGUGAUCUCCAAAAAUGACUGAGAAACUUAGCAUCAUGAUCACAGACUAUUGUAUUUGGAAUACCAUGCAAACGAAUAAUCUCGCGAAAGAACAAUUCAGCAACAUUGCUAGCAUCAUCAGUCUUAUGACAAGGUAUAAAAUGAGCCAUUUUGGAGAAACGAUCAACAACCACAAAAAUACUGUCCCUCCCCUUCUUAGUUCUAGGCAAUCCCAAAACAAAGUCCAUAGAAAUAUCAAGCCAAGGGGAAGUAGGAACAGGCAAAGGCAUGUACAAACCAUGGUUGUUCAAUCGUGACUUAGCUUUCUGGCAAGUAGUGCAGCGUGCAACAAGGCGCUCAACAUCAACGCGCAUCCGGGGCCAAAAGAAGUGGGCAGCCAGCACUUCAUGCAUCUUGUAGACGCCAAAGUGCCCCAUGAGACUGCCUCCAUGCGCUUCCUGUAACAACAAACAACGAACCGAGCUAGCUGGAACACACAGCUUGUUAGCGCGAAACAGGAACCCGUCCUGUAUGUGAAAUUUGCCCCAUGGUUUGCCAUGAAUAUAAUGGGCGAAAGCAUCUUUAAAAUCAGCAUCGUCCACAUAUUGAUCCUUCACAGUUUGCAAGCCAAAGAUUUUAAAAUCUAACUGUGACAUCAUGGUAUAGCGACGAGACAAAGCAUCAGCAAUGACAUUUUCCUUCCCGCUCUUGUGUUUAAUAAUGUAAGGGAAAGACUCAAUGAAUUCUACCCAUUUAGCAUGACGACGGUUCAGGUUUGUUUGGGUACGAAUAUGUUUUAAAGCCUCAUGAUCAGAAUGAAUUAUAAACUCGCGAUGCCAAAGGUAGUGCUGCCAAGUAUGCAAAGUGCCCACUAAAGCAUAAAGCUCCUUAUCAUAAGUAGAAUAAUUCAAGCUAGCACCACUUAAUUUCUCACUAAAGUAAGCAACCGGUUUUCCUUCUUGUAACAAAACAGCACCUAGCCCAAUACCACUAGCAUCGCAUUCAAGCUCAAACACUUUAGUAAAAUCACGAGCAAUGGAGCUCAUGGAGCUAAAAUCACGAACAAACCUGCGGUAGAAACCUGCAAGGCCAAGAAAGCUUCGAAUUUGUGUGACCGUCGUCGAUGUAGGCCACGCCUGAAUGGCAUCGAUCUUGCUGCUAUCCACCUCAAUGCCCUGUGGAGUAACAACAUAGCCAAGAAAUGAGACACGUUGUGUGCAAAACAUGCAUUUUUCGAUGUUAGCAAAUAAAUAGGCCGCACACAACGCAUCAAAAACAGCACGCAAAUGUUCUAAAUGCUCUUCCAUAGACUUGUUGUAAAUGAGGAUAUCAUCAAAAUAGACAACUACAAACAAUCCUAUGAAGGGCCUCAGAACUUCAUUCAUCAAACGCAUAAAUGUGCUGGGAGCAUUUGUCAAACCAAACGGCAUAACCAACCAUUCAUAUAACCCAAAUUUCAUUUUAAAAGCCGUUUUCCAUUCAUCACCUAAUUUCAUGCGAAUCUGAUGGUAGCCACUACGCAAAUCAAUCUUAGUGAAAAUAAUGGCACCACUAAGCUCAUCUAGCAUAUCAUCAAGGCAUGGUAUAGGGUAUCGGUAGCGAAUGGUAAUGUUAUUAAUAGCACAACAGUCUACACACAUACGCCAUAAGCCAUCUUUCUUUGGAGCAAGUAACACGGGAACGGAGGAAGGGCUAAGAGACUCACGAAUAUAACCCUUGUCAAGCAACGUCUGUACCUGGCGCUGGAUUUCCUUUGUCUCAUCCGGAUUUGUACGGUACGGGGCGCGGUUCGGAAGCUGUGCGCCGGGAAUGAGGUCGAUCUGGUGCUCAAUGCCAUGAAGUGGUGGGAGUCCCGGUGGCAAAUCUUUUGGAAAGACAUCAGCGUACUCCUGCAAAAUGUUAGCAACCGCAGGGGGAAUAUCCAAAGAUGGUGCAUCAUCAAGUGAAACGAGCACACUAGAGCAUAUAAGGGCAUAGCAUGGCAAAGGAGCAUCGCGUAACUCAUCAAAAUCAGCACGUGUAGCAAGCAAAACAGGAGCAUUCAACUUGAUUUCAGAAUUAACAGAUGUCGAUGGUUCAAGUUGUUUAGUAGUUUUAGCAGCUCUAGCAAGAUCAUCUUCAAGAAUUUGUUCAGGUGUCAUUGGAUGUAUAAUUAUUUUCUGACCCUUAAACAUGAAAGAAUAGUGAUUUGAACGACCAUGAUGCAAGCUAUCAGUAUCAUAUUGCCAAGGUUGCCCAUGUAACAAAGAGCAUGCUUCCAUGGGAAUAACAUCACAAUCGACAAAAUCAGAAUAAGCACCCAUGGAGAAAGGAACACAAACUGAUCGAGUAAUUCUAAUUUUCCCACCAUCAUUAAGCCAUUGAAUGUGAUAUGGAUUUGGAUGCUUACGAGUGGGUAAAGACAACUUUUCAACCAGCGUGGUACUCGCCAAAUUGUUGCAGCUGCCACUGUCAAUGAUGAUGCGAAUCGACCGCUCCUGCACAACGCCCUUGGUAUGGAAAAGAGUGUGUCGCUGAUUCUUCUCGGACGGAGCGACCUAUGUACUAAGAACACGCUGCACAACAAACCUAUCAGCGUCGCCCGGGUUGACAUGUACCUCCAUAGCUGCAUGGUCAGUGGCAAGCAUCGCAUGUUGAGUAUCUUCAGAAUCACUAGCGGAAGAGUACUCACCAUCAUCACGAAGAAGCAAAGUGCGCUUGUUCGGACAGUCCCGAAACACGUGGCCAAAUCCUUUGCAACGAUGACACUGAAUAUCCCGUGUACGGCCUGUGGGAGGGACGGCGCCUGUGGAAGGGGCAGUGCUUGCAGGUUUGGCCAUUCUCUCGCGCGGUGUAGUGGUGGGCGUGGGUGGCGCAGGGAGAACGGGUGCGGAGUUGGAUGUCG